rnacentral:lncRNA from 1 species
UUUUACUUCUCGUUUCCCUCUUCUUUCAAAAUCAUCACCGAAUCAACAAAUAAUCUAGGGGUGGGCAAAAUACCCGAUCCGACCCGACCCGACCCGAAAAAUUUCGGGUUCGGAUCGGAUCGGGUUGCGAAUAUAACCCGAUCGGAUGAUAAAUUGUAAACCCGAUCGGUUUGUGAUCGGAUCGGGUUAUAUCCGACCCGAUCCGAAAACCCGAUCGGGUUGCUUAAAAAAAAAAAAAAAAAAACUAAACCUAAACCUAAACGCAUGCACACCACACACAAAUCACACUCACAUAAUCACAGUAGAACAGAUUCACAAGUUGUAAUAGUUGAACAGAUUCACAACAUGUGAUUCAUUGAAGAAAUCACAAACACAGAACACACAAACAAAAGUACAAAACUCACAAGACACACACACACACAUAGCAGUGUCGCGAUCUACUGACUCCCAACGGCCACCGCCAACGGAGGCCACACACGCUCCACCUCCAGUGCUGCGAUCUAUUCCUGUCUCUCCGAACUUCGACCAGUCCCCGCCGCUGCGCGUCCAGCCGUCUGCGAUCUGCCGUUGCACGUCCGCCCAUCUGCUGCCACCAACUGCCACCGAUCUGCUGCUGAAAACUCGUCCGUGAUCUGCUGCUCCAAGGCCAAGCCUCCAACCCGAGUACCCGACCCAAGUUUUUGCCCUUUGUGACUUUUGAUUUUGAAGCUUUCAUUUCAUGGUAUAUAAUUAGCGUUAAUUUUGAAGCUUUCAUUUCAUGUUAACCCUAACCCGAUUCUACCCGAGUUUAACCCGAUUUUUUGACCCGAUCCGAUCCGACCCGAAUAUAUAUCGGAUCGGAUCGGAUCGGGUUGUAAGAUCGGGUUGUAUUCGGAUUAAUAUUUGUCCAACCCGAACAACCCGAAACCCGAUCGGGUUAACCCGAACCCAACCUGAAUCUGAUUUUGCCCACCCCUAAAAUAAUCUUUCGCUCUGUCACUCACCAACUAAAUAUCACGAAACGAUAAAAAAUUAGCAAGUUAAUAGCAAAUUAACUAAACUGCUUCAAGCAAUAAUGGCUACUUUCGGUGCUGCUGCCGUUGCCACCAAUCAAAACCCUAACAAGUCCAUCGAGGUAUACUUUAUUUAUUUAUUUUCUUUAUUAUUUUUUCUUUCCGAUAAUCUUUAAAAAUUAUUUACCGUUAAAUUUCUUGUCGGUUUCUUGUGUAUGAUGAACUUGGCGACUGUUGAAUUAAUGCUUAUGGUGAUGUUAUUAUUAGGAUUAAGUAGAAAGUUAUAUAAAUUAUUUAUUAUAUAUUUUUGUCAGGGUUAAGCUUAAUUGCUUGUGUUAAUGUAAAAAUUAAUUCUACAUUUUCGGAUAAAGAUUUUUUUUUUUAAUGCUAAAUAUGUAUGCGAAGCUAUGAUCAUUUGUUUGCUUGCUGUCUUGCUGAACGGAUUGUUGAAAGCGAACCAAUUGCUAAGCUUGUGAAUGUGUUGGAGUUUCAGUGUAAAAGAACAGUAGUUAGUAAGUGAAUCAUCAGGCUUGCUAGUAGUGCUUGGAAGUUUAUAGUGUGAUUUUCAUACAGAAGACAUUGAAGUAAGAAUUUUCACUUCUUUUUAUAUGAAUUUAAAAUUGCAGUCUAUGUGGCAUUUUGGUUCGGGCAGUAAAUUGCUUUUAUUAUUAGAAGUUCAUCUGUUAGAAGUCUUCAUUGUGUAGUUGAGUGCAAUGACCUUCUUGCUAAGUUGGACAAUAUGUGCACGUGGAUAGUUAAGUGGUCAGUUCACGUGACCACAAACAGAAGAGUAGCCAUGUUGUGUUCAGAUGAAUGAAUGGAAAUGUUGGGCGUGUUUAGUUCUGCCAUGCUAACUUGUACUGACAAUUACCGAUGCUCAAAGUGGAUAUGAGCUGGCAGGGGCUAUGGACUCUCAAAUUGUCGGCACUCUUUUCCCAUACUUAUAUAAUUUAGGCGUUGUUUAAAGAGAAACGCCCUUGAUGAGUGCUUUAAUAUCGUAGGUUUUUGUCUUUCUUUCUUCUCUAAGUUGUGUGUCAUGCUCUUUUCUUUCUCCUUUUGGGUUUACAGUAUAUCCUUUCAUUUCUAUUUGGUAUCUGAUGUGGUCAACAGUUUACUGUGUCUCCAUGUGGUGCCAUGUGCACUUUGUAUGAUUUUGCGUGUAGUUGAUCAGUCACUUGUACUCUCUUGAUGUUCUUGUAUUUGAGAUCUUUAUCCUCUUGAUGUUCCAAUAUGUAAUUAGGUACUGGGAUACAAGGCAGCCAAAUCCUGUGCGCACUCAACAGCUGCCUGAUCGCUGCUAUGCGCUCCGCUUAUGGUUGUUGGAACUGCAGAUAGAAAUCUAGUUGUCUUCAACUUGCAGAAUCCUCAGGUAUCGUUUUUUAUUCCAUGAGAGCAUUGAUUUAUAUGUGUAAAUUAAAUGGGCAAAUUUGGUGCUGGCAGCUGAAGCAUGUGUUUUGAGUGGCAGCAGUUGCUGUGACACUAGUAGUUGGUUGACUUUGAUUUAAAAUUUAACUUGAGCCCAUCUUUUUUAAUUUGGAAUGGAAACAAUAAUUAUUUGUUGACUGUUUUUGGAAUUGAAAGCUAUCCUACCGUAUGGAACCACCUUCCCUUGUAUUUAAAAGGGUUCCUCAAUGUCAUGGAGCAUCCUGUAUAAAAUUAUUGUAUGAUUUCUUUUGUUGCCAGAUAUUUUUCUUCUGAUUGGUGUUGUCUGGAAAAGGGUUAUUUCUCGAUAUCAUUUUGUUUGUGUACAAGGAGGAAUGGAUACUAUAAUAAACUGGUCUACUGAGAAGAGCUUGAUGUUUGUAGAUUUGCCAACAUAUAUACACUACAGUUAUAGUAUGUAUUUCCAUGUCUUCAAUAUUCCUUUUUAAUUGAAAAAAAUAGCAAUUUGGAAUGGGUUUAUUUGCCUUAUAUCUUUCAAUUUUAUUUGAUAAUUUCAGUCAUGCUUUAUCUGUUCUUAUGUGAUGAUGAUAUAAAUAAGAUAUAAUAGCUCCUAGAAAUUUUGAAAUCUGGCUAAUUUAGAAAUUUGAACUAAAGGUUGGGUACAAUACUAUAUCUUCAUACACUAUCAUGAGAGUUUAGAUAACGGUUUCCGCAUUACCUGUAUUACAAUUUACCAUAUAUGGCACAUGCUUAUUGCAACAUAAAAAUGGUCAAGAGGCGAUGAAUUCUUGUUACUAUUUAACUUUUUUGUUGGGUAUUUAUUGAUUUCCAUAUUUUACCUUCAUGUAUUGUUCUUUUUAUAUUUUGUUUCACUUAUUUAUAUCUAAUAUAUGCAUUUUCUUCCGAGUAUGUCUAAUCAUUGUUUAAUGCUACCAGACUGAGUUCAAGAGAAUCAAUUCCCCUUUGAAGUACCAGACGAGAUGUGUUGCUGCCUUUCCUGACCAGCAAGGUUUCUGGGUAUGCAUUCAUUUAUUUUGAUCUCUCUUUUCUCGUUCCUCAUGGUCUUUAUUCUCGAAAUAUGAGGCAUUGUCAAUUGGGUUGCAUAUUCCCAUGUUUCUAAAUUUGCUUCCCCUGCCAGCAAUGAGGGGCUAAGUUUAGCCUCAAUUACUUAUUCCACUUUCAUCAACAUUGGCUCCAACUUCUUUUCAUUGAGAUCACUGUCUUUUCUUCUAAUCUUUGUGCUUCUCUUAUUUUUUGGUUGUUGAAUAUGGUGUUAUUCCGAUAGGUUGGUUCAAUUGAGGGAAGGGUCGGCGUUCACCAUCUUGAUGAUUCACAGCAAAGUAAGAACUUCACUUUCAAAUGCCACAGAGACGGUAGUGAGACAUGCUCUGUCAUCUCAUUAACUUCCAUCCUGUAAGCUUCCUUUUAGUGCUUUCUGAUUUCAAAUUUUCAGUUACAUAAAACGUUCGAGAUGUAAAACUUAGAAAUAAAAGUAUACAUUGGAGUGAUAUAAUAGCUCAUUUUGAGGUAACUUUAGCAUGCCACCCAUGUCUUACAUAAUUUUUCCCAGUAUUUGUAAUUUCUCUAAAGAUUAGAGAUCUUUCAAGUAUUAGAUCUUGGUGCCCUUAAGAGGUUGGUAUCAUAGGAAUUUUUAUCCAACAGUGGAAAUGUACUUUCUUUUGUGAGGAUUUCGAUGCUCAGUGCAUAUACUUUUGCUGUUAUUAACAUCAUAUGUUAUCAUUUAAGAUUUGUAGAGCAGGAGAUGCACCUAAGUAUUCUUCAUGUAAUUGUUCUUUUUGUCCAGAUACAUCACACUUUUGCAACUGCCGGAUCUGAUGGUGCAUUUAAUUUUUGGGACAAGGAUGGUAAACAGCGGCUCAAGGUGUUUUGACUUUCAUUCAGUACUUCAAUAACAAUUAUUGUUGUUGUCGUUAUUGUUCUUCCUAGAUGAAAUACAUAAAACAAUGUGAUUUUUACUGGAUUUUCAGGCCAUGUCAAGGUGCGGGCAACCUAUACCUUGCAGUACAUUCAAUAAUGAUGGCUCGAUAUUUGCGUACUUGGUAAAUAAAUUCAUCCAUCUUCCUAAAGUCGACUUGGAGUCUCUUAUCAUCCUACUUUUCACACAUGUUGGGAUAUAUGCUUAAGUUCAAGAUAAUGGCAGGAUUCUAGAAAUCCACGCCUCUUUCAUUCUGUCAGUUUGCAUGAUGCUUAGUCUUCUAUGGCUCAUGUUAAUUCAAUGUUACCUGAAUUUGCGUUUCCAUGAAAUUAAACAACUAAAAUUUCUGGUUCUUCCUGCUAUGUUCUGAUCCUGGCAUAGCAUAGUGCAUUGAUUUCUUGGACAUUUAAACUUAAACUAGAAAAGUGUCAUUCUAAAUCUUAUCUUGACAUUUCCUGUAGGUGUGUUAUGACUGGAGUAAUGGGGCAGAAAAUCACAACCCUGCAACAGCAAAGACUUAUAUCUAUCUGCACUUGCCACAGGUUCGUUUACUUUUUUGUUCAUAUACUACCAUCAAUAGCGUAUCUUUGAUCUCUCAAUUCUUGAGGAUCGCCAAUAAUCCCAUAUCAUCCAAAAUCUAUUUUGAAAAUAUUUCAAAAAAUCAUUCAAAAUAUGUUGGCUCAAGCUCAACAAAGCAGAAAAUCAAUGGGCCUACAACGACGAUAAAAUGAUUAUGAUAUGUCUUGAUCUUAUUGCAAGUGUGACAAUAAUAAAAAUUCAAGUUGUUUACAGUAUAUGCAAAUUAUCAUUACUCUUCAAUGUCUAUUUGAAUGUGCAUUAUCAAUUAACCGCAAAUUGGGUUCUUAUAAUCAUGAAUCCAAAUUCAAGCCAUUCAAUGGUUUAGCCCAUUUUAGUAGGCUUAUCAAUUUUAAUUAAAAGUUUAUUAGACAAAUUUAAUGCAUAAAAAUAGAGUGCUUUAAAGUAAAGCAUACAUUAAGAUUUUUAUGUGAUUUGAUGUCCAAAUCCCUACUUCUACGAAGCCUUGCUCAAAUAUCAAGACUGUAGGGGGGAAAGUGGCAAUUUCCCUAAAAUUAAGCAUAUAAGUAGACAACAUAAUGCAAAACUACCAAAACGAUAAAUAAAAACAAAUAUUGCAUAAUUAAAUAAAUAACAAGUGAAAAUUUUUAUUAUUAGAUUGUUAAUGUCGUGUUUGUGAAAGUUUAUUAUUCAAGUGUACGUUCUUAUUUAUUGAGAAAUAAUAAUUUUUGUGAUUAAACUUUAUUUUGAUUUUCUAGUAUUCUUUAAUUUAAGGAUUAAGUUAUUGUAAAAUUUAUAAUUUUUAUCCACUAUAUUUUUUUAUAUUUUAAUAUCAAUUUAAUAAUUAAUAACAAUUAAUAAUUAUUAUAAUUUUGAUAUAAUUAAAUUUUAUUAAAAUAAAAAUUAUUUUGAUAAUAAAAUUCAAACCAAACUCAAAUCAAACCCAAAUGGUUUGAUUUGGGUUGGGUUAAAAAUAUUUGGGUUGGUUUGGGUUGGAUCCAAAUUUUUAUGGUUUGGUUUGGGUUGACUUAAAAUCAAAUCCAAACCAACCCAUGCCCGCCCUUAUAUCAAGUGAUUCAUUAGAUUUAAGAGAUUAGAAACUAUUGGAACCUUAUAUAAUAUGAGACUCUCUCUUGGUGAUUGCUGCCAUCUUGUUAUAAUCUCACCCAAGUGAAAACUUUAUGUGCACCACACAUUUUUUUGCUUCCUCUUCCUAGUAAGACUUUUAAGUCAACAGUAUGUCGCCACUCUAUAGAAUUUAUAUUCUAUGAACACGUGGUCCCUUCUCCCAUCUCCCAAAAAGACUAAAGAUAAUGUCUCUCAAUUAAAGAAUGAUCCGAAGGUUGUAGCCUUUGAUGUAGAAUCAUUCUACUGCUCCAACGAUUUUUACUCCGCAAAAACUGGAUGACAUGGCCAUCGAGAUGAUCAUAAAAGAAGUUGGUAGAAUUAAAGUUUUAUAUUCUGUAUGCUUGUUUGUCUGGCAAGAAAUGAAGGAAAUUAUGUUGACUUAGAGAGGAAAAUUAUGAUUUGAUACAAUAGACUGAGAUUACAAUACAGUAUAUAUAUAGUAGCAUCUGGAACUUUGUGAAUGUAGCAGAAUCAUAUGCGCACACUACUAUUCACCACAACAUUUUGGUGGGAAAUAACAGACUUAUAACAAACUUUUAACAACAUGCAUAAUAAUCUUCCAGUAGCUUCCAGUAGCGUGGCAUCUGAUUCAUUACUUCACUUAACAAUUUGCUGACAUCACAGAACCUCACAGAGCUGACUCAACUUAUUCUUAACAGGUAGUGGACAAUCAAGAAGACAGCAGACACCAAGGCAACAAGAAUAAUGAAAAUUGCAAAGUGCGCGAUCCGUUGAUAUCCAUGAUCAAAUGAUUAAUUUUUUUCAAAUCAAUGAGUGCUUUUAUUAUCAGAAGUACCAUGUUUACUGAUUAUAAAGAAUUGUUAAAUAUAAAAUUAGCAGUAAAAUAAUUGUUAAGCAAAUAAAAAUCUAUCCAAUCACUGUAAAGGCUUUUCCAAAUCUAACAGCAUAACACAAAAGUAUUAGUUUUUUUUUUCUUUUUUCAUUUUUUGAGAAAUCCUUUAUUCUUUUUUAAUUUGUUGCAAAUAUAUACAUACGAUUUAAAAUAACUAAAAAUUACAGGACUCUAAAUUAGCAGUAAUCUCAAAAAUCUGUCCUUACUAAUGUUGCUUUGGUGGAAAUCGACCUUAUUUAAAGAGAAUGAGCCCCAUGCCAUUGGGCUACAAGCAGAAGCGGCCCAUAAAUAGUAGAGUAUCUAAAAUAGUAAAAUUAUAUCAUCUCCAUUGUCCAGAACACUUUAUAUAUCCAUUUCCAGUUUUCCACUAUAUAUGCAUCCCUAGUAUACUUUAAGCGUUGAAGAGGUCUGAUGGAAAGAAAAAAACAAAUUGAUUAGAAUCCUUCGUUUCUAGGGGAUCAUAAAAGGCUUUAUUAUUUUUCUUUUUCGAGUGGUGCUUUUUACAAAUAAAAAUGCACAAAGCUAGUAAAAGAUGAAUCUAUUCACUUUAUCAAUUCAAUAAUGAUAUAGUACAAAUAAUUUUAUAUAAAUUGAUAUGUACAAACUGAUGUGGCAUAAAGAAAUUUAUUGAAACGUGACACAUUAUUUUUUUAAUUAUGUGAAUCCACGAUGGUUUUAUAGAACCAACCUUCGAUUUUUUAAGAUUGUUAACAGCAGAGGGGUGAUAUUCAAAAUUAUUGAUCGAAUAGGGAUAACUUAUUACCUGAUUCUUCUUUAAUUACAAGAAUUCUGAUCAUCGAAGUUUUUUGAACCUUCCCAAAUCAAACUUGGCUGUGGUUGGACUGAUAAUUUCUUUUAGUAUUCUCACAGUAGAUCACUUUCACAGUUAAUUGGAACUCCACUCGUGAGUCGCGGACGCGGUAAGUGUAGACUUGGGAACUAGCUAAAGUCUUAGUAUUAGGACCUGUUUGUUUUUAUAUAUGAUAAUCAACACAAAUCAGUCUAAUGAUUCAACGUUUAUGGAUCGGCACGCAAGACUUAAUUGGAUAAGACUAUUUUCAGCGUCAAUCGUAUUUUAUACGUUCUAAAAGAAAAGUCUUUGUUACUUUCUAAUUAGUAAAUUUCCUUUAAGAUGAACUGUAUCAACUGGGGCUAGUAAUCAGUUGAGCUCAAUGGAGCGUUAUGUGGUCAUCACUGUUGUUAAUUUAGUAAUAGCUUCAUUCGUCGCCUUAAUAUUAACAUUCGUUGCAAGGGUUUCUGUAAUCAUCUCGAUGCUGCUGCUGAUCGCAAAUGCGUGUGGGAUGAUACCCUUGGGUUUGAUUAUUAUUUGUUAUGUGAAGAGAAAUCCGGAAAGCAAAGGUACGUAAGAAUAGUUAAUUAAUUUAUCAGGCAUAGCAUAUAUAACAUAUGAUUGUUUGAUCGAGUAUAUAGUACGAAUAUUUUUGAUGUCUUCACCAUUCAGGGGAGGAUUUGAUGCGAUUUGAUUUGGGUAUGAACCAACAAGCUAUUAACAUAGAGCUUGCUGAAGCAAAUAAGCAUGGAAACAGUGGAAAAAAGCAAAUUGAAUUGCCCUUUUUCAGUUUUUCCAGCGUUUGUGCAGCAACAAAUAAUUUCUCUGCCACAAAUAAACUCGGGGAAGGUGGUUUUGGUCCUGUAUACAAGGUAAAAUUUUAAUUUUGGCAACAAGCUUAUGGACUAAUUAUUAUUUAACAAGAACUACAAUUUCAGGGAGUAUUAGCAAAAGGAGAUGAGAUAGCUGUGAAACGGCUUUCAGGAAGAUCUGGACAAGGAUUGCGAGAGAUGAAAAAUGAAGCUUCAGUGAUAGCCAAGGUUCAGCACAAGAAUCUUGUUAGACUUUUGGGCUGCUGCAUGGAUAAAGAUGAGAAGAUUCUGAUCUAUGAGUACAUGCCUAACAAAAGCUUGGACUUCUUUCUUUUCGGUUAGUUGUUGCAUUUGUUUCUUAUUCUUACAUGUUCCUUACUUCAAAUUUUAUUCAUACAUUUGUUUGAACUAAUAUUUAAUAAAUAAAAUUACAUAUCAAAAAUUUAUUUCAAAAUUUAUUUAAACUAGAAUUUAGCCUAUAUUACAUUUCCAAAUUUUAUUCAUUAAUUUAUGUAAAAUAGCAUUUAGCAUUUAAUUUAAGAUUAAACAUAUAAUUACAUUCAGUAAUUUAUUCAAACUACUACAUAAUACUAAAUAUCAAAAUUAUUCAAUUAUUAAUUUAUAUUGAAAUUGAAUAUCUAAUAUAAUAUUCAAUAAUUAACAAUAUAAAUUUAAGAAAUAAUCAUACUUUUUAAAUAGCUUUUUUAACUUCCUUAAACUAAAUUUAAUAUCAGUGGCGAAGCUAGCACUAUUUUUUGGGGUGGGCUAGAUUUUUUUUAAAACUCAAUUACUUCUCAAAAAAAUUAUUCUAUACAAAUAAAAUGAUUAAAAUACACUAGACAAGCAAGAAAAACUAAUAACAAAACUAUAAAAGUACAAUGUAAAUAAAAAAAAUACUAUCAACAAAAUUUUGUCAUGUGAUUCUUCAGAAAAGAAAACUCAUAUAUCGUAUCUGAAUUAUAUUAUCUGCGAUAGUAAUACAUUAGAGAUACUAUCUGCGAUAAUAAUACAUUAGAGAAUUAUUAAUUAUUUUAUCAAAAAAUUUGACAAAAGUAUAAGCUAAUAACUAAUUCAAAAACAGUAAGAGCAUGUGGGUGCGGCAGAGGCUAGCCGUCACCCAUGAGGUGGCAACUUGAUGACUUGAACAACUGAAUUUUGGGGAAUUUAGACUUUGAAUAAUUGGAUCAAUUAGUUAGGGAUUUAGGUGAGUUUUUCGAUUUAGAGAAAAUAGAUAUUGACUAUAAUUAUUAGUUAUAUUUUUAUAUUUUACUAUAAGUUUUUUAAAAAGAGUAAAUUUAUAAUUGAUUAAUUUUUUUUCAAGAAACAGCCCGGGUUAGCCCCCUCAUAACUUCGCCCCUAUUUAAUAUGAUCUCGUCCCAUACUAAACCAAACACAAAACGUGACUAUAAAAUAAUUCAGUCUUAUCCAAUCCAAUUAAAUCUUAAUAAUUAGUUCAAUCCAAUCCUUUGUUUACCUAACCUAAAAGAAUAUUUAACAUUUAGGUGGCGUUUGUUUUUUAACUUAAUGACUUAAAGUGACUUAACUUAAUUAAUUAAGUUAAUUAGAGGUGUUUGUUUUUAUAACUUAAUGAGACUUUUUAGAUAAUUUUGACUUAAUAAAAUAAGCUAAUUUUUUUGGCUUUUUACUUAAUGGAGAAAUCUGAAUUAAGUCAAUUACUUGCUAAUGUCAAAAAUAUCUCUGUUUUAUAAUUUAUUUUUCAUGUCUAUCCCAAAACUCACCCAUAUAUAUUUACCCCACAUAAAAAUAUCUCUGUUUUUUCUUUCUUAUAUUAUAUACGAUAAAAUUUAAAAUUUAUGGUAUUUUAUAUAUUAAAAUAUUAAAAUAAUUAUGUAUUAACUUGAAUAUAGUUUUACUUAUAAAUGUUAAAAUAUUGUGGUAUUUAAUAUAUUAUUUAUUUGACAUUCAAAUUUAAUAAGGAUACAAAUGUAAAAGUACAUAUUUUUAGCUUUUUAAGUUGAAAAAAACAAACAACUUAAUACUUAUUUUCUGAGAUUCAGACGAAAAAACAAACAUAUUAUUCAGAUUCAGAUAUUCAGACCUAUUCAGAAUUCAGACUAAUUCAGGUCUAUUCAGAUUUCAGAUAAAAAAACAAACGCCACCUUACUAUUUCAUUUAGCUAUUUUUAAGUUUAAUGAUUAACAUCAUCCAAUUAUCAGAUUUUUUAUUAAAAAAAAAAAUUAAGUCACUAGAUCAAUUUACGUUAAAUAAUGUGGUCUACAUUUUUUUUGUUUUCAUGCAUAAUGACGUUUAGUUCUUUUGUUGUAAAUUAGAUCCAACCAAGCGAAUGUUAUUAGAUUGGGUAACACGUCUUCGGAUUAUUGAAGGGAUAGCUCAAGGGCUUCUUUAUCUUCAUCAAUAUUCGAGAAUGCGAAUCAUUCAUCGAGAUUUAAAAGCCAGUAACAUCUUGUUGAAUAAAGACAUGAAUCCCAAAAUAUCAGAUUUUGGAAUGGCAAGAAUUUUUGGAGAAAAUGAGUUACAAGCAAACACUAGUAGGAUCGUCGGGACUUAGUAAGUGAAUGACACAAAUCAAAAUUAAAGUGAUUAAGUUAUGCAUAAAUUACUGAUUAUUAUUUAUCAAUUAUUGAAUUACAGUGGUUAUAUGUCCCCCGAAUACGCAUUCGAAGGAAUAUUUUCAAUUAAAUCUAAUGUGUUUAGCUUUGGAGUAUUGUUGCUUGAGAUUGUAAGUGGCAAGAAGAACACUGGAUUUUAUCGAACCGACUAUCUCAAUCUGCUGGGUUAUGUACGUAACAAAAGUCGUUGCACAUAUUCUUUUUAUACUACUUAGGUGAAAUUAUAUAUUAAUUCCCACGUCAUGCUUAGGUGUGGACACACACUUUUACAAUGUGAAAACGUUUGGAUUUUUGCACCUGACUAUUUUUAAACUAUUCUCUAUAUCAAGUGUACAACUAUCUAAUAACAUCGUAUGGUUGUUCAGGCAUGGGAUCUGUGGACAAGCAACAGGACAUUGGAGUUGAUUGAUGAUCCAGUAUUAGAAGAUGAAUAUUCCUCCAAGCAUAUGCUUUUAAGAUAUGUGAACAUAGCACUCCUUUGUGUACAAGAAAGUGCUGAUGAUAGACCCACCAUGAAUGAUGUUGUAUCCAUGCUUACAAAUGAAGCUGCAGCAUUACUUCCUCCCAAACAACCUGCUUUUUCAUAUGUAAGAAAUACUGUGACUUCAACAUCGUCCACCAGCAAGGUAGAAGAUUGUUCAGUCAACCAAGUGACGAUUUCAAUUUUAGAAGCGCGCUAAUUUUUAUUUUAAUUCAUACAUUUUGGGGUUAGGUUGUUCUAAUUACUCCUCUGAUCCAAUAUUUGAACUGAGUUUCCUAUUUUUGACUCGCUGGUACGUACCGACCAUUUCUCAGAGUUUAAAUUAAAGUUUAAAUUAAUUUUUUUUUUUUUUGUUUUCUCCAAGAUUCAAACUUACUCCUGAGACUAAUUAUUAGAUAUUAUAUGGAGUAAUGACCCUGAUUUUUAUUGGUUCAACGGGAUAUGAUACUAUCACGAGUCUGAUAUAUAAAAGGCCAUGCAUGGAAGUAUGGAACCAUUAUUUUCGUUCAAUGGGAUCAGAAUCAAGAAACUACGAACUUGGGGGAUAAAAUCAACAAUUUGUAAACCGACAGAGGGAGAGGAUCAAAACAUAUGUAAAGUCCAAGGAGAUGAACUAGAUUUCAAUUAACGCCCUUAUCUUGCUAUGAAUUAUAUAAUUCUAAUUCAAGAGAGACACUUUUAAAUAAAAAUUUAGACGUAAUAUUCUGACCAUUAUAUUAAAGCUAACCAAAAGUUGAUAUUGAAGCUAACAUGCCUUUUUUAAGUUUUAAAAACUAAAAAAUUAAUAUAAUAGAUCUCCAUAUAAUAAUAAAUUAUUCAUUAUUCGUCUCUCUUUAUAUAUAUUCCCUCUUUUAUCUCUUUUUUUUCAUCCGCUUACCCUUUUAUGUCUUGCCUACAUUAAUUAGUUUGAACUUUUGCAUGGCAUCAGUGCAAAAACUUAACCGACUGAUAGAGCAGAAAUGGACUUCAAUUUUAUUUUCACUCGUUGACUAUUUUCAUGCAAAAUUAUUUUGUCCAUCAAAAUUCGUAGCAGGACAUAUAUAUUCGUUUCUAUGUGUACAUAUUAAAAAUAAAAUAAAAUAAAAUAACAAGGAGAGAAAGGAGAUCACCAAAAUCACUAUCAAAACGAUAAUGUUUUUAUCACUGUUUUGUCACCGUUUUGCAUUUUGUUCAAAUAGCAGUACACAGAUUUUGAUUGUUUAGUGUUUGCUCCUAACUCAUUCCCUUAAAAAAUUAUCCUGAUUUCAAAAUCCAAUAAUUUAGGAUUCAUGUCUUUGUCCAACAACAUGUUACUAUUCUUUUCUUCUUUCAAAUCCAUGUGAGUAAUCAGCGCACGGUGCUUACAAGUCUUCCCUGCUGACCUGAAGUCCUCUUCGGCUGCUUUCUAAUUAAUUAACUUGGGCUACCUUUACUCUGCUAUAUUACAUACACAUUGCAACUUGCAAGUUCCAUCCCUUCUCUUCGUUUCAUUUCAACUCCUAUUAAACCCAAUCAUGAGAUCAACUUUACUCUUAUCAUGGCUUUUCUUGAUACCCUUUUUAGCUAAUUAUUUUGGGAUGCAUAUGGUUUUGGUGUCUGGCCAAUGUCAGGGCCAUCAAAAAUCGCUAUUAAUCUAGAUGAAGAAAAACUCCAUAUUUGACGUUGAAAUUAAUAAUUUAUGUUUUAUUUUGAAUUAUAAGUUAAUUACCUCUUACAAAAAUAUUAAAACUGAGGCUGCCGAUGUGCCUUAAAGAGCGAUAGCAAGAUUACUAUGGAAAAACACGCGCGAUCGGAUACAAAAUUGCUAUGACACAACCAAGCCAUACAUUUUAUAUGACAAACCCAUUAAUUAUGAGAUAGAGAUUAAACAAUGUUAUGAUGAAUAGGAUUAAUUUUAUCUAUCAAAUCAAACUAACCACUUUUUAAUUAACUAGAGACGAUUAUCAUUUUGUACAUGUGGGUCCAAUCCACAGAGAGCUUCGCCGAAGCUGAAAGCAGUGGGUAAAGUAGCGGAUACUCACUCUCAUAAUCUGAUUGAUCUUUGGAUUUUCAGUCCAUGUCCUAUUGUGAUCCUUACAUUACAUAUGAAAGAUCAAUAAUACAUAGAGAGCUAGCUUUAAACACCAGUUGAACAGGGAGAUCUUUUAUUAAAAAGAUAUAAUGGAAUUAAUAAAAUAGAUAUUAGAAGGAUUUUUUUUGUUUUUGAAAAUUCUAGUCUAAAAGCUUUAUAAAUAAUUGCUAUUGUGAAAAAUAUGGAAUGUGGUUUUUUCUCAUAUUAAAAGUUGGAAGGUUGUCAAUAGGUAAAUUUCCUAAUAACUUUCCAACGUGUCUAUGAAUCUUGUGUCGGCUCUUCGUAGAACCUGUAAAACCACUAUCAAUUGUUAGCUCUCUCCUUACGGUUUUUACAAGUGUGCGGGCUCCACGAGCAAAUCAGCGUUCAGUUCGACGCGAGAUGAAUUGCAUUCAAUCACUUUUUUUUUUUUAUUAAAAGCAAUAAAAUCACUAUCAAAUGUUAGCUGUAUCCUUACGAGACUUUUCGAAGUCUACGGGUCCCGCAAGCAAAUCAAAGUUGAGUUUGACACGAAAACGAAUUGUAUUCAAUCAAUUUUGAGUUUUUUUUUUAAUAUAGUAGAUGAAUAGUGAAAGUCUAAAUUAAUUCUUUUUAUUAUACUUAUUUCAAGAUUCAACCUCACCUGAUUAAUUAAGUAAAUCUGUUUAAUUAUUGGAUAUUAUAAUAAAUAAAGACCCUGCUUUCUAUUUGUUGAAUAGGGUUUGAUGCUAAUUAAUAUACUGGAAAAGGCAGAAAGAAUCCUAAUUAAUAUAAGCAGCGAUCCAUGGAGCCAUGAUUUUGGAUCAACGGGAUCAGAAUCAAGAAACUACAAACUUGGGGAGGCCAAGAUCAACAAUUUGUAAAAUUAUGGAGUGAGAGGAUCAGAACAUAUAUAGAGAUUCCAAAGAAAUGGACUAAAUUUUAAUUAACACCCUUAUCUUCCUAUGAAUUGUAUAAUUAUAAUAUUGUAAUAAUCACAUAUUUACUUGGUCCCAACGAUUCCAUUGGUGCUUGUUUCUAACUCAUUCCCUUCAAAAUCCUAUCCCUCAUUUCAAAAUUAUUUUAUUUAGUUUCCAAGUCUACGCCUAAAUGCUAAAAACUUUUAGUUUGCUUUGAAUAAUCCUAAAAGUUUUUGCUUUAAUUUUCUCUUAUGCUUACUUUGGUAUAGCUUUCCAAAUAUAGCUUAUUAAAUAGAGUUUUUAUUAGUAAACUUUUUAUAAAUAGUGUUUUUAUAAAAAUAAUUUUAGUUAUUUGUUUGUCAAUGGAAGCUUUUAUUAAAAAUUAAAAAAUUAUUUAAUAAGCACGUUUUUUUAAAUUAUAUCAUAAAAUGAAUGAAAUAAAAUUAUCAAAUAAAUAAAUGAUAUUUUAGAUGUUUUAACAUUCUUAACAAUAAUUUUUUGAACAUUUACUCCCAAAAAUCCAAAUUUUGAGUUUUUACUAGUAGAGAAAAAAUAUCUUAUUUAAUUUUCAAAAGCUCUACUAAAAAAAAAAUCCAAACAAUAACAAUAAAUCUUAAAAGAGUUUAUAUAAUUAAAGAAGUAUUUAUAUCAUGCCAACCAUACAGAAUGUCUUAUUUGUUUGAGAUUUCUUUUCUUCUCUCUGUUUGACAAAGUUAAUAAAAUAAUUAACAAGAAUUUCAAAUAAGGGCCUUUACCUUCUGUCAUUGAGACAAUAUUCACCUCCAAACUGGCGCCACUGUAGAUAUAUAUUGUAUGGGCAAUAUUCAUAGAUGAUCUCUAAGAGUUCAUGCUAAAUUUUAGUUGCAAUAAGAUAUAGGCUAUUUCCACCUUAAAAACUACUCUGAGCACUCUGGUUUUAAUAAAAUAAUUUAAUUACAAAAUUAAUCAUCAUAUAAAUUACUAUUAAGAUUUAUUUAUUAAUGAGCCAAUACAACUUAAUUACUUUAAAACUCAUAUAAUACACUCAUUAUUUAACAUAUAAUCUUUUAUAUCUAACAUCUUAAAAUAUAAUUCAUUGAACAUGCAGCAAAUCAAAUUUUAAAUAAUUUUGAAGAUAAAAUAUUUGUAAGACUUACAUUUUUCUAGAAAUAAAAUAAACUGAAAUUAUUGCAAAGGUGUUCAUUUUUUUUGUCUUUAAUUUAAAAAUAAAUAAAUUAAAGCACUCUAAACCUAAUAACCCAGUCAGCAUCUUCUUCUUCUUCUUCUUCUUCUUUUUUGUGUCAAAUUACAAUUUGGUUUUCAAUUAUUAUUGGGGUAGUGAAAGUCCAUACUUCUUGAUCUUAUAGAAUUUAUAGGUGCAAAAAUUGAUAUGGAAUACAUUCUUUAAUUAACGAAAACUGAUAAAUAAAAUUAUUUUAAAAAAUUUGCUUAAAACUUGACUUAAUUCCAUUGUUGCUAGUUAUGCUACAUUUAUUAAAACGAUUUUCUUUGAGUGUGCUGAAUAUUUUUAUUAGUGUUUUGAGUAAAUUAAUUUAAAUGAUUUAAGUAGGGAUACUUUUGGCAUCUUAAAGAGUGUACAAAAUAAAAAUUAAUUUUUCAAAUUUAGUAUUUGUGCAUAGAGUACCCUUUUUUUUUCAAAGAAGUUAUUUAUUCCUAAAAAUUAACAAGAUAUUUAUUCAUAGUAUACAAUGAAAGACAAUGCUAAAAGAAAUGAGCCCAACCAAGUUUUAAGCAACUUACUUCUAUAGUUUUAUGCGCGGGUCUCCCACUAACUUUUUAUUGUCGUCAUUUUGGACCUAUGGAAAUGGAAGAUUCCUGUAUUUGAUGCAGGCAUUUAACCAAAAGAUCCAAUUUUCUUUUCUUAUUUUUUUUCUCCCAAGUCUUGGCAACAUUAAUUGGUUUGAACUUUUGUAGUCUUCUAGCUCCCAGUUUAUGCGUUGGGGGUGUACCUUCUAGGGAACUUCGGCCAUCUUUUUCCUAUUAAAUGAAUUCAUCGCAACUCCCAAGUUUCAUCACUCCUCUACGAGUUUCAUUUCAGCAAUUAUUAAAACAAUGCGACCAAUUUUACUCUUAUCAUGGCCUUUCUUGAUACCCUUUUUAGCCAAUUAUUUUGGGAUCCAUAUGGUUUUGGUUUCUGGCCAAUGUCAGAGCGAUCAACAAUCGUUGUUACUCCAAAUGAAGAACAGUUUCAUAUUAAGCAAUCACAGUGUCUAUCCAUCUACAAAACUGAGUCAGUGGAGUAGUCAUCAAAGCUCUGAUUGUUGUGAUUGGAACGGUGUAAGGUGCGAUGAGGCUGGUCAUGUUAUUGGUCUCGACUUGAGCAGGGAACCAAUCAUUGGCGGACUUGAGAAUGCGACUGGCCUUUUCAAUCUUCAAUAUCUGCAGAGCCUCAAUUUGGGUUUCACUUUCUUGGACGGAUUCCAAAUACCAUCCAGGUUGGGCAACCUGACAAAUUUGACUUAUCUGAAUCUUUCCCAGGGUGGCUUCGCAGGGAAGAUUCCCAUUGAGAUUUCAAGCUUGACAAGGUUGGUUACUCUUGAUUUGUCAGGCCGUGAGCGCUCAAGAGGAUUUUCCGGGAGAAUUGAGAUCCCAAACUUAAGCUUGUUUCUGCAGAACUUAACAGAGCUCAGAGAACUACAUCUGGAUCAAGUAGAUUUGUCCGCCUCCGGAACUGAAUGGUGCAAAGCUUUAUCAUUUCUGCCCAAUCUACAAGUUUUAAGCUUGUCCGGCUGUGAUCUUUCAGGUCCAAUAAAUCACUACCUGGCAAAGUUACGGUCACUCUCCGUGAUUCGUUUGCAUUACAAUUAUGGUCUAUCCUCAGGUACAGAAUUUUUGGCCAAUCUGACGAAUUUGAAGGCCUUGGAUCUCAGCGAGUGUGGGUUGCAAGGGAAGUUUCCAGAAAAGAUAUUGCAGGUUCCUACCCUUGAGACUCUUGACUUGUCAAUUAACCAAUUGCUUCAGGGUUCUCUGCCAAACUUUCCUAAGAAUUCUUCUCUUCGGAACCUGAUCCUCUCUGGGACGGGAUUCUCAGGCACACUACCAGAUUCCAUUGGGAAUCUUGAAAAUUGACAAGGGUAGAGGUUAGAAGUUGCAAUUUCACAGGGCCAAUUCCCCCUUCAAUGGCUAAUCUUACCCAAUUAUUUCACAUGGACUUCUCAUCUAACCAUUUCUCUGGUCGCAUCCCAUCUCUUCACAAGUCAAGAAAUCUCAACUACUUAGACCUUUCGUUCAAUAAUUUAAGUGGUGGGAUCUCAUCCACCUUCUGGGAACAACUUGUAAAUCUCAAUCUUGUUCUCUUGUCGCACAAUUUACUUAAUGGAAGUAUUCCCAGAUCUCUGUUUCUACUUCCAAAUCUGGAGAUGCUUCGGCUCUCCAACAACCAGUUUGAGAACCAACUUCCUGAACUGUCAAAUGUGUCCUCGUCUGUAUUGUUUGAUCUUGAUUUAAGCGGCAACAGAUUAGAAGGGCCUGUUCCCAUUUCAUUAUUCUUUGAACUCAGAAACCUUGAUACCCUCGAUCUUUCUUCCAAUAAGUUUAGCAGAUUGAAACUGGCUUCAAGCAAACCACGGGUCAUUCCUAUUCUAAAAAACCAAUCACAACUUUCUGUUUUGGACAUUUCAAAUAACCAAAUAUCUGGGGAAAUACCAAAUUGGAUUUGGGAAGUUGGUAGUGGCAAUCUUCGGUACUUAAAUCUUUCACACAAUCUCAUUGUGAGCUUGCAAGAACCUUACUCUAUUUCUGGUAUCCGCUUGCUUGACCUGCACUCCAACCAGCUCCGAGGAAAUAUCCCUCACAUGUCACCAAGUCCUUCCUACGUCGAUUACUCCAACAAUAAUUUCCAUCCCAGCUGACAUUGGUAAUUUCAUGUCUGAAACCGAAUACUUUUUCGCUGCAAACAAUAGUCUCGUUGGAGUCAUCCCGGAAUCUGUAUGCAAGGCUACCUAUUUUCAAGUUCUUGACUUAUCAAACAACAAUUUGAGUGGCACAAUUCCUACAUGUUUAAUCACCAAGAGUAGCAACACUCUAGGGGUUUUAAAUUUAGGGAGAAACAACCUCAAUGGCACUCUUUCUGACACAAUUUUUCCAGGAAAUUGUAGGUUGCAAAUUCUAGAUCUCAGUAGAAAUCAACUACAAGGAGUGGUACCAAAAUCUCUUGCCAAUUGCAGUAUGCUGCAGGUUUUAGACCUCAGGAAUAACCAUAUCAGUGAUAAUUUCCCGUGCUGGUUAAGGAAUGCUUCUCGUUUGCAAGUUCUAGUUUUGCGAUCAAACAACUUCUCCAGACACAUUAGUUGUCCAAGACAUAAUGUCUCCUGGCCUCUACUUCAAAAUAGUCGACUUAGCAUCCAAUAAAUUCAGCGGAAGACUAUCACAAAAAUGGUUACUUACGAUGGAGAAAAUGAUGGUUACUGAAACCAAAUCCGGAUCUGAGCUCAACCAUCUUGGAUAUGAUAUGUCGAGCAACCGAUUCUAUGAGGUUAGUGUAACAGUUACAGUAAAAAGUGUUGAGAUCAUGCUACUGAAGGUCCCAAAUAUAUUCACUUCCAUUGACUUUUCAUGCAACAAUUUCGAAGGGCCAAUACCAGAAGAAAUGGGACAAUUCAAAUCACUUUAUGCUAUGCACAUGUCGCACAAUGCUCUCACAGGCUCGAUACCAUCAUCUUUUGGGAACUUGAAACAGAUUGAGUCCUUGGACCUCUCAAUGAACAACCUCAGUGGAAAAAUUCCUUCCCAGCUUGCAAGCCUAAAUUUCCUAUCGGUGCUAAAUCUCUCGUACAAUAACUUAGUGGGAAAGAUUCCGACAAGUACUCAACUCCAAUCAUUUUCACCAAGUUCUUAUGAAGGAAACAAAGGAUUGUAAGGACCUCCUUUGACGAAUGAAAGCCAAACACGUCCUUCUGAGUUACCACCUUCACCGCCACCAGCUUCAAGCGAUGAAAUUGAUUGGUUCUUCAUAGCCAUGUCAAUUGGAUUUGCUGUAGGCUUCGGAGCAGUUGUUUCACCUCUAAUGUUUUCCGUGCAGGUAAACAAAUGGUAUAACGAUCUUAUCUACAAAUUUAUAUAUCGGCGAUUCCGUGUGUGAAGUGAUUUAAAUCUCUCCUUUUGAAUAAUCAUGUAAGCUAGCUUUUGCUUCUCUCUUCUGUCAUAGAUGUUUGAUAUUUCUUUUCUUCUCUGUUUGAUAGAGUUAAUAGCGUUGACAAUAAUUUGAAAUAAGGGCCUAUCUAUAACUGUUGCUGAGACAAUCUUUAUCUCAAAAUUGACUCCAAGUUAGAUCUAUAUUGGCGCAAUUCAUAAACAACAUGUCUUCGUGAGUCCAUACUAAAUUAAUAUGUGCAAGACUGUUUGCAAUUCCAACUCUAGGCUAGAUACAUAGCGAUUCAUGAUCAUAUUUCAUUUGUUUGGAAGUUUAUAGUGUGAUUUUCAUACAGAAGACUCGGUCGGAAUGUUAAGUUCAUAUUAGGUUAAUGAAGAUAAGUUUUCUACAAUUGAUCAUGUAAAAGUUUGAUGCACCAAAUUUUCAAAUGAGAUAAAUUGUUUCUGGUCAUAGGUUCCAAAUUUAUACGCUAGAUGUUGAUAUCAUGUAGGUGUAUGUGAAGUGUAGUUCUCUCAUUGAAGCUUCGUUGGAUACUUGAGUAAGCUUGGUUGAUCUUUUAAUAUAAAGAUGCUGUUAGAAAAGUAGUAUUUACGUGAAAUUUUUCAAUGGCAGGUGUCUCAACCUCCCAAUGAUUCUGUUUCAAGCCUUUGUUUCAGUCCCAAGGCCAAUAUCUUGGUUGCAACCUCAUGGGAUAAUCAGGUUUGUCCAAUCGGGUUCUGUUCUUUUUUUAUACCUUUAGUUAUGCCUUUCUGUUUGUUGGUUAACAUCCUUGAUAUUCUCAUUCGUCUUGUUUGAAUGCUUUCACAGGUAAGGUGUUGGGAAAUUUCACACAGUGGAACUGCUGUGGCCACUGCCCAUGCAUCAAUUUUGCAUGACCAUCCGGUAAUCUAAAGCAAGAUUUAUGGUAGUUAGAAUAACAUACUGUUGAAUUUGUGAUUGCUGGUAAUUUAACCUUUUUCUUAUCUUUGAAAUUUGAAGGUCCAAUGCUCAACAUGAAAGGAUGAUGGAACUACUGUCUUCUCUGGAGGAUGUGACAAGCAGGUCAAGAUGUGGCCUUUACUCUCUGGUGGUCAGCCAGUGACUGUUGCUAUGCAUGAUGCGCCAAUUAAGGAGGUUGCUUGGAUUCCAGAGAUGAAUCUACUUGCUACAGGAAGCUGGGACAAGACAUUGAAGUAAGAUUUUUUCGCUUCUUUUUAUUUAAAAUUGCAGUCUAUGUCGCAUUUUGGUUGGGGCAGUAAAUUGGUUUUAUAAUUAUAAGUUCAUCUGUUAGAAGCCUUCGUUGUGCCGUUGAGUGUAAUGACCUUGCCAAGUGGGACAAUAUGUGCAUGCGGAUAGUUAAGUGGUCAGUUCACAUGACCUCAAACAGAAGAGUGAUAUUCAGAUGAACGAAUGGAACUGUUGUGCGUAUUUUGCUUUGCCACAGCAACUUGCACUGACAAUUACUGAUGCUCAAAGUGGAUAGAGCUGGCAGGGGCUAUGGAUUCUCAAAUUGUCAGCAUUCUUUGUCCAUACUUAUAUAAUUUAGGUGUUGUUUAAAGAGAAACGUCCAUGAUGAGUGCUUUAAUAUUGUAGGCUUUUCUCUUUCUUUCUUCUCUAAGUCGUGGGUGUCGUGCUCUUUUCUUUCUCCUUUUGGGUUUACAGUAUAUCCUUUUGUUUUAUUUGGUAUCCAAUGUGGUCAACAGUUUACUGUGUCUCCAUGUGGUGCCAUGUGUUAUCUGUAAGCACUUUGUACGAUUUUUUGUGUAGUUGAUCAGUCACUUAUACUCUCUUGUUGUUCUUGUAUUUUGAGUUCCUUACCCUCUUGAUGUUGCAAUAUGUAAUUAGGUACUGGGAUACAAGGCAGCCAAAUCCUGUUCACACUCAACAGCUGCCUGAUCGCUGCUAUGCACUUACGGUGAGAUAUCAACUUAUGGUUGUUGGCACUGCAGAUAGAAAUCUAAUUGUCUUCAACUUGCAGAAUCCUCAGGUAUUGUUUGUUAUUCCAUGAGAGCAUUGAUUUAUGUGUAAGUUAAAUGGGCAAAUUUAGUGCAGGCAGCUGAAGCAUGUGUUUUGUGUGGCAGCAGCUGCUGCGACAUUAGUAGUUGGCUGACUAAUUUAUAAAAAACUAUUUGUGAUUCUAUCAUUAUUGUUCAAUUAAUAAAGUGAAUUAGUUUAUCUUUUAGUGGUUUUGUGCAUUUUUAUGUGUAAAUAGUGUUACUCAAAAACAAAUAUGACUAGUUGAAAACUGGAAAUACAUAUAUAAAGUGUACUAGAGAUGAUAUAAUUUUACUAUUUUAAAAAAAUAAAAAAUUAUAGUAUCUUUGGCAGCUUGUGCUUGUAGCCCAGUCGUACGAGGCUCAUUCUCUUCAAUAUUAGUGAGAGCAGAUAUUUGAGCUUAUUACUUAUCUAGAGUCCUAUAAAUUUGCAAAUUGUAUAUAUCUCUAAAAAAUAAAUAAAAAAUGAAAAAGAUUUCUCAGAAAAAAGAAAAGACAAAAAAACUCUAGUACAUAAGUUUGCAUUGUGUUGUUAGACUUGGAAAAGUCUCGACAGUGAUUGGAUAUAUUUUUUUUUUGUUUAACAACUAUCUUACUGCGAAUUUGAUAUUUAACAAUUAUUAAUAAUCAGUAAAGAUGUUACUUCUGAUAAUAAAACACUCAUUGAUUUAGAAAAAUUAAUCAUUCGAUCAUCGAUCUCAAUGGAUCGCUUUGCAAUCUUCAUUAUUCUUGUUUCCUUGCUGCUGUCUUCUUGAUAUUAGCAUCCACUUCUCAUUUACAUAUCUUAACUAAAGCUUUAAUUUCUUUUAAUUUCUCCAUCAUUCAGGGGAGGAUUUGAUGAUUUGCUAUUGUGUGAGGAGAAAGCCAAGAAGCAGAUGUAGAGGGUUGUUAAUUUUUGGGAUAAUUAUUUUUCAGUGGGGACAAUUCAUAAAAAGAAUUUAAUAAUGAAUCAAUUUUAUAAAUUGUCUUUUGUCGUGGGGACGAACUGACAUUUUACAACUCAAAAUAUUAGCGAAAGUUCGAAACGAUUUUCUUCUCUCUCAAAUCUUGCUCGCCGCUCUCAAUUUAAAAAACAGAGAGUCCUCUAACCAACAAAGUCUUGGCUCCACUAGCAAUGGAGUCCCCUUAAGUGGCUUGACUAGAUUUGUUCCUCAGUUCGAGUAGCAGGGAAGUCGCCUUUGUUGGGAGAACAUGUGCCUCUCGGUUUGAGUGGGGACUUCUAGUCUGAGUUGUGGUACAGGCUUAAAGGUGCCUCUCACAGUUGGAGCCCUCCCCAAGAUAUCUCGUGGUCAAAAAAAAAAAAAAAAAUAGAGUCCUCUGCUCUCACUUCUGAUCUCUUUUUUGGUACUCCAUCGAAAUUCAUAAAAUAAUGAUAAUGAGGCUAUUAUUGAAUAUUUUUAAAAUAUGAAAAAGCAUUGGGAACAAGUGUAAGAAUCUUUUUACUAAUAUCAUUGAGUAUUAAACUGUAAAAAAUUAUUUUCACUAAUUCUUUUAUUAUAACAUUGUCCCCAAUGAAUUAAUUUCCUGGAUCACCUAUGUACAAGAACCCUCUAUUUGAAUUUUUUUUUUUACUAUUUUUUUCCCAUUUUUAAUUUUCGCAUAUGUAUCUUUCAAGUAUAAAAUCCGUUUUUUUCUCUUUUUUUUUUCUUAAUCCUGUUUAAUAAGAACUGGAGUUAAUCUUAAAUGUUAAUUGUUUGUUUUGAGAAACAUAGUUCUAUGUGUACGUGACCUUUAAUUUCUGUUAUUUCCUUUUUUUCAGAUGUGACUUUGAACAUUAUUAUAAAAUAUCGGUUGUAGAAAUUUUUAUUUUUAACUGAAUGAUAUAUUUUUACACUUGCCCAUUUACUUUUUCUUGAUAAAAUUAUAAUGAUUAUAGACAUUAAGAAAUUAAUUACCACAUGCAUUAAAUAAUGAAUUACUGAAAAAGUUGUUUUAUAAAAAAAAAUUCUACCACAUAUAUUUUUGCUGUUUUUAUAUUGUCAAACAAAUAAAAAAAACAUAUUUUACUGUUUUUAUUUUUAUAUAUUGUUUAGAAAAUAAAUUACCAAAUACCUUUUCAAUUUGGGAAUAUCACAUCAAAAACCUAUUUUACUUCUUUAAAAUAAAUAUAGAAAACACCAAUCGAAAAAAUGACACCAAAAGCACCAUUAGUGUCUGCAGUCUCAAUUGCCUAAAUUAAUUAGUUUGAACUUUUGUAUAGCAUCAGUGCAAAAGCUUAUCCGAUUGAUAGUGAUAAAAUGAUCAUAAAUUUGAUUUUUACUCAUUCAUUACUUUCAUGAGACAUCAUUUUGUAUAUCAAAAUUGGUAUGAGAAUAUAUAUGUUUUUUUAUGUGUAAUCUGAAUCUAAAUUAAAAAUAAAAUAAAAGAAAAUAAUAAGAAGGGGAGAAAGGAGAUUUUGAUAAAAGGGCAAUUGACAAAAUCACUAUCUAAACGACAAUAUUUUGGUCGUUAGUUACAACCCAAAAAACAGAAAAAAAAAAAAAUUCAUUUUAAUGGUGAUUUUAUCACAAAUUUUUUUUUUUUUACCCUCUUGUUGAAAGCACGGGUUCUAACUUGUAUAGUGUUUGCUUCUAACUCAUUCCCUUGAAAAAUAAAUUUGUCUCUGUCCAAGAACACGUUACGAAUCUUCCCUGUGAUUUCAAAGUCCAUGUGAAUAAUCAGCACGUACUGUUUACGACUCUUCCCUGCUGACCUGGAGUCGUCCUCCGCUUUUUUUUCUAAAUACGUGAAUUUUACACGUCGCAACAUUUGGAAUAAUCAUUUUAUCGAUCUCAAUGGAAAUACGAAAAAUCUUAUAAAUAAGUAUUGAAAACAAAAAUAAUUAUAGAAAAAAUAGAAGACAAUUCAAAUAUAAAAACACUAUUUUUUAAUUACUGAAUCUGACAUUACAAUCUAUAAUAAUAUGUAAUUAUAUAAGAAUUAAUAAAUCAAUUAAUAAUUUCAAGCUAAAAUAAAUCAACACAUGUAAUUAUAAUCAAUUAAAAAUUGCAAGUAUAACUUUUAUGUUUGAAAAAUACUUAACUAACAGGUUUAAAUAAAUUAAACAAUUAAAAUUUAUUCAUCUGUUUAAAUUAUAAAAAUAUACUUAGUCAAAUUUUAAAUAAUAAAUUAAAUUCAACCUAUUAAAAAUAUAUUUGAGUGUCGUAUUUUCUUUGUUGGGCUCUCUGAUUCUCUUUAAAAAACUAGAUGUUGAUAAUUCUUUUAUAAAAAAAGCUAUUCAAAAUAUUCAAAUUUUAUUUUCUAACUUGUUCUCUUAGUUAACGUAACUAAUAAAUAAAAUAUCAAAAUUUACAUAAAAAUUUUAUGAAAAUGUUGAUAAUUGUUACUAUAUGUUUUUGUUUUCAAGUACUUUUAAUACUAGUGACGAUAUUAUAUUACAUUGACAUAUUUUUUUCAAUUAGAAUUUUUUUAAAAAUAGAUUAAGGCAGUAAUAACAUUUGAGACCCCUAAUGUUUUCAAUCUAUUCAAUAAAUAUAUAAUUUAAUCAUUUUAUAAAAUGAGUCACCAAUUUCAAUUGGAAAAAUAAUAUACUUGAAUUAGGGACAUAUUUAAAAAUAAAAUAAAAGCUCUAUUGUUAUAUGAAAUUGAUGAAACAUAAGGCCAUAAGGGUGACUGAGUUAGGGACAUAUAUGAAAAUAAAAUAGAAAUUCUAUCCAUAUAUAAAAUUAAUCAAAAUAUGAGGGGUUUCAAUGGUUUGUUUGGGACUAGACCAGGCUGUAGCUGUAGGUCCGCCACUGCUGCUGACCUGAAGUCGUCCUUGGCUUUUUCCUAAAUACAUGAAUUAUACACGUCGCAACAUUUGGAAUAAUCAUUUGAUCGAUCUCAAUGGAUCGCUUUGCAAUCUUCAUUAGUUUUGUUGCCUCGGUGUCUGCUGUCUUCUUGAUAUUAGCAUUGACGUUUGGUUUAUCUCGUAAAUAUUUCUUUUAUAGUCCACUAGCAAUUUCUUUCUUAAUCUUGUCGAUCACUCUGGCAGCAGUGGCCAUUUUGGGCUUGAUUUUCUAUUGUGUGAGGAGAAAGCCCAGAAGCAGAGGUAAAAGUUUCUCAUUUAAUUGCACGAUUUUGAGAGUUGAAUAUACGUACGUACAUAUACAUAUUGUAAUUAAAGCUUUAAUUUCAUUACCAUUCAGGGGAGGAUUUGAUGAAGUUUGAUUUGGAUUUGAACCUGAAAGCCGAUGAUGUUAUCAUCGAGCUUCCUGCAAACAAUAAGCAGACAAAAAGAAGCAAAAAGAAGGAAGUUGAUCGACUGCCCUUAUUCAGUUUUUCCAGUGUUUCCACUGCAACAAAUAAAUUCUCCGACGCAAAUAAGCUCGGAGAGGGUGGCUUUGGACCUGUUUAUAAGGUACUACAGAUAUCCUUUUCUUUGGAGCAAUAAUUUCAUUUUCAACAGAACUAUAAAUUUACCAUCUUCAGGGAGUGUUAAAAAAAGGAGAUGAGAUAGCUGUGAAAAGGCUUUCGGCAAGAUCUGGACAAGGCUUGCGAGAGAUGAAAAAUGAAGCUUCGGUGAUAGCCAAGGUUCAGCACAAGAAUCUUGUUAGGCUUUUGGGCUGCUGCAUAGAUAAGGACGAGAAGAUUCUGAUCUAUGAGUACAUGCCUAACAAAAGCUUGGACUUCUUUCUUUUCGGUUAGUUAUUGCAUCUGUCUCUUAUUCUUACAUAUUCCUUACUUCAAAUUUUAUUCAUACAUUUGUUUGAACUACUAUUUAAUACAAAGUUAUAUAUCAAAAAAUUAUUUCAAAAUUUAUUUAAACUAGAAUUUAGCCCAUAUUACAUUUCCAAAUUUUAUUCAUUAAUUUAUUUAAAAUAGCAUUUAGCAUUUAAUUUAAGAUUAAAUAUCAAAAUUUCAUUCAAUAAUUUAUUAAAACUUAUACAUAAUAUUAAAUAUCAAAAUUAUUCAAUUAUUAAUUUCUAUUGAAAUUGAAUAUCUAAUAUAAUAUUCAAUAAUUAACAAUAUAACUUUAAGAAAUAAUUGUACUUUUUAAAUAGUUUUUUAAUCAUAAUUUUUAAAUAGUUUUUUUUUAACUUCCUUAAAUUGAAUUUAAUAUGAUCCGGUCCAAUACUAAACCAAACACAAAACAUUACUAUAAAAUAAUUCAGUCUAAUCCAAUCCACUUCAAUCUUGAUAACUAGUCCAAUUCAAUCUUUUGUUUACCUAACCUAAAAUAAUAUUUAGCAUUUACUAUUUCGUUUAGCUAUUUUUAAGUUUAAUGAUUAACAUCAUCCAAUUAUCAGAUUAAAAAAAAAAUGAAGUCACUAGAUCAAUUUACGUCAGAUUAUGCGGUCAACAUUUUUUUAUUUUCAUGUAUAAUGACAUUUAAUCUUUUUGUUGUAAAUUAGAUCCAAGCAAGCGAAUAUUAUUAGAUUGGGGAACACGUGUUCUUAUUAUUGAAGGGAUAGCUCAAGGGUUUCUUUAUCUUCAUCAAUACUCUAGAGUGCGAAUUAUCCAUCGAGAUCUGAAAGCUAGUAAUAUCUUGUUGGAUAAAGACAUGAAUCCCAAAAUAUCAGAUUUUGGAAUGGCAAGAAUUUGUGGAGGAAAUGAGUUACAAGCAAACACUAGUAGGAUCGUUGGGACUUAGUAAGUAAAUGACACAAAUCAUAAUUAAAGUGAUUAAGUUAUGCAUAAAUGACUGAUUAUUAUUUAUCAAUUAUUGAAUUACAGUGGCUAUAUGUCCCCCGAAUAUGCACUUGAAGGAGUAUUUUCAAUUAAAUCUGACGUGUUUAGCUUUGGAGUGUUGUUGCUUGAGAUUGUAAGUGGGAAGAAGAACACUGGAUUUUAUCGAACCGACUCUCUCAAUCUGCUAGGUUAUGUAAGUAACAAAAGCCGUUGCACAUAUUCUUUUUAUAUUACUUAGGUGAAAAUAUAUAUUAAUUCCCAAGUCAUGCUUAGGGGUGGACACGCUCUUUUACAAUGUGAACACGUUUGGAUUUUUGCACCUGACUAUUUUUAAACUAUUCUCUAUAUCGAGUGUACGACUAUCUAAUAACAUCGUAUGGUUGUUUAGGCAUGGGACCUGUGGACAAGCAACAGGACUUUGGAGCUGAUUGAUGAUCCAGUAUUAGAAGAGGAAUAUUCCUCCAAGCAUAUGCUUUUAAGAUAUGUGAACAUAGCACUCCUUUGUGUACAAGAAAGUGCUGAUGAUAGACCCACCAUGAAUGAUGUUGUAUCCAUGCUUACAAAUGAAGCUGCAGCAUUACUUCCUCCGAAACAACCUGCUUUUUUGUAUGUAAGAAAUACAGUCACUUCAACAUCGUCCACCAGCAACACAGAAGAUUGUUCAAUCAACCAAGUAACGAUUUCACUUUUAGAAGCACGCUAACUUUUAUUUUAAUGUGUAUCGAGUCCUUUUUUGGGAAAUGGUUUCAAGGAUUUUUCCAAAAGUUGCAAAAGAUGAUGCAAGUUAAUUCAUACGAUUUCGGGUUGGGUUGCUAUAAUUACUCCUCUGAUCUAAUAUUUGAACUCAGUUUCCUAUUUUUGACUCGCUGGUGUGAAAUGUUAAAAGUCAAUAUGUACUGACCAUUUCAAGAAUAAUUAAGUACACCAAAAUCUUGAGAUUUAUAACGUGCAUGUGUCUUUCAGAUUUAUAACGUGCAUGUGUCUUUCAGUCAGUCAUUAUAACUAAAUGUAAUAAUGCGUGAACCAAAUACAAUCAUGAGUUGGCUCUUCUUUAGACCAAUAAAAUCACUGUCAAAUGUUAGCUCUAUCCUUGCAAGACUUUUCGAAGUCUACAGGUCCCGCAAGCAAAUCAAAGUUGGUUUUGACGCGAGGACGAAUUGCAUUCAGUCAAUUAUUAGUUUUUUUUUUUAUUUAUUUAUUAAAAAGUGGAGGGAUGAUCUAAGCUUAAAUCAAUUUUUUAUUUUCUAUUUUCUCUAAGAUUUAAACUUAAUUAGGUGAUCAUCUAAAUAAGACUACCUAAAAAUCAUUGGGUUAAACUCCUGAGACUAAUUAUUAGAUAUUAUAUGGAGUAAUGACCUUGUUUUUUAUUGGUUCAACCAUCACCAGUCUGAUAUAUAAAAAGCCAUGCAUGGAACAAUUUGUAUCACCAGUCUGAAAUUAUUUUCGUUCAAUGGGAUCACAAUCAACAAACUACGAACUUGUGGAGGCCAAAAUCAACAAUUUGUAAACCGAGGGAGUGAGAGGAUCAGAACAUGUGUAGAGUCCAAAGAAAUGAACUAAAUUUCAAUUAAUACCCUUAUCUUGCUAUGAAUUAUAAAAUAAUAAUUACAGAGAGACACGUUUACAUAAAAAUUUAGACACAAUAUUCUGACCAUUAAAUUAAAGUUAAGCAAUGAAGUUGACAUGCCUUUUUUAAGUUUUAAAAACUAACAAAUUAAUGUAGUGGAUCUCCAUAUAAUAAGAAAUUAUUGAUCAUUUUUCUCUCAGUUACUCAACAUAUUCCUUCUUUUGUCACUUUUUUUCUCCGCUUACCCUUUUAAGUCUUGCCUACAUUUUGAACUUUUGUAUGGCAUCAAUGCAAAAACUGAACCGACUGAUAGAGCUGAAAUGAACAUAAAUUUUAUUUUCAAUCAUUCACUAUUUUCAUGCAAAAUUAUUUUGUCCAUCAGAAUUCGUACCAGAACAUAUUUGUUUCUACGUGAAUCUAUAUUAAAAAUAAAAUAAAAUAAUAAGGAGAGAAGGAGAUUUUGGAUAAAAGGAUGAUCGCCAAAAUCACUAUCAAAACGAUUAUGUUCUGGUUGUUAGUAAAAAGAAAAAAAUGACAUGAUUUGAAUGGUGAUUUUAUCACCACUUUGCACUUUGUUCAAAUAGCAUUACACGGGUUUUGAUUGUUUAGUGUUUUCUCCUAACUCAUUCCCUUAAAAAAUUAUCCUGAUUUCAAAAUCCAAUAAUUUAAGAUUCAUGUCUUUGUCCAACAACAUGUUACUAUUCUUCUCUUCUUCCAAAUCCAUGUGAAUAAUCAGCGCACGGUGCUUACGAGUGUUCCCUGCUCACCUGGAGUCCUCUUCGGCUGCUUUCUAAUUAAUUAACUUGGGCUACCAUUACGCUGAUAUAUUACAUAUACAUUGCAACUUGCAAGUUCCAUUCCUUCUCUGAGUUUCAUUUCAACUACGAGUAAACCCAGUCAUGAGAUCAAUUUUACUCUUAUCAUGGCUUUUCUUGAUACCCUUUUUAGCCAAUUAUUUUGGGAUGCAUAUGGUUUGGGUGUCUGGCCAAUGUCAAGGCGAUAAAAAAUCGCUCCAUAUUUGAUGUUGAAAUAAAUAGUUUAUGUUGAUGCGAGAUUUUGGUUCUCCUCGUUAUACGACCAGGGUCUCUGCUCGAUCAACUUCACCACGACCAGGAUCUCUCCUCGUAAAGCUUCUUCUCCAGAGGUUCCUGCGCACACAGACAAGUCAGAGUACGCCGGUUGUUUUCCCAGCGCAAACCCUCCGACGCUCAAGUCAGAUAUGAAGGUUCGGGGAACCCUUGCCACAGAUCUUAUGGCUUUUGGGGUAGUUUUCUCUUUUUUAGAAUUUCUUUAGCUCUCUUCUAAUCUCAAAAUUGCUAACCCUUUUACCUUCGUUGGCUACCUUUUUAUAGGCUUCCUCUGAAUCCCAGUUUUCCGCAGUCUACGUCCGUUAUCCUCCCACCUCUCGAACGUGGAUUCCCCAUUUUCGUAGUCAUGGGUGGUCGCGUGGCCUUCGUGCCUAGAUUCUCGGGCUGGAGAGCAUGCCUCGCCAACUGUCGUUGACCGGGUCUCCUCGAAUCAACCCUUAGCAAGAAUACAGCAGGAAUGGCUUUAUGCUUCUUGCAGGAAAUUGACCUCGCGGAUGACGUGCUUCCUGGUGACUUCCUGGUCGAGGUGACCGAUAACAUCCUGGUUGAGGUGAUGUGCUCGAGGUCACCACAUAUUAUUCUGGUCGAGAUGAUCUGCUCAACCAUUUGCUCACUUUUACUUUGAGGAGAGCACGAUAAUGUAUGAGCAAACACCUUUAUCUUGGUCACCCUAUUUCAUUCCCUAAACACCAGUCCCUUAGUUUCUAGUGUUGAGAGUGAAACGAAUCAAGACUGGAAACUUUAGUGGUCUGCUCGUCUUCGCUUGGUUGAGCAGAUCCUGGUAUGCUUGGCUUUCUGUCUCGCCAUAAAAUAGGCUUUGAGACUUUGGAGCCUUUGUACGCCCUAGAAACUUUUUGAAAGUUUGGUGGUCUGCUCGCCUUCGCUUGGUCGAGCAGAUCCUGGCACGCUUGGCUUCUGGUCUCGCCAUAAACAGGCUUUGAGACUUUGGUGAGCCUUUGCAUGCCUUAGAAAAUUCUUUGAAAGUUUGGUGGUCUACUCGCCUUCGCUUGGUCGAGCAUAUCCUGGCACGCUUGGCUUCUGGUCUCGCCAUAAGACAGGCUUUGAGACUUGGUGAGCCUUUGCAUGCCUUAGUAAAUUUUUUGAAAGUUUGGUGGUCUGCUCGCCUUCGCUUGGUCGAGCAGAUCCUGGCACGCUUGGCUUCUGUCUCGCCAUAAAAUAGGCUUUGCGACUUUGGAGCCUUUGUACGCCCUAGAAACUUUUUGAAAGUUUGGUGGUCUGCUCGCCUUCGCUUGGUCGAGCAGAUCCUGGCACGCUUGGCUUCUGGUCUCGCCAUAAACAGGCUUUGAGACUUUGGUGAGCCUUUGCAUGCCUUAGGAAAUUCUUUGAAAGUUUGGUGGUCUGCUCGCCUUCACUUGGUCGAGCAGAUCCUGGCACGCUUGGCUUCUGGUCUCGCCAUAAGACAGGCUUUGAGACUUGGUGAGCCUUUACAUGCCUUAGUAAAUUUUUUGAAAGUUUGGUGGUCUGCUCGCCUUCGCUUGGUCGAGCAGAUCCUGGCACGCUUGGCUUCUGGUCUCGCCAUAAGACAGGCUUUGAGACUUGGUGAGUCUUUGCAUGCCUUAGUAAAUUUUUUGAAAGUUUGGUGGUCUGCUCGCCUUCGCUUGGUCGAGCAGAUCCUGGCACGCUUGGCUUCUGGUCUCGCCAUAAGACAGGCUUUGAGACUUGGUGAGCCUUUGCAUGCCAUAGUAAAUUCUUCAAUGCUUGGGAUUCUGCUCGCCUUCUCGUGGUCGAGCAGAUCCUGGCACGCUUGGCUUCUGGUCUCGCCAUAAACAGACUUUGAGACUUGGUGAGCCUUUGCAUGCCUAAGUAAAUUCUUCAAUGCUUGGGAUUCUGCUCGCCUUCUCGUGGUCGAGCAGAUCCUGGCACGCUUGGCUUCUGGUCUCGCCAUAAACAGACUUUGAGACUUGGUGAGCCUUUGCAUGCCUAAGUAAAUUCUUCAAUGCUUGGGAUUCUGCUCGCCUUCUCGUGGUCGAGCAGAUCCUGGCACGCUUGGUUUCUGGUCUCGCCAUAAACAGGCUUUGAGACUUGGUGAGCCUUUGCAUGCCUAAGUAAAUUCUUCAAUGCUUGGGAUUCUGCUCGCCUUCUCGUGGUCGAGCAGAUCCUGGCACGCUUGGCUUCUGGUCUCGCCAUAAACAGGCUUUGAGACUUGGUGAGCCUUUGCAUGCCUAAGUAAAUUCUUCAAUGCUUGGGAUUCUGCUCGUCUUCUCGUGGUCGAGCAGAUCCUGGCACGCUUGGCUUCUGUCUCGCCAUAAACAGGCUUUGAGACUUGGUGAGCCUUUGCAUGCCUAAGUAAAUUCUUCAAUGCUUGGGAUUCUACUCACCUUCUCGUGGUCGAGCAGAUCCUGGCACGCUUGGUUUCUGGUCUCGCCAUAAACAGGCUUUGAGACUUGGUGAGCCUUUGCAUGCCUAAGUAAAUUCUUCAAUGCUUGGGAUUCUGCUCGCCUUCUCGUGGUCGAGCAGAUCCUGGCACGCUUGGCUUCUGGUCUCGCCAUAAACAGGCUUUGAGACUUGGUGAGCCUUUGCAUGCCUAAGUAAAUUCUUCAAUGCUUGGGAUUCUGCUCCCCUUCUCGUGGUCGAGCGGAUCCUGGCACGCUUGGCUUCUGUCUCGCCAUAAAACAGGCUUUGAGACUUUGAUGAGCCUUUGCAUGCCUUUGGAAAUUUUCACAGUUUCAAGCGAAUGAAAUUCCUCGACGUUCCACUAAUGGCAGGAUUCAACUUACAUGAAAUUGUUUGGACAUAAAGCGUAAAAGAUAAACGAUAAUGAACAUGAGCAUAAAUAGCUUUCAAAUGUGAACAAGUCUUACUGGAAGUAUUUUCGGAGGUGUGCUGCGUUCCAUGGGCGUUUCACCUCGUGGCCGUCCGUGCGAACCAGCUUGUAAGCUCCGGGUCCCACUAUCUGCUUGACUCUAUAUGGCCCUUCCCAAUUCGGUCCCAGCACUCCUUGAGUCGAAUCUUUGGUGCUCUGAUUCAUUCUUCUCAGUACCCAGUCUCCGACCCUGAAUUUCCGUACAUUCACCUUCUGGUUAUAAUAGCGAGCAACCCUUUGCUGGUAAAUGGCUGAUCGACCAGCUGCUUGCUCCCUCUUCUCUGUUAGCAGAUCAAGAUUCAAACACAUCUGCUCGUCGUUCUCCUGCUCAUUGAAAUGGUCUGUCCGGUGCGUGGUCGUUCCUAUCUCAGCUGGUACGACCGCUUCAUGUCUGAAUGCCAGGGCGAACGGUGUCUCCCCAGUUGCUGUUUUGUGGGUUGUCCUGUAUGCCCAUAGGACACCUAACAGCUCAUCAACCCAUGUACCCUUUUUUGCUCCAAGCCUGGUUUUCAAAAGUCUCUUGAUGGUCUUGUUGGCUGCUUCUACUUGUCCAUUCGAUUGAGGGUGGGCAGGCGAGCAAUACUUCAGCUCUAUCCCGAGGUUCUGGCAGAAAUCCCUGAAGCCGUGAUUAUCGAACUGCCUGCCAUUAUCCGUUACCAAGGCAUAAGGGAUCCCGUAUCGACAGACCAGGUUUCUUCACACAAAGUCUGUCGUUUUCUUCUCUGUAAUCCUGCUAAGGGCUUCGACCUCUAUCCACUUCGUGAAGUAAUCUAUAGCAACUAUUGCAUGCGUUGCUGCUCCUCGUCCCUUUGGCAGCGGGCCGAUCAGAUCAAUUCCCCAUUGAGCAAAUGGCCAAGGGGAGGCCAUAGAGGUGAGCUUCUCUGGUGGUUGGUUGGGGAAACUUGCAAAACUCUGGCAGCUUACGCAGCUCCUGGUCUUCUCCUGUGCAUCCUGGUGCAUUGUCGGCCAGAAAUAUCCCUGCCUUAGAACCUUGUGGGCCAGGUAUCUCCCACCAGAAUGAUUCCCGCAAAUUCCUUCAUGUACUUCUCUCAGUACGUAAUCCGCGUCGUCCUCAUCCAAACAUCGAAGGAAAGGUAGUGUAUAUCCUCGCCGAUACAGUAUCCCAUCAAUCAUCGUGUAUCUCGAAGCCUGGGCUCUAAUCUUCCGAGCUCGCAGCUUAUCUGGUGGUAAUACCCCGUCUCUAAGGUAUGAAACUAUCGGGUCCAUCCACGAGCAUUUUUGUUCUAUCCGCAGCACCCCCGAAUUCGGCUCGAUGCUCGGGCUGGACUUCACCUCCAGAGGGAUCGACUUUGGCAUUUUUGGGUCUGCUACCGCUGCCAUCCUGGCCAGAAUAUCUGCUCGAUUAUUCUGCUCCCUUGGGAUUUGUACUACCUCCACCGCUUUGAAUUUUCCCAUCAUCUGCCUGACUAUCUUCAAGUACUGCUCCAUCUUCUCCUCUCUUGGUUGGAAUCUUUUACUGACAUGAUUCGCAACCAGCUGGGAAUCAGUUCUGAUCUUCACUCUAUCUGCUCUCACGGCCUUAGCCAGUUCCAAUCCUGCUAUCAAGGCUUCAUACUCUGCCUGGUUAUUUGUUGCUGCGAAUUCUAACUUUACAGCAUAAGAGAUCUCCUCCCCCUCCGGGCCUUCCAAUACAAUCCCUGCUCCUGAUCCCUGCUCCCAUGAUGACCCAUCUACAGACAUUUGCCAUACUUGAGCUUCGCCACUGUCUGCAACUACAUCUUGUUGGUCUAAACAUACUUCAGGCUCUGUGAAUUCUGCUACGAAAUCGGUCAUUGCCUGAGCCCUCAUCGCUGCUCGGGGUUUGUAGUCUAUGUCGAACUCGCUCAGCUCUAUAGCCCACUUGACGAGCCGACCAGAAGCAUCGGGCUUGUGCAGAGUUUGACGCAAUGGCUGGUUUGUUAUAACCGAGACUGGGAAUGCCUGAAAAUAUGGCCUCAACUUCCGAGCAGCAACCACAAGGGCAAGUGCCCAUUUCUCCAAUGGUGGGUACCUGGUCUCAGCGUCGAGCAGGGCCUUGCUGGUGUAGUAUAUUGGAUACUGAACUCCUUCUUCCUCUCUCACCAGAACAGAACUGGCGGCCCGAUCCGAUACCGCCAGAUACAAAAAUAACUUGUCCCCAUCCCUCGGUGUGGAUAGCAGAGGGGCUUGCUGUAAAUACUGCUUCAAGUUCUGAAAGGCUUCCUCGCAUUCCGGGGUCCACUCUGUUUUCUUUUCCCUCCUUAUCACUUGAAAGAAUGGUUGACACUUAUCUGUAGCCUUGGAUAUGAAUCGGCUCAAUGCCGCCAAUCUCCCCGUAAGGCUUUGUAUUUCCUUCAGGCUACGAGGAGACCUCAUCUGCACGAUCGCCUGAAUCUUCUCGGGAUUUGCUUCGAUCCCCCGAUGACUCACCAUGAAUCCAAGGAACUUCCCCGACUCGACCCCAAAAGCACAUUUCUCCGGGUUGAACUUCAUCUUAUACUUCCUCAAAAGCUCGAAUGUCUCCUCGAGGUGUCUGACAUGUUCCUUCGGGAUUUUGGACUUGGUGAUCAUGUCAUCCACGUACACCUCCAUGGUUUUCCCAAUCAACGGCUUAAAGACUUUGUUCACCAGCCUCUGAUAGGUGGCCCCAGCAUUUUUGAGACCAAAUGGCAUUACCCUAUAACAGAACAAACCCUGGUUAGUGAUGAAAGCCGUGCUCUCCUCGUCCUGCUCGUACAUGGGGAUCUGGUUGUAUCCCGAGAACGCGUCCAUGAAGCUAAGCAGAGCGUGUCCAGCCGUUGAAUCUACUAGCUGAUCGAUCUUUGGUAAAGGGAAGCUGUCCUUUGGGCACGCCUUAUUGAGGUCUGUGAAAUCCACACACAUCCUCCACUUGCCAUUCGCUUUCUUUACCAACACCACAUUCGAUAUCCAUUCAGGGUAAUUGACUUCCCGAAUGAACCCUGCUCUCAAGAGCUUCUCCACCUCGCCAUUUAUAGCCUCAUACCUCUCCUGGUUGAAGCACCUCCUCUUCUGCCUUACUGCCCGAGCACCUUUCUUUAUUGCCAGCUUAUGACAUGCUACCUCAGGGUCAAUCCCUGGCAUGUCUUCAUGUGUCCAAGCAAACACAUCUGCAUGAGCCUGUAAGCAUUUCACCAACUCCUGCUUUUGCUCUCCCUUAAGUCUCGACCCGAUUCUGAUUGUCUUUCCCGGAUUCUCUGGUCCCAGGCUUACAGUUUCCAGAUCCUCUACAGGUUCUUGUCUGCCAUUCUUGUUUUCCACUCGGGUAUCGAGGGAUGUUAUCUGCAUUGCUUCCCUUGUUUCCAUCGCUUUUCACUUGCUUUACUCCCCUUCUUACUAUCAACAGAAGCUUUUUGAUCAGUUCCCCACAGACGGCGCCAAAAUGUUGAUGCGAGAUUCUGGUUCUCCUCGUUAUACGACCAGGGUCUCUGUUCGAUCAACUUCACCACGACCAGGAUCUCUCCUCAUAAAGCUUCUUCUCCAGAGGUUCCUGCGCACACAGACAAGUCAGAGUACGCCGGUUGUUUUCCCGGCGCAAACCCUCCGACGCUCAAGUCAGAUAUGAAGGUUCGGGGAACCUUUGCCACAGAUCUUAUGGCUUUUGGGGUAGUUUUCUCUUUUUUAGAAUUUCUUUAGCUCUCUUCUAAUCUCAAAAUUGCUAACCCUUUUACCUUCGUUGGCUACCUUUUUAUAGGCUUCCUCUGAAUCUCAGUUUUCCGCAGUCUACGUCCGUUAUCCUCCCACCUCUCGAACGUGGAUUCCCCAUUUCCGUAGUCAUGGGUGGUCGCGUGGCCUUCGUGCCUAGAUUCUCGGGCUGGAGAGCAUGCCUCGCCAACUGUCGUUGACCGGGUCUCCUCGAAUCAACCCUUAGCAAGAAUACAGCAGGAAUGGCUUUAUGCUUCUUGCAGGAAAUUGGCCUCGCGGAUGACGUGCUUCCUGGUGACUUCCUGGUCGAGGUGACCGAUAACAUCCUGGUUGAGGUGAUGUGCUCGAGGUCACCACAUAUUAUUCUGGUCGAGAUGAUCUGCUCAACCAUUUGCUCACUUUUACUUUGAGGAGAGCACGAUAAUGUAUGAGCAAACACCUUUAUCUUGGUCACCCUAUUUCAUUCCCUAAACAGUUUAUGUUUUCUAUUGAAUUAUAAGUAAAUUACCUCUUGUAAAAAUAUGAAAUACUGAGGCUGGCGAUGUGCCUUGAAGAACAAUCUUUUAUUAAAAAGAUAUAAUGGAAUUAACAAAAUAGAUAUUAGAAGGAUUUUUUUGGGGAAAUUCUACAUUCUUUGAAAUGCUGAUAAGAGAGAGUUUUAAGAGAACCCCAGACUUUUCAAGAGAGUGCUAGGUAGUAUUUGGACUAGCUCAUCCACACAGAAUAAACAUUCACAAGUUUUAUUUUAUGGUCCAUUUUCUUAUAAAUUUUAGAAAGUUUUUAAGUCGAUUAUAGUGCCAUUCAAAGCAACAAAGACUAAUGAGGCUGCACCAAUAUUAAUCUCAGCACAGUGAGUUCUCAUACUGAACGCCGUUCCUGCUUUGAUACCAACUAUUAGGAAUCUAUUAAUUGGUAUAACUCACCAUUAACAAAACCACAACUUGCAAUAAAAUAUUGCCCAUAAUUCGUGUCUACGAAUUUAGAUUAUUAUUUUCAGUCCAAAUAGAAUUCAGGAUCACAACAAAGUUAAUAAACCAACAAAAAUAAAGUACAAAGACAUGGUUCAUAACCACCAUCUAAUCUGAAAAAUAGAUCAACCAAAAUAAUGUGUAUGCACUCCUCUUCGCGGAUUUCAUUUUAAGGAAUUUUCUGCAGUAGAAGAUUCAGUAAGUUAGUAGAUACCGUUAAGUCAGGUUGCUGUAGUAACUCAUGUGAUCUAAUAAUUUUCACUUGUUUUCUACCAAGGAAAUAUAAGACUCCUACUCUUCAAUUUUUCAAUCUUAACCUAUUCAUGUCUGCCAACAUGUUACGACUCUUCUUUUCUUUCAAAACCGCGUGAAUAAUUAGCGCAUGGUACUUACAAGUCUAUCAUGUUGACCUGAAGUCCUCCUCGGCGGCUUUCUAAUUAGUAAUUAGUUAACUUGGGCCAGCACUGCUAUAUUAUAUCAGUCUAUAUGACAUAUACAUUGCAACUUGUAAGUUCCAUCCCUUCUCUGAGUUUCAUUUCGACUACUAUUAAACCCAAUAAUGAGAUCAAUUUUACUCUUAUCAUGGCUUUUCUUGAAACCCUUUUAGCCAAUUAUUUUGGGAUGCAUAUGGUUUUGGUGUCUGGCCAGUGUCAGAGCGAUCAAAAAUCGCUGUUAAUCCAGAUGAAGAACAGCUUCAUAUUUGACGUUGAUUCUACUCCACCUGUAAAAAUGAGUCAGUGGAGUGAAAGCACCGAUUGUUGUAAUUGGAACGGAGUAGAUUGCGAUGAGGCUGGUCAUGUUAUUGGUCUCGACUUGAGCGCGGAACCAAUACUCAUCGGCAGUCUUGAGAACGCAUCUAGCCUUUUCAGUCUUCAAUAUCUGCAGAAUCUAAAUUUGGAUUUCACUCUCGUCUACGGAUUCCCUAUGCCAUCCAGGUUGGCCAACCUCACAAAUUUGACUUACCUGAAUCUUUCUCAGUGUGGCUUCACAGGGGGGAUUCCUACUGAGAUUUCAAGCCUGUCAAGGUUGGUUUACUCUUGAUUUGUCAGGUCGUGAGCCUAUAAGCGGAUUUUCCUGGAGACUUGAGAUCCCAAAUUUCAACUUUUUUCAUAACUUAAUAGAGCUUAGAGAACUGUACCUUGAUAGUGUAGAAUUGUCCGCCUCCGGAACUGAAUGGUGCAAAGCUUUAUCAUUUCUGCCCAAUCUACAAGUUUUAAGCUUGUUCGGCUGCGAUCUUUCAGGUCCAAUCAAUCACUACCUGGCGAAGUUACGGUCACUCUCCGUGAUUCGUUUGCAUUACAAUUAUGGUCUAUCCUCAGGUACAGAAUUUUUGGCCAAUCUGACGAAUUUGAAUGCCUUGGAUCUCAGCGAGUGUGGGUUGCAAGGGAAGUUUCCAGAAAAGAUAUUGCAGGUUCCUACCCUUGAGAAUCUUGACUUGUCAAUUAACCAAUUGCUUCAGGGUUCUCUGCCAAACUUUCCGAAGAAUUCUUCUCUUCGGAACCUGAUCCUCUCUGGGACGGGAUUCUCAGGCACACUACCAGAUUCGAUUGGGAAUCUUGAAAAGGAUAGAGGUUAGAAGUUGCAAUUUCUCAGGACGAAUUCCCCCUUCAAUGGCUAAUCUUACCCAAUUAUUUCACAUGGACUUCUCAUCUAACCAUUUCUCUGGUCCCAUCCCAUCUCUUCACAAGUCAAGAAAUCUCAACUACUUAGACAUUUCAUUCAAUAAUUUAAAUGGUGGGGUCUCAUCCACCUUCUGGGAACAACUUGUAAAUCUCAAUCUUGUUCUCUUGUCGCACAAUUCACUUAAUGGAAGUAUUCCCAGAUCUCUGUUUCUACUUCCAAAUCUGGAGAUGCUUUGGCUCUCCAACAACCAGUUUGAGAACCAACUUCCAGAAAUUUCAAAUGUGUCCUCGUCUGUAUUGCAUGACCUUGAUUUAAGCGGCAACAAAUUAGAAGGGCCUGUCCCCAUUUCAAUAUUCUUUGAACUCAGAAACCUUUGUACCCUCGAUCUUUCUUCCAACAAGUUUAGCAGAUUGAAACUGGCUUCAAGCAAACCACGGGUCAUUCCUAUUCUAAAAAACCAAUCACAGCUUUCUGUUUUGGACAUUUCAAAUAACCAAAUAUCUGGAGAAAUACCAAAUUCGAUUUGGAAAGUUGGUAGUGGCUGUGAGAAUUUUGAGUAAUGAAUUUGUAACUGUUUUUAUUAUUAUAUUGCAAUGUACAAUGCUGCUGACUUAUAUAGCUGAUCAGAUUUAUCAUACAGCUCAGCAACUCAGAUUUACAAUUACUAAAAAACAAGUAAUGCGUGUGUUAUCUAUUUAAAUCACAGCCGCUCAUCUAUAACUAGAUUGUUACACUCAUAAUUGUUGAGGAAUCUCUGUGUAAUUGUUCUGCCAACUUGGAUAUCUUUCUUCUUCACGUGUGUGUUGCAUCACCUUACUUGUGUGAGCAUCAUUCUUGGUAAUCAAGUAAGCUCCAGCUGGCACUCCCAAGUGAGCUGAUCCAAGUUCAGCUUCAUCCUCAAACUUAACAUCCCUUCUCAAACUUAAGUCUCUAGGAGAGACUUUAAGUUUGUUUCUGAAGAAGCUGAACUUGGAAUAAGUGAGUGGUUUAGUUAACACAUCUGCAGUUUGAUUAUUGCUGGACACAAAAGCAAUUUCGAUUUCUUUCUUCUCAACUUUGUCUCUGAUAAAAUGAACAUCUAUCUCUAUGUGUUUAGUCUUAGAAUGGAGAACUGGAUUUGUAGCAAUUGCAGCUGCACUUGUACUGUCACUUAACAACAGAGGAGUACAGUUGAGUUUUAAUCCCAAUUCUUGCAAUAAUGAACAUAUCCAAGUUACUUCUGCACUAGCUAAUGCCAUGGCUCUGUAUUCAGAUUCAGCUGAGGACUUAGAUACCACACUUUGCUUCUUAGAACUCCAGCUAAUCAAAUUGUCACUCAAGAAAACACAAUACCCACUGGUGGACCUUCUAUCAUCAGGGUCACUUCCCCAAUCAGCAUCUGAAUAUGCUACAAGAUCAAAGGAGUCAGACUUCUUGAAUGUCAAGCCAUAGUCAAUUGUUUCCUUUAGAUACCUGAGUACCCGUUUGCAAGCUGACCAAUGUGGCUGCAGAGGAUUGGACAUAAAUUGACUUAACUUGUUGACUGCAUAAGCAAUUUCAGGCCUGGUUAAUACAGCAUACUGCAGUCCUCCAAUGGCUCUCUUGUAUUGAGUUGAGUCAGCAUGUAUUUCCCCCAUAUUUUUGCUCAACUUCUCUGUAGUUGCUAGUGGAGUGUCUGAGCCAUUACAGUUCUUUAAAUCAAACUUAGUAAGUAGUUCCUUCAAAUAUUUUGAUUGUGACAAAAACAGAGUAUCUUCAUUCCUUGUGACUUCAAUACCUAGAAAGAAGUUAAGCUGACCCAAAUCUUUUAGAGCAAAAGCAUUUCCCAGAUUACAAAUAAGCUGCUCUAUUUCAACAUUAUUGCUUCCAGUGAUUAUGAUAUCAUCCACAUAAACUAGUAGGAUGAUCAGCUCAUUUUCAUUUUAUUUGAAGAACAGAGAAGUGUCUGAUUUUGCUCGACAGAAAUUCCAUGAUUCAAGUACUGAUUUUAACUUAUCAAACCAGGCUCUUGGUGCCUGUUUCAAACCAUAGAGGGCCUUCUUUAGCUUACAAACAUAUCUUGGGUGAUCUGUAUCCACAAAGCCUUCAGGCUGAGGCAUAUAAACAGUUUCAGUUAACUCCCCAUUUAGAAAGGCAUUAUUAAUGUCAACUUGUCUCAACUUCCAGUUAUUGAUCACAGCCAUGCUUAGAACAAUUCUUAUUGUGGCUGCUUUCACCACAGGGCUGAAAGUCUCCUGAUAAUCUACACCUUCAGUUUGUAGGAAACCUUUUGCAACUAAUCUGGCUUUGUAUCUGUUUAUUGUUCCAUCUGAGUUUUGUUUUACUCUAAAUAUCCACUUGUUUCCCACAAGUUUCAUAUGUUGUUCUGGUGGAACCAAACACCAGGUCUGAUUUCUAACCAAGGCACUGAACUCAUCCUGCAUAGCUAGUUUCCAGUUGUUAUCACUUAAAGCUUCAGCAACACUUGAUGGUGUUUCCAGGGACAAAGCUUUUUCAGUGUUGUAAGCUUUAGGCUUAAAGAUGCCAGCUUUGGCUCUAGUAAUCAUGGGAUGUGAAGGGUUAAUUUUAGAAGUGGUUUGAGUUAUUUCAGUGUUUUGGUUUUGAGCUUCAUUGUGUUCAGGGGCACAAGAACACUAUGGGGUAUCUUGAAUUUCUGUGUGUAGGUUUGAAGAAAUAUUUUGCUCUGGAAGAAUUUGGUUGUGAUUGUUGUUAGAAUUUUGAUCAUUAGGGAGAGUGAGAUCAUGAAUUUCUUUUUCAGAUGAACUUGUACUUACUGCUGGUGCCUCAUGAUUGUGACUGUCAGAAGGAAAAGUCACUGUGAUGAAUUUGCUAAAGGAAUUUAAAGACUCAGAUGGUUUGUUCUGGUUUGACUUUAUGAAUUUUGGAUCUGUUUUGAGUGGAAAAGAAUUCUCAUUGAAGUUUACAUGUGCUGCUAUGUAUAUUCUUCCAGUUGAACUUAGACACAUAUAACCUUUGUGAUAUUGGCUAAAUCCUAGAUUUACACAAGUGGAGGUAUGAAAAUCAAGUUUAUGUUUAUUGUAAGGUCUCAUGAAAGGAUAGCACUCACAGCCAAAUGUUUUGAUGAGAGAGUAAUCUGGUUUCUUUGAGUAAAGGAAUUCAAAAGGAGUCUUGUCAUUUAAGGUAGGUGUGCUGGUUCUGUUUAUGAGAAAUGUGGCAUUUGAGAAGGCUUCCCACCAGAAUUUCAAGGGUAAUCCAGAUUGAGCAAGAAGAGUCAAUCCAGUUUCUACCAAGUGUCUGUGUUUCCUUUCAGCUUUCCCAUUUUGGUGAUGAGUGUAUGGGCAUGAGUAUCUCAAAGAAAUACCUUCAUGUUUCAGGUAUGGUUCAAAGAUUUUGUAUUCCCCCCCCCCCCCCAUGUCACACUGUAAGGUUUUAAUUUUCAGUUCAAGACCUUUCUCAACUUGAUUUUUGAAAGAUAUGAAUGUUGUGAGUGCUUGAGACUUGUGAGUUAAUCCAUAAAUCCAUGUGUAUCUGGUUUUAUCAUCAAUGAAGGAUAUAUAAUAUCUGAAACUUUGAUUGGAUUCAGUGGGUGCAGGACCCCAAAGAUCACUAUGGAUGAUCUCAAGGGCUUUUGAGGUUUUUGUUUCACUAUGUUUGAAAGAUAAUUUGUGUUGUUUUCCAUACUGACAGGCUUUGCAGAAUGAUAAACCAGAUGUUUUAUUUCCAAAUUGAAUAUUACAAGCAGAUAAAGUUUUCACAAGAGCACUGACACUAGGAUGGCCUAAUCUCAUAUGCCAAAGAUCAAGCACUUUGUUGCUUGUAUAAUUGUCAUUACAACUGACAGACAACAUAGACUCAGGACAAGAUGUUUUAUUUACUGUAAGUAGACUAGGAGUAGUAAUUGAAGACAAUAGAAUGGAUUUGAAUUGACUGGAAUCAUGAGGCAAACUCAGCAGUUUGUACAAUCCACCUUUAGCUAUUCCUUUCAAAAGAACACUCCCCCUUCUCUUGUCCUUGACAACACAGCAAGUUUUAUGGAAUUCAAUAGAGACAUCAUUAUCAUGCAAUAAUUGUGAAAUACUAAUCAAGUUUUUGGUUAUUUCUGGAACAUAAAGAAUGUGGUUAAGUUUGAUAUGAGUUGAUGUGUGUGAAUCAAGUGUGCUGAGCAGUGAGUGACCAACAGAAACUAUUUUGAGUUUAGUACCAUUACCUACUGCCAGCUGAUCACUUCCCUUGUACUCAAAGCUGAUGUUGAGAUUGUUGAAGUCAUUUGAGAUGUGGUUGGUUGCACCACUGUCAAGAUACCAGGCUCCAUCCCUGUGACCUCCAUUUUCAGCAAUAUAUGCACUCCUCCUGUUAGGUGCUUGAUUAGGUACAUAAUUCUUCUUAAACAUGUACCAGCAGUUGGUAGCAGUGUGAUUUUUCCUGAAACAGAUCUGGCAUGGUCCCUUAGGUUCUUCUUCAUCAGCAGGAUUCUUGCCUUUGAACUUGUCUGGUGAAUUCAUAUUCUGAUUGAAAUUGUAUCCACCAGGUUGUUUUCCAUUUGAGCUUCCAGCUGGCCUUCCACCAUAGUUGUUGUUCGGCUGCCAGUUCCUCCUUUGAUUUCCUCUGUGAUAAGCUAAGUUAGCUUGAUAAUCCAUAUGACUGACAGAGUGUUGAUAUUCGAUUCUAUGUUCAUGACUCAGCAGCAUGCCAUACACAUCAGAGGGAGAUGUGCCUUCAGGUUGUGCAUUAAUAGUUGUAACAAUUGAAUCAUAUUCAGAUCCAAGGCCAGCAAGCAAGAACAGCACAAAAUCUUCAUCAGUCAUAUUAUUUCCAGCAGCUCUCAGAGCAUCAAGAUUUGUUUUCAUCUUUGUGUAGUACUCAUGAAUAGAGGUAGAUCUUUUCCUUGUGGUCUGAAUUUGAGUUCUCAAAUGCAGAACUCUGGCUCUGGAUCUAGCUCCAAACUGAGCUGCAAGAAUUUGCCACACCUCCAGAGAAGACCUUGCUCCAACUACAGCACUAAGAACUUCUUCACUUAAAGUUGAGAGUAACCAGCUCAUCAGCUGCUGAUUAUUUCUUCUCCAGAUCUGGAACUGUGGAUUUGGAGUUGUGAUCACAGUUUGAUCACUGUCAAUGUUGAUCGCAACUCGACUAGGUGGACUCUUUGAGCUAUCGAUCAGAUCCUCCAGAUCAUUUGCAUUGAUCGUAGCUAUCACUUGAGAUCGCCACAACAAGUAAUUGUUAUUGGUAAGCUUUAUUGGCGUGUUGAAGACAAGUGAGUUAAGAACAGAGGUGCUAACGUUUGAAAGAUGAUUAGUGUUUAUGGUUGAGCUCGAAGCUCCAUUACUGUUGAUCUUAUUUUCAUUACUCGCCAUUGUUGCUUCUCAGAGCUCUGAUACCAUGUGAGAAUUUUGAGUAAUGAAUUUGUAACUGUUUUUAUUAUUAUAUUGCAAUGUACAAUGCUGCUGACUUAUAUAGCUGAUCAGAUUUAUCAUACAGCUCAGCAACUCAGAUUUACAAUUACUAAAAAACAAGUAAUGCGUGUGUUAUCUAUUUAAAUCACAGCCGCUCAUCUAUAACUAGAUUGUUACACACAUAAUUGUUGAGGAAUCUCUGUGUAAUUGUUCUGCCAACUUGGAUAUCUUUCUUCUUCACGUGUGUGUUGCAUCACCUUACUUGUGUGAGCAUCAUUCUUGGUAAUCAAGUAAGCUCCAGCUGGCACUCCCAAGUGAGCUGAUCCAAGUUCAGCUUCAUCCUCAAACUUAACAGUGGCAAAUUUUACACCCUAAAUCUUUCACACAAUCUUCUAGAGAGCUUACAAGAACCUUACUCUAUUUCUGGAAUUGGAUUGCUUGACCUGCACUCCAACCAACUCCGAGGAAACAUCCCUUACAUGUCACCAAAUACUUCCUACGUCCAUUACUCCAACAAUAAUUUUAUUUCCAUCCCAGCUGACAUUGGUAAUUUCAUGUCUAUAACCACCUUUUUUUCUGCUGCAAACAAUAGUCUCACGGGAUUCAUCCCGGAAUCUGUAUGUAAGGCUACCGAUUUUAAAGUUCUUGACUUAUCAAACAACAAUCUGAGUGGCACAAUUCCUGCAUGUUUAAUCACCAAGAGUAGCACCACUCUAGGGGUUUUAAAUUUAGGGAGAAACAACCUCAAUGGCACUCUUUCUCACACAAUAUUUCCAGGAAAUUGUGGGUUGCAAGUUCUAGGUCUCAGUGGAAAUCAACUAAAAGGAGUGGUUCCAAAAUCUCUUGCCAAUUGCAAUAUGCUGCAGGUUUUAGACCUCAGGAAUAACCAUAUCAAUGAUAAUUUCCCAUGCUGGUUAUGGAAUGCUUCUAGUUUGCAAGUUCUAGUUUUGCGAUCCAACAACUCUCCAGACACAUUAGCUGUCCAAGAAAUAAUGUCUCCUGGCCUCUGCUUCAAAUAGUCGACUUAGCAUCCAAUAAAUUCAGCGGAAGACUAUCACAAAAAUGGGUACUUACCAUGAUGGUUGCUGAAACCAAAUCCGGAUCUGAGCUUAACCACCUUGGGUAUAUGAUGCCGAGCAACCAAUUCUAUGAGGUUGGAAUAACAGUUACAGUAAAAAGUGUAGAGAUCAAGCUACUGAAGGUCCCAAAUAUAUUCACUACCAUUGACUUUUCAAGCAACAAUUUCAAAGGGCCAAUACAAGAAGAAAUGGGACGAUUCAAAUCACUCUAUGCUCUGAACAUGUCGCACAAUGCUCUCACAGGCUCGAUACCAUCAUCUUUUGAGAACUUGAAACAGAUUGAGUCCUUAGACCUCUCAAUGAACAACCUCCAUGGGAAAAUUCCUGCCCAGCUUGUAAGCCUAAAUUUCCUAUCGGUGCUAAAUCUCUUAUACAAUAACUUAGUAGGAAAGAUUCUAACAGGUACUUAGCUCCAAUCAUUUUCACCAACUUCUUAUGAAGGAAACAAAGGAUUGUACGGACCUCCUUUGACGAAUGACAGCCAAACACGUCCUCCUGAGUUACAACCUUCACCGCCGCCAGCUUCAAGCAAUGAAAUUGAUUGGUUCUUCAUAGCCAUGUCAAUUGGAUUUGCGGUAGGCUUCGGAGCAGUUGUUUCACCUCUAAUGUUUUCCGUGCAGGUAAACAAAUGGUAUAAUGAUCUUAUUUACAAAGUUAUAUAUCGGCGAUUCCGUGUGUGUAGUGAUUUAUAUCUCUCCUUUUGAAUAAUCAUGUAAGCUAGCUUUUGCUUUUCUCUUAUUUCAUAGAUAUUUGAGAUUUCGUUUCUUCUCUGUUUGAUGAAGUUAAUAAAGCUGACAAUAAUUUGAAAUAAGGGCCUAUCUAUAACUUUUACUGCGACAAUCUUUAUCUCAAAAUUGGCUCCAAUUUUGGCGCAAUUCAUGCACAAUAUAUCUUCGAGAGUCCAUACUAAAUUAAUAUGUGCAAGACUGUACAUGAUUCCAACUCCAAGCUAGAUCCAUAGCCAUUCAUGAUCAUAUUCCAUUUGUUCACUUCGGAAGUUUCAUAGAGUAGAAAGAAGAAUUCAGAAGAUAACUUUUGUAGAAAUGAGUGAGUUAUGAGUGCAUCUAAGAAAUAACCCCAAAAAGGCUUUCGGCCCUUGUGGCCGGUUGAGUAGUUUGUUCAAAAUAUUAAUUUAUGUUGUGUUUAAUUGUUGGAAUGAGAGUAGGAAGCAUGGAUUCUUCCCAGUAUUUUAUUGCUUAUUUAAGGAGGAGAAUAGAACUCUUAUUUGGUGGAUCUCACUUAUCUUUAGAGUAAAGAGUGGGAUUCUCACUUCUAUACGGGCCACUCUCACCUCUUCCUUUUUUAUUCUUUCUUUAUCAAAUAUAAUAAAUUUUGCAUUUAUUAAAAAUAAAAUAUAAUAAAUUUUGAAUUGGCAUUUGCUGUCGUUUGUAUUGUCAAUUAUUUUGAGUUAUUGAUAUUGCACAAUUUUUAUAUUGAAUAUAGUUGUACAUAAAUUUUCUGACUUUAACAGUAUUUUCUUGCCAACUUGCGUCUCAGCCAUUAGCCAACUGGUGAACUGCAACUCUUCCAAGUCCUCUUAAUUUUUUCUCUCCUAAUUAAAAAUUAUGUAAAGAUAUGAAUUUUCUCUAUUGAUUUUGUAGGUAGAACAAAUAACCUUCCAGUAUUCAUAAGAUAGAAAUCUAGGUUGUGCUAUAUUAGAAAUGAUCUACAUGGUCUAUUAGUAGACAUCUAAUUGUAUAAUAUAUAUUAAUAAGGGGAAAAACACGUCUACACUUCCAUGAUAUGGGAAAAUAGUCACCAACACUCCUAAGUUUUCAUAAAAGGAUACUAAGACUCCACUUUGACUAUUAUACUCUUUAUCCCUAUUAUCGCCAAAAAAAUAGAUUUUAAAAUUUUUAAUAAAUAUAAAUAUUAUAUAAAUAAUGUAUUUUAUUUUUUUAAUAAUAUUUUUUAUUUAUUGUAGAGAUUUUAAAUAAUAUGAAUGAAUUGGAAACGAUUCUUCACAAGCAAAGAAAAGUUAGCCCUCACAUACAAGGAAAGACUAACAUUUAUAAAGAAGGAAAAAGCAACCUUCACAUGGAAAGAAAGACAAAAAGAUGGGGGGGGGGGGGGGGGAGUUUUAGUAGUAAAUAACACUAAUUAAUAAUUAGUAACAGUGACACCUAAUAUAAUAAAAUUACAUGAAACUAAAAUAAAUUGAAUAGAAACAAACUCAAUAUCAAUUAUCACAAUGCAAUUAGUAAGUGUUUGUUUGGUAUGGCUUAUCGAAUGGUUAUAAGUAUUUUUUUAAUCCCAUAAACUCAAUCAAAUUUUUUGUUAUUGUUUGAUUUUUUUUUUAGUAGAACUUUUCAAUAUUAAAUAAGAUAUUUGGUCUGUACUAUCAAAAGCUCAAAUUUUGAGCUUUUGAGAGUAAAGGUUAAUUUUUUUUAAAUAUUAAAAUGUUUAAAAUAUCGUUAACUUAUUUGACAAUUUUAUUUCAUUAUUUUCAUAACCUAACUUUAAAAAACUUACAUAUUAAAAUAAUUUUAUAAUUUUUAAUAAAAGUUUACAUUGACAACCAAACAAUUAAAAUUUUUGCAUAAAAUCUCCAUUUAUAAAAACUCUACUGAUAAAAACCUAUUUAAAUAAACUCAAUUUAAAAAGCUAAAUAUGACUAGAAUUUUUUUUUAAUAUUUAAUUGUCGGGCUGAAGGAUCGGAGUCGGACUUUCUUGUUAUACCCCUAGCCCGACCCCGAUCCGGCUCAAUUUCGAAUACCUUAAGUCCUAAUCCGAGCCGAAACCUAAAAGUGGAGCCGAAGCCUGGCUGGGCCGGGCGCUCACUUUUCUGCCAUCCCUAUCAGCAACGCAACUCAAGCCUUGCCUGGCUGGUCGUAGUUUUUGCGCAGUUAAGUUAACAGGCGUUGAUUCAACGCUACGCGGGGUAUGCGCAGAGUCUUAACCUACGCCCACUACAUUUCUCCUCUGUCCUCUCUAUAAAUAGCUUUUCUCUUUUGCUUUUCGUUUCCCUCUUCUUUCAAAAUCAUCACCGAAUCAACAAAUAAUCUUUCACUCUGUCACUCACUAACAAAAUAUCACGAAACGAUAAAAAAUUAGCAAGUUAAUAGCAAAUUAACUGAACUGCUUCAAGCAAUAAUGGCUACUUUCGGUGCUGCUGCCGUUGCCACCAAUCAAAACCCUAACAAGUCAAUCGAGGUAUACUUUGUUUAUUUAUUUUCUUUGUUCUUUUUUCUUUCCGAUAAUCUUUAAAAAUUAUUUACCGUUAAAUUUCUUGUCGGUUUCUUGUGUAUGAUGAACUUGGCGACUGUUGAAUUAAUGCUUAUGAUGAUGUUAUUAGGAUUAAGUAGAAAGAUAUAUAAAUUAUUUAUUAGAUAUUUUUGUCAGGUUUAUGCUUGAUUGUUUGUGUUAAUGUAAAAAUUAAUUGUACAUUUUCGGAUAAAGAAUUUUUUUUUUUAAUGCAAAAUAAUGCAUGCUAAGCUAUGAUCAUUUGUUUGCUUGCUUUCUUGCUGAACGGAUUGUUGAGAGCGAACCAAUUGCUAAGCUUGUGAUUGUGUUGGAGUUUCAGUGUAAAAGAACAGUAGUUAGUAAGUGAAUCAUCGGGUUUGCUAGUAGUGUUUGGAAGUUUAUAGUGUGAUUUUCAUACAGAAAACUCGGUCGGAAUGUUAAGUUCAUAUUAGGUUAAUGAAGAUAAGUUUUCUACAAUUGAUCAUGUAAAAGUUUGAUGCACCAAAUUUUCAAAUGAGAUAAAUUGUUUCUGGUCAUAGGUUCCAAAUUUAUAUGCUAGACGUUGAUAUUUGUCAUGUAGUUGUAUGUGAAGUGUAGUUCUGUCAUCGAAGCUGUUAGAAAAGGAGUACUUACGUGAAAUUUUUCAAUGGCAGGUGUCUCAACCUCCCAGUGAUUCUGUUUCAAGCCUUUGUUUCAGUCCCAAGGCCAAUAUCUUGGUUGCAACCUCAUGGGAUAAUCAGGUUUGCCCAAUUGGUUUCCCACAGGUAAGGUGUUGGGAAAUUUCACGCAGCGGAACUGGUGUGGCCAGUGUGCCCAAGGCAUCAAUUUCGCAUGACCAUCCGGUAAUCUAAAGCAAGAUUUGUGGUAGUUAGAAUACCAUACUGUUGAAUUUGUGAUUGCUGAUAAUUUAACCUUUUUCUUGUCUUCCAAAUUUGAAGGUCCUAUGCUCAACAUUGAAGGAUGAUGGAAUUACUGUCUUCUCUGGAGGAUGUGACAAGCAGGUCAAGACAUGGCCUUUACUCUCUGGUGGUCAGCCAGUGAUUGUGGCUAUGCAUGAUGCGCCAAUUAAAACAAUACGGCUCCUAUAAGGAACCGAACCCCAAGAUAGGAGCCGAACCCCAAGAAAAGUAAGGAUUCUCAACCAUGAAAAUCCCUGUCACACCUACAAAUGCAAAUGGUUACUGUUAUAGCCUAAAGUUUCAGUAUGCAUGCAUAGGUCGUAUUAGUAUGAAUAGCAGAGACACAAACCAGAAGUAGAAUUUUACAUGAAAUAAGAAUUGUUGAAACACAUGUGGAAGGCUUGUGAUGGAGAAAAUUGUGUGAAAUAAAAUUUGGAUAUGUACUGAAAAUUGCAUAAAAAUAAGUACAAGAUGCAGAGAAAUGAAAAAAAUAUCCUCUGUUGCAGUGAUUAUAUUUGCUAUAUAGUUAGUAAUGUGUGUGCGCAUACCAGUGUUGGGUUGGGAUAGGAUAAAUAUUAUAAUGUCCAAGUAAUGAAUGUAGGGUUACUAAUUUUGUGUACACAUGAAAGUUGGGUUGCAGUGAUCUGAACCAUAACUGUUUAAAAUGAAAUUGUGCCAAUGGCCGCCUCGAUAACUUGUAAAGUCGAUUGAUAUCCAUUGACAAUUUGACUUCUUAGUUGUCCAAAAAAAAAAAAAAAUGAAAGAAAGACUUAUUGAAUCUUCAUCACUGCUGCUUGAUGGUAGUCGCAAGAAGUCCUGUGCAGCAGCAGGAGUUGUGGCCGAGUAUAGACUGAUCUGAAAUGGUUUAAAAAUGUGAAAUAGUUAACCGAAUGGAUUGUUUUGCUUGUAAAUCUUCUCAACUAACCAGCCACAAAGAUUCCUCUUUAGCCUGCCACAGUUCAGUUGUAACAAACUACCAAAGCCCAUUUCACAAACAGCCACUCUUUGUUCAUCUGUAAGUUGUGAAACUGCUGCAGCUAAUCUAUCUGGAACACAUCUUGUCAGGAACUUUGCCUUCCCCAUGUUUGACUUCCCUACUCGUUUGGCCUCACUUUUGUACUGACUUUUCCUUCGGUGGCAAAUUCUUAUACGUGGAUCCAAUUUCCUUUCGAAUCUACAACACAAUCAUGGUAACCCAAAUGACGCACAACUCCACCACUGCAAUAUCAUCGUAUCACAACCGAAAUAAUUAGUCAAAACCUAUACUACCACUCAACUAUUACUAAGUUAUGAUAAUUUAUUUAUUUUUCCAUUAACAUAGUUUAGAAAUAUCUUAUGAACCCAUUGAGGCACUGCCUUUUUCUUCCCCCAUCAAUGCUUGCAUCAUCACCAACCACUUCAGUUCCUCAGUUAAUCUCACAUUCCUUCUGCUUAUUACUUCCCACCACCUUCAUUCCUGAAAUUCAGUGACAGUUAUUUCUUACCAUCAAAAUACGCUUUAUAGCACCAUAUAAAUACAUUACUAAUUCACCAUAUAAACACAAAUACAUAUCAAUUACGUUACCAUCCCCAAACGAAACUAACAAAAACAUUUCAUAUCAACUCCACAAAAAAGAUAUACAAAUUCAGCUGGUGCAUGUACCAUUACCCCCAUGUCAUCAGCUUCAUGCUUGUGAUUCACGUCAUUUAAAUAUUUGCUGCAAUUUCACCUUUCCGGUUACUAAUUUUCCACACAUGUUCACUAUAAACUUAUUAUGCAAACAUUUAUUAUCUAAAUUUAAAUAAUUCAGUAGGAUUGACAAUUGACAUGUCACAUGUCGGGUGCUUCUAUGAAAUUCUAUUCCAAGGCACAGUCAUGACUAAGCUCAAGAAAGGGACAGCAAAUGCCGCCGACACACUCAAGUUACCGAGCAUAACACCAAGCUCCUUCUCUAUCCUACUGCUUUAAAUAAGCCGUAUUGAACUGUGCUAAAUAAUCCCCAAAUAAUUUCGAUAAUUAUUGGCCUCUACUCAAUUUUUCAAUCUUUGUACGACAUAUAUUUUGCAACCAUGUAUAUGCAAAACAAUUCAUUAUUCAACUGGGUUCAAUAUUUCAAUUCAACCACCAACUACGUUGUUCAGCACAUAUCCUUAAAUUAAAUUUUAAUUUUUUUCCAUGUACUCCCAAAUUUUCCCAUUAUCCAAACGAAACGUUAAAUUUCCACCAGCCACUUAAUCAGCGACAAAUAAUUCCUAUCACUAAUCUCAAAUUCAAAUUACACUGACCUUUAAUUUUGUUAACCCAAUCCCUUAUGCUUCAUUCAAUACUGCCACGACAAGCUACAAGUCACCACAAGCCAAUUCAAAAAUCCCACACGGGAGCGCUGCCCCAGCCGCAGUUACACCUUGCCCGCUUCAAUUUCCUUGCGUCCGAGAAACCGCAGUCAUUGAUCAAAAUGGCCAAUAAGGGUUUACAGCUCCUAAAACUAAUCUUGUACAAAGAAGCUGGUUUGGAUGGUUGCCCACUGUAAUUGACUUUUACCCUUUUCAAACCUCAUCCCUUGGAUUAAAUUAAUUAUAAUGUAACGACUACAGUGGAUAACGACAAAAAAAAGGGGCACGGUAGCUGGGGAAUAGGAUCCUCUCAUACAGGGGUGGUUUUAGGUAUAGGCGAACAAGGCUGUCGCCUAAGGUCUCAUAUUUUAAGAAGGCCUCAUUUUUUGAGUAUUUCUUUAAUAAUUCUCUAAUUAAUAAAAUAUUUUUAAUACGUAUUUUAAGAAAUAAAAAAUUUUAUUAGAUAUCUCUCUAUUCUUAAUUAUUCUAUAAUUAAGAAUUAUUUUUUAUAAAAAAUCUAUAUUUGGGAACCUUAAUUUUAGAGAAAUAUAAUUAAUAAUAUUCUUUAACCUUCAUUCCUUUUCAAUUAUUCAAUAUUAGCAUAUUUGAAUUUUAAUAUUUCUUUUAAAUUCUAUUAAAAACCUCAUAAUCUCAAGAAUUAGUAAAUGAAAAAAAUUUCUUGUUCUCUUCUCUACAAAUAAAAUUAUUAUAUUCAUUGGUUCAUUUAAAAUAAUUAGUUUCUUAAAAUAUAAAGUCCAUUUUUAUUUUUGAACAUCAACUCAUCAUUUUAAAAUUGUUAUAUUCUAUCAUUCUAAACAUUCUAUCAUUCUAAAUAUUCUAUUUGAAAAUAAAUUUUUUUUAUUUAUUUGUUUGUUUGUUUUUUAACAGUUUUAAUGGAAUAAAAAAAAUUAAUCUUCUUGAUUGUUUUUUAGGUUUUAUUUUUAAAAUUUUUGAUUUUUUUUUAUUAUUGUUGAAAUUCAAGAAUUAAAGAUGGAAUAAAUUUUGAUCCUCUUUAUAUGUCUUUGAGUAUUAAAAUUACAAAAUAAUAGAGGCCUCAUAAAAAAAUUUCGCCUAAGGCCCCUCAAACUCUAAAGCCGGCCCUGCUCUCAUAAUCUGAGCUCUACUGAGCUUUUAAAGAUGUUCUGCCAUGUGUUUUUUAGUGAUAGUGCAUGGAUAAGAUUGAACUUAUUUUACUUUUUUAUUUAUUAACUAUCAAUCAGCAAUUAACUUAUUUGCUCGCAACAUGAUCAAAUAAGAUCCUCUCAUAAUCUGAGCUCUACUCAGCUUUUAAAAAUUUUCUGCUAUGUGUUUUUUAGUGGUAGUGCAUGGAUAAGAUUGAACUUUUUUUACUUUUUUUUUAUUAACUACCAAUCAGCAAUUAAGUUAUUUGCUCGGAACAUGAUCAGAUCAGGACAGAAUCCUACUCCUAGUAGCUGGUCCCUAGUUGAUUGGGUGCUCGAGUUUUUCUAGACUACUUUUUUUUUUUUUUUUACGAAAUUCUUACAAUUUACAAAUCUACUAAAACUCUCAAAAUAUACUCUCACUAACAUGCACAGAGAAAUCUAUCAUUUUCUGAAAGAAAUGAGUUUGUAAGACUCGAACCCACUCCCUUAACAUAUUUUGAGGAUGCAAGUGCCAUUAUACUAGAAGCGCAAAUGCAAAAGUGGUUUCAGACUUGAAAGGUCAAAAGUAAAUUUCCAAAAGUCAAGGUACUUAGAAGUUUUUAUCGAUAUUAUCACAAAGUUAAUCUUACAAAUUGUAUACUAGACGAAUGGUCUCUAAAAUUUAUAAUUAAUCUAAAAAUUUUGAAUAACAUCAUUAAAAGAUUUUCUUUUCAAAUAUUUCUAUCUAAUUAAUUUUUUAUCCUUACCUAAAUAAAACUUACUAAUUAGUAUUACUAUUCAUCUUUAUAACUUGUUACUAUAUAUUAGUAUUUUUUUAAUUUUCUUCAAAUUAGCAUUAUCUAUCUUCAUAAUUUUUUAUGAGUAUUUUUUAUAUGAAACAUCAUAAAUUUUAUUCAUCAUAAAUUGUAAUAAAAUUUAUUAAGAUGUUCUAAUUUAAAAUAUUAAAGGUUUAUAUUCACUUGAACAUGAUUCAUGUUAUAAUAAAAUACUAUCUUAUUUAUAUUCUUUGAGAUUUUAUUAUUUAUUUAUUAUUUAAAAUUUAUAAGGGCAAGAUUGUAAAAGUAUUAGUUUUAAGACUUUUUAAGUUAAAAAAUAAAGAACUCAAUAAUUAUUUUGAAAGAUUCAAACGAAAACGAAAUAUGCCAUUCAAAUUCAGGCAUUUAGCUUUGUUUAGAUUUCAAGCCAAUUCAUAUUUAUUUAGAUUUCAAACAAAAAACAAUCGUCAUACUUCUUCACCAAAUGUCAAGUAAUUAAUUAAUUUGGGACUUUGUCUAUCUUUUCUAAUUUUUAUUUGAAUUUUUUGAAAUUGAGUCUUAAUUUUCUACUGCUACAACUAAAGUUUAGCAAACAUUGACUUUGAAUUGCCUGUAUAUAUCUACGUAGGUGCCAAUUUGAAGAUAAAGAUUGACUCAAAAUAAAUAACAAAUAACACUUACAGGUCCUUUCACCACAACUGAACUCUCUCGUCAGUCAUGAUAGGUGUAGACUUGGAAACUAAAAGUCUUCUAUAGGUGGAGAAGUCUUGUAUCUAACUUGUGAUAUAUUGUUAAAAAGGAGUCUAUGACUAUUUCAAUCAGGGAUGGCAAUGGGGCGGGGUGGGGGUGGGGAUGCCUACCCCAUUCCCCACCCCAUUAAAAUUUUUUGCCUCCAUUCCCCACCCCAUUCCCCAAUAAAUUUAGUGGGUUGGGGAUGGGGAAUCCCCACGUGGGGAAUGAUUCCCCCAUCCCCACCCUAUUCCCCAUUUACUUAUUUUAUAGUAGAUAUAAAAAUAUGAUUUCAGUAAAUUAAAAAUUAAAGACUUAAAAUAAAAUCAUCACCAUAUUAUAAAGUGUUUAAAUUUUUUUAAAAAUCUCUAAAAGUUUGAAACCAUAUUUUAAACUGAUAUUAAAAGUGAAAAAUAUUUAAAGAGAGCAGCACUUUAAAAGAGAAAAGAAAAUAUAAUAAUAUUUUAAAGUUAAAAAAUAUUGUAGGGUUUUCUUUUACUCAUAUUAUGUUUAUAUUACAUAAAAAUUAAAAAAUUAUUAAUUGACAUUAUAGUUGAUAAAAUAAAAAUUAAAAACAUAUUUAUAUAUAAUGGGGAUUGAGGUGGGGGUGGGGUGGGGAGUGCAAUACCAAACCCCACCCCGUUAAUAAUUUGGGGAUUAUUUUUCUCCCACUCCCCACCCCAUUCCCCAAAAAUUAUUAAAAAUUUUCCCCAUUUGGGGUGGGGCUCCAUGGGGCUCCAAACCCGUGGAGGAUUUUGCCAUCCCUAAUUUCAAUAGAUCUUAUUUAGUUAUUCUUUUCCCAAAAAAUUAUCGAAGCAAAUCGGUCGAUUAAUGAAUCAAUGUUUAUGCGUCGGCACGGUAGACUAGGGAUGCCAAUCUGGGUUUAUUCGAUUCAAUUUAAUGUGAAUUAAAUGAGUUUGAGUUUGAACAAAUUAAUUCGUUUAAUAAAUAGGUAAAUUCAAUACGAUUCAUUAGUUAAACAAAUUGAAUUCAGGUUUUAUUCAUUCAGGGUUCAUUUAAUAAAUACGUCAUAAACGAAUCAAAUACGAUCCAUUUAUUUAAAAUUAAUUUGAUUAAAUUACUUAUUUUCUUUAAAUAUGUAUGAAAAAUUUUAAAAUUUCAAAGCUAUUAUAGUAAUUAUAAAUGAUAAUAAGACAAAAUAUAUAGUAAUUCGAUUCGUUAUGGAUUCAUUAUAGAAUAAAUGAGUAGUAAAUAAAUUCAUAUUUGAUUCGAUUCAUUUAUUAGUUCUACUAAAUGAAUUAAAUUAAUCAAAUCGAAUAUUGUUUAAUAAACAAAUCAAAUUCAAAUCCUGAGAUUUGCUUAAUAAAUGAAUCAAAUCCGAAUCAACAGUGUUUUGACCCAAUUUGUUUACGAUUCAAUUUAAAUUUGAUUCAUUUAUUCAUUUUGCCGCCCUUGCAAAACUUAAUAUUAAUCUCAGCCUCAUUUAUUUUAUAUGUUCUGAAGAAAAAUCUUAAAGACCUUGUCACUUUCUAAUUAAUUAUUUCUUACAAAGAUGGCCCAAGGAAAUUAUGUACACCCCAACGUAUAAGUUGGGAGGUGCAAGUAGAAAUUAACUAUAAAGCAGCUGAGGAGGACUUCUGGUCUGCAGGAAAACAACCGACCACCAAUUUUGUGGCAUGAAAAUAGUGAAUGAGAUUGUAGAUAAAAUUUAAAUGAAUGAGAUGGUGUGGAUAGUACAUGAUAAAGUUCAUUUCAUUUUUUUUAUCAUUAAUCCUUUUUUUUAUUUGGGUGUUAAUUAAUUGAGUUGGUUAAUUUUUUUUUUUGUCUUAAAAAUAAGAUGUUUGAGGUUCCAAAAAUAUGUGAGGAGGAAAUUGAAUUGUUUUUUAGCUUAAAGGAACAACAUAAUUUAAAUUUUGAAUAAGACUUCAGUGCUGAGCUAUUUUUUGUUGAAUUAUUGACAAGUAAAAUAUAAAAUUAAAAAUAAAAAUAAAUCUUGACCAAUGAUUCCAUACUGAAUCCUAAUCUAUCAAUUUUUGCUUGACACUCUACAAAAGUUCAAACUAAUUACUUAGAAGGAUAAUGGAGAAAAAAAUUGAAAGCUAUGGUUAAACGCCAAUAAUUGACAAUAAAACAUUGGUGCAGAUACAAGCAUAAAAGUGCUUUCAUACGGUUUGAUCUUCUAGAUUCUACUUUCUACUCUUAUAAACUUAUAAGUGAUCAUGAACUGCAUGAGUCUAUUAUCCAUAGCGUAGAGUUGGUCAUAGACAACCUUGCACUUAAUAAUUUGAAACAAAAUGUCUUGCUACAACUAAAAUCUAGCAUGGACUCUCGAAGAUUAAUUAUCUAUGAAAUAUUGACCAGCUUGUGGCCAAUUUAGAGAAAAAGAUUGUCAUCGUAGACCGUUCACGUCAACUGUAAACUCCGCUCAUCAGUGAUGAUAGGUGUUAGAGUUGGAAACUAGAGUUUUCGUGUACGUGAAGAAGUCUUAUAUUUAAAUGUUUCUGUAGGUAAUUCCAUAAAAAGUAAUGAUAUAGGUAUAAAUUCUUGCACAAACUUAUUUUAUACAAACUAAUGUGACGUUAAUUAAUUGGUUGAAUUAAAUAUCUCUGGGCCCACAUAAUUUAUUUAUAUUAUUUUAUAUUUUCAUUCAACCAAUGAAUUAAUACUACAUCAGUUUGUACAAGAAUUUGUGACUGUAUCAUCACUCUUCCAUAAAACUAACUAGUGACAUAUUUAUUAAAUUACUUUUUUAUGACUACCUUUGAUCAUAGGAUUGUUUGAUCAUAGGAUUGUUUACUAGUCUUAUAUUUAAGUCCUCUUUGGCUUUUUUCUAAAUACAUGAACUAUACACGUCACAACAUUUGGAAUAAUCAUUUGAUCGAUCUCAAUGGAUCGUUUUGCAAUCUUCAUUAUUGUUGUUCUCUUGGUGUCUGCUGUCUUCUUGAUAUUAGCAUGUAAGAGAUUGUAACAUUUUCAUAUUUUGGUUUGACAUUCUUGAAUAAAAAGGCUUGCCAUUUUUUAAGAAAACUGCUAACCGUUUAAUCCUAGAGAGCAUGUUUUCUUUUCUACAGAAAACGGCUAACCGUUUGGAGAAAACGGCUAACCGUUUGGAGAAAACGGCUAACCAUUUAGUUCAAAAGUUAUUUGAAAGUUGACAUUCUGGAAGAAAAUGGUUAGCCAUUAGAAAACGGCUCGCCGUUAUUGAGAAAAUGGCUAACCAUUUUCUUCCAGAGAGCGUGUUUUGGCGUCAAUUGAAAAAAAAAGGCUAGUAGGUUUUGAGGAAAAAGAAAAACCGGUUGUGAAUAGAUGCAAAUUUCAAACCAAAGAGUGUCUUUGAAGAACUACCGUUUCUAAUGGUUGUAAUUUUUCAUAAAAAUAAUUUCUUCAUUAAAUUAGACACUCAUAUUAAAAAAAAAAAAAACUGGAUUAUUACAGAUUUCAUGUGUGUUCUUGAAAUACAAUCUUAUUUGCUAGAGAUUGUAUUCAGGAUUUGAUAAAUCUUGGGGGUAAUUUGCCAUUAAACUCUAUAGCAAAUUAAGAGUGGUGAGGGGAAAUAAAACCUUAAAGAAAAGUGUAUAAACACGUCUCAAAUCCUAAGAAAGUUUCCUUGUUCUUUGCCUCCAUAUUUGAAGAUCCACGUACAUAGCAUUCAUUUCUGGUUUAUCUAAUGGAGUAGAUUCAGUUCGUCUUGUUAUCCUUGUCGAUCACUCUGGCAGCAGUGGCCACUUUAGGCAUGAUUUUCUAUUGUGUGAGGAGAAAGCCCACUUUAAAUGAUUUUCUCAUUUAAUUGCACGACUUUGAGAGUCUAAUAUGCUAACAUACAUAUACAUAUCGUAAUUAAAGCUUUAGUUUCUUCACCCUUCAGGAGAGGAUUUGAUCAUGUUUGAUUUGGAUUUGAACCUGAAAGCCAACAACGUUAACAUAGAGCUUCCUGUAAACAGUAAUCUGACAAAAAGAAGCAAAAAGAAGGAAGUUGAUCAAUUGCCUUUAUUCAGUUUUUCCAGUGUUUCUACUGCAACAAAUAAAUUCUCCGACGCAAAUAAGCUCGGAGAGGGCGGCUUUGGACCUGUUUAUAAGGUACUACAGAUAUCAUUUUCUUUGGAGCGCUAAUUUCAUUUUUAACAGAACUAUAAAUUUACCAUCUGCAGGGGGUGUUAAAAAAUGGAGACGAGAUAGCUGUGAAACGGCUUUCAGGAAGAUCUGGACAAGGAUUGCGAGAGUUAAAAAAUAAGCUUCGGUGAUAGCCAAGGUUCAGCACAAGAAUCUGGUUAGACUUUUGGGCUGCUGCAUAGAUAAAGACGAGAAGAUUCUGAUCUAUGAGUACAUGCCUAACAAAAGCUUGGACUUCUUUCUUUUCGGUUAGUUAUUGCAUCUGUUAAUUUAUUUUUCUUACAUAUUCCUCUCUUCAAAUUUUAUAUUCAAAUUUUAUGCAUACAUUUGUUUGAACUACUAUUUAAUAUAAAAUUAUAUAUCAAAAAUUUAUUUAAACUAGAAUUUAGUCCAUGUUACUUAUCCAAAUUUUAUUCAUUAAUUUAUUUAAAAUAGCAUUCAUCCAUCCAUAAAUUAAAAAUUGAAUAUCUAAAAGAAUAUUUAAUAAUUAACAAUAUAACUUUAAGAAAUAAUCAUACUUUUAAAUAGUUUUUUUAACUUCCUUAAAUUGAAUUUAAUAUGAUCCUGUCCAACACUAAACCAAAUACAAGACAUUACUAUAAAAUAAUUUAGUCUAAUUCAAUCCAAUUCAAUCUUAAUAACUAGUCCAAUCCAAUCCUUUAUUUUGCAACAAACCUAACCUAAAAAAAUAUUUAGUAUUUUCUAUUUCAUUUAGCUAUUUUUAAGUUUAAUGAUUAACACAAUCGAAUUAUCAGAUUUUAAAAAAAAAUUAAGUUGCUAGAUCAAUUUACAUCAAAUUAUGUGGUCUACAUUUUUUUGUUUUCAUGCAUAAUGACAUUUAGUCUUUUUGUUGUAAAUUAGAUCCAACCAAGUGAAUGUUAUUAGAUUGGGUAACACGUGUUCGGAUUAUUGAAGGGAUAGCUCAAGGGCUUCUUUAUCUUCAUCAAUAUUCCAGAGUGCGAAUUAUUCAUCGAGAUUUAAAAGUUAGUAACAUCUUGUUAGAUAAAGAUAUGAAUCCCAAAAUAUCAGAUUUUGGAAUAGCAAGAAUUUGCAGAGGAAAUGAGUUACAAGCAAACACCGGUAGGAUCGUCGGGACAUAGUAAGUAAAUGACAAAAAUCAAAAUUAAAGUGAUUAAUUAGUUAUGCGUGAAUUGCUGAUUAUUAUUUAUUGAUUGUUGAAUUACAGUCGUUAUAUGUCCCCUGAAUACGCAAUCCAAGGAAUAUUUUCAAUUAAAUCUGAUGUGUUUAGCUUUGGAGUAUUGUUGCUCAAGAUUGUAAGUGGCAAGAAAACCACUGGAUUUUAUCGAACCUACUCUUUCACUCUGCUAGGUUAUAUAAGUAACAAAAGCCGUUGCACAUAUUCUUUUUUAUAUUACUAAUUAGGUGAAAAUAUAUAUGAAUUCCCAAGCGUGGACACGCACAAUGUGAAAACGUUUGGAUUUUUGCACCUGACUAUUUUUAAACUAUUCUCUAUAUCGAGUGUAGGACUAUCUAAUGACAUCGUAUGGUUGUUUAGGCAUGGGAUCUGUGGACAAGCAACAGGACAUUGGAGUUGAUUGAUCCAAUAUUAGAAGAUGAAUAUUCCUCCAAGCCUAUGCUUUUAAGAUAUGUGAACAUAGCUCUCCUUUGUGUACAAGAAAGUGCUGAUGAUAGACCCACCAUGAAUGAUGUUGUAUCCAUGCUUACAAAUGAAGCUGCAGCAUUGCUUCCUCCAAAACAACCUGCUUUUUCGUAUGUAAGAAAUACAGUCACUUCAACAUCGUCCACCGGCAAGACAGAAGAAGCGCGCUAGCUUUUAUUUUAAUGUGUAUCGAGUCACUUCAAAAUCUUGAGUGCUAGCUGUUAGCCUUCUCUUCCCGUUCAUUUUAUACUGUGCAUGUGUCUUUCAGUCAGUCAUUAUAACUAAAUGUAAUAAUGCGAGAAGCGAAUACAAUCAUGGGUUGGCUCUUCUUAGACCAAUAAAAUCACUAUCAAAUGUUAGCUCUAUCCUUGCAAAACUUUUCGAAGUCUACAGGUCCCGCAAGCAAAUAAAGUUGGUUUUGACGCGAGGACGAAUUGCAUUCAGUCAAUCAUUAGAUUUUUUUUAUUAUAUUAAAAAGUGGAGGAAUGAUCAAAGCUCAAAUUAAUUUUUUAUUUUCUAUUUUCUCCGAGAUUCAAACUUAAUUAGGUGAUCAUCUCAAUGAGACAACUUGAAAACUACGGGGUUGAGCUCCUGAGACUAAUUAUUAGAUAUUAUAUGGAGUAGUGACCCUGAUUUUUAUUGGUUCAACGGGGUCUGAUAUUAUCACGAGUCUGAUAUAUAAAAAGCAAUGCAUGGAACCAUUAUUUUCGUUCAAUGGGAUCAGAAUCAAGAAACUACGAACUCGGCAAGGCAAAAUCAACAAUUUGUAAACCGAGGGAGUGAGAGGAUCAAAACAUAUGUAAAGUCCAAAGAAAUGAACUAAAUUUUAAUUAAUACCCUUAUCUUGCUAUGAAUUAUAUAAUUCUAAUUCAAGAGACACUUUUAAACAAAAUUUUGGACACAAUAUUCUGACUAUUAGAUUAAAGCUAAGCAAGAGUUGAUAUUGAAGCUGACAUGCCUUUUUUAAGUUUUAAAAACUAAAAAUUAAUAUAAUGGAUCCUUAUAUAAUAAUAAAUUAUUGCUCGUUCUUCUCUCUCUUACUUAAUAUAUUCCCUCUUUUGUCACUUUUUUUUUCUUUGCUUACCCUUUUUAAGUCUCGCCUACAUUAAUUAGUUUGAACUUUUGCACGGCAUCAGUGAAAAAACUUAACCGACUGAUAGAGCUGAAAUGGACUUAAAUUUUAUUUUCACUCAUUGACUAUUUUCAGCAAAUUUAUUUUGUCCAUCAAAAUUCGUACCAGAGCCACUACUGAAAGUAGGAUAUGGCUUCCCCUUCAAUGUCUUGUGUAACCCAAAUUAAAUCAAUACAUCUUUAAUUUGAAUUUGUCGCAAGCCAAAGUUGAUAUUCCCAACAAAUUCUUCUAUUUCAAUUUUCACUGAACUUGAAAAUUUCAAUCCUGACAUAUUCGCUUUGCAGAUUACCUUUGCUCUUUAUCAGGGACUAUUUAGAUUGGGUCCCAUUGCUUCACACGAAUAGUGCUGUAUACGUGAACAGUAUCGUAUACAUAAACAGCACCCCUGACACCAAAACUUCAAUCAAUAACUCUGAUACCACUGUUAGGAAAUUGAGAUUCCUCCCAAGAUCACUCCAAGUAAUUUGUCAAGAAAUAAAUCAAUAGAAAAAUUAAAUUCAAAAUCAUAUCAAUCGCAUAACACAAGAUUUACGUGGAAAACUCCAAAUCUGGAGGAAAACUAUGGCAGUUGUCAAGAGACAACCAGAGAUAAAUAUUCACGAUGUGAAAAAUUAUUACAACCACACUUUCAUAAAUAAUUUACUCUCAGAAAUAAUUUUCUCUCACCUAAGCUCUAAAUACACCCAAAACUCUCAAUUUAAGAGUAAUUAAAUUUAACUCUCAAAUUCUCUCUAAAUAUAAGAGGAAAUGAAUUCUUUGGGAUGAUAAAAUCUUGUGAAAGGCUCUCUUAUUUAUAACCAAGUGGAUAGUACUGUUCAAACCGCAUUACUAUUCAUGCCGCGUUACUGUUCAUGUCGCAUUACUGUUCAAGCCGUGUGGUCAAACCGUGUUACUAUUCACCGCAUGGUAAAACCCGAUUGUUGAGUGUUAGAAAAUGUAUAUUUAUAAAGGAGAAAAUCGUCAUUUUACAUCUCAAGUUCCACUAACAUUCAUACUUUUAUGUAUUUAAGUUUCUUGUGAUUUAAUUAUGUGUGUUGUAUUAUAAUUAAGUAUUUUAUGUAUUUUGGGAGCAUCAUAGUCAUUUCACAAUGAACGAGAAUCAAACGGCUAAACAGACAUCACUUUUGAACUCAGGACAGUCGAAAACCUUAGGAGGAGCAUAAAAGGAAAAAUGUCAUUGUUCACAUGUACGGUACUAUUCACAUGUACGGUAUUGUCUACGACACUGUUCAUGACACUGUUCACAUAGACAGACCGAUGAUGUGGCAUUGACUGAUGAGGUGUCACGAUUCCAUUGGAGAAAAUUCUUAUGCACUAUUGAUCAGUGACGUGGCAGCAUAUUAGUGGACCAAAAAUUACGCGUACGGUACAUGCAUAUAAACAGGAUUAUUUUCAACCAAACCGCGUCACUGUUCAAGCCGGUUGACUAUUCAAACCGUGUACUGUUGACUGAUGACGUGGCGCAAUCCUGAACGUCCAAACUGUUUUUAAUCUGAUAGUCAUGAUUUACUCAAUGUAUCUAUAAAAAAAGGGCAUCCCCCCUAAUUUGGCAUCUCUCUGAAUCCAUUUUUGGGCUCCAUUUUUUGUAAUUCCUUCUUCAUCUUGUAUUUUCUACGUAUUUUAAUAAAUUCUCAUUUUGCCCUUAGUUCAAUUAUGAGUAGCUAAUUUUCUUUCAAGCUUGGGUUGAAGGUGAAGUCUCAACAUGUGUCAUGGGCUUUAUUUGGUAAAUUUAAUUUCUCUUCCCCUCUAAUUAUUGUGGAUGUUUUGACUUUUCCUUGACAAAUAGUAAUAAUCUUGUCUAGAUACCGUCCUGGUUUCACCAACUCCCUAGUACAAGAUUAUUAUUAUUUGACACAAUAAGCCCUUAGCACUAUAUUGAUUAGAGCGUGGUUCAUGAGUUGUGGAUUCCCCCACUCAUGAUUUAAUUGACACUAAUAAGGAAUAUUUAGCCCAUGGUACAUGUUGAUGCGGAUCCAGAUACCCAAGCACUUCAAUUAUUAUAGUUUUUGCUUCAAUUUAUUCUCGUCAUUUUAAUUCAAAUUCUAAGAUAGUCUAAAUCACUUUCACCAUAAAUCCAACCACCCAUUUAGAAAAAUUAAUUUUACACACAAUUAAAAUCCACAUCCUCGUGAGAUCAACACUCAUCACCAAUAAUCUAUUCUACAAUAGAUUCGUGCACUUGCGAGUUCAAUAAAAUUUGCACAACAUCUAUUUUUAACAAUUCUCCCACUUGAAGAUUAGAAUGAGAACCAAUCAAUCUCCACGGCAUUCUUACUAUCUUCACCUUAGUCAUAAUCCUCAAUAAAGAGAAUUAUCAUACUCCACUAUAAAGAGUAUACCACUUAGAAUUAAUUACCAAUUUUAGGAAUUUUACAUCGACUCAUGUCGAAAUAUUCUACUGAAAUUUAUGGUGCAACUUUCUUGUUGGCUUUCCUGGAAGUUUGUCAGCCAUCAACAUAAAUUCCACCACACACCCUACAACAAUGCCAACCAUGCAUUGUGUGCAAAUCUUGCGGACCUGCUAGCAGUGACACAUCCACUUUCAUAACACUAGCAGCAUACCAUAGAGAUGUCAUCAUCAUUUAUUUUACAAGGGAGCAUCAUCUCCCAUAAUAAUGAGAGACUUACCACUAGCAAUGCUAUCAGUAUCUUAUUUGGAGCCAGUUGCCGACCCUGCUUCAUUUCUCCUAUGACAGUCUCUUUUUAGGUGCCCUAAUUGUCCUCACCCCAAUAGACUCCUUUCUUUUUAAAUUUAUCUUUCUUCCAAUUGCCAAAGCCGAGACAUCUGUAGUUUCAGUACUUUCACCACUCAGUCUUCUUUCUUCCAAGAGUAAAGUAGUAGCAACUUCUUCAAGAUAUAUUGUCUCAUUCACAUACAUUAAAGUAAGUGAUAGGUGUUUGUAGGAAGUUGGAAGUGACCAUAGCAGCCUAAGCGUCUUGUCCUCAUCUUCAAUUUUAACUUCAAUGGCUUCUAGUUCUGUCAUAAUACUAUUGAGAACAUUGAGGUGAUCGGAAAUUUUUGUUCCUUCAGCCAUUCGCAGCGUGUGAAAUUACUUCUUCAGGUACAAUCGAUUUGGGAUGCUCUUUGUCUGAUAUAAUUUUUUUAGCCUCUCUCAAAGCUCUUUCACUGUAGGAAUAUUUCCUACAUUUGCAAAAACAUUCUUUGCUAGACAUAGUCAUAUGAAACUUGCAAUUCUAUCAUCCAACUCUUCCCAAUCUUCAUCGCUGAUACUAGCUUUUAGAGAGCCACUACUAGAAGCAGGGGAUGGCUUCCCCUUUAAUGCCUUAUGUAACCCAGAUUGAAUCAACACAUCCUUAACUUAAAUUUGUCAUAAAACAAAGUUGAUUUUCCUAUCAAAAUUUUCUAUUUCAAUUUUCACUGAACUUGAAAAUUUCAAUUCUGACAUAUUUGGUUUGCAUAUUAGCUUUGCUAUUUAUCAUAGACAAUUUAGAUUGGCUCCCAUUACUUCAGGUGAACAAUACCGUAUACGUGAUAGUACCCCUGAUAACUAUAGGAAAUGAGAGUUAUUACAUCAAUUCUAAACUUGAAUCAAGAUCACUUAGAGAAUAAAUAAGGUGUUUUUAUUACAUUUUGGUUGCAUUUUGUAUAAACAUUCAUUUUAGUUGAGUCUUAAUAAGUUUGCUUGAAUCAAAGUAAUUUGUGCUAAAAACAAGUGCAUAAUUGUAGGUUCUCAGAAAGUUGUAAUAUAUGAGGGGAUGUUGAGACUGUAGAUGAGCAAGAGGAGGAAAGAAGAUGGCCACAAAAGAAGAAAAGCACAAUCGGGAAUAAUGCAGUGUUGUUGAGGAUGUUAGAGCAACCUGUGUUGUAGCAAUCUAGGAGCAAUGCGGGAGAAAACUUAGGCGCGGGUCAGCACAUGUUUCCUAAUUUAACGCAUGCACGCUAAUAGGGCUUGUGUUUCCCCUAAAUUGCAAUAUAAAAGGUAGGCAUGCACCACAUAGAAAGGCGGCAAGGGAAUCAUUAGAAUAAUUACAAAGGAAAAGAAGAAGAAGAUCGGAAUUGAAGAGUGUUGUUUUCGGCAACAUUGGAGAAUAAUGCAGAAUUACUUGGAUUUGUUUUUCACCGUGCUCAACUUAUAUUUAUCUUCUUCCUUUAAUUGUUUUGAUGUAUUCCGAGAUCAAAAUAUUUAUGUUUAUUUUUCUCUUUCAGAUUAUAAACUAAAUUUACUUGUAGUUGAGUGACAAAUAAUCCAAUAGGUUCUUGAUUGUUCUUAUAUGUUGUGAUGGCACUGUUGUAGCAUUUUACUCUAGUAGUUUUGUAUAAAUAUAAUUGUUAUUUCGAUUGACCACCUAUUUAAUAGUUUCAGUUAGGAUAGAGCAGCAAAAGGGCAUGUCUUAGCGGAUAUUAUUAGAGUACUACUUGAUCUUACGUUGAGUUUCCUGGAUUAAGUUAUCUUGAAUCCCAUAAGGGCAAUACUUGAAGUUAAGAUUUGUGACACACUAGAUAUAGGUGUUCACCUUGUAGGGUGGAGAGAUUGAAGGUUAUAAUGCUGUACCACAACCAUAUUAGCAACUGGUCAUUGUUAAUAGAUUUAAUGGUAUGAGACAUCCAACAUGCGAUAGCUGAAGAUGCAAGUUUAUUCUGCCCAGUGCUGCAGCACUUGUUGUAACAACUGGUGCUAACUUGAUAAACAACAGUCACCCCAUUAGGAGAAUUUGAUCAUUCAACUACUAUAAUCUCAAUUGAAUCUUAGACACAUUUAACUUAGUUUAUUUCGUUACGGUAUUAUUUUAUUUAAUUCUUUCACAAUCCUCAAUUACUUUGGAAAUUACUUUACAAUUGUUUGUUUCGGUCCUAAGUUGAUUUGCACUAUUGUGAUUGCUUUAACUUUUUGAGUAACAUCAAUCCAUGUGGAGGCGAUCUUGAAUACUUAUCACUUUAUUACUUGUUGUGUAUACUUGCACAUUGGCAUUGGUAGUAAUUGCUUAUAAAAAUCAACCAACAACCCCCGAUGCCAAAACUUCACCCAAUGGCUUUGAUACCACUGUUAGGAAAUUAGGAUUCCUUCCAAGAUCACUUGAAACAAUUUGUCAAGCAACAAAUCAACAGAAAAUUAAAUUGAGAACAAUAUUAGUAGCACAACACAAGAUUUACGUAAAAAAACUCUAAAUCUAGAGAAAUAUCACGAUCGUUGUCAAGAGACAGCAAGAGAAAAUAUUCACUAUGUGGAAAAUUAUUCCAACCAUACUUUCAUAAAUAAGUUUCUCUCACCCAAACCCCAAAUACACCUAAAACUCUCAAUUUAAGAGUAGUUGUAUUCAACUCUAAAAUUCUCUCUAAAUAUAAGAGGAAAUGAAUUCUUUGGGAUGAUAAAAACUUAUGAAAAGCUCUCUUCUUUAUAACCAAGCGAAUAACACUAUUCAAACUGUGUUACCACAUAUGUCGUGUUACUGUCCAUGCCACGUUACUGCUCAAGCCGUGUUACUAUUCACCGCGUGGUCAAUCUGUGUUAUUGUUUACCGCAUGGUAAAAUCAUAUUUUUAACUCCUUGGAUCUCAACUAGUGUGAUUUGCGUGGGAAGUUUCCAGAAAAGAUAUUGUAGGUACCUACACUUCAGACUCUUGACUUGUCAUACAGCUCAUUACUUCAAGGUCUUCUACCUAGCUUUCCUGAGAAUUCUUAUCUUUGAAACCUGAACUUAGCAAACACGAGCUUUUUAGGCACACUACCAGAUUCCAUUGGGACCCUUGAAAAUUUGACAAGGGUAGAUCUUAGAAGUUACAAUUUCACAAGGCCAAUUCCCACUUCAAUGGCUAAUCUCGCCCAAUUAUUUCACAUGGACUUCUCAUCAAACCAUUUCUCCGGUCCCAUCCCAUCUCUUCACAAGUCAAGAAAUCUUAACUAUUUAGACCUUUCAUCCAAUAAUUUAAAUGGUGGGAUCCCACCCACCUUCUGGCAAAAACUUUUAAAUCUCAAUAUUUUUGUCUUGUCGCACAAUUCACUGAAUGGAAGUAUCCCAAAAUCUAUGUUUCUAUUUCCAAUUCUAGAGAUACAUCUGCUCUCAAACAACCAGUUUGAGAACCAAUUUCCUGAAAUUUCAAAUAUGUCCUCUUCUGUAUUGCCUGGCCUUGAUUUAAGUGGCAACAAAUUAGAAGGGCUUCUCCCCAUUUCAAUAUUCCCUGAACUUAGAAACUUUCAUACCCUCAAUCUUUCUUCCAACUAGUUUAGCAAAUUGAGACUGGCUUCAAGCAAACCAUGGGUUAUUCCUAUUCUAAAAAACCAAUCACAACUUUCUUUUUUUUAUAUUUCAAAUAACCAAAUAUCUGGAGAAAUACCAAAUUGGAUUUGGGAAGUUGGUGGUGUCAAUCUUUAUUUCUUAAAUCUUUCACAGAAUCUCCUAGUGAGCUUGCAAGAACCAUACCAUAUUUCUGGUAUAUGCUCGCUUGACCUACACUCCAACCAGCUCCAAUGAAAUAUUCCUUACAUGGCACCAAAAACUUCCUAUGUCGAUCACUCCAACAAUAAUUUUCAUAGGUAGAACUUACUCAUUUUCCACUAUAAACAAGAGUCUCAUUGGAUUCAUCCCUGAAUAUAUAUGCAAGGCUACGUAUUUUCAGGUUCUUGACUUAUCAAACAAUAAUUUGAGUGGCUCAAUUCCUGCAUGUUUAAUCACCAAGAGUAGCACCACUUUAGGGGUUUUAAACUUAAGGAGAAACAACCUCGGUGGCACUCUUUCUAACAUAAUAUUUCUAGGAAUUUUUGGGUUGCAAAUUCCACAUCUCAGUGGAAAUCAACUAUAAGGAGUAGUUCUAAAAUCUCUUGCCAACUGCAAUAUGCUGCAAGUUUUAGACCUCAGGAAUAACCAUAUUAGUGAUAAUUUCCCAUGUUGGUUAAGGAAUGCUUUUAGUUUGCAAGUUUUAGUUUUUCGAUCCAAUAACUUCUCUGAACGCAUUAGUUGUCCAAGAAAUAAUGUCUCCUGGCCUCUGCUUAAAAUAGUCGACUUAGCAUCAAGUAAAUUCAGUGGAAGACUUCACAAAAAUGGUUACUUACCAUGAUGGUUAAUGAAAACAAAUCCAAAUCUGAGCUUAACCACCUUGGAUAUGAGACAUGAAGCAACCAAUUAUAUAAAUUUGGAGUAAUAGUUACUGUAAAAGGUGUAGAUCAUACAACCAAAGAUCCCAAAUAUAUUCACUUCCAUUGACUGUUCAAGCAACAAUUUCGAAGGGCCAAUACCAGAAGAAAUGGGACGAUUCAAAUCACUCUAUGCUCCAAACAUGUCGCACAAUGCUCUCAAAGGCUCGAUACCGUCAUCGUUUGGGAACUUGAAACAAAUUGAGUCCUUGGACCUCUUAAUGAACAACCUCAGUGAGAAAAUUCUUGCCUAGCUUGCAAGCCUAAAUUUCCUAUUGGUGCUAAAUCUCUCAUACAAUAACUUAGUGGGAAAGAUUCCGACAAGUACUCAACUCCAAUCAUUUUUACCAACUUCUUAUGAAGGAAACAAAGGAUUGUACAUACCUCCUUUAACAAAUGACAUCCAAACACAUCCUCCUGAGUCACAACCUUUACCACCGCCAGCUUCAAGCAAUGAAAUUGAUUGGUUCUUUAUAGCCAUAUCAAUUGGAUUUGCGGUAAGCUUCGGAGCAGUUGUUUCACCUCUAAUGUUUUUUGUGCACGUAAAGAAAUGGUAUAACGAUCUUAUCUACAAAUUUAUAUAUCGGCGAUUCCGUGUGUGAAGUGAUUUAUAUCUCUCCUUUUGAAUAAUCAUGUAAGCUAGCUUUUGAUUUUCUCUUAUAUCAUAGAUAUUUGAGAUUUCGUUUCUUCUCUGUUUCAUGAAGUUAAUAAAGUUGACAAUAAUUUAAAAUAAGGGCCUAUCUAUAAUUGUUACUGCGACAAUCUUUAUCUCAAAAUUGGCUCCAAGUUAAAUCUAUAUUGGCGCAAUUCGUACACAACAUAUCCCCGUGAGUCCAUACAAAAUUAAUAUGUGCAUGAUUAUGUAUGAUUCCAGCUCCAAGCUAGAUACAUAGCGAUUCAUGAUCAUAUUCCAUUUGUUCACAAGGAAGUUUUAUAAAGUAGAAAUAAGAAUUUAGAAGAUAACAUUUGAGGAAAUGUGUGGGUUAUGAGACCAUCUAAGAAAUUAGCCCAAAAAGGCUUCAGGCCCUUAUGGCCUGGCCAAUUAGUUUGUUCAAAAUAUUAGUUUAUGUUGUAUUUAAUUGUUAGAAUGAGAGUAGCGAGUAUGGAUUCUUCCCACUCUAGUGUUUUCUUUCUUUUUUAAUGAGAGGAGUGGAAGUCUCACUCCUUGGAUCCCACUCAUUUUUUAGUAAUGAAUUGGAUUCUGACAUCUAUAGGGGCCACUUCCACCUCUUCCUUUUUUAUCCUUUUCUUAUCAAAUAUAAUAAAAUUUAUAUUUAUUAAAAAUAAAAUAAUAUUACAUUGUUUAAAAAUAAUAACAUCAUAUUCAUUUAAAUAAUAUUAUUCUAUUUAGUUAAAAAUAAUAAUUUAUGUAAUCUAAGUUAAAAUUACCUAAAAUAAUGCUACCCACAUUCUUGAUUGGCCGGCACACCAACCUUUUCUUUAACCUCAAAAUGACUUUAAAUUUAGGUCAAUAAUUUCUUAGAGGCAUUUAAACAAACCAUUAGUAUGCCAUUUAUUAGAUAUCUUAAUCUUAAGAAAACUAUAAUAUUUUCAUAUCCAAUACAUAUCUAAUGAUUAACUAUGAUCAAUGAUCAAUCAACCAAGCAAUUUAAAAAAAAAAUUAUUCUAAAUUAAUGAAAAAAUCGAGAAAGUACCUAAGCCGCCGAAACCGGAAAUGAAGGAACUUGCUAGAAUCAAACUAUAACUCACACAAAUUACAAUCGGAAGUGAAGCAAAUCGCCGCCGAAAGUGAAGGAAAUUGCUGGAAUUCAAGAAACGCUAGAAGUGAAGAAACUCCUACACGUGUAUAUGGGGUGAUGGGAGAUGUUUUUGGGCGAUGUUGGGCGAAAUAUUUUUUUUUGUUUGUUUAGUUUUGAGAAUUUAUGGAUAUUUUAGUUUAAGAACCUUAUAAAUGAUUGCUAUUGUAAGAAAACAUGGAGUGUGGUUUUUUCUUAUAUUAAAAAUUGGAAGGUGGUCAAAUGGGUAAAUUUCCCAAUAAUUUUCCAACGUGUGUAUGAAUCUUGUGUUGGCUCUUCAUAAAACCUGUAUUGUUAGCUCUAUCCGUACGGCUUUUACAAGUCUGAGGGCUCCACAAGCAAAUUAGCGUUCAGUUUGACGCGAGAUGAAUUGCAUUCAAUCAACUUUUUUUAUUACAAGCAAUAAAAUCACUAUCAAAAUUCAAAUGUUAGCUCUAUCCUUACAAGAUUUUUUGAAGUCUACGGGUCCCGCAAGCAAAUCAAAGCUAGCUUUUGAGUUUGAUGCGAGAACGAAUUGCAUUCAAUCAAUUAUUAGAUUUUUUUUUAAUAUAGUAGAGGAAUAGUGAAAUUUAAAUUAAUUUUUUUAUUAUACUUAUUUCAAGAUUCAAACUCCCGUAAUUAAUUAAGUAAAUCUGUGUAAAAAUCACUUGGCUAAGACUCUUUGGGACUAAUUAUUGGAUAUUAUAACAAAUAAAGACCCUGAUUUUUAUUGGUUCAGUAGGGUCUGAUACUAAUUAAAAUUAAUAUACUGGAGAAGGCAGAAAGAAUCCUAGUUAAUAUAGGCAGCAACGCAUGGAGCCAUGAUUUUGGUUCAACGGGAUCAGAAUCAAGAAACUACGAACUUGGGGAGGCCAAGAUCAACAAUUUGUAAAACGAUGAAGUGAGAGGAUAAGAACAUAUAUAGAGAUUCCAAAGAAAUGGACUAAAUUUUAAUUAAUACCCUUAUCUUCCUAUGAAUUAUAUAAUUAUAAUCUUGUAAUUAUCACAUACUUACUAGGUCCCAACGAUUCCAUUAGUUUCCAAAAUCCUAUCCUUCAUUUCAAAAUUAUUUUAAUUAGUUUCCAAGUCUACACCUAAAAGCUAAAACUUUUAGUUUGCUUUGAAUAAUCCUAAAAGUUUUUGCUUUAAUUUUCUCUUACGCUUACAUUGGUACAACUUUCCAAAUAUAGCUUAUUUAAAUAAAGUUUUUAUCAGUAAAUCUUUUAUAAAUAGCGUUUUUAUAUAAAUAAUUUUAGUUAUUUGUUUGUCAAUGCAAACUUUUAUUAAAAAUUAUAAAAUUAUUUAAUAAGCACGUUUUUUAAAAUUAUAUUAUGAAAUGAAUGAAAUAAAAUUAUCGAAUCAAUAAAUAAUUUUUAGAUGUUUUAAUAUUUUAAAAAACGUUUUUAACCUUUACUCCCAAAGGCCCAAAAUUUGAGUUUUUGCUAGUAAAGAAAAAAUAACUUAUUUAAUUUUUAAAGGCUCUACUAAAAAAAAAUCCAAACAAUGAAAAUAAAUCUUAAAAGAGUUAAUAUAUUUAAAUAAGUACUUAUAUCCAUUACAUAAAAGUAUGCCUAACAUACAUAAUAUCUUAUUUGUUUGAGAUUUCUUUUCUUCUCCUGUUUGAUAAAGUUAAUAAAAUAAUUAACAAGAAUUUCAAAUAAGGGCCUUUAACUUAUGUCAUUGAGACAAUAUUCAUCUCCAAACUGGCUCCAAGCUAGAUAUAUAUUGUACGGGCAAUAUUCAUAGACGAUCUCUAACAGUUCAUACUAAAUUUUAGUUGUAACAAGAUAUAGGCUAUUUGCACCUUAAAAACUACUCUGAACACUCUUGUUUUAAUAAAAUAAUCUAAUUACAAAAUUAGCCAUAUAUAAAUUACUAUUAAGGAUAAUUUAUUUGUGAGCCAAUAUAACUUAAUGACUUUAAAACUCAUAUAAUACACUCAUUAUUUAACAUAUAAUCUUUUAUAUCUAACAUCUUAAAAUAUAAUUCAUUGAACAUGCAGCAAAUCAAUAUUUUAAAUAAUUUUGAAGACAAAAUAUUUGUAAGACUUACAUUUUUCAAGAAAUAAAAUAAACAGAAAUUAUUGCAAAGGUGUUCAUAUUUUUUGUCUUUGAUUUAAAAAUAAAUACAUUAAAGCACUCUAAACCUAGUAACCCAAUCAACAUCUUUUUCUUCUUCUUUUUGUGUCAGAUUACAAUUUGGUUUUCAAUUAUUAUUAGGGUAGUGAAAGUCCAUACUUCUUGAUCUUAAAUAAUUUAUAGGUGCAAAAAUUGAUAUGGAAUACAUUCUUUAAUUAAUAAAAACUAAUAAAUAAAAUUAUUUUAAAAAAUUUGUUUAAAACUUGACUUAAUUCCAUUGUUGCUAGUUAUGCUAUAUUUAUUACAACAAUUUUCUUUGAGUGUGCUGAAUAUUUUUAUUGGUGUUUUCAGUAAAUUAAUUUAAAUGAUUUAAGUGGGAUACUUUUGGCAUCUUAAAGAGUGUACAAAGUAAAAAUUAAUUUUUCAAAUUUAACGUAUGAGUAUAUAAAGUAAUAGAGUGUUUAGAGUACUUUUUAGAGUGUAAAUAGCCCAACCUUUUUAUAAAAAAAAAAAAAAAAAAAAAAAAAAAAAAAAAAAAAAAUUGUAACAAGAUAUUUGUUCAUAGCAUAGAAUGAAAAACAAUGUUAUAAGAAAUGAGCCGAACCAAGUUUUAAGUGACUUACUUCUAUAGUUUUAUGCGCCGGUCUCCUACUAACUUUUUAUUGUCGUAAUUGUGGGCCUAUAAAAAUGGAAGAUUCCUGUAUUUGAUGUACGCAUUUAACCAAAAGAUCCAAUUUUCUUUGUUUUUUUUCUACCAAGUCCUGGCAACAUUAAUUAGUUUGGACUUUUGUAGUACUUCUAGCUCCCAGUUUAUACGUUGGGGUUGUAACUUCUUGGGAACUUCGGCCAUCUUUUUCCCGUUAUAUGAAUUCAUCGCAAAUCCCAAGUUUCAUUACUCCUCUCCGAGUUUCAUUUCAGCAAUUAUUAAAACAAUGCGAUCAAUUUUACUCUUAUCAUGGUCUUUCUUAAUACCCUUUUUACCCAAUUAUUUUGGGAUCCAAAUGGUUUUGGUUUCUGGCCAAUGUCGGAGCGAUCAACAAUCUUUGUUACUCCAAAUGAAGAACAGUUUCAGACUAAGCAAUGACAGUGUCUUUCCAUCUACAAAACUGAGUCAGUAGAGUAGCCAUCAAAGCUCCGAUUGUUGUGAUUGGAGCGGUGUAAGGUGCGAUGAGGCUGGUCAUGUUAUUGGUCUCGACUUGAGCAGGGAACCAAUCAUUGACGGACUUGAGAAUGCGACUGGCCUUUUCGAUCUUCAAUAUCUGCAGAGCCUCAAUCUGAGUUUCACUCUCUUCUACGGAUUCCAAAUUUGACUCACCUGAAUCUUUCCCAGGGUGGCUUCGCGGGGGAGAUUCCCAUUGAGAUUUCAAGCUUGACAAGGUUGGUUACUCUUGAUUUGUCAGGCCUUGAGCACAGGUUGGUUACUCUUGAUUUGUGAGGCCGUGAGCGCUCAAGAGUAUUUUCCUGGAGAAUUGAGAUCCCAAACUUAAGCUUGUUUCUGCAGAACUUAACAGAGCUCAGAGAAUUACAUCUUGAUCGAAUAGAUUUGUCCGCCUCCGGAACUGAAUGGUGCAAAGCUUUAUCAUUUCUACCCAAUCUACAAGUUUUAAGCUUGUCUGGCUGUGAUCUUUCAGGUCCAAUCAAUCAUUACCUGGCAAAGUUACGGUCGCUCUCCGUGAUUCGUUUGUAUGACAAUUACGGUCUAUCCUCAUGUACAGAGUCUUUGGCCAAUCUGCCGAAUUUGAAGACCUUGGAUCUCAGCGAGUGUGGGUUGCAAGGGAAGUUUCCAGAAAAGAUAUUGCAGGUUCCUACCCUUGAGACUCUUGACUUGUCAGAAAACCAAUUGCUUCAGGGUUCUCUGCCAAACUUUCCUAAGAAUUCUUCUCUUCGGAACCUGAUCCUCUCUGGGACGGGAUUCUCAGGCACACUACCAGAUUCCAUUGGGAAUCUUGAAAAUUUGACGUGGGUAGAGGUUAGACGUUGAAAUUUCACAGGGCCAAUUCCCCCUUCAAUGGCUAAUCUUACCCAAUUAUUUCACAUGGACUUCUCAUCUAACCAUUUCUCUGGUCACAUCCCAUCUCUUCACAAGUCAAGAAAUCUUAAGUACUUAGACCUUUCGUUCAAUAAUUUAAGUGGUGGGAUCUCAUCCACCUUCUGGGAACAACUUGUAAAUCUCAAUCUUGUUCUCUUGUCGCACAAUUCACUUAAUGGAAGUAUUCCCAGAUCUCUGUUUCUACUUCCAAAUCUGGAGACGCUUUGGCUCUCCAACAACCAGUUUGAGAACCAACUUCCAGAAAUUUCAAAUGUGUCCUCGUCUGUUUUGUUUGACCUUGAUUUAAGCGGCAACAGAUUAGAAGGGCCUGUCCCCAUUUCAAUAAUUUUUGAACUCAGAAACCUUUAUACCCUCGAUCUUUCUUCCAAUAAGUUUAGCAGAUUGAGACUGGCUUCAAGCAAACCACGGGUCAUUCCUAUUCUAAAAAACCAAUCACAACUUUCUGGUUUGGACAUUUCAAAUAACCAAAUACCUGGAGAAAUACCAAAUUGGAUUUGGGAAGUCGGUAAUGGCAAUCUUAACUUCUUAAAUCUUUCACACAAUCUCCUAGUGAGCUUGCAAGAACCUUACUCUAUUUCUAGUAUCCGCUUGCUUGAUCUGCACUCCAACCAGCUCCGAGGAAAUAUCCCUCACAUGUCAACAAAUACUUCCUACGUCGAUUACUCCAACAAUCAUUUUACUUUCAUCCCAGCUGACAUUGGUAAUUUCAUGUCUGAAACUGAAUACUUUUUCGCUGCAAACAAUAGUCUCGUUGGAGUCAUCCCGGAAUCUGUAUGCAAGGGUAUCUAUUUUCAAGUUCUUGACUUAUCAAACAACAAUUUGAGUGGCACAAUUCCUGCAUGUUUAAUCGCCCAGAGUGAAACCACUCUAGGGGUUUUAAACUUGGGAAGAAACAACCUCAAUGGCACUCUUUCUGACACAAUAUUUCCAAGAAAUUGUGGGUUGCAAAUUCUAGAUCUCGGUGGAAAUCAACUGCAAGGAGUAGUUCCAAAAUCUCUUGCCAAUUGCAAUAUGCUGCAGGUUUUAGACCUCAAGAAUAACCAUAUCAGUGAUAAUUUCCCGUGCUGGUUAGGGAAUGCUUCUAGUUUGCAAGUUCUAGUUUUGCAAUCCAACAACUUCUCCGGACACAUUAGUUGUCCGAGAAAUAAUGUCUCAUGGCCUCUGCUUCAAAUAGUCGACUUAGCAUCCAAUAAAUUCAGCGGAAGACUAUCACAAAAAUGGUUACUUACCAUGGAGGAGAUGAUGGUUGCUGAAACCAAAUCCGGAUCUGAGCUCAAACACCUUCGAUAUGUGAUAUCGAGCAACCAAUUCUAUGAGGUUGGAGUAACAGUUACAGUAAAAGGUGUAGAGACCAUGCUACUGAAGGUCCCAAAUAUAUUCACUUCCAUUGACUUUUCAAGCAACAAUUUCGAAGGGCCAAUACCAGAAGAAAUGGGACGAUUCAAAUCACUCUAUGCUCUGAACAUGUCGCACAAUGCUCUCACAGGCUCGAUACCAUCAUCUUUUGGGAACUUGAAACAAAUUGAGUCCUUGGACCUCUCAAUGAACAACCUCAGUGGGAAAAUUCCUGCCCAGCUUGCAAGCCUAAAUUUCCUAUCGGUGCUAAAUCUCUCAUACAAUAACUUAGUGGGAAAGAUUCCGACAGGUACUCAACUCCAAUCAUUUUCACCGACUUCUUAUGAAGGAAACAAAGGAUUGUACGGACCUCCUUUGACGAAUGACAGCCAAACACGUCCUCCCGAACUUCAACCUUCACCGCCGCCAGCUUCAAGCGAUGAAAUUGAUUGGUUCUUCAUAGCCAUGUCAGUUGGAUUUGCGGUAGGCUUCGGAGCAGUUGUUUCACCUCUAAUGUUUUCCGUGCGGGUAAAUAAAUGGUAUAACGAUCUUAUCUACAAAUUUAUAUAUCGGCGAUUCCGUGUGUGAAGUGAUUUAUAUCUCUCCUUUUGAAUAAUCAUGUAAGCUAGCUUUUGCUUUUCUCUUAUGUCAUAGAUAUUUGAGAUUUCUUUUAUUCCCUGUUUGAUGAAGUUGACAAUAAUUUGAAAUAAGGGCCUAUCUAUAACUGUUAUUAAAUCUUUAUCUCAAAAUUGGCUCCAAUUUAGAUCUAUAUUGGCUCAUUUCACACGCAAUAAAUCUUCGAGAGUCCGUACUAAAUUAAUAUGUGCAAGAUUGUGUAUGAUUCCUACACCAAGCUAGAUACACAGCGAUUCAUGAUCAUAUUCCAUUUGUUUACUUGGGAAGUUUUAUAGAGUAGAAAGAAGAACUUAGAAGAUAACUUUUCAUGAGUCCGUCCAAGAAAUGAGCCCAAAAAGGCUUCGGGCCCUUGUGGCCAAGCCUAGUAGUUUGUUCAAAAUAUUAGUUUAUGUUAUGUUUAAUUAUUGAAAUGAGAGUAAAUAGUAUGAAUUCUUUCCACUUCAAUGUUUUCUUGUUUAUAUAAUGAGGGGAAUGAGAGUCCCACUCCAUGGAUCCCACUCAUUUUCCGAGUAAAGAGUGGGAUUCUCACUUCUACAGGGGCCACUCCCACCUCUUUCUUUAUUAUCAUUUCUUUAUCAAAUCUAAUAAAUUUUAUAUUUAUUAAAAAUAAAAUAAUGUUACAUUAUUUAAAAAUAAUAGCAUCAUAUUUAUUUAAAUAAUAUUAUUAUGUUUAGUUAAAAAUAAUAAUUUAUGUAAUCUAAGUUAAAAUUACCUAAAAAUAUUAUUAUUAUAUUCAUAGAGAAUUAAUAUUAUUACAAUAUACUAUCUUUAUUUUAAAAAAUAAUAUUUUAUAUUUAUUUAAUAUUAAUAAAUAGUUUAUUUUAAGAAAAUAUUAAUUAUGUACUAUAUUAUUAAUAAUAAUGUUUCAUUUUUUGCUCUUAUAAUAAUUUUUAAUUUACAUAAUUAAAAUUAAUAAAAAAUUAUGAUUUACAUGAUUAAGAAUAUUAAUAAUUAUUAGUAAUUUAUGUAAUUAUAUAAUUUAUUUUAUAAAUAUAUUUUUUAUUUACUUUAUAAUUAAAAACUACAAUAUUUUAAAUAAGGGUAAAAGUGUAAUUUAAAAUAAUUUACUCCUAAUCCAAGUCAAAGUAAAAAUAUAUAAAUACGAUUCUCCUAUUCCACACUCUCCUUUCAAUGUAAGUAAACAACAUAUUUUCAAUUCCAUCACUCUUACUUUUAAAUAAAUGAAAAAGAAAAACUCUCAAAUAAACAAAUAAAAGCUUUUAUGUAUGUGCCCCAAUAACAUUUUUAUUGUCAAUUAUUUUGAGUUAUUAAUAUUGUGCAAUUUUUACAUUGAAUAUAGUUGUACAUAAUUUAUCUAACUUUAAUAUUAUUUUUGUUACUGACUUGUGUCUCAGCUAGGGGUGGGCAAAUUGGGUUUCGGUUCGGGUUGUUCGGGUUUCGGUUUGGGUUUCAACCCGUUCGGGUUGGAGAAUUGAACCCAAUCGGGUUGAAAACGCCAACUCGAACCAAACCGAACCGAAUUUAAUUCGGUUCGGUUCGGUUUGGGUUGGCAAUUCGGAUCGGAUUGGGUUGAUAAUUCGGGUUAACAUAUCGGUUCGGGUUAGUUUGGGUUAGAAUAAUUCGGGUUAGUUCGGGUUAAUCAAUUAAUUAAUUAACAAUCUCUAAUUUAAUUAUUAAUAACAGCAACAAACCCACUCCAAUUUAAUUAAUAACAGUCUCUAAUUGUUCAAUUAUCAGUAAACCCACUCCAAUUUAACUAAUAACAAUCUCCAUUUGUUUAAUUAUCAGUCAACAACAACAAACACACUCCAAAUAAUUGAAUAAUUGCCAAUCAAUUAAUUAAAAAUAUAAAAUUUAAUUAUUAGUCAAUGAAGCUCAAUUAAAACUACGUUACAGCUCAAUUAAUUAUUAGUCAAUGAAGCUCCAUUAAAACUACGUUACAGCAUUGAGUUAGUAAUAGGAAAUUCGAAAUUCGAUUCGGGUUGUUGCCAUCAGCUGCAAGCAAGUCAGCAAGUUACAGGCUUACAGCGUCGGCAAAGCGAGACAAACCUUGAUCUCGGAGCAGCUACAACGUCGGCAGAUCGAGACCGUGUUGGGCUGAGUGGGACGCGAGGUGAACGCACGGCGCAGUUGCGGGUGAGGCGUGCUGGCUGACGGCGAGUGGGCUGCGGUGAACGGCUGGUGUCUGUUGGAGUUGGACGAGGCUGCUGGCUAUUACUGUCGUCGUGGCCCACGAAACUCGGAAGAGGGAGUAAGGAGGGAGGGGGAGGGAGAGACGGUGAGACCGAGAGUUUAGCUAAUUAGCUGCUUAGGGAUUUUUUUCAUUUAAUGUAUGGACUUGACUAGCUUACAGAAUCUGGAAGCUACAGACUGCAGCAUCAGCCAUUGGAUGUGGAGUGAGAAACUAAACAAUAGAAAUCAGAUGGUGGGAUGACGGGUAUGUAUAUAUAUUUUUAAUUUUUAAAAGCUGAAUCUUAAAAAAAAAAAAAAAAGGCUUCAACCCGAACGGGUUGAGAAUUCGGUUCGGGUUGAACCCAAACUAAAUUUUAACCCGAAUGGGUUGAAGCUUUGAAUCCGUUGGGGUUUCACCGGUUAACCCAAACCGAACCGAAUCCGAAAUAAAUUUCGGGUUUGGUUCGGUUCGGGUUAACCCGAACCGAAUGCCCACCCCUAGUCUCAGCCAUUAGCCAAGUGGUAAACUCUAACUCUUCCAAGUCCUCUUAAAUUUUACUCUCCUAAUUAAAAAUUACGUAAAGAUAUGAAUUUUCUCUAUUGAUUUUUGUAGGUAGAACAAAUAACCUUCCAGUAUUUGUAAGAUAGAAUUAUAGGUUAUGCUAUAAUAGAGUUGAUCUAGAUGGUUUAUGAGUAGACUUCUAAUUGUAUAAUACAUAUUAGUAAGGGGAAAAAGACAUCUCCACUUGCAAAAUGUGGAGAAGUAGUCACCAACACUCCUAAGUUUUCAUAAAAGGAUGUUAAGACUCAUUUUGACUAUUAUACUCUUUAUCUCUAUUAUUCCCCAAAAAAAUAGACUUUAAAAUGUUUAACAAAUACAAAUAUUAUAUAAAUAAUGUAAUCUAUGCAGCUGACUAAUAAUAUUUUAAUAUUUUAAUAAAUUUAAAUAUAUAAAUUAUUAUAUUUAUUUUAAUAAUAUGUUUUUAUUUAUUGUAGAGACUUAAAAUAAUAUGAAUGAAUUGGAAACCAAUCUUCACAAAGAAAGAAAAGUUAGCCUUCACAUGGAAGUAUGGAAGGAAAGACUAACCUUUAUAAAGAAGGAAAAAGCAACCUUCAGAAGGAAAGAAAGACAAAAAGAUGAAAAUGGGGAAAAAAGUUAUUAAUAGUAAAUAACACUAAUUAAUAAUUAGUAAUAGUGACACUUAAUAUAAUAAAAUUACAUUAAAUUAAAAUAAAAUUGAAUAGAAACAAAUACAAUAUCAAUUAUCACAAUGCAAUUAGUAAGUGUCUAUUUGCUAUGACUUGUCUAAUAGUUUUAAGUAUUUAUUUAAUCCCAUAAGCUCUUAAUCAAAUUUUUUGUUAUUGUUUGAUUAUUUGUUUAGUAGAAUUUUUUUAAUAUUAAAUAAGAUAUUUGGUGUCCACUAUCAAAAGCUUAAAUUUAGGACUUUUGAGAGUAAAAGUUGAAAUUUUUUUUGUAAAAUACUAAAAUGUUUAAAAUAUUAUUUACUUAUUUGACAACUUUAUUUCAUUAUUUUUCAUAACCUAACUUUAAAAAACUUACAUAUUAAAAUCAUUUUUAUAACUUUUAAUAAAAUAUUGACAACCAAAAAAUAAAUUUUUUUGCGUAAAAUAUCUAUUUGUAAAAACUCUGCUAAUAUAAACCCAUUUAAAUAAACUGAAUUUAAAAAGCUACAACCAAAAUACAACUAGAAUUGUUUUUUUUAAUAUUUAAUUGUCGGGCUGAAGGAUCGGACUCAGACUUUCUUGAUUAACCCCUAGACCGAGCCCGAUCCGACUCGAAGCCUAAAAGUGGAGCCGAAGCCUGACUGGGCCGGGCGCUCACUUUUCUGCCAUCCCUAGCGGCAACUCAACUCAAGCCUUGGCUGGAUGGUCGUAGUUUUUGCGCGUUUCAGUUGACAGGCGUUGAUACAGGCUACACGGGGUAUGCGCAGAGUCUUAACCUACACCCACAACAUUUCUCCUCUGUCCUCUCUAUAAAUAGCUUUUCUCUUUUACUUCUCGUUUCCCUCUUCUUUCAAAAUCAUCACCGAAUCAACAAAUAAUCUUUCGCUCUGUCACUCACCAACUAAAUAUCACGAAACGAUAAAAAAUUAGCAAGUUAAUAGCAAAUUAACUGAACUGCUUCAAGCAAUAAUGGCUACUUUCGGUGCUGCUGCCGUUGCCACCAAUCAAAACCCUAACAAGUCCAUCGAGGUAUACUUUAUUUAUUUAUUUUCUUUAUUAUUUUUUCUUUUCGAUAAUCUUUAAAAAUUAUUUACCGUUAAAUUUCUUGUCGGUUUCUUGUGUAUGAUGAACUUGGUGACUGUUGAAUUAAUGCUUAUGGUGAUGUUAUUAUUAGGAUUAAGUAGAAAGUUAUAUAAAUUAUUUAUUAUAUAUUUUUGUCAGGGUUAAGCUUAAUUGCUUGUGUUAAUGUAAAAAUUAAUUCUACAUUUUCGGAUAAAGAUUUUUUUUUUUAAUGCUAAAUAUGUAUGCGAAGCUAUGAUCAUUUGUUUGCUUGCUGUCUUGCUGAACGGAUUGUUGAAAGCGAACCAAUUGCUAAGCUUGUGAAUGUGUUGGAGUUUCAGUGUAAAAGAACAGUAGUUAGUAAGUGAAUCAUCAGGCUUGCUAGUAGUGCUUGGUAGUUUAUAGUGUGAUUUUCAUACAGAAGACAUUGAAGUAAGAAUUUUCACUUCUUCUUUUUAUAUGAAUUUAAAAUUGCAGUCUAUGUGGCAUUUUGGUUCGGGCAGUAAAUUGCUUUUAUUAUUAGAAGUUCAUCUGUUAGAAGUCUUCAUUGUGUAGUUGAGUGUAAUGACCUUCUUGCUAAGUUGGACAAUAUGUGCACGUGGAUAGUUAAGUGGUCAGUUCACAUGACCUCAAACAGAAGAGUGGCCAUGUUGUGUUCAGAUGAAUGAAUGGAAAUGUUGGGCGUGUUUAGUUCUGCCAUGCUAACCUGUACUGACAAUUACCGAUGCUCAAAGUGGAUAUGAGCUGGCAGGGGCUAUGGACUCUCAAAUUGUCGGCACUCUUUUCCCAUACUUAUAUAAUUUAGGCGUUGUUUAAAGAGAAACGCCCUUGAUGAGUGCUUUAAUAUCGUAGGUUUUUGUCUUUCUUUCUUCUCUAAGUUGUGUGUCAUGCUCUUUUCUUUCUCCGUUAUAUCCUUUCAUUUCUGUUUGGUAUCUGAUGUGGUCAACAGUUUACUGUGUCUCCAUGUGGUGCCAUGUGCACUUUGUAUGAUUUUGCGUGUAGUUGAUCAGUCACUUGUACUCUCUUGAUGUUCUUGUAUUUGAGAUCUUUAUCCUCUUGAUGUUUCAAUAUGUAAUUAGGUACUGGGAUACAAGGCAGCCAAAUCCUGUGCGCACUCAACAGCUGCCUGAUCGCUGCUAUGCGCUCCGCUUAUGGUUGUUGGAACUGCAGAUAGAAAUCUAGUUGUCUUCAACUUGCAGAAUCCUCAGGUAUCGUUUUUUAUUCCAUGAGAGCAUUGAUUUAUAUGUGUAAAUUAAAUGGGCAAAUUUGGUGCUGGCAGCUGAAGCAUGUGUUUUGAGUGGCAGCAGUUGCUGUGACACUAGUAGUUGGUUGACUUUGAUUUAAAAUUUAACUUGAACCCAUCUUUUUUAAUGUGGAAUGGAAACAAUAAUUAUUUGUUGACUGUUUUUGGAAUUGAAAGCUAUCCUACCGUAUGGAACCACCUUCCCUUGUAUUCAAAAGGGUUCCUCAAUGUCAUGGAGCAUCCUGUAUAAAAUUAUUGUAUGAUUUCUUUUGUUGCCAGAUAUUUUUCUUCUGAUUGGUGUUGUCUGGAAAAAGGUUAUUUCUCGAUAUCAUUUUGUUUGUGUACAAGGAGGAAUGGAUACUAUAAUAAACUGGUCUACUGAGAAGAGCUUGAUGUUUGUAGAUUUGCCAACAUAUAUACACUACAGUUAUAGUAUGUAUUUCCAUGUCUUCAAUAUUCCUUUUUAAUUGAAAAAAAUAGCAAUUUGGAAUGUGUUUAUUUGCCUUAUAUCUUUCAAUUUUAGUUGAUAAUUUCAGUCAUGCUUUAUCUGUUCUUAUGUGAUGAUGAUAUAAAUAAGAUAUAAUAGCUCCUAGAAAUUUUGAAAUCUGGCUAAUUUAGAAAUUUGAACUAAAGGUUGGGUACAAUACUAUAUCUUCGUACACUAUCAUGAGAGUUUAGAUAACGGUUUCCGCAUUACCUGUAUUACAAUUUACCAUAUAUGGCACAUGCUUAUUGCAACAUAAAAAUGGUCAAGAGGCGAUGAAUUCUUGUUACUAUUUAACUUUUUUGUUGGGUAUUUAUUGAUUUCCAUAUUUUACCUUCAUGUAUUGUUCUUUUUAUAUUUUGUUUCACUUAUUUAUAUCUAAUAUAUGCAUUUUCUUCCGAGUAUGUCUAAUCAUUGUUUAAUGCUACCAGACUGAGUUCAAGAGAAUCAAUUCCCCUUUGAAGUACCAGAUGAGAUGUGUUGCUGCCUUUCCUGACCAGCAAGGUUUCUGGGUAUGCAUUCAUUUAUUUUGAUCUCUCUUUUCUCGUUCCUCAUGGUCUUUAUGCUCGAAAUAUGAGGCAUUGUCAAUUGGGUUGCAUAUUCCCAUGUUUCAAAAUUUGCUUCCCCUGCCAGCAAUGAGGGGCUAAGUUUAGCCUCAAUUACUUAUUCCACUUUCAUCAACAUUGGCUCCAACUUCUUUUCAUUGAGAUCACUGUCUUUUCUUCUAAUCUUUGUGCUUCUCUUAUUUUUUGGUUGUUGAAUAUGGUGUUAUUCCGAUAGGUUGGUUCAAUUGAGGGAAGGGUCGGCGUUCACCAUCUUGAUGAUUCACAGCAAAGUAAGAACUUCACUUUCAAAUGCCACAGAGACGGUAGUGAGACAUGCUCUGUCAUCUCAUUCACUUCCAUCCUGUAAGCUUCCUUUUAGUGCUUUCUGAUUUCAAAUUUUCAGUUACAUAAAACGUUCGAGAUGUAAAACUUAGAAAUAAAAGUAUACAUUGGAGUGAUAUAAUAGCUCAUUUUGAGGUAACUUUAGUGAUGCCACCCAUGUCUUACAUAAUUUUUCCCAGUAUUUGUAAUUUCUCUAAAGAUUAGAGAUCUUUCAAGUAUUAGAUCUUGGUGCCCUUAAGAUGUUGGUAUCAUAGGAAUUUUUAUCCAACAGUGGAAAUGUACUUUCUUUUGUGAGGAUUUCAAUGCUCAGUGCAUAUACUUUUGCUGUUAUUAACAUCAUAUGUUAUCAUUUAAGAUUUGUAGAGCAGGAGAUGCACCUAAGUAUUCUUCAUUUUAUAAGGUGAAGCGCCUACAUCUAUUUGUCAAAUCUCAUGUAAUUGUUCUUUUUGUCCAGAUACAUCACACUUUUGCAACUGCUGGAUCUGAUGGUGCAUUUAAUUUUUGGGACAAGGAUAGUAAACAGCAGCUCAAGGUGUUUUGACUUUCAUUCAGUACUUCAAUAACAAUUAUUGUUGUUGUCGUUAUUGUUCUUCCUAGAUGAAAUACAUAAAACAAUGUGAUUUUUACUGGAUUUUCAGGCCAUGUCAAGGUGCGGGCAACCUAUACCUUGCAGUACAUUCAAUAAUGAUGGCUCGAUAUUUGUGUGCUUGGUAAAUAAAUUCAUCCAUCUUCCUAAAGUCGACUUGGAGUCUCUUAUCAUCCUACUUUUCACACAUGUUGGGAUAUAUGCUUAAGUUCAAGAUAAUGGCAGGAUUCUAGAAAUCCACGCCUCUUUCAUUCUGUCUGUUUGCAUGAUGCUUAGUCUUCUAUGGCUCAUGUUAAUUCAAUGUUACAUGAAUUUGCGUUUCCAUGAAAUUAAACAACUAAAAUUUCUGGUUCUUCCUGCUAUGUUCUGAUCCUGGCAUGGCAUAGUGCAUUGAUUUCUUGGACAUUUAAACUUAAACUAGAAAAGUGUCAUUCUAAAUCUUAUCUUGCAUUUCCUGUAGGUGUGUUAUGACUGGAGUAAUGGGGCAGAAAAUCACAACCCUGCAACAGCAAAGACUUAUAUCUAUCUGCACUUGCCACAGGUUCGUUUACUUUUUUGUUCAUAUACUACCAUCAAUAGCGUAUCUUUGAUCUCUCAAUUCUUGAGGAUCACCAAUAAUCCCAUAUCAUCCAAAAUCUAUUUUGAAAAUAUUUCAAAAAAUCAUUCAAAAUAUGUUGGCUCAAGCUCAACAAAGCAGAAAAUCAAUGGGCCUACAACAACGAUAAAAUGAUUAUGAUAUGUCUUGAUCUUAUUGCAAGUGUGACAAUAAUAAAAAUUCAAGUUGUUUACAGUAUAUGCAAAUUAUCAUUACUCUUCAAUGUCUAUUUGAAUGUGCAUCAUCAAUUAACCGCAAAUUGGGUUCUUAUAAUCAUGAAUCCAAAUUCAAGCCAUUCAAUGGUUUAGCCCAUUUUAGUAGGCUUAUCAAUUUUAAUUAAAAGUUUAUUAGACAAAGUUAAUGCAUAAAAAUAGAGUGCUUUAAAGUAAAGCAUACAUUAAGAUUUUUAUGUGAUUUGAUGUCCAAAUCCCUACUUCUACGAAGCCAUGCUCAAAUAUCAAGUGAUUCAUUAGAUUUAAGAGAUUAGAAACUAUUGGAACCUUAUAUAUUAUAUGAGACUCUCUCUUGGUGAUUGCUGCCAUCUUGUUAUAAUCUCACCAAGUGAAAACUUUAUGUGCACCACACAUUUUUUGCUUCCUCUUCUUAGUAAGACUUUUAAGUCAACAGUAUGUCGCCACUCUAUAGAAUUUAUAUUCUAUGAACACGUGGUCCCUUCUCCCAUCUCCCAAAAAUACUAAAGAUAAUGUCUCUCAAUUAAAGAAUGAUCCGAAGGUUGUAGCCUUUGAUGUAGAAUCAUUCUACUGCUCCAACGAUUUUUACUCCGCAAAAACUGGAUGACAUGGCCAUCGAGAUGAUCAUAAAAGAAGUUGGUAGAAUUAAAGUUUUAUAUUCUGUAUGCUUGUUUGUCUGGCUAGAAAAUGAAGGAAAUUUUGUUGACUUAGAGAGGCAAAUCAGAAACUGAAUUCAUUAUGAUUUGAUACAAUAGACUGAGAUUACAAUACAGUAUAUAUAUAGUAGCAUCUGGAACUUUGUGAAUGUAGCAGAAUCAUAUGCGCACACUGCUAUUCACCACAACAUUUUGGUGGGAAAUAACAGACUUAUAACAAACUUUUAACAACAUGCAUAAUAAUCUUCCAGUAGCUUCCAGUAGCGUGGCAUCUGAUUCAUUACUUCACUUAACAAUUUGCUGACAUCACAGAGCCUCACAGAGCUGACUCAACUUAUUCUUAACAGGUAGUGGACAAUCAAGAAGACAGCAGACACCAAGGCAACAAGAAUAAUGAAAAUUGCAAAGUGCGCGAUCCGUUGAUAUCCAUGAUCAAAUGAUUAAUUUUUUUCAAAUCAAGGAGUGUUUUUAUUAUCAGAAGUACCAUGUUUACUGAUUAUAAAGAAUUGUUAAAUAUAAAAUUAGCAGUAAAAUAAUUGUUAAGCAAAUAAAAAUCUAUCCAAUCACUGUAAAGGCUUUUCCAAAUCUAACAGCAUAACACAAAAGUAUUAUUUUUUUUUCUUUUUUCAUUUUUUGAGAAAUCCUUUAUUCUUUUUUAAUUUGUUGCAAAUAUAUACAUACGAUUUAAAAUAACUAAAAAUUACAGGACUCUAAAUUAGCAAUAAUCUCGAAAAUCUGUUCUUAUUAAUGUUGCCUUGGUGGAAAUCGACCUUAUUUAAAGAGAAUGAGCCCCAUGCCAUUGGGCUACAAGCACAAGCGGCCCACAAAUAGUAGAGUAUCUAAAACAGUAAAAUUAUAUCAUCUCCAUUGUCCAGAACACUUUAUAUAUGCAUUUCCAGUUUUCCACUGUAUAUACUAAUAUGCAUCCCUAGUAUACUUUAAGCGUUGAAGAGGUCUGAUGGAAAAAAAAAAAUGAUUAGAAUCCUUCGUUUCUAGCGGAUCAUAAAAGGCUUUAUUAUUUUCUUUUUCGAGUGAUGCUUUUUACAAAUAAAAAUGCACAAAGCUAGUAAAAGAUGAAUCUAUUCACUUUAUCAAUUCAAUAAUGAUAUGGCACAAAUAAUUUUAUACAUAUUGGUAUGUACAAACUGAUGUGGCAUAAAGAAAUUUAUUGAAAAGUGACAUAUUAUUUUUUUUAAUUAUGUGAAUCCACGAUGGUUUUAUAGAACCAACCUUCGAUUUUUUAAGAUUGUUAACAGCAGAGGGGUGAUAUUCAAAAUUAUUGAUCGAAUAGGUAUAACUUAUUACCUGAUUCUUCUUUAAUUACAAGAAUUCUGAUCAUCGAAGGUUUUUGGGCCUUCCCAAAUCAAACUUGGCUGUGGUUGGACUGAUCAUUUCUUUUAGUAUUCUCACAGUAGAUCACUUUCACAGUUAAUUGGAACUCCACUCGUGAGUCACGGCCGCGGUAAGUGUAGAUUUGGGAACUAGCUAAAGUCUUAGUAUUAGGACCUGUUUGUUGUUAUAUAUGAUAAUCAACACAAAUCAGUCUAAUGAUUCAACGUUUAUGAGUCGGCACGCAAGACUUAAUUGGAUAAGACUAUUUUCAGCGUCAAUCAUAUUUUAUACGUUCUAAAAGAAAAGUCUUUGUUACUUUCUAAUUAGUAAAUUUCCUUUAAGAUGAACUGUAUCAACUGGGGCUAGUAAUCAGUUGAGCUCAAUGGAGCGUUAUGUAGUCAUCACUGUUGUUAAUUUAGUAAUGGCUUCAUUCGUCGCCUUAAUAUUAACAUUCGCUGCGAGGCCUUCUGUAAUCGUCUUGAUGCUGCUGACCGCAACUGCGUGUGGGAUGAUACCCUUGGGUUUGAUUAUUUUUUGUUAUGUGAAGAGAAAUCCGGAAAGCAAAGGUACGUAAGAAUAGUUAAUUAAUUUAUCACGCAUAGCAUAUAUAACAUAUGAUUGUUUGAUCGAGUAUAUAGUACGAAUAUUUUUUAUGUCUUCACCAUUCAGGGGAGGAUUUGAUGCGAUUUGAUUUGGGUAUGAACCGACAAGCUAUUAACAUAGAGCUUACUGAAGCAAAUAAGCAUGGAAACGGUGGAAAAAAGCAAAUUGAAUUGCCCUUUUUCAGUUUUUCCAGUGUUUGUGCAGCCACAAAUAAUUUCUCUGCCACAAAUAAACUCGGGGAAGGUGGUUUUGGUCCUGUAUACAAGGUAAAAUUUUAAUUUUGGCAACAAGCUUAUGGACUAAUUAUUAUUUAACAAGAACUACAAUUUCAGGGAGUAUUAGCAAAAGGAGGUGAAAUAGCUGUCAAAAGGCUUUCAGGAAGAUCUGGACAAGGAUUGCGAGAGAUGAAAAAUGAAGCUUCAGUGAUAGCCAAGGUUCAGCACAAGAAUCUUGUUAGACUUUUGGGCUGCUGCAGGGAUAAAGAUGAGAAGAUUCUGAUCUAUGAGUACAUGCCUAACAAAAGCUUGGACUUCUUUCUUUUCGGUUAGUUAUUGCAUUUAUUCUUACAUGUUCCUUACUUCAAAUUUUAUUCAUACAUUUGUUUGAACUAAUAUUUAAUAAAUAAAAUUACAUAUCAAAAAUUUAUUUCAAAAUUUAUUUAAACUAGAAUUUAGCCUAUAUUACAUUUCCAAUUUUUAUUCAUUAAUUUAUGUAAAAUAGCAUUUAGCAUUUAAUUUAAGAUUAAACAUAUAAUUACAUUCAGUAAUUUAUUCAAACUACUACAUAAUACUAAAUAUCAAAAUUAUUCAAUUAUUAAUUUAUAUUGAAAUUGAAUAUCUAAUAUAAUAUUCAAUAAUUAACAAUAUAAAUUUAAGAAAUAAUCAUACUUUUUAAAUAGCUUUUUUAACUUCCAUAAACUAAAUUUAAUAUUAGUGGCGAAGCUAGCACUAUUUUUUGGGGUGGGCUAGAUUUUUUUUUUAAAAUUCAAUUACUUCUCAAAAAAAUUAUUCUAUACAAAUAAAAUGAUUAAAAUACACUAGACAAGCAAGAAAAACUAAUAACAAAACUAUAAAAGUACAAUGUAAAUAAAAAAAUACUAUCAACGAAAUUUUGUCAUGUGAUUCUCCAGAAAAGAAAACUCAUAUAUCGUAUCUGAAUUAUAUUAUCUGCGAUAGUAAUACAGUAGAGAUAUUAUCUGCGAUAAUAAUACAUUAGAGAAUUAUUAAUUAUUUUAUCAAAAAUUUUGACAAAAGUAUAAGCUAAUAACUAAUUCAAAAACAGUAUGAGCAUGUGGGUGCGGCAGAGGCUAGCUGCCACCCAUGAGGUGGCAACUUGAUGACUUGAACAAUUGAGUUUUGGGGAAUUUAAACUUUGGAUAAUUAGAUCAAUUAGUUAGGGAUUUAGGUGAGUUUUUCGAUUUAGAGAAAAUAGAUAUUGACUAUAAUUAUUAGUUAUAUUUUUAUAUUUUACUAUAAGUUUUUUAAAAAGAGUAAAUUUAUAAUUAAUUAAUUUUUUUUCAAAAAACAGCCCGGGUUAGCCCCCUCAUAACUUCGCCCCUAUUUAAUAUGAUCUCGUCCAAUACUAAACCAAACACAAAACGUGACUAUAAAAUAAUUCAGUCUUAUCGAAUCCAAUUAAAUCUUAAUAACUAGUCCAAUCCAAUCCUUUGUUUACCUAACCUAAAAGAAUAUUUAACAUUUACUAUUUCAUUUAGCUAUUUUUAAGUUUAAUGAUUAACAUCAUCCAAUUAUCAGAUUUUUUAUUAAAAAAAUAAAAUUAAGUCACUAGAUCAAUUUACGUUAGAUAAUGUAGUCUACAUUUUUUUUUGUUUUCAUGCAUAAUGACGUUUAGUUCUUUUGUUGUAAAUUAGAUCCAACCAAGCGAAUGUUAUUAGAUUGGGUAACACGUCUUCGGAUUAUUGAAGGGAUAGCUCAAGGGCUUCUUUAUCUUCAUCAAUAUUCGAGAAUGCGAAUCAUUCAUCGAGAUUUAAAAGCCAGUAACAUCUUGUUGAAUAAAGACAUGAAUCCCAAAAUAUCAGAUUUUGGAAUGGCAAGAAUUUUUGGAGAAAAUGAGUUACAAGCAAACACUAGUAGGAUCGUCGGGACUUAGUAAGUGAAUGACACAAAUCAAAAUUAAAGUGAUUAAGUUAUGCAUAAAUUACUGAUUAUUAUUUAUCAAUUAUUGAAUUACAGUGGUUAUAUGUCCCCCGAAUACGCAUUCAAAGGAAUAUUUUCAAUUAAAUCUGAUGUGUUUAGCUUUGGAGUAUUGUUGCUUGAGAUUGUAAGUGGCAAGAAGAACACUGGAUUUUAUCGAACCGACUAUCUCAAUCUGCUGGGUUAUGUACGUAACAAAAGUCGUUGCACAUAUUCUUUUUAUACUACUUAGGUGAAAUUAUAUAUUAAUUCCCACGUCAUGCUUAGGUGUGGACACACACUUUUACAAUGUGAAAACGUUUGGAUUUUUGCACCUGACUAUUUUUAAACUAUUCUCUAUAUCAAGUGUACAACUAUCUAAUAACAUCGUAUGGUUGUUCAGGCAUGGGAUCUGUGGACAAGCAACAGGGCAUUGGAGUUGAUUGAUGAUCCAGUAUUAGAAGAUGAAUAUUCCUCCAAGCAUAUGCUUUUAAGAUAUGCGAACAUUGCACUCCUUUGUGUACAAGAAAGUGCUGAUGAUAGACCCACCAUGAAUGAUGUUGUAUCCAUGCUGUCAAAUGAAGCUGCAGCAUUACUUCCUCCGAAACAACCUGCUUUUUCGUACGUAAGAAAUACAGUCACUUCAACAUCGUCCACGGGCAAGACAGAAGAUUGUUCAAUCAACCAAGUAACGAUUUCACUUUUAGAAGCGCGCUAACUUUUAUUUUAAUUCAUACACUUUGGGGUUAGGUUGUUCUAAUUACUCCUCUGAUCCAAUAUUUGAACUGAGUUUCCUGUUUUUGACUCGCUGGUACGUACCGACCAUUUCUCAGAGUUUAAAUUAAAGUUUAAAUUAAUUUUUUAUUUUUUAUUUUCUCCAAGAUUCAAACUUACUUAGGUGAUAAUGUAAAUAAGACUAUUUGAAAACUACUAUACUAAACUCCUGAGACUAAUUAUUAGAUAUUAUAUGGAGUAAUGACCCUGAUUUUUAUUAAUUCAACGGGAUAUGAUACUAUCACGAGUCUGAUAUAUAAAAGGCCAUGCAUGGAACCAUUAUUUUCGUUCAAUGGGAUCAGAAUCAAGAAACUACGAACUUGGGGGAUAAAAUCAACAAUUUGUAAACCGACAGAGGGAGAGGAUCAAAACAUAUGUAAAGUCCAAGGAGAUGAACUAGAUUUCAAUUAACGCCCUUAUCUUGCUAUGAAUUAUAUAAUUCUAAUUCAAGAGAGACACUUUUAAAUAAAAAUUUAGACGUAAUAUUCUGACCAUUAUAUUAAAGCUAACCAAAAGUUGAUAUUGAAGUUAACAUGCCUUUUUUAAGUUUUAAAAACUAAAAAAUUAAUAUAAUAGAUCUCCAUAUAAUAAUAAAUUAUUAAUUAUUCGUCUCUCUUAAUAUAUUCCCUCUUUUAUCUCUUUUUUUUCAUCCGCUUACCCUUUUAUGUCUUGCCUACAUUAAUUAGUUUGAACUUUUGCAUGGCAUCAGUGCAAAAACUUAACCGACUGAUAGAGCUGAAAUGGACUUAAAUUUUAUUUUCACUCAUUGACUAUUUUCAUGCAAAAUUAUUUUGUCCAUCAAAAUUCGUAGCAGGACAUAUAUAUUCGUUUCUAUGUGUACAUAUUAAAAAUAAAAUAAAAUAAAAUAACAAGGAGAGAAAGGAGAUCACCAAAAUCACUAUCAAAACGAUAAUGUUUUUAUCACUGUUUUGUCACCGUUUUGCAUUUUGUUCAAAUAGCAGUACACAGAUUUUGAUUGUUUAGUGUUUGCUCCUAACUCAUUCCCUUAAAAAAUUAUCUCUGUUUCUGUAAUUAAAGGUCAAAUCACAGAUUUUGAUUGUUUAGUCUGGCCGUAUAUAUUAUUUAAAGAUCUAAGAUUUUGUUAUUCUGUUGUGACUGUUUUUUCUUUGAAUCAUUACUUUGUUGGUUAGUUACACGUGCAAUGUUGAGGGGUAAAAGAUAUAUGUAGAGGGGAACACGUCAUACGAAGGAAUGGAAUGGCAAAUAUUUCUUCUUCUCUCUCCGUCUCUCCUGCUAUCUCUGUUUCUCCAUUAAUUUCAAUUCUUUUUGCUUCUUUUUUUGUUGGAGCCAGCACUUACUCGAACAGUGUAAAUCUAUGAUAUAAACUCUGAGUUGCAGAGUUAUAUCACAUUCCUCUUCGGCUGCUUUCUAAUUAAUUAACUUGGGCUACCUUUACUCUGCUAUAUUACAUACACAUUGCAACUUGCAAGUUCCAUCCCUUCUCUUCGUUUCAUUUCAACUAGUAUUAAACCCAAUCAUGAGAUCAACUUUACUCUUAUCAUGGCUUUUCUUGAUACCCUUUUUAGCUAAUUAUUUUGGGAUGCAUAUGGUUUUGGUGUCUGGCCAAUGUCAGGGCCAUCAAAAAUCGCUAUUAAUCUAGAUGAAGAACAGCUCCAUAUUUGACGUUGAAAUUAAUAAUUUAUGUUUUAUUUUGAAUUAUAAGUUAAUUACCUCUUACAAAAAUAUGAAAUAAUGAGGCUGCCGAUGUGCCUUAAAGAGCGAUAGCAAGAUUACUAUAGAAAAACACGCGCGAUCGGAUACAAAAUUGCAAUAACACAACCAAGCCAUACAUUUUAUAUGAGGAACCCAUUAAUUAUGAGAUAGAGAUUAAACAAAGUUAUGAUGAAUAUGAUUAAUUUUAUCUAUCAAAUCAAUCUAACCACUUUUUAAUUAACUAGAGACGAUUAUCAUUUUGUACAUGUGGGUCCAAUCCACAGAGAGCUUCGCCGAAGCUGGAAGCAGCGGGCAAAGUAGCGGAUACUCAUUAUGUGAUUGAUCUUUGGAUUUUCAGUCCAUGUCCUAUUGCGAUCCUUACAUUACAUAUGAAAGAUCAACAAUACAUAUAGAGCUAGCUUUAAACACCAGUUGAACAGGGAGAUAUUUUAUUAUAAUGGAGUUAACAAAAUAGAUAUUAGAAGGAUUUUUGUUUUUGAAAAUUCUAGUCUAAAAACCUUGUAAAUAAUUGCUAUUGUAACAAAAAUAUGGAAUGUGGUUUUUUCUUAUAUUAAAAGUUGGAAGGUGGUCAAAGUGUAAAUUUCCCAAUAAUUUUCCAACGUGUCUAUGAAUCUUGUGUCGGCUCUUCAUAAAACCUGUAAAAUCACUAUCAAUUGUUAGCUCUCUCCUUACGGCUUUUACAAGUCUUUGGGUUCCACGAGCAAAUUAGCGUCCAGUUCGGCGCGAGAUGAAUUACAUUCAAUCAAUUUUUUUUUUAAUUAAAAGCAAUAAAAUCACUGUCAAAUGUUAGCUGUAUCCUUACGAGACUUUUCGAAGUCUACGGGUCCCGCAAGCAAAUCAAAGUUGAGUUUGACGCGAAAACGAAUUGCAUUCAAUCAAUUUUAAGAUUUUUUUUAACAUAGUAGAGGAAUAGUGAAAGUCUAAAUUAAUUCUUUUUAUUAUACUUAUUUCAAGAUUCAAACUCACCUGAUUAAUUAAGUAAAUCUGUUUAAUUAUUGGAUCUUAUAAUGAAUAAAGACCCUGAUUUUUAUUGGUUGAAUAAGGUUUGAUGCUAAUUAAUAUACUGCAAAAGGCAGAAAGAAUCCUAAUUAAUAUAAGCAGCGAUGCAUGGAGCCAUGAUUUUGGUUCAACGGGAUCAGAAUCAAGAAACUACGAACUUGGGGAGGCCAAGAUCAACAAUUUGUAAAACGAUGGAGUAAGAGGAUCAGAACAUAUAUAGAGAUUCCAAAGAAAUGGACUAAAUUUUAAUUAAUACCCUUAUCUUCCUAUGAAUUAUAUAAUUAUAAUAUUGUAAUAAUCACAGAUUUACUAGGUCCCAACGAUUCCAUUGGUGCUUGUUUCUAACUCAUUCCCUUCAAAAUCCUAUCCCUCAUUUCAAAAUUAUUUUAAUUAGUUUCCAAGUCUACGCCUAAAAGCUAAAAACUUUUAGUUUGCUUUGAAUAAUCCUAAAAGUUUUUGCUUUAAUUUUCUCUUAUACUUACUUUGGUAUGGCUUUCUAAAUAUAGCUUAUUAAAUAGAGUUUUUAUUAGUAAAGCUUUUAUAAAUAGCGUUUUCAUAAAAAUAAUUUUAGUUAUUUGUUUGUCAAUGGAAGCUUUUAUUAAAAAUUAAAAAAUUGUUUAAUAAGCAUGUUUUUUAAAAUUAUAUUAUGAAAUGAAUGAAAUAAAAUUAUCGAAUAAAUAAAUGAUAUUUUAGGUGUUUUAACAUUCUUAAAAAUAACUUUUUUAACAUUCACUCCCAAAAACCCAAAUUUUGAGUUUUUACUAGUAGAGAAAAAAAUAACUUAUUUAAUUUUUAAAAGCUCUACUAAAUCUUAAAAGAGUUUAUAUAAUUAAAUAAGUAUUUAUAUCCAUUAGAUGAAGUAUGCCAAACAUACAUAAUGUCUUAUUUGUUUGAGAUUUCUUUUCUUCUCUCUGUUUGACAAAGUUAAUAAAAUAAUUAACAAGAAUUUCAAAUAAGGGCCUUUGCCUUCUGUCAUUGAGACAAUAUUCAUCUCCAAACUGGUUCCACCGUAGAUACAUAUUGUAUGGGCAAUAUUCAUAGAUGAUCUCUAAGAAUUCAUGCUCAAUUUUAGUUGCAAUAAGAUAUAGGCUAUUUCCACAUUAAAAACUACUCUGAGCACUCUGGUUUUAAUAAAAUAAUUUAAUUACAAAAUUAAUCAUCAUAUAAAUUACUAUUAAGAUUUAUUUAUUAAUGAGCCAAUACAACUUAAUUACUUUAAAACUCAUAUAUACACUCAUUAUUUAACAUAUAAUCUUUUAUAUCUAACAUCUUAAAAUAUAAUUCAUUGAACAUGCACCAAAUCAAUUUUUAAAUAAUUUUAAAGAUAAAAUAUUUGUAAGACUUACAUUUUUCUAGAAAUAAAAUAAACUGAAAUUAUUGCAAAGGUGUUCAUUUUUUUGUCUUUAAUUUAAAAAUAAAUAAAUUAAAGCACUCUAAACCUAAUAACCCAGUCAGCAUCUUCUUCUUCUUCUUCUUCUUUUUUGUGUCAGAUUACAAUUUGGUUUUCAAUUAUUAUUGGGGUAGUGAAGUCCAUACUUAUUGAUCUUAAAGAAUUUAUAGGUGCAAAAAUUGAUAUGGGAUACAUUCUUUAAUUAACGAAAACUGAUAAAUAAAAUUAUUUUAAAAAAUUUGCUUAAAACUUGACUUAAUUUCAUUGUUGCUAGUUAUGCUACAUUUAUUAAAACGAUUUUCUUUGAGUGUGCUGAAUAUUUUUAUUAGUGUUUUGAGUAAAUUAAUUUAAAUGAUUUAAGUAGAGAUACUUUUGGCAUCUUAAAGAGUGUACAAAAUAAAAAUUAAUUUUUCAAAUUUAGAAUUUGUGUAUAGAGUACCUUUUUUUUUUUUUCCAAAGAAGUUGUAACAAGAUAUUUAUUCGUAGUAUACAAUGAAAGACAAUGCUAAAAGAAAUGAGCCCAACCAAGUUUUAAGUGACUUACUUCUAUAGUUUUAUGCGUGGAUCUCCCACUAACUUUUUACUGUCGUAAUUUUGGACCUAUGGAAAUGGAAGAUUCCUGUAUUUGAUGCAGGCUUUAACCAAAAGAUCCAAUUUUCUUUCUUUUUUUUUUUCUCCCAAGUCUUGGCAACAUUAAUUGGUUUGAACUUUUGUAGUCUUCUAGCUCCCAGUUUAUACGUUGGGGGUGUAACUUCUAGGGAACUUCGGCCAUCCUUUUCCUGUUAAAUGAAUUCAUCGCAACUCCCAAGUUUCAUCACUCCUCUCCGAGUUUCAUUUCAGCAAUUAUUAAAACAAUGCGACCAAUUUUACUCUUAUCAUGGCCUUUCUUGAUACCCUUUUUAGCCAAUUAUUUUGGGAUACAUAUGGUUUUGGUUUCUGGCCAAUGUCAGAGCGAUCAACAAUCUUUGUUACUCCAAAUGAAGAACAGUCUCAUAUUAAGCAAUGACAGUGGCUUUCCAUCUACAAAACUGAGUCAGUGGAGUAGCCAUCAAAGCUCCGAUUGUUGUGAUUGGAGCGGUGUAAGGUGCGAUGAGGCUGGUCAUGUUAUUGGUCUCGACUUGAGCUGGGAACCAAUCAUUGGCGGACUUGAGAAUGCGACUGGCCUUUUCGAUCUUCAAUAUCUGCAGAGCCUCAAUCUGGGUUUCACUCUCUUCAAAGGAUUCCAAAUACCAUCCAGAUUGGGCAACCUGACAAAUUUGACUUACCUGAAUCUUUCCCAGGGUGGCUUCGCAGGGGAGAUUCCCACUGAGAUUUCAAGCUUGACAAGGUUGGUUACUCUUGAUUUGUCAGGUAUUGUGCCCAUAGAAUAUUCCUAUACAGUUUGGAUCGCAAACUUAAGCUUGUUUCUGCAGAACUUAACAGAGCUCACAGAACUGCAUCUUGAUCGAGUAGAUUUGUCCGCCUCCGGAACUGAAUGGUGCAAAGCUUUAUCAUUUCUGCCCAAUCUACAAGUUUUAAGCUUGUCCGGGUGUGAUCUUUCAGGUCCAAUCAAUCACUACCUGGCAAAGUCACGGUCACUCUCCGUGAUUCGUUUGCAUUACAAUUAUGGUCUGUCUUCAGGUACAGAGUUUUUGGCCCAUCUGACGAAUUUGAAGGCCUUGGAUCUCAGCGAGUGUGGGUUGCAAGGGAAGUUUCCAGAAAAGAUAUUGCACGUUCCCACACUUGAGACUCUUGACUUGUCAAUUAACCAAUUGCUUCAGGGUUCUCUGCCAAACUUUCCUAAGAAUUCUUCUCUUCGGGACCUGAUCCUCUCUCACACGGGAUUGUCAGGCACACUACCAGAUUCCAUUGGGAAUCUUGAAAAUUUGACAAGGGUAGAGGUUAGUAGUUGCAAUUUCACAGGGCCAAUUCCCCCUUCAAUGGCUAAUCUUACCCAAUUAUUUCACAUGGACUUCUCAUCUAACCAUUUCUUUGGUCCCAUCCCAUCUCUUCACAAGUCAAGAAAUCUCAACAACUUAGACCUUUCGUUCAAUAAUUUAAGUGGCGGGAUCUCAUCCACUUUCUGGGAACAACUUCUAAAUCUCCAAAUUGUUGUCUUGGGGCACAAUUCACUUAGUGGAAGUAUCCCCAGAUCUCUGUUUCUACUUCCAAAUCUGGAGAUGCUUCAGCUCUCCAACAACCAGUUCGAGAACCAACUUCCUGAAAUUUCAAACGUGUCCUCGUCUGUAUUGUUUGACCUUGAUUUAAGCGGCAACAGAUUAGAAGGGCCUGUCCCCAUUUCAAUAUUCUUUGAACUCAGAAACCUUUAUACCCUCGAUCUUUCUUCCAAUAAGUUUAGCAUAUUGAAACUGGCUUCAAGCAAACCACGGGCCAUUCCUAUUCUAAAAAACCAAUCACAACUUUCUGUUUUGGACAUUUCAGAUAACCAAAUAUCUGGAGAAGUACCAAAUUGGAUUUGGGAAGUUGGUAGUGGCAAUCUUAAGUUCUUAAAUCUUUCACACAACCUCGUAGUGAGCUUGCAAGAACCUUACUCUAUUUCUGGUAUCCGCUUCCUUGACCUGCACUCCAACCAGCUCCGAGGAAAUAUCCCUUACAUGUCACCAAAUACUUCCUACGUCGAUUACUCCAACAAUAAUUUUACUUCCAUUCCAGCUGACAUUGGUAAUUUCAUGUCUGAAACAGAAUACUUUUACUUUGUCGCUGCAAACAAUAGUCUCGCUGGAGUCAUCCCGGAAUCUGUAUGCAAGGCUACCAAUUUUCAAGUUCUUGACUUAUCAAACAACAAUUUGAGUGGCACAAUUCCUGCAUGUUUAAUCACCAAGAGUAGCAGCACUCUGGAGGUUUUAAAUUUAGGGAGAAACAACCUCAAUGGCACUCUUUCUGACACAAUAUUUCCAGGAGAUUGUGGGUUGCAAAUUCUAGAUCUCAGUGGAAAUCAACUACAAGGAGUGGUUCCAAAAUCUCUUGCCAAUUGCAAUAUGCUGCAGGUUUUAGACCUCAGGAGUAACUAUAUCAGUGAUAAUUUCCCAUGCUGGUUAAGGAAUGCUUCUAGUUUGCAAGUUCUAGUUUUGCGAUCCAACAACUUCUCCGGACACAUUAGCUGUCCGAGAAAUAAAGUCUCCUGGCCUCUGCUUCAAAUAGUCGACUUAGCAUGCAAUAAAUUCAGCGGAAGACUUUCACAAAAGUGGUUACUUACCAUGAUGGUGGCUGAAACCAAAUCCGGAUCUGAGGUGAACCACCUUGGAAUUGAGAUGCCGAGCAACCAAUUCUAUGAGGUUAGAGUAACAGUUACAGUAAAAGGUAUAGAGAUCAAGCUACUGAAGGUCCCAAAUAUAUUCACUUCCAUUGACUUUUCAAGCAACAAUUUCGAAGGGCCAAUACCAGUAGAAAUGGGACGAUUCAGAUCACUUUAUGCUCUGAACAUGUCGCACAAUGCUCUCACAGGCUCGAUACCAUCAUCUUUUGGGAACUUGAAAGAGAUUGAGUCCUUGGACCUCUCAAUGAACAACCUCAGCGGGAAAAUUCCUGCCCAGCUUGCAAGCCUAAAUUUCCUAUCGGUCCUAAAUCUCUCAUACAAUAACUUAGUGGGAAAGAUUCCGACAAGUACUCAACUCCAAUCAUUUUCACCGACUUCUUAUGAAGGAAACAAAGGAUUGUACGGACCUCCUUUAACGAAUGAAAGCCAAGCACGUCCUCCUGAGUUACCACCUUCACCGCCACCAGCUUCAAGCGGUGAAAUUGAUUGGUUCUUCAUAGCCAUGUCAAUUGGAUUUGCGGUCGGCUUCGGAGCAGUUGUUUCACCUCUAAUGUUUUCCGUGCAGGUAAACAAAUGGUAUAACGAUCUUAUCUACAAAUUUAUAUAUCGGCGAUUCCGUGUGUGAAGUGAUUUAAAUCUCUCCUUUUGAAUAAUCAUGUAAGCUAGCUUUUGCUUCUCUCUUGUGUCAUAGAUGUUUGAUAUUUCUUUUCUUCUCUGUUUGAUAGAGUUAAUAACGUUGACAAUAAUUUGAAAUAAGGGCCUAUCUAUAACUAUUGCUGAGACAAUCUUUAUCUCAAAAUUGGCUCCAAGUUAGAUCUAUAUCGGCGCAAUUCACACACAACAUAUCUUUGUGAGUCCAUACUAAAUUAAUAUGUGCAAGAUUGUGUAUGAUUCCAACUCCAAGCUAGAUACAUAGCGAUUCAUGAUCAUAUUCCAUUUGUUCACUUGGAAGUCUUGAGUUAUGAGCCCAUCUAAGAAAUGAGCCCGAAAAGGGUUGGGGGGUCCUUGUGGCCUGGCCGAGUAGUUUGAUCAAAAUAUUAGUUUAUAUUAUGUUUAAUUUGAACUCUUGUAAUUCUUCAUACUCCAGUGUAUGUUUUCUUUCUUAUUUAAGGAGGGGAGUGGAACUCUCACUUCAUAGAUCUCACUCAUUUUUUUUUUUUUUGCAAGGAGUGGAAUUCUCACUUCUAUAGGGGCCACUCCCACAUCUUCUUUUCUUUAUGAAAUACAAUAAAAUUUAUAUUUAUUAAAUAAAAUUAUAUUAUAUUAUUUAAAAUUAAAAACAUUAUAUUUAUUUAAAUAAUAUUAUUAUAUUUAGUUAAAAAAUAAAAAUUUAUGUAAUCUAAGUUAAAAUUACUUAAAAGUAAUACUAUUAUAUUCAUAGAGAAUUAAUAAUAUUACAAUAUACUAUCUUUAUUUGAAAAAUAAAAUUACUAUAUUUAUUUAAUAUUGAUAACUAAUAAUAAUAAAUGGUUUACUCUAAGAAAAUAUUAAUUUUGUAAUAUAUUAUCAAUAAUAAUGUUUUGUUUGUUUUGCUCUUAUAAUAAUUUUUAAUUUAUGUAAUUAAAAUUAAAAUCAAUAAAAAAUUAUGAUUUACAUAAUUAAGAAUAUUAAUAAUUAUUAGUAAUUUAUAUAAUUAAAAUAAUGAUAAAUUAAAUAGUUUAUUUUAUAAAUAUAUUUUUUAUUCACUUGUAAUUAGAAACUACAAUCUUUUAAAUAAGGGUAAAAAUGUAAUUUAAAAUAAUUAACUCCCAAUCCAAAUAAGAGUAAACAUAUAAAUAAGAUUAUGACUCAUAUUAUACAUUCUUCUUCCAAUGUAAGUAAACAACUUAUUUCUACUUCCGAUCCCUGAAUUCCUAAACCACACCUUAGUUGAGUGGUUUUCAAACAAUUUUAUUUAAUUGUAACUUGAGUUCAAAUAUUGAUAAAAUUAGAAUUAAAAAUUUCUAAAAAAAUUAUUUGAAUUUUUUCCACCACUCUACUUUUUAAAUAAAUGAAAAAGAAAAACUCUCAAAUAAACAAAUAAAAGCUUUUAGUAUGUGCGCCAAUAACGUUUUUAUUGUCAAUUAUUUUGAGUCAUUAGUAUUCUGCAAUUUUUAUAUUGAAUAUAGUUGUACAUAAUUUAUCUAACUUUAACAGUAUUUUCUUGCCAACUUGCAUCUCAACAGUUAGCCAAGUGGUGAACUGCAACUCUCCCAAGUCCUCUUAAAUUUUUCUCUCCUAAUUAAAAAUUAUGUAAAGAUAUGAAUUUUCUCUGUUGAUUUUGUAGGUAGAACAAAUCGCCUUCCAAUAGACGGUCUAUUGAUAGACUCUUGAUUGUACAAUACAUAUUAGUAAGGGGAAAAGUACAUCUACACUUCCAAGAUUUGGGAAAUGGUCACCAACACCCCUAAGUUUUCGUAAAAGGACACCAAGACCACUUUUGAUUAUUAUACCCUUUACCUCUAUUAUCCCAAAAAAUAGGCUUUAAAAUUUUUAAUAAAUACAAAUAUUAUAUAAAUAAUGUAAUCUAUGCAGUAGACUAAUAAUAUUAAAAUAUUUUAAUAAAUUUAAAUAUUAAACUAUUAAAAUUAUUGUAUUUAUUUUAAUAAUAUGUAUGUAUUUAUUGUAGAAAUUUUAAAUAAUAUGAAUGAAUUGGAAACUAAUCUUCACAAGGAAAGAAAAGUUAGCCUUCACAUGGAAGCAAAGACUAACCUUUAUAAAGAAGGAAGAAAAAGCAACCUUCACACGGAAAGAAAGACUAAAAGAUGAAAAAGGGGGAAAAGUUAUUAAUAGUAAAUAACACUAAUUAAUAAUUAGUAAUAGUGACACUUAAUAUAAUAAAAUUACAUGAAAUUAAAAUAAAAUUGAAUAGAAACAAAUACAGUAUCAAUUAUCACAAUGCAAUUGGUAAGUGUCUAUUUGGUAUAAUCCCAUAAGUUCCUAAUUAAAUUUUUUAUUAUUAUUUGAUUAUUUUGUUGUAGAUUUUUUCAAUAUUAAAUCAGAUAUUUGGUCUCUACUAUCAAAAGCUUAAAUCUGACCCGAACCCCAAAAGUGAAGCCGAAGCCGGGCUGGGCCGCGCGCUCACUUUUCUGCCAUCCCUUGCGCAACAAAACGCAAGCCUUGGCUGGCUGGUCGUAGUUUUUGCGCAGUUCAGUUAACAGACGUUGAUACAACGUUACGCGGGGUAUGCGCAGAGUCUUAACCUACACCCACUACAUUUCUCCUCAGUCCUCUCUAUAAAUAGCUUUUCUCUUUUACUUUUGGUUUCCCUCUUCUUUCAAAAUCAUCACCGAAUCAACAAAUAAUCUUUCGCUCUGUCACUCACUAACUAAAUAUCACGAAACGAUCAAAAAUUAGCAAAUUAAUGGCUACUUUCGGUGCUGCUGCCGUUGCCACCAAUCAAAACCCUAACAAGUCCAUCGAGGUAUACUUUAUUUAUUAUUUUCUUUAUUCUUUUUUCUUUCCGAUAAUCUUUAAAAAUUAUUGACCUUUAAAUUUUCUUGUCGGUUUCUUGUGAAUGAUGAACUUGGCGACUGUUGAAUUAAUGCUUAUGAUGAUGUUGUAAGGAUUAAGUAGAAACAUAUAGAACUUAUUUAUUAUAUAUUUUUGUCAGGUUUAAGCUUAAUUGUUUGUGUUAAUGUAAAAAUUAAUUGUACAUUUUCGGAUAAAGAAUUAUUUUUUGUUUUAAUGCUAAAUACGUAUGCUAAGCUAUGAUCAUUUGUUUGCUUGCUUUCUUGCUGAACGGAUUGUUGAAAGUGAACCAAUCGCUAAGCUUGUGAAUGUGUUGGAGUUUCAGUGUAAAAGAACAGUAGUUAGUAAGGAUUCUCAACCAUGAAAAUCCCUGUCACACCUACAAAUGCAAAUGGUUACUGUUAUAGCAUCAAUUUCGCAUGACCAUCCGGUAAUCUAAAGCAAGAUUUGUGGUAGUUAGAAUACCAUACUGUUGAAUUUGUGAUUGCUGAUAAUUUAACCUUUUUCUUGUCUUCCAAAUUUGAAGGUCCUAUGCUCAACAUUGAAGGAUGAUGGAAUUACUGUCUUCUCUGGAGGAUGUGACAAGCAGGUCAAGACAUGGCCUUUACUCUCUGGUGGUCAGCCAGUGAUUGUGGCUAUGCAUGAUGCGCCAAUUAAAACAAUACGGCUCCUAUAAGGAACCGAACCCCAAGAUAGGAGCCGAACCCCAAGAAAAGUAAGGAUUCUCAACCAUGAAAAUCCCUGUCACACCUACAAAUGCAAAUGGUUACUGUUAUAGCCUAAAGUUUCAGUAUGCAUGCAUAGGUCGUAUUAGUAUGAAUAGCAGAGACACAAACCAGAAGUAGAAUUUUACAUGAAAUAAGAAUUGUUGAAACACAUGUGGAAGGCUUGUGAUGGAGAAAAUUGUGUGAAAUAAAAUUUGGAUAUGUACUGAAAAUUGCAUAAAAAUAAGUACAAGAUGCAGAGAAAUGAAAAAAAUAUCCUCUGUUGCAGUGAUUAUAUUUGCUAUAUAGUUAGUAAUGUGUGUGCGCAUACCAGUGUUGGGUUGGGAUAGGAUACAUAUUAUAAUGUCCAAGUAAUGAAUGUAGGGUUACUAAUUUUGUGUACACAUGAAAGUUGGGUUGCAGUGAUCUGAACCAUAACUGUUUAAAAUGAAAUUGUGCCAAUGGCCGCCUCGAUAACUUGUAAAGUCGAUUGAUAUCCAUUGACAAUUUGACUUCUUAGUUGUCCAAAAAAAAAAAAAAUGAAAGAAAGACUUAUUGAAUCUUCAUCACUGCUGCUUGAUGGUAGUCGCAAGAAGUCCUGUGCAGCAGCAGGAGUUGUGGCCGAGUAUAGACUGAUCUGAAAUGGUUUAAAAAUGUGAAAUAGUUAACCGAAUGGAUUGUUUUACUUGUAAAUCUUCUCAACUAACCAGCCACAAAGAUUCCUCUUUAGCCUGCCACAGUUCAGUUGUAACAAACUACCACAGCCCAUUUCACAAACAGCCACUCUUUGUUCAUCUGUAAGUUGUGAAACUGCUGCAGCUAAUCUAUCUGGAGCACAUCUUGUCAGGAACUUUGCCUUCCCCAUGUUUGACUUCCCUACUCGUUUGGCCUCACUUUUGUACUGACACUUUUCCUUCGGUGGCAAAUUCUUAUACGUGGAUCCAAUUUCCUUUCGAAUCUACAACAUAAUCAUGGUAACCCAAAUGACGCACAACUCCACCACUGCAAUAUCAUCGUAUCACAACCGAAAUAAUUAGUCAAAACCUAUACUACCACUCAACUAUUACUAAGUUAUGAUAAUUUAUUUAUUUUUCCAUUAACAUAGCUUAGAAAUAUCUUAUGAACCCAUUGAGGCACUGCCUUUUUCUUCCCCCAUCAAUGCUUGCAUCAUCACCAACCACUUCAGUUCCUCAGUUAAUCUCACAUUCCUUCUGCUUAUUACUUCCCACCACCUUCAUUCCUGAAAUUCAGUGACAGUUAUUUCUUACCAUCAAAAUACGCUUUAUAGCACCAUAUAAAUACAUUACUAAUUCACCAUAUAAACACAAAUACAUAUCAAUUACGUUACCAUCCCCAAACGAAACUAACAAAAACAUUUCAUAUCAACUCCACAAAAAAGAUAUACAAAUUCAGCUGGUGCAUGUACCAUUACCCUCAUGUCAUCAGCUUCAUGCUUGUGAUUCACGUCAUUUAAAUAUUUGCUGCAAUUUCACCUUUCCGGUUACUAAUUUUCCACACAUGUUCACUAUAAACUUAUUAUGCAAACAUUUAUUAUCUAAAUUUAAAUAAUUCAGUAGGAUUGACAAUUGACAUGUCACAUGUCGGGUGCUUCUAUGAAAUUCUAUUCCAAGGCACAGUCAUGACUAAGCUCAAGAAAGGGACAGCAAAUGCCGCCGACACACUCAAGUUACCGAGCAUAACACCAAGCUCCUUCUCUAUCCUACUGCUUUAAAUAAGCCGUAUUGAACUGUGCUAAAUAAUCCCCAAAUAAUUUCGAUAAUUAUUGGCCUCUACUCAAUUUUUCAAUCUUUGUACGACAUAUAUUUUGCAACCAUGUAUAUGCAAAACAAUUCAUUAUUCAACUGGGUUCAAUAUUUCAAUUCAACCACCAACUACGUUGUUCAGCACAUAUCCUUAAAUUAAAUUUUAAUUUUUUUCCAUGUACUCCCAAAUUUUCCCAUUAUCCAAACGAAACGUUAAAUUUCCACCAGCCACUUAAUCAGCGACAAAUAAUUCCUAUCACUAAUCUCAAAUUCAAAUUACACUGACCUUUAAUUUUGUUAACCCAAUCCCUUAUGCUUCAUUCAAUACUGCCAUGACAAGCUACAAGUCACCACAAGCCAAUUCAAAAAUCCCACACGAGAGCGCUGCCCCAGCCGCAGUUACACCUUGCCCGCUUCAAUUUCCUUGCGUCUGAGAAACCGCAGUCAUCGAUCAAAAUGGCCAAUAAGGGUUUACAGCUCCUAAAACUAAUCUUGUACAAAGAAGCUGGUUUGGAUGGUUGCCCACUGUAAUUGACUUUUACCCUUUUCAAACCUCAUCCCUUGGAUUAAAUUAAUUAUAAUGUAACGGCUACAGUGGAUAACGACAAAAAAAAGGGGCACGGUAGCUGGGAAAUAGGAUCCUCUCCUAAUCUGAGCUCUACUGAGCUUUUAAAGAUGUUCUGCCAUGUGGUUUUUAGUAAUAGUGCAUGAAUAAGAUUGAACUUAUUUUACUUUUUUAUUUAUUAACUACCAAUCAGCAAUUAAGUUAUUUGCUCGCAGCAUGAUCAAAUAAGAUCCUCUCAUAAUCUGAGCUCUACUCAGCUUUUAAAAAUUUUCUGCUAUGUGUUUUUUAGUGGUAGUGCAUGGAUAAGAUUGAACUUUUUUUACUUUUUUUUUAUUAACUACCAAUCAGCAAUUAAGUUAUUUGCUCGGAACAUGAUCAGAUCAGGAGAGAAUCCUACUCCUAGUAGCUGGUCCCUAGUUAAUGGGGUGCUCGAGUUUUUCUAGACUACUUUUUUUUUUUUUACGAAAUUCUUACAAUUUACAAAUCUACUAAAACUCUCAAAAUAUACUCUCACUAACAUGCACAGAGAAAUCUAUCAUUUUCUGAAAGAAAUGAGUUUGUAAGACUCGAACCCACUCCCUUAACAUAUUUUGAGGAUGCAAGUGCCAUUAUUCUAGAAGCGCAAAUGCAAAAGUGGUUUCAGACUUGAAAAGUCAAAAGUAAAUUUCCAAAAGUCAAGGUACUUAGAAGUUUUUACCGAUAUUAUCACAAAGUUAAUCUUACAAAUUGUAUACUAGACGAAUGGUCUCUAAAAUUUAUAAUUAAUCUAAAAAUUUUGAAUAACAUCAUUAAAAGAUUUUCUUUUCAAAUAUUUCUAUCUAAUUAAUUUUUUAUCCUUACCUAAAUAAAACUUACUAAUUAGUAUUACUAUUCAUCUUUAUAACUUGUGGCUAUAUAUUAGUAUUUCUUUAAUUUUCUUCAAAUUAGCAUUAUCUAUCUUCAUAAUUUUUUAUGAGUAUUUUAUAUAUGAAACAUCAUAAAUUUUAUUCAUCAUAAAUUGUAAUAAAAUUUAUUAAGAUGUUCUAAUUUAAAAUAUUAAAGGUUUAUAUUCACUUGAACAUGAUUCAUGUUAUAAUAAAAUACUAUCUUAUUUAUAUUCUUUGAGAUUUUAUUAUUUAUUUAUUAUUUAAAAUUUAUAAGGGCAAGAUUGUAAAAGUAUUAGUUUUAAGACUUUUUAAGUUAAAAAAUAAAGAACUCAAUAAUUAUUUUGAAAGAUUCAAACGAAAACGAAAUAUGCCAUUCAAAUUCAGGCAUUUAGCUUUGUUUAGAUUUCAAGCCAAUUCAUAUUUAUUUAGAUUUCAAACAAAAAACAAUCGUCAUACUUCUUCACCAAAUGUCAAGUAAUUAAUUAAUUUGGGACUUUGUCUAUCUUUUCUAAUUUUUAUUUGAAUUUUUUGAAAUUGAGUCUUAAUUUUCUACUGCUACAACUAAAGUUUAGCAAACAUUGACUUUGAAUUGCCUGUAUAUAUCUACGUAGGCGCCAAUUUGAAGAUAAAGAUUGACUCAAAAUAAAUAACAAAUAACACUUACAGGUCCUUUCACUACAACUGAACUCUCUCGUCAGUCAUGAUAGGUGUAGACUUGGAAACUAAAAGUCUUCUAUAGGUGGAGAAGUCUUGUAUCUAACUUGUGAUAUAUUGUUAAAAAGGAGUCUAUGACUAUUUCAAUAGAUCUUAUUUAGUUAUUCUUUUCCCAAAAAAUUAUCGAAGCAAAUCGGUCGAUUAAUGAAUCAAUGUUUAUGCGUCGGCACGGUAGACUAGGGAUGCCAAUCUGGGUUUAUUCGAUUCAAUUUAAUGUGAAUUAAAUGAGUUUGAGUUUGAACAAAUUAAUUCGUUUAAUAAAUAGGUAAAUUCAAUACGAUUCAUUAGUUAAACAAAUUGAAUUCAGGUUUUAUUCAUUCAGGGUUCAUUUAAUAAAUACGUCAUAAACGAAUUAAAUACGAUCCAUUUAUUUAAAAUUAAUUUGAUUAAAUUACUUAUUUUCUUUAAAUAUGUAUGAAAAAUUUUAAAAUUUCAAAGCUAUUAUAGUAAUUAUAAAUGAUAAUAAGACAAAAUAUAUAGUAAUUCGAUUCGUUAUGGAUUCAUUAUAGAAUAAAUGAGUAGUAAAUAAAUUCAUAUUUGAUUCGAUUCAUUUAUUAGUUCUACUAAACGAAUUAAAUUAAUCAAAUCGAAUAUUGUUUAAUAAACAAAUCAAAUUCAAAUCCUGAGGUUUGCUUAAUAAAUGAAUCAAAUCCAAAUCAAUAGUGUUUUGACCCAAUUUGUUUACGAUUCAAUUUAAAUUUGAUUCAUUUAUUCAUUUUGCCGCCCUUGCAAAACUUAAUAUUAAUCUCAGCCUCAUUUAUUUUAUAUGUUCUGAAGAAAAAUCUUAAAGACCUUGUCACUUUCUAAUUAAUUAUUUCUUACAAAGAUGGCCCAAGGAAAUUAUGUACACCCCAACGUAUAAGUUGGGAGGUGCAAGUAGAAAUUAACUAUAAAGCAGCUGAGGAGGACUUCUGGUCUGCAGGAAAACAACCGACCACCAAUUUUGUGGCAUGAAAAUAGUGAAUGAGAUUGUAGAUAAAAUUUAAAUGAAUGAGAUGGUGUGGAUAGUACAUGAUAAAGUUAAUUUCAUUUUUUUUUAUCAUUAAUCCUUUUUUUUUAUUUGGGUGUUAAUUAAUUGAGUUGGUUAAUUUUUUUUUUUGUCUUAAAAAUAAGAUGUUUGAGGUUCCAAAAAUAUGUGAGGAGGAAAUUGAAUUGUUUUUUAGCUUAAAGGAACAACAUAAUUUAAAUUUUGAAUAAGACUUCAGUGCUGAGCUAUUUUUUGUUGAAUUAUUGACAAGUAAAAUAUAAAAUUAAAAAUAAAAAUAAAUCUUGACCAAUGAUUCCAUACUGAAUCCUAAUCUAUCAAUUUUUGCUUGACACUCUACAAAAGUUCAAACUAAUUACUUAGAAGGAUAAUGGAGAAAAAAAUUGAAAGCUAUGGUUAAAUGCCAAUAAUUGACAAUAAAACAUUGGUGCAGAUACAAGCAUAAAAGUGCUUUCAUACGGUUUGAUCUUCUAGAUUCUACUUUCUACUCUUAUAAACUUAUAAGUGAUCAUGAACUGCAUGAGUCUAUUAUCCACAGCGUAGAGUUGGUCAUAGACAACCUUGCACUUAAUAAUUUGAAACAAAAUGUCUUGCUACAACUAAAAUCUAGCAUGGACUCUCGAAGAUUAAUUAUCUAUGAAAUAUUGACCAGCUUGUGGCCAAUUUAGAGAAAAAGAUUGUCAUCGUAGACCGUUCACGUCAACUGUAAACUCCGCUCAUCAGUGAUGAUAGGUGUUAGAGUUGGAAACUAGAGUUUUCGUGUACGUGAAGAAGUCUUAUAUUUAAAUGUUUCUGUAGGUAAUUCCAUAAAAAGUAAUGAUAUAGGUACAAAUUCUUGCACAAACUUAUUUUAUACAAACUAAUGUGACGUUAAUUAAUUGGUUGAAUUAAAUAUCUCUGAGCCCACAUAAUUUAUUUAUAUUAUUUUAUAUUUUCAUUCAACCAAUGAAUUAAUACUACAUCAGUUUGUACAAGAGUUUGUGAUUGUAUCAUCACUCUUCCAUAAAACUAACUAGUGACAUAUUUAUUAAAUUACUUUUUUAUGACUACCUUUGAUCAUAGGAUUGUUUGAUCAUAGGAUUGUUUACUAGUCUUAUAUUUAAGUCCUCUUUGGCUUUUUUCUAAAUACAUGAACUAUACACGUCACAACAUUUGGAAUAAUCAUUUGAUCGAUCUCAAUGGAUCGUUUUGCAAUCUUCAUUAUUGUUGUUCUCUUGGUGUCUGCUGUCUUCUUGAUAUUAGCAUGUAAGAGAUUGUAACAUUUUCAUAUUUUGGUUUGACAUUCUUGAAUAAAAAGGCUUGCCCUUUUUUAAGAAAACUGCUAACCGUUUAAUCCCAGAGAGCAUGUUUUCUUUUCUACAGAAAACGGCUAACUGUUUGGAGAAAACGGCUAACUGUUUGGAGAAAACGGCUAACCAUUUAGUUCAAAAGUUAUUUGAAAGUUGACAUUCUGGAAGAAAAUGGUUAGCCAUUAGAAAACGGCUCGCCGUUAUUGAGAAAAUGGCUAACCAUUUUCUUCCAGAGAGCGUGUUUUGGCAUCAACUGAAAAAAAAAGGCUAGUAGGUUUUGAGGAAAAAGAAAAACCGGUUGUGAAUAGAUGCAAAUUUCAAACCAAAGAGUGUCUUUGAAGAAGUACCGUUUCUAAUGGUUGUAAUUUUUCAUAAAAAUAAUUUCUUCAUUAAAUUAGACACUCAUAUUAAAAAAAAAAACUGGAUUAUUACAGAUUUCAUGUGUGUUCUUGAAAUACAAUCUUAUUUGCUAGAGAUUGUAUUCAGGAUUUGAUAAAUCUUGGGGGUAAUUUGCCAUUAAACUCUAUAACAAAUUAAGAGUGGUGAGGGGAAAUAAAACCUUAAAGAAAAGUGUAUAAACACGUCUCAAAUCCUAAGAAAGUUUCCUUGUUCUUUGCCUCCAUAUUUGAAGAUCCACCAACAUAGCAUUCAUUUCUGGUUUAUCUAAUGGAGUAGAUUGAGUUCGUCUUGUUUUCCUUGUCGAUCACUCUGGCAGCAGUGGCCACUUUAGGCAUGAUUUUCUAUUGUGUGAGGAGAAAGCCCAGAAGCAGAGGUAAAAGUUCUCAUUUAAUCGCACGAUUUUGAGAGUCUAAUAUGCUAACAUACAUAUACAUAUCGUAAUUAAAGCUUUAGUUUCUUCACCCUUCAGGAGAGGAUUUGAUCAUGUUUGAUUUGGAUUUGAACCUGAAAGCCAACACGUUAACAUAGAGCUUCCUGUAAACAGUAAUCUGACAAAAAGAAGCAAAAAGAAGGAAGUUGAUCAAAUGCCUUUAUUCAGUUUUUCCAGUGUUUCUACUGCAACAAAUAAAUUCUCCGACGCAAAUAAGCUCGGAGAGGGCGGCUUUGGACCCGUUUAUAAGGUACUACAGAUAUCAUUUUCUUUGGAGCGCUAAUUUCAUUUUUAACAGAACUAUAAAUUUACCAUCUGCAGGGAGUGUUAAAAAAUGGAGACGAGAUAGCUGUGAAACGGCUUUCAGGAAGAUCUGGACAAGGAUUGCGAGAGUUAAAAAAUAAGCUUCGGUGAUAGCCAAGGUUCAGCACAAGAAUCUGGUUAGACUUUUGGGCUGCUGCAUAGAUAAAGACGAGAAGAUUCUGAUCUAUGAGUACAUGCCUAACAAAAGCUUGGACUUCUUUCUUUUCGGUUAGUUAUUGCAUCUGUUAAUUUAUUUUUCUUACAUAUUCCUCUCUUCAAAUUUUAUAUUCAAAUUUUAUGCAUACAUUUGUUUGAACUACUAUUUAAUAUAAAAUUAUAUAUCAAAAAUUUAUUUAAACUAGAAUUUAGUCCAUGUUACUUAUCCAAAUUUUAUUCAUUAAUUUAUUUAAAAUAGCAUUUAGCAUUUAAUUUAAGAUUAAAUAUCAAAAUUAUUCAAUUUUUAAUUUAUAUUGAAAUUGAAUAUCUAAAAGAAUAUUUAAUAAUUAACAAUAUAACUUUAAGAAAUAAUCAUACUUUUUAAAUAGUUUUUUUAACUUCCUUAAAUUGAAUUUAAUAUGAUCCUGUCCAACACUAAACCAAAUACAAGACAUUACUAUAAAAUAAUUUAGUCUAAUUCAAUCCAAUUCAAUCUUAAUAACUAGUCCAAUCCAAUCCUUUAUUUUGCAACAAACCUAACCUAAAAGAAUAUUUAGUAUUUUCUAUUUCAUGUAGCUAUUUUUAAGUUUAAUGAUUAACACAAUCGAAUUAUCAGAUUUUAAAAAAAAAAUUAAGUUGCUAGAUCAAUUUACAUCAAAUUAUGUGGUCUACAUUUUUUUGUUUUCAUGCAUAAUGACAUUUAGUCUUUUUGUUGUAAAUUAGAUCCAACCAAGUGAAUGUUAUUAGAUUGGGUAACACGUGUUCGGAUUAUUGAAGGGAUAGCUCAAGGGCUUCUUUAUCUUCAUCAAUAUUCCAGAGUGCGAAUUAUUCAUCGAGAUUUAAAAGUUAGUAAUAUCUUGUUAGAUAAAGAUAUGAAUCCCAAAAUAUCAGAUUUUGGAAUAGCAAGAAUUUGCAGAGGAAAUGAGUUACAAGCAAACACCGGUAGGAUCGUCGGGACAUAGUAAGUAAAUGACAAAAAUCAAAAUUAAAGUGAUUAAUUAGUUAUGCGUGAAUUGCUGAUUAUUAUUUAUUGAUUGUUGAAUUACAGUCGUUAUAUGUCCCCUGAAUACGCAAUCCAAGGAAUAUUUUCAAUUAAAUCUGAAUGUGUUUAGCUUUGGAGUAUUGUUGCUCGAGAUUGUAAGUGGCAAUAUCGAACCUACUCUUUCACUCUGCUAGGUUAUGUAAGUAACAAAAGCCGUUGCACAUAUAUAUUCUUUUUUAUAUUACUAAUUAGGUGAAAAUAUAUAUGAAUUCCCAAGCGUGGACACGCACAAUGUGAAAACGUUUGGAUUUUUGCACCUGACUAUUUUUAAACUAUUCUCUAUAUCGAGUGUAGGACUAUCUAAUGACAUCGUAUGGUUGUUUAGGCAUGGGAUCUGUGGACAAGCAACAGGACAUUGGAGUUGAUUGAUCCAAUAUUAGAAGAUGAAUAUUCCUCCAAGCCUAUGCUUUUAAGAUAUGUGAACAUAGCUCUCCUUUGUGUACAAGAAAGUGCUGAUGAUAGACCCACCAUGAAUGAUGUUGUAUCCAUGCUUACAAAUGAAGCUGCAGCAUUGCUUCCUCCAAAACAACCUGCUUUUUCGUAUGUAAGAAAUACAGUCACUUCAACAUCGUCCACCGGCAAGACAGAAGAAGCGCGCUAGCUUUUAUUUUAAUGUGUAUCGAGUCACUUCAAAAUCUUGAGUGCUAGCUGUUAGCCUUCUCUUCCCGUUCAUUUUAUACCGUGCAUGUGUCUUUCAGUCAGUCAUUAUAAUUAAAUGUAAUAAUGCGAGAAGCGAAUACAAUCAUGGGUUGGCUCUUCUUAGACCAAUAAAAUCACUAUCAAAUGUUAGCUCUAUCCUUGCAAGACUUUUCGAAGUCUACAGGUCCCGCAAGCAAAUAAAGUUGGUUUUGACGCGAGGACGAAUUGCAUUCAGUCAAUCAUUAGAUUUUUUUUAUUAUAUUAAAAAGUGGAGGAAUGAUCAAAGCUCAAAUUAAUUUUUUAUUUUCUAUUUUCUCCGAGAUUCAAACUUAAUUAGGUGAUCAUCUCAAUGAGACAACUUGAAAACUACGGGGUUGAGCUCCUGAGACUAAUUAUUAGAUAUUAUAUGGAGUAGUGACCCUGAUUUUUAUUGGUUCAACGGGGUCUGAUAUUAUCACGAGUCUGAUAUAUAAAAAGCAAUGCAUGGAACCAUUAUUUUCGUUCAAUGGGAUCAGAAUCAAGAAACUACGAACUCGGCAAGGCAAAAUCAACAAUUUGUAAACCGAGGGAGUGAGAGGAUCAAAACAUAUGUAAAGUCCAAAGAAAUGAACUAAAUUUUAAUUAAUACCCUUAUCUUGCUAUGAAUUAUAUAAUUCUAAUUCAAGAGACACUUUUAAACAAAAUUUUGGACACAAUAUUCUGACCAUUAGAUUAAAGCUAAGCAAGAGUUGAUAUUGAAGCUGACAUGCCUUUUUUAAGUUUUAAAAACUAAAAAUUAAUAUAAUGGAUCCUUAUAUAAUAAUAAAUUAUUGCUCGUUCUUCUCUCUCUUACUUAAUAUUCCCUCUUUUGUCACUUUUUUUUUUCUUUGCUUACCCUUUUUAAGUCUUGCCUACAUUAAUUAGUUUGAACUUUUGCAUGGCAUCAGUGAAAAAACUUAACCGACUGAUAGAGCUGAAAUGGACUUAAAUUUUAUUUUCACUCAUUGACUAUUUUCAGCAAAUUUAUUUUGUCCAUCAAAAUUCGUACCAGAGCCACUACUGAAAGUAGGAUAUGGCUUCCCCUUCAAUGUCUUGUGUAACCCAAAUUGAAUCAAUACAUCUUUAAUUUGAAUUUGUCACAAGCCAAAGUUGAUAUUCCCAACAAAUUCUUCUAUUUCAAUUUUCACUGAACUUGAAAUUUUCAAUCCUGACAUAUUCGCUUUGCAGAUUAGCUUUGCUCUUUAUCAGGGACUAUUUAGAUUGGGUCUCAUUGCUUCACACGAAUAGUGCUGUAUACGUGAACAGUAUCGUAUACAUGAACAGCACCCCUGACACCAAAACUUCAAUCAAUAGCUCUGAUACCACUGUUAGGAAAUUGAGAUUUCUCCCAAGAUCACUCCAAGUAAUUUGUCAAGAAAUAAAUCAAUAGAAAAAUUAAAUUCAAAAUAAUAUCAAUCGCAUAACACAAGAUUUACGUGGAAAACUCCAAAUCUGAAGGAAAACUAUGGCUGUUGUCAAGAGACAACCAGAGAAAAAUAUUCACGAUGUGAAAAAUUAUUACAACCACACUUUCAUAAAUAAUUUACUCUCAGAAAUAAUUUUCUCUCACCCAAGCUCUAAAUACACCCAAAACUCUCAAUUUAAGAGUAAUUAAAUUCAACUCUCAAAUUCUCUCUAAAUAUAAGAGGAAAUGAAUUCUUUGGGAUGAUAAAAUCUUAUGAAAGGCUCUCUUAUUUAUAACCAAGUGGAUAAUACUGUUCAAACCGCAUUACUAUUAAUGUCGCAUUACUGUUCAAGCCGUGUGGUCAAACCGUGUUACUAUUCACCGCAUGGUAAAACCCGAUUGUUGAGUGUUAGAAAAUGUAUAUUUAUAAAGGAGAAAAUCGUCAUUUUACAUCUCAAGUUCCACUAACAUUCCUACUUUUAUGUAUUUAAGUUUCUUGUGAUUUAAUUAUGUGUGUUGUAUUAUAAUUAAGUAUUUUAUGUAUUUUGGGAGCAUCAUAGUCAUUUCACAAUGAACGAGAAAUCAAACGGCUAAACAGACAUCACUUUUGAACUCAGGACAGUCGAAAACCUUAGGAGGAGCAUAAAAGGAAAAAUGUCAUUGUUCACAUGUACGGUACUAUUCACAUGUACGGUAUUGUCUACGUUACUGUUCACGACACUAUUCACAUAGACAGACCGAUGAUGUGGCAUUGACUGAUGAGGUGUCACGAUUCCAUUGGAGAAAAUUCUUAUGCACUGUUGAUCGGUGACGUGGCAGCAUAUUAGUGGACCAAAAAUUACGCGUACGGUACAUGCAUAUAAACAGGAUUAUUUUCAACCAAACCGCGUCACUGUUCAAGUCGGUUGACUGUUCAAACCGCGUACUGUUGACUGAUGACGUGGCGCAAUUCUGAACGUCCAAACUAUUUUUAAUCUGAUAGUCAUGAUUUACUCAAUGUAUCUAUAAAAAAAGGGCCUCCUCCCCUAAUUUGGCAUCUCUCUGAAUCCAUUUUUGGGCUCCAUUUUUUGUAAUUCCUUCUUCAUCUUGUAUUUUCUACGUAUUUUAAUAAAUUCUCAUUUUGCCCUUAGUUCAAUUAUGAGUAGCUAAUUUUCUUUCAAGCUUGGGUUGAAGGUGAAGUCUCAACAUGUGUCAUGGGCUUUAUUUGAUAAAUUUAAUUUCUCUUCCCCUCUAAUUAUUGUGGAUGUUUUGACUUUUCCUUGACAAAUAGUAAUAAUCUUGUCUAGAUACCGCCCUAGUUUCACCGGCUCCCUAGUACGAGAUUAUUAUUAUUUGGCACAAUAAGCCCUUAGCACCAUAUUGAUUAGAGCGUGGUUCAUGAGUUGUGGAUUCCCCCCCUCAUGAUUUAAUUGACACUAAUAAGGAAUAUUUAGCCCAUGGUACAUGUUGAUGCGGAUUCAGAUACCCAAGUGCUUCAAUUAUUAUAGUUUUUGCUUCAAUUUAUUCUCGUCAUUUUAAUUCAAAUUCUAAGAUAGUCUAAAUCACUUUCACCAUAAAACCAACCAGCCAUUUAGAAAAAUUAAUUUUACACACAAUUAAAAUCCACAUCCUCGUGGGAUCAACACUCGUCACCAAUGAUCUAUUCUAUAAUAGAUUCGUGCACUUGCGAGUUCAAUAAAAUUUGCACAACAUCUAUUUUUAACAAUUCUCCCACUUGAAGAUUAGAAUGAGAACCAAUCAAUCUCCACGCCAUUCUUACUAUUUUCACCUUAGUCAUAAUCCUCAAUAAAGAGAAUUAUCAUACUCUACUAUAAAGAGUAUACCACUUAGAAUUAAUUACCAAUUUUAGGAAUUUUACAUCGGCUCAUGUCGAAAUAUUCUGCUGAAAUUUAUGGUGCAACUUUCUUGUUGGCUUUCCUGGAAGUUUUUCAGCCAUCAACAUAAAUUCCACCACACACCCUACAACAAUGCCAACCAUGCAUUGUGUGCAAAUCUUGCGGACCCGCUAGCAGUGACACAUCCACUUCCAUAACACUAGCAGCAUACCAUAGAGAUGUCAUCAUCAUUUAUUUUACAAGGGAGCAUCAUCUCCCAUAAUAAUGAGAGACUUACCACUAGCAAUGCUAUCAGUAUCUUAUUUGGAGCCAGUUGCCGACCCUGCUUCAUUUCUCCUAUGACAGUCUCUUUUUAGGUGCCCUAAUUGUCCACACCCCCAAUAGACUCCUUUGUUCUUAAAUUUAUCUUUCUUCCAAUUGCCAAAGCCGAGACAUCUGUAGUUUCAGUAUUUUCACCACUCAGUCUUCUUUCUUCCAAGAGUAAAGUAGUAGCAACUUCUUCAACAUAUAUUGUCUCAUUCACAUACAUUAAGUAAGUGAUAGGUGUUUGUAGGAAGUUGGAAGUGACCAUAGCAGCCUAAGCAUCUUGUCCUCAUCUUCAAUUUUAACUUCAAUGGCUUCUAGUUCUGUCAUAAUACUAUUGAGAACAUUGAGGUGAUCAGAAAUUUUUGUUCCUUCAACCAUUCGCAGCGUGUGAAAUUACUUCUUCAGGUACAAUCGAUUUGGGAUGCUCUUUGUCUGAUAUAAUUUUUUUAGCCUCUCUCAAAGCUCUUUCACUAUAGGAAUAUUUCCUACAUUUGCAAAAACAUUCUUUGCUAGACAUAGUCAUAUGGAACUUGCAAUUCUAUCAUCCAACUCUUCCCAAUCUUCAUCGCUGAUACUAGCUUUUAGAGAGCCACUACUAGAAGCAGGGGAUGGCUUCCCCUUUAAUGCCUUAUGUAACCCAGAUUGAAUCAACACAUCCUUAACUUAAAUUUGUCAUAAGACAAAGUUGAUUUUCCUAUCAAAAUUUUCUAUUUCAAUUUUCACUGAACUUGAAAAUUUCAAUUCUGACAUAUUUGGUUUGCAUAUUAGCUUUGCUAUUUAUCACAGACAAUUUAGAUUGGCUCCCAUUACUUCAGGUGAACAAUACCGUAUACGUGAUAGUACCCCUGAUAACUCUAGGAAAUGAGAGUUAUUACAUCAAUUCUAAACUUGAAUCAAGAUCACUUAGAGAAUAAAUAAGGUGUUUUUAUUACAUUUUGGUUGCAUUUUCCAUAAACAUUCAUUUUAGUCGAGUCUUAAUAAGUUUGCUUGAAUCAAAGUAAUUUGUGCUAAAAACAAGUGCAUAAUUGUAGGUUCUCAGAAAGUCGUAAUAUAUGAGGGGAUGUUGAGACUGUAGAUGAGCAAGAGGAGGAAAGAAGAUGGCCACAAAAGAAGAAAAGCACAAUCAGGAAUAAUGCAGUGCUGUUGAGGAUGUUAGAGCAACCUGUGUUGUAGCAAUCUGGGAGCAAUGCGGGAGAAAACUUAGGCGCGGGUCAGCACAUGUUUCCUAAUUUAACGCAUGCAUGCUAAUAGGGCUUGUGUUUACCCUAAAUUGCAAUAUAAAAGGUAGGCAUGCACCACAUAGAAAUGCGGCAAGGGAAUCAUUAGAAUAAUUACAAAGGAAAAGAAGAAGAAGAUCGGAAUUGAAGAGUGUUGUUUUCGGCAACAUUGGAGAAUAAUGCAGAAUUACUUGGAUUUGUUUUUCACCGUGCUCAACUUAUAUUUAUCUUCUUCCUUUAAUUGUUUUGAUGUAUUCCGAGAUCAAAAUAUUUAUGUUUAUUUUUCUCUUUCAGAUUAUAAACUAAAUUUACUUGUAGUUGAGUGACAAAUAAUCCAAUAGGUUCUUGAUUGUUCUUAUAUGUUGUGAUGGCACUGUUGUAGCAUUUUACUCUAGUAGUUUUGUAUAAAUAUAAUUGUUAUUUCGAUUGACCACCUAUUUAAUAGUUUCAGUUAGGAUAGAGCAGCAAAAGGGCAUGUCUUAGCGGAUAUUAUUAGAGUACUACUUGAUCUUACGUUGAGUUUCCUGGAUUAAGUUAUCUUGAAUCCCAUAAGGGCAAUACUUGAAGUUAAGAUUUGUGACACACUAGAUAUAGGUGUUCACCUUGUAGGGUGGAGAGAUUGAAGGUUAUAAUGCUGUACCACAACCAUAUUAGCAACUGGUCAUUGUUAAUAGAUUUAAUGGUAUGAGACAUCCAACAUGCGAUAGCUGAAGAUGCAAGUUUAUUCUGCCCAGUGCUGCAGCACUUGUUGUAACAACUGGUGCUAACUUGAUAAACAACAGUCACCCCAUUAGAAGAAUUUGAUCAUUCAACUACUAUAAUCCCAAUUGAAUCUUAGACACAUUUAACUUAGUUUAUUUCGUUACGGUAUUAUUUUAUUUAAUUCUUUCACAAUCCUCAAUUACUUUGGAAAUUACUUUACAAUUGUUUAUUUCGGUCCUAAGUUGAUUUGCACUAUUGUGAUUGCUUUAAUAUUUUGAGUAACAUCAAUCCAUGUGGAGACGAUCUUAAAUACUUAUCACUUUAUUACUUGUUGUGUAUACUUGCACAUUGGCAUUGGUAGUAAUUGUUGUGUAAAUUUUAAUGUACUCGCAAGCGCAUGAAUCUAUUGUAGUAUAGAUCAAUGGUGACGAGUGUCGAUCCCAUGAGGAGGUGGAUUUUAAUUAUGUGUAGAAUUAAUUUUGCAAAUGGGUGGUUUAGAUUUGUGGUGCAAGUGAAUUAAAUUAUUCUAAAAUUGGAAUUAAAAUGGCGAGAAGAAAUUGAAGAGAAAAUUACUAUGUUUGAAGCGCUUGAGUAGCUGGAUCCGUAUCAACAUGCACCAUGGGCUAAAUAUUCCUUAUUAAUACCAAUUAAAUCAUGAGGGGGGAAUCCACUCCUCAUGAACCACGCUCUAAUCAAUAUGGUGCUAAGGGCUUAUCGUGCCAAAUAAUAAUAACCUUGUACUAGAGGGCCGGUGAAACCAAGGCGGUACUAGACAAUAUUAGUAUUAUUUGUCGACGAGAAGUCAAAACACCCACAAAAACUAGAGGGGAAGAGAAAAUAAAUUUACCAAAUUAAGCCCAUGACACAUGUUGAGACUUCACCUUCAACCCAAGCUUGAAAGGAAAUUAGCUACUCAUAAUUGAACUAGGGGCAAAAUGGAAAUUUAUUAAAAUAUGAAGAAAAUACAAGAUAGAGAAGGAAUUACAGAAAAUGGAUCCCAAAAAUGGAUUCAGAGAUAUCAAAUUAGGGGGGAGAGGCCCCCUUUUUAUAGAUACAUGGAGUAAAUCAUGGCCAUCGGAUUAAAAACAGUUUGGACGCUCAGGAUUGCGCCACGUCAUCAGUCAACAGUACGCGGUUUGACCACGCGGAUGAACAGUAAUACGGUUUGACCCGGAUGAACAGUAACGCGGUUUGGUUGAAAAUAAUCCUGUGUGAUGCAUGUACCGUACGUGAGAUUUUUCGUCCACUGAUAUGCUGCCACGUCACCAUCAACAGUACAUAAGAAUUUUAGCCCAACAGGAUCGUGACACCUCAUCAGUCAAUGCCACGUCAUCGAUCCGUCUAUGUGAACAGUGUCGUGAACAGUAACGUAGACAGUACCGUACACGUGAAUAGUACCGUACAUGUGAAUAGUACAAUUUUUCCUUUUAUGCUCCUCCUAAGGUUUUCGACCGUCCUGAGUUCAAAAGUGAUGUCCCAUUUUGCCGUCUGAUCUCUCCUUUAUUGUGAAAUGACUAUAAUGCCCCUAAAAUACAUAAAAUACUUAAUUAAAAUAAAACACAUGUAAUUAAAUCACAAAAAGGUUAAAUACAUAAAAGUAAGGGUUGUUAGUAAGACUUGAAAUGUCAAAUGACGGUUUUCUCCUUUAUAAAUAUGCAUUUUCUAACACUUAACACACCCCCCAACCAGCUUAUUGCUAGUCCCUAGCAAAUAAAGCAAAAACAAAAUUCAAAUUCAAAAUGAUAUAUAUAUAUUUUUUUUAGAAACACUCGUGUUUAUUCAAUCAGAUUAAUGAUAGCAAUCAAAUAAAAGUAUAAGCAUUAUCUCCAGUCUAAAGCAACAUCACACCCACAUCAACCAUCCACAUGAAUCAGCCCAAUAGACUUUGUUAUAGCUACUUUCAAGAAUGACAUGUCAAACCCCAAAAUCUCAGUGGAAGUAGUGACACUCUCACAAAGAAAUUAAACCCAAUAAAAAUAGUCACUCCAAUAAAUGGUAAUUGAGAGAAAAUAAUGAAGAAGUGAUAUCACAUGCUCUCACCAAGAUAAAAUAAAUAUGCCCUCAGCUUAGAAAUAAUACGAUCUCAAGUCAAAUAAAAACUGUUAGUCAACCCAAUUUAUUUAUUUAUUAUUUUUUUUAUAUUUACCACUACAUCUUUUUAGCCCACAUAACUAGCUUCUACUUCAAAUUAUACUUCCCUAAAAUCAGGAAGGACUUUUAUUAGGAUGUAACGUAGGCUAGGGACAUGGUUAACAAAGAAGGGAAAUAAGGAAAACAAAGUGUAUGUUUGAGAAAAAUGCAGAAUUUUUUUUUUUUUGGAAGUUGCAAGGUGGAUUUCACCUAUUAUUGUUAUUUUUUUUUUGUUUUUGCUCGGCACAACGUCACUAAAUAAAAUAAUUAUUUACAUUUUCUCAAACAUAAAUAGGUGAUGGAACUUAUAAGACAUCGGGUAAUACUCCAAAUCGGAGUGGGUCAAGAUGAUAAGUUGACAAAGAAAAGGUUUUUUUUUUUUUUUUAAAGGCUCAAAAGGGUUAACUAUGGAUAUUUAAUAAAAAGGAUGGCUAGAAAGGCUCAAACGGAUCAAAGAUGGCCUUUCCAUCGUCUUUUAGGGCUCUAAAUAAUCAUCCAUAUCUACUAGUUAGAUGGGCCUCCAAAUAUAGCAACACACAUUUUUUUCUUUCUUUUUUUUUUAAUUUUACAAUUUUUUUUAAGGGUUAACUCAAAAGAAAUCUAGAGAUCGUGUAUACAAUAAUAAACUGUUAAGUUGUAUAAAGAAUGGGCAAAAGGGUUAAUCAUGUCAUCCAACAAAUCACACAAAUUUUUUUUUUUAAACAACAUUCUACCCCCCCAACCUAUUCUAAGCAUGAAAGGAAAAUAUGCAUGCAGAAAUGUGAAAAUGAUGCAUAAAAACUAAUUAAAAACAAAUUACACGUAAAAUGAUAGAAAACGAAAAUGGUUUUUUUUUUUUAAGAAGAUGCGUUUCUAGAGGCACUACACUCCAUAUUCAGCCAUCUUCGACUCACAAGUUGGAAAAUGUAUAUUUAUAGAGGAGAAAUUAAAAAGAAGAAAAAUAAACAUAAAAACAUAAUAAAUAAAAAGAAAAUGUCUGAAAUUUUUUUUUUAGUAUUUUAUUUUAUUUUUUAAAACGAUGAAGAUGCGUUUCUAGAGUCACUACACUCCAUAUUCAGCCAUCUUCAACACAAAAAGUUAGCAACAGUUAGUUUCUACAACAAAAAAUUAGUAAAAACUUAAUCAAAAUUCCACAAUUGUCGACUAUUCCCUCCCCCCAACCAGAACGAAACAUUGUCCUCAAUGUUUGAAAGGAAAGAAGUAGAGUUUAAAAGACAUCACUUGGGUGGUGCAACACAGAAGAAAAUAUUUAAAAGCGGAGAGUUAAAUCUAAUUUGUACUUCUCAUUGCGGCUACUGUUACCAUCAUUAUUUGGGCGCUCCAACACAAAGGUCCAGGGGUCUGGCUCCGGUUUAUAAGCUUGUAACAGAUCAAGUAGCUCAUUAGCAGUGUGAGCACAAAUAAAAAGUUUUUUCGCAUUAGAGGGAAUGAAAUAAUUUUUUAUUGCAUGGUUAAGAAAUGCGAUAAAGCCAUCAUAAAAGUUAUUGACAUUUAACAAACCGAUGGGUUUCUGGUGGAUGUGCAGAUGGGCCCAAGAUGCUAGUGUGAUAAGUGCCUCUAGUGUUGCAAGAUCUCCUGGAAGGAAAAUAAAAGCAUCAGCAUGAUUAAGCAUUUCAGUUAUUCUUUCUUGCAUACCUGAGACGACUAACUCUUCUCCAGUUGAUGAGUCAGACGAACUGCCCAAUGGUUUUAAGACUCUUGGGAUGAUGCCUAACACUUGACUUCCUCUGACAAAAGCUGCUUUAGAGACCAUUUUUGAUAACCCUCGGUUACCUCCUCCAUACACCAAGUGUAAUUUUCUCGCUGCUAUGCUUCGACCAAGAUCUAUGGCUGCCUCAACGAACUCUUUAUGUUUGCCAUAGGUAAAUCCAGAAAGCACACAAAUGUUCUUGAAUUGUCUAUUUGGAGUAGCUGCCAUUGUGAUACUUCUCAAAAAUAAUUUGUGAGUGCUUGACAAAAAAAAAUCACAUUUAAGAGUCUUAGUGACAGUGGGUCACAGUUGUGUAUGAGGUAACAUGUCAGUGUCAAAUAACGCGUAAAGCACGUGGCUCGCGAGUCAAAAAGGAAACAGUAAUAAAAUUAUUAAAGAUAAUAAUGCACUCAAUAAAACAAUAGUGCAAUAAAAUAACAGUAAAGUAAAAGGAUAUUUACAGGUAGUUGCGACUGUGGCUCACAUCUUCCUCUGGUUUUACGUCCAGAAACAGCUUGAACGCCCUCAAUGGGUCGAGGAAAGGCUUCCCAUCCAGUUUUCUUAUAAACUGGCAAACAGGGUCGUUUAUAGUCAGAUUCCCGAGACUAUAUCAUGCAUACUCUUUCUGGAAUAAUGGCCAUAACUGGAGAAUCGCUCCUUGCACAUAUCCACUGGGAUGCGUUUCAAGAGACAGAAGGAUAUCAUCCAAUGACUCCUUAUUCAAGUCAUCCCUAAUGAAUUGAAUCUUAUCUUCCCUGUUAUCAGACACCAUUCCUAAAGAACAUGGGUUUUUAUUGCAACUCAUCCUGGCACACUUAUGACAAGCAACAGAAAUUCUUCGAGCUCGUCGUUUUCUUGCAUAAUUUCCUUUACCACAACCAGGCAUGUAUGCAAUAAAUUUUGGAGGUAACUCACCUGCCAAUCGUACUUUGGCCUCGAUUAACCAACGGAUGUUAGCAGGUAUGUUAUUCAUCAUGAGUAAUCGCAUGCGUUCGGACCGAGCUUUAUAGAUCGUAAGGAGGGCAUUCUGAGGAAGUGAAGGGAAUUGCUUGUGAAGCUUCGCUAGAAUCUCGUUUCUGUUCAUACUUUGGCCUCAGAAUAUCAGUUAUUAUAGGAAACUGAAGUAACCGACUUGAUUGUCACGGAGUACCGUUAUCCGCCACUUCACCGGGGUAACAAACUAAAGCACACAAACAGAAAAACAAAUUAAAACACACAGAAAAUUAAAAUCGUCCUCUUAUUGAAUUUACCUCAAGCUCCAACUGGAUAUCUUAAACACUUCUCUCAAUAUCUCUGAGUUGGCUUUCUAGACCCUCAACAUAGGCUACUAACUCUGGUGGUUGUAGAGCCCAAAUGCGAUGUGUUUUACAAAAUUGAAUCUGCCUUUUGAGAUGAGUUUUGACACGUUGAAGUGGUUUAAGAAUGUUCAGGAGGAACGGUCUAAGUAAGAUACUCAUGAUUAAAAAUGAGAAAAGAAAACUUAAUAGUUAAACAAACACACUUAUGCAAAAAUAAUUUCAAUUAGCAGAAGAAUAAUAUAAAGAAAGAAAAAAAAUCAAAUCAACGAAAGGAAAAAAAAAAUCAAUUCAAAUCUGGUGGGUCACUCAAAUUUAUUUCGGUGUCUUCUCCAUGUGGUUGGUACUCUAAAUAUGGCUUUAAUCUUUGACCAUUAACUUUAAACGUGACACCGUUCUUUGGGUCCUUAAUUUCAAUUGCCCCAUGUGGAAAAACAGUAUGAACAAUAAAGGGACCAGACCAUCGAGAGCGUAACUUACCUGUGAAUAGGUGCAAACGAGAAUUGAAUAAAAGCACUUUCUGACCUAGAGUGAACGAUUUUCUCAUAAUUUGCUUAUCAUGGAAGACUUUCAUUCGUUGCUUGUAAAUCUUGACAUUUUCGUAUGCGUCAUUGCGAAUUUCUUUAAGUUCUGCCAGUUGUAAUCUUCUUUCUGAGCUGGCUUGCUGCAUGUCAAAGUUGAAUUUCUUGAUGGCCCAGUAUGCACGAUGCUCGAGUUCCACAGGUAGGUGGCAAGCUUUUCCAUACACUAGUCUGUAGGGUGACAUCCCAAUCGGGGUCUUGAAAGCCGUUCUAUAUGCCCAUAAUGCAUCAUCAAGUCUUAAUGACCAAUCUUUUCUGUCUGGCCUCACUGUCUUUUCUAAUAUGUGCUUUAUUUCUCGAUUGGAGAUCUCAACUUAGCCACUGGUUUGAGGAUGAUAUGGGGUCGCCACUUUGUGUGUGAUUGAAUACUUUGUCAAAAGAGCCUUGAAUGCUUUGUUACAAAAGUGGGCACCACCAUCACUGAUUAUUGCUCGAAGGAAUCCAAAGCGUGAAACAAUGUUGCUUUUCAAAAAUGCUAUCACCACCUUGUGAUCAUUGGUCCUACAUGGAAUUGCUUCUACCCAUUUUGAUACAUAGUCAACAGCAACCAAUAUGUAUUGAUGGCCAAAAGAUGGGGGAAAGGGUCCCAUGAAAUCGAUACCCCAUACGUCAAAUAUUUCAACCACUAAAAUUGGAUUUAAUGGCAUCAUGUUCCUUCGUGUAAUGCUCCCCAUUCGUUGACACCUAUCACAUGAAAAACAGAAAGUGUAGGCAUCUCGAAAUAUAGUUGGCCAAUAGAAACCACAUUGUAAAACUUUAGUCGUUGUUUUCUUAGCGCUGAAAUGGCCUCCACAAGCUUGUUCAUGGCAGAAUGAAAGGAUAUUUUGAAUUUCACUUUCUGGGACACAUCGUCUAACAAUUUGGUCUGCACAAUACUUGAACAAAUACGGGUCAUCCCAAAAGAAAUUCUUUAUUUCCGCAAAGAAUUUAGCCUUGCCUUGCUUGGUCCAAUGCUCUGGAAGUUGACCUGUAACAAGAUAAUUAACGAUAUCAGCAUACCAUGGUAAUACUUCCACACUCAUUAAUUGUUCAUCUGGAAAUGACUCAUUCAAUAUUAAUGGCUCUGUAAUUGUGUCAAAAUGGAGACGAGAGAGGUGGUCCGCCACAACAUUUUCUGUCCCUUUCUUAUCUUUGAAUUCUAAGUCAAAUUCCUGCAAAAGUAACACCCAACGAAUUAGUCUAGCUUUUGCAUCUUUCUUUGUGAGAAGAUAUUUAAGAGCAGCAUGAUCUGUGAAUAUAAUUAUUUUACAACCAAUGAGAUAAGAUCGAAAUUUUUCUAAUGCAAACACUACUGCUAGCAUUUCUUUUUCAGUAGUUGAAUAGUUCAACUGUGCAUCAUUCAAUGUCAUACUAGCAUAGUAAAUAACAUGGGGAAUUCGAUCAACUCUUUGUCCUAAUACUGCUCCUACUGCAUAAUCAGAUGCAUCACACAUGAGCUCAAAUGGUAAGCUCCAAUUUAGGGCCUGAAUGAUGGGUGAUGAUGUCAACAAUUGCUUUAAUUUUUCAAAAGCCACAAGACAUGAAUCAUUAAAGAUAAAAGGUACAUCCUUAGCAAGUAGAUUGCACAAGGGUCUAGAAACUUUGCUAAAAUCUUUAAUGAAACGUCUAUAAAAACCAGCAUGCCCAAGGAAAGAUCUUACUUCUCUGACUGUUUUAGGUGGAGGAAGAUUAGAAAUGAGAUCAACCUUGGCUUUGUCAACCUCAAUACCUUUGCUCGAAAUGAUGUGACCGAGAACAAUAACUUGUUUUAUCAUAAAAUGGCAUUUCUCCCAAUUUAAGACCAAGUUUUUCUCGAUAUAUCUCUGCAGAACUAGUGUUAGAUGAUGUAAACAUUGAUCAAACGAGUCACCAAAGACAGAAAAAUCAUCCAUAAAGACUUCAAGGAAUCGUUCAACCAUAUCAGAAAAAAUGCUCAACAUGCAUCGUUGAAAUGUAGCAGGUGCAUUACAUAAUCCAAAUGGCAUUCUCCUAUAUGCAAAUGUGCCAAAAGGACAAGUGAAAGUGGUCUUCUCUUGAUCUUUUGGUGCUAUGGGGAUCUGAUUGUAUCCUGAGUAGCCAUCUAGAAAGCAAUAAAAUUCAUAGCCUGCUAAUCUAUCAAGCAUUUGAUCAAUAAAUGGUAAAGGAAAAUGGUCUUUACGUGUGAUAGAAUUCAACUUUCUAUAAUCAAUGCAUACACGCCAUCCUGUAGUUACUCUAGUGGGUAUCAAUUCAUUAUCAGCAUUGGUAACUACUGUGACUCCUGACUUUUUAGGGACAACUUGUACAGGACUGACCCAUGAACUAUCAGAAAUUGGGUAAAUGAUACCUGCGUCUAAUAGCUUAAGGACUUCUGUUCUAACAACUUCUUUCAUAUUAGGAUUUAACCGACGUUGCAUUUCCCUAGUAGAUUUAGCAUUUUCAUCAAGGUGAAUGUAAUGCAUGCAGUCUACUGGAUUUAUACCUUUUAUGUCCGCUAUGGUCCAUCCUAAUGCUCCUUUGUGCUCUUUUAAAACAUCCAACAACUUACCUUUUUGUUCGUCAUUUAGGGAUGAUGAGAUGAUUACCUGCAGAGUACUUUCUUCUCCCACAAAUGCAUAUUCCAAUGUGUUGGGCAAUGGUUUGAGCUUGAGUUUCGGUGGUGAUUCAGAUGAUGGGAUGAGUUUCUUUUCUGAUGGUGCUAGUUGUUCAACUCUUGACUUCUAUUUAUUAGUGUCCAUGGAUGGUGCUGAGUCAAGUAAGGCGUUGACCUCAUCGACCGAUCUGUCAAUAUCAAAAUCCAAACCAAAGUGAGUUAAACAUGUUUGUAAAGGAUCAUCACUAAGGUUUGAAAGAAAAGUAUUAUCAACUAUUGUUUCAAUUAAAUCCACAUCAACAAUUCCAUCAUAUGCACUGUGAGGUUGUUUGGCAAUGUUGAAAAUGUUUAGCUCCAUAGUCAUGUUGCCAAAGGACAACUGCAUAUUUCCAGUUCUGCAUUGAAUGUGAGCAUCCGCAGUUGCCAAGAAAGGUCGGCCUAGAAUAAUGGGGAUGUGCUUCCUCGAAUCCUGUAUUGGUUGAGUGUCAAUUACAAUGAAAUCAACAGGAAAAUAAAACUUGUCUACCUGGAUAAGCACGUCCUCCACAAUACCACGAGGUAUUUUCGUGGACCGAUCUGCAAGCUGUAACACCACUGGAGUUGGGUGUAAUUCCCCCAGUCCAAGUUUCAUAAAUACUGAAUAAGGCAACAAAUUUACACUAGCUCCUAAAUCCAACAAAGCAUUCUCAAUUGUGUGGUUCCCUAUGCUACAUGAGAUAGUGGGGGAGCCUGGGUCUUUGCAUUUUAAAGGAAUUUUAUGUUGGAGUAUAGAACUAACGUUUUCUGUUAAAAAUGCCUUCUUUUGAACAUGCAUAUUUCUCUUUUUAGUACAAAGGUCUUUAAGAAACUUGGCAUAAGAUGGAACUUGUUUAAUCGCAUCAAGUAAAGGGAUGUUAACACUUACCUGUUUGAAGAUUUCAAGAAUCUCACCUGUGGAUUUUCCCUUCUUUCCUUUUGCUAACCUCUGAGGAAAUGGAGCUUUCGGAAUGUAUUCUCGUGGGUUGGUUUCUUCUUUCUCCUCCGGUGAUGAGUCGUCAACAUUUACAGGUACAAUUUGAUUUUCUUUUGUCACCGGCAUCUCCACUUUGUUGUCGACUUCUUUUCUUUUUCGCAAGGUCAUGACUGCUUUGACUUCUCCAUGCUGCUGUGGUGAACUGGUACUUGCUUCAUGUACUCCUUUAGGGUUAGGCACUGGUUGACUUGGAAACUUACCUUUCUCAACAGUCAUUGCCAAGGUCUGAACUGAAGAAGCAAGUUGUCCCACCAUCUUUUCGAGGCUUGAAACUGAUUGGGCUUGUGAAUUGAAGCCUGCUCUCAACUCAUUUCGUAGUCCAUCAAUGGUGCGUUUUUGUUGCUCAAUUGUGGAGUGAGUAACAUUCUUGAAAUUCUGGAAUGCAUCCUCCCAUGGUCUGGGUUGAGAGUAGUUUUGGUUCUGAUUGAAUGGUCUAAAUGGGGGCUGAGAGGCUUGAGGAACUUGAGGAAUUUGUUGCAUUGGUGGAGCUGGAGCUGCUGGUCCAUUCUGUUGGAAUCCUUGAGACCAUGAAAAAUUGGGGUGGUCUCUCCAUCCAGGAUUAUAUGUGUUGGAGUAUGGGUUGUAAUUUGAUGGCUUUCUCAUUACACCUAUGGCAUUGGCUUGAUCUGAGUAUGAGUCAUGGUCAUGUGGUUCUGUUGAUUUAGCAGUCGAUAACGAUGCUAUUUGUCGAGCAAGACCUUCAACCAUCUCCUUGACUUCUUUGAUUCCCGAAGUUGACUCGCCAAUUUGAACCUCAUUUACUCCUUUAAUUCUUCUACUAUUCUUGAGUGAUCGACUCCGUUGUUAGGAAUUAUCCGCUUGUCGCUGGAAGAAUUCCCAAAUCUCUGAUGUACUUUUUGACAUUAGCUCUCCUCCACUUGUUGCCAUUAGCCAUUCUUACACAUUCGGCAAUAAUCCUUCCAAAAAGUAUUGGCAUUGGUGCCAUUUCUCGUCCCCAUGAUGUGGACACUUUAAGAGUAGCCCAUUGAAUCGCUCCCAUGUUUCGAAAAAUUGAUCGUCCUCUCUCUGGGUAAACUCUGAAAUUUCCCUGCGAAUAGCAUUGGUUUUAUGCACUGGAAAAUAUUUAUUCAAAAAUUUUGUUACCAUUUGUUCCCAUGAUGCAAUGCUAUUAGCAGGCAAUGUAUUAAGCCAUGAACGAGCUCUAUCCUUUAAAGAAAAUGGGAAUAAUCUGAGUUUAACAUCAUCGUCUGAAAAAUUUUCAUAUUUAAAAGUUUGACAAAUGGUAUGAAAAUCAUUCAGAUGAUUAUAUGGGUCCUCAUUUUCUAGGGCAUAGAAUGUUGGGAGAUAAUUUAGCACACUAGGUUUUAGUUCAAAACUCCUAGCAGCUACAUUUGGGUAUCUUAUGCAUGAUGUGCUCAAAUUAGCUAAAGGACUGAAAUAAUCCUUGAAUGGCCUCUCCUGUGGUGCUUGUAAAUCCAUUCCAAAUUUAUUUUUAAAGUGCUUGUGUGUGCGAAGUGUUUUUUCUAGCUCAAGGUCUAUAGGUUCAAGAUUAGGAAAUAAUGACCUACGACCAUAUAUGCAAAACAAAUAAAAUAAAAUAAAGAUGGGAACAAAACAAAUAAAAAUAAAGAAGAAGGAGAAAUUACGAUACUAACCUUAUUGCACUAUUACAACCUUUCUAUAAAAAUACACAAAAAUAAAUACGUGAAAUAAAUUAACUAAAAAUUAAAUUAAUAAAAUAAACAAAAAAUUACAAAGAAAGAAAAAAAAUAAAUUGAAAAUUAAAUUACAAAAUUUUAAAGAAGAGGAAAAGAAAAGAAAUACUAACCUUUAAUUUUAGAUUCACUUUUUUUUUUCUUUUUUUUUUAAAGAAAAAAAAUACAAGAAAACAAUUAAAAUGGAAUUAUUCACAAAAAUUAAUUCUGUGAAUUAAAAUUACUUACCUCCCCGGCAACGGCGCCAAAAACUUGUUGUGUAAAUUUUAAUGUACUCGCAAGCGCACGAAUCUAUUGUAGUAUAGAUCAAUGGUGACGAGUGUCGAUCCCACGAGGAGGUGGAUUUUAAUUAUGUGUAGAAUUAAUUUUGCAAAUGGGUGGUUUAGAUUUGUGGUGGAAGUGAAUUAAAUUAUUCUAAAAUUGGAAUUAAAAUGGCGAGAAGAAAUUGAAGAGAAAAUUACUAUGUUUGAAGCGCUUGGGUAUCUGGAUCCGUAUCAACAUGAACCAUGGGCUAAAUAUUCCUUAUUAAUACCAAUUAAAUCAUGAGGGGGGAAUCCACUCCUCAUGAACCACGCUCUAAUCAAUGUGGUGCUAAGGGCUUAUCGUGCCAAAUAAUAAUAACCUUGUACUAGAGGGCCGGUGAAACCAAGGCGGUACUAGACAAUAUUAGUAUUAUUUGUCGACGAGAAGUCAAAACACCCACAAAAACUAGAGGGGAAGAGAAAAUAAAUUUACCAAAUUAAGCCCAUGACACAUGUUGAGACUUCACCUUCAACCCAAGCUUGAAAGGAAAUUAGCUACUCAUAAUUGAACUAGGGGCAAAAUGAAAAUUUAUUAAAAUACGAAGAAAAUACAAGAUGGAGAAGGAAUUACAGAAAAUGGAUCCCAAAAAUGGAUUCAGAGAUAUCAAAUUAGGGGGAGAGGCCCCCUUUUUAUAGAUACAUGGAGUAAAUCAUGGCUAUCGGAUUAAAAACAGUUUGGACGCUCAGGAUUGCGCCACGUCAUCAGUCAACAGUACGCGGUUUGACCACGUGGAUGAACAGUAACACGGUUUGACCCGGAUGAACAGUAAUGCAGUUUGGUUGAAAAUAAUCCUGUGUGAUGCAUGUACCGUACGCGAGAUUUUUCGUCCACUGAUAUGCUGCCACGUCACCAUCAACAGUACAUAAGAAUUUUAGCCCAACAGGAUCGUGACACCUCAUCAGUCAAUGCCACGUCAUCGAUCCGUCUAUGUGAACAGUGUCGUGAACAGUAACGUAGACAGUACCGUACAUGUGAAUAGUACCGUACAUGUGAAUAGUACCAUUUUUCCUUUUAUGCUCCUCCUAAGGUUUUCGACCGUCCUGAGUUCAAAAGUGAUGUCCGUUUUGCCGUCUGAUCUCUCCUUUAUUGUGAAAUGACUAUAAUGCCCCUAAAAUACAUAAAAUACUUAAUUAAAAUAAAACAAAUGUAAUUAAAUCACAAGAAGGUUAAAUACAUAAAAGUAAGGGUUGUUAGUAAGACUUGAAAUGUCAAAUGACGGUUUUCUCCUUUAUAAAUAUGUAUUUUCUAACACUUAACAGUAAUUGCUUAUAAAAAUUAACCAACAACCCCCGACGCCAAAACUUCACCCAAUGGCUUUGAUACCACUGUUAGGAAAUUAGGAUUCCUUCCAAGAUCACUUGAAACAAUUUGUCAAGCAACAAAUCAACAGAAAAUUAAAUUGAGAACAAUAUUAGUAGCACAACACAAGAUUUACGUAAAAAAACUCUAAAUCUAGAGAAAUAUCACGAUCGUUGUCAAGAGACAGCAAGAGAAAAUAUUCACUAUGUGAAAAAUUAUUCCAACCAUACUUUCAGAAAUAAGUUUCUCUCACCCAAACCCCAAAUACACCUAAAAAUUAUUCAACUCUAAAAUUCUCUUUAAAUAUAAGAGGAAAUGAAUUCUUUGGGAUGAUAAAAACUUAUGAAAAGCUCUCUUCUUUAUAAACAACCGAAUAACACUAUUCAAACUGUGUUACCACAUAUGUCGUGUUACUGUCCAUGCCACGUUAUUGCUCAAGCCGUGUUACUAUUCACCGCGUGGUCAAUCUGUGUUAUUGUUUACCACAUGGUAAAAUCAUAUUUUUAACUCCUUGGAUCUCAACUAGUGUGAUUUGCGUGGGAAGUUUCCAAAAAAGAUAUUGUAGGUACCUACACUUCAGACUCUUGACUAGGGAUGGCAAUUUCCGGGUUCGGGUCCGGGUUUGGCUGUUCCGGAUCCGGACCCGGACACAAAAUUCUCAUAACCGGACCCGCAUUAAACCCCCUUUUUUUUAAUCCGGGUCCGGUCCGGGUUCAACCCGGAAAAAUCCGGGUUUCCGGAUUCCGGGUUUUGAACCCGGAUUGCUUUAUUUUUAUCUUCUAUUCUUCUGGCCAACAAUGCAAGGUGUUCAAAACAACGAACAUGGUUAGUGCCAAGAUGAUGAUUGAGUAAUGUUUAUUUUAUUUUAAUAUUAGCCUCCAUAUUUUUUGCUUCCAAAAAACGUUGGCAAAACCGCAGAAGGAAAAAAAAUUUACUCAAGAAAUAAUAAUUAACAAAAUAAACAUCAAGCUUUUCUAAAAGAACAGAGCUGGCUUGUUGGUAAAAACUUGUUAUAUAGCUGUUUUCCCAAGUGCCGUCGAUUAUGUCAUUAAUUUUUCUUUUUUGUAAUUUUCUUUUUUUACUCUUAAAUCUUGAUCAACUACAUCAUCGAUUCAUUUCCAAUUCAACAAUAAAUUAUAAAUCCAAAAAAAUAUGUAUUGUUUUUAUACUAUCCAAGACCAAACCAAAAUUCAUGUUAGGUAAGACGGCACUUACAAACGUUGAAUCUUCUCAAUUGUUCAGCCCUAACAAACCCAAGCAAAAAUUUAAUAUUCCAUCCCCUAAAUAAUUUAGACCACUGCCACCAGCUGUCAAAAUUACCGAUCAUGUCUAGUAAUCAAUUCCAGCUGUCUCUAUUCUGCAUAUGCUUAAUGCUCUCAUCUUUAGUCUCCGCACACAACUCUUAACACCGUGUUCUAAAUGAUACUGAAACUUUAGAUAAAAGAACACGCAACGCCAAAAACUAAUUGUGGAACACAUCCGCCAUAUGAUGAAGAAGAAGAUGAGGAUCCCAGUUGUGAAUUUCAACCCCUUUUGCUGGCCACGACAGAGUGAGAGAUGAGACAAGUGAUGCUGAUGACUUAUGAAACGAACACAGCCGCACCGUGAAGGUGAUGACAGGCCGCGCCACGAAGGAUCUGAUCUGAUCUGAAGAAGAGAUUACAUGAGAGUUGAAGAGAGAGUGAGAGAGAUUAAGUGAGGACUGAGGAACAGGUCACGGGUGAGAGAGAUUGAGAGAGGAACGGAUGAGACUUGAGAGAUUGAGAGAAGAAAUUACAGUAGAGUUCAGUUGAAGAGAGUGAGAGAUCGAGAAUUCGAGAUUUCGAGAGAGGAAUUAGAGAGAUUGAGAGAUCUAGGGUUCGCUUUUGUUUUUUUUUUUUCUAUUUAUAUUUACGGAUUUGCGAAUAAAAAUUAAUAUUAAAAUAAAAAAAUCCGGGUCCGGGUUCCGGAUUUGUGGGUUCACCUGAAACCGGAUCCGGACCCGGAAACAUGCGGGUUCUCAAAAACUUAUCCGGAUUCCGGAUAAAAAUCAUUCCGGUGCGGGUUGAACCCGGACCGGAUUUUCCGGGUUCAGUCCGGGUCCGAUCCGGGUCCGGGUUUGGUUGCCAUCCCUACUCUUGACUUGUCAUACAGCUCAUUACUUCAAGGUUCUCUACCUAGCUUUCCUGAGAAUUCUUAUCUUUGAAACCUGAACCUAGCAAACACGAGCUUCUUAGGCACACUACCAGAUUCCAUUGGGACCCUUGAAAAUUUGACAAGGGUAGAUCUUAGAAGUUACAAUUUCACAAGGCCAAUUCCCACUUCAAUGGCUAAUCUCGCCCAAUUAUUUCACAUGGACUUCUCAUCAAACCAUUUCUCCGGUCCCAUCCCAUCUCUUCACAAGUCAAGAAAUCUUAACUAUUUAGACCUUUCAUCCAAUAAUUUAAAUGGUGGGAUCUCACCCACCUUCUGGCAAAAACUUUUAAAUCUCAAUAUUUUUGUCUUGUCGCACAAUUCACUGAAUGGAAGUAUCCCAAAAUCUAUGUUUCUAUUUCCAAUUCUAGAGAUACAUCUGCUCUCAAACAACCAGUUUGAGAACCAAUUUCCUGAAAUUUCAAAUAUGUCCUCUUCUGUAUUGCCUGGCCUUGAUUUAAGUGGCAACAAAUUAGAAGGGUUUCUCCCCAUUUCAAUAUUCCCUGAACUUAGAAACUUUCAUACCCUCAAUCUUUCUUCCAACUAGUUUAGCAAAUUGAGACUGGCUUCAAGCAAACCAUGGGUUAUUCCUAUUCUAAAAAACCAAUCACAACUUUCUUUUUUUUUAUAUUUCAAAUAACCAAAUAUCUGGAGAAAUACCAAAUUGGAUUUGGGAAGUUGGUGGUGUCAAUCUUUAUUUCUUAAAUCUUUCACAGAAUCUCCUAGUGAGCUUGCAAGAACCAUACCAUAUUUCUGGUAUAUGCUCGCUUGACCUACACUCCAACCAGCUCCAAUGAAAUAUUCCUUACAUGGCACCAAAAACUUCCUAUGUCGAUCACUCCAACAAUAAUUUUCAUAGGUAGAACUUACUCAUUUUCCACUAUAAACAAGAGUCUCAUUGGAUUCAUCCCUGAAUAUAUAUGCAAGGCUACGUAUUUUCAGGUUCUUGACUUAUCAAACAAUAAUUUGAGUGGCUCAAUUCCUGCAUGUUUAAUCACCAAGAGUAGCACCACUUUAGGGGUUUUAAACUUAAGGAGAAACAACCUCGGUGGCACUCUUUCUAACAUAAUAUUUCUAGGAAUUUUUGGGUUGCAAAUUCCACAUCUCAGUGGAAAUCAACUAUAAGGAGUAGUUCUAAAAUCUCUUGCCAACUGCAAUAUGCUGCAAGUUUUAGACCUCAGGAAUAACCAUAUUAGUGAUAAUUUCCCAUGUUGGUUAAGGAAUGCUUUUAGUUUGCAAGUUUUAGUUUUUCGAUCCAAUAACUUCUCUGAACGCAUUAGUUGUCCAAGAAAUAAUGUCUCCUGGCCUCUGCUUAAAAUAGUCGACUUAGCAUCAAAUAAAUUCAGUGGAAGACUAUCACAAAAAUGGUUACUUCCCAUGAUGGUUAAUGAAAACAAAUCCAAAUCUGAGCUUAACCACCUUGGAUAUGAGACAUGACGCAACCAAUUAUAUAAAUUUGGAGUAAUAGUUACUGUAAAAGGUGUAGAUCAUACAACUAAAGAUCCCAAAUAUAUUCACUUCCAUUGACUGUUCAAGCAACAAUUUCGAAGGGCCAAUGCCAGAAGAAAUGGGACGAUUCAAAUCACUCUAUGCUCCAAACAUGUCGCACAAUGCUCUCAAAGGCUCGAUACCGUCAUCGUUUGGGAACUUGAAACAAAUUGAGUCCUUGGACCUCUUAAUGAACAACCUCAGUGAGAAAAUUCUUGCCUAGCUUGCAAGCCUAAAUUUCCUAUUGGUGCUAAAUCUCUCAUACAAUAACUUAGUGGGAAAGAUUCCGACAAGUACUCAACUCCAAUCAUUUUUACCAACUUCUUAUGAAGGAAACAAAGGAUUGUACAUACCUCCUUUAACAAAUGACAGCCAAACACAUCCUCCUGAGUCACAACCUUUACCACCGCCAGCUUCAAGCAAUGAAAUUGAUUGGUUCUUUAUAGCCAUAUCAAUUGGAUUUGCGGUAAGCUUCGGAGCAGUUGUUUCACCUCUAAUGUUUUUUGUGCACGUAAAGAAAUGGUAUAACGAUCUUAUCUACAAAUUUAUAUAUCGGCGAUUCCGUGUGUGAAGUGAUUUAUAUCUCUCCUUUUGAAUAAUCAUGUAAGCUAGCUUUUGAUUUUCUCUUAUAUCAUAGAUAUUUGAGAUUUCGUUUCUUCUCUGUUUCAUGAAGUUAAUAAAGUUGACAAUAAUUUAAAAUAAGGGCCUAUCUAUAAUUGUUACUGCGACAAUCUUUAUCUCAAAAUUGGCUCCAAGUUAAAUCUAUAUUGGCGCAAUUCGUACACAACAUAUCCCGUGAGUCCAUACAAAAUUAAUAUGUGCAUGAUUAUGUAUGAUUCCAGCUCCAAGCUAGAUACAUAGCGAUUCAUGAUCAUAUUCCAUUUGUUCACAAGGAAGUUUUAUAAAGUAGAAAUAAGAAUUUAAAAGAUAACAUUUGAGGAAAUGUGUGGGUUAUGAGACCAUCUAAGAAAUUAGCCCAAAAAGGCUUCAGGCCCUUAUGGCCUGGCCGAUUAGUUUGUUCAAAAUAUUAGUUUAUGUUGUAUUUAAUUGUUAGAAUGAGAGUAGCGAGUAUGGAUUCUUCCCACUCUAGUGUUUUCUUUCUUUUUUAAUGAGAGGAGUGGAAGUCUCACUCCUUGGAUCCCACUCAUUUUUUGAGUAAUGAAUUGGAUUCUGACAUCUAUAGGGAUCACUUCCACCUCUUCCUUUUUUAUCCUUUCCUUAUCAAAUAUAAUAAAAUAAUAUUACAUUGUUUAAAAAUAAUAACAUCAUAUUCAUUUAAAUAAUAUUAUUCUAUUUAGUUAAAAAUAAUAAUUUAUGUAAUCUAAGUUAAAAUUACCUAAAAUAAUGCUACCCACAUUCUUGAUUGGCCGGCACACCAACCUUUUCUUUAACCUCAAAAUGACUUUAAAUUUAGAUCAAUAAUUUCUUAGAGGCAUUUAAACAAACCAUUAGUAUGCCAUUUAUUAGAUAUCUUAAUCUUAAGAAAACUAUAAUAUUUUCAUAUCCAAUACAUAUCUAAUGAUUAACUAUGAUCAAUGAUCAAUCAACCAAGCAAUUUAAACAAAAUUUAUUCUAAAUUAAUGAAAAAAUCGAGAAAGUACAUAAGCCGCCGAAACCGGAAAUGAAGGAACUUGCUAGAAUCAAACUAUAACUCACACAAAUAACAAUCGGAAGUGAAGCAAAUCGCCGCCGAAAGUGAAGGAAAUUGCUGGAAUUCAAGAAACGCUAGAAGUGAAGAAACUCCUACAUGUGUAUAUGGGGUGAUGGGAGAUGUUUUUGGGCGAUGUUGGGUGAAAUAUUUUUUUUUUUUUGUUUAGUUUUGAGAAUUUAUGGAUAUUUUAGUUUAAGAACCUUAUAAAUGAUUGCUAUUGUAAGAAAACAUGGAGUGUGGUUUUUUCUUAUAUUAAAAAUUGGAAGGUGGUCAAAUGGGUAAAUUUCCCAAUAAUUUUCCAACGUGUGUAUGAAUCUUGUGUUGCCUCUUCAUAAAACCUGUAUUGUUAGCUCUAUCCGUACGGCUUUUACAAGUCUGCGGGCUCCACAAGCAAAUUAGCGUUCAGUUUGACGCGAGAUGAAUUGCAUUCAAUCAACUUUUUUUAUUACAAGCAAUAAAAUCACUAUCAAAAUUCAAAUGUUAGCUCUAUCCUUACAAGAUUUUUUGAAGUCUACGGGUCCCGCGAGAACGAAUUGCAUUCAAUCAAUUAUUAGAUUUUUUUUUAAUAUAGUAGAGGAAUAGUGAAAUUUAAAUUAAUUUUUUUAUUAUACUUAUUUCAAGAUUCAAACUCCCGUAAUUAAUUAAGUAAAUCUGUGUAAAAAUCACUUGGCCAAGACUCUUUGGGACUAAUUAUUGGAUAUUAUAACAAAUAAAGACCCUGAUUUUUAUUGGUUCAGUAGGGUCUGAUACAAAUUAAAAUUAAUAUACUGGAGAAGGCAGAAAGAAUCCUAGUUAAUAUAGGCAGCAACGCAUGGAGCCAUGAUUUUGGUUCAACGGGAUCAGAAUCAAGAAACUACGAACUUGGGGAGGCCAAGAUCAACAAUUUGUAAAACGAUGAAGUGAGAGGAUAAGAACAUAUAUAGAGAUUCCAAAGAAAUUGACUAAAUUUUAAUUAAUACCCUUAUCUUCCUAUGAAUUAUAUAAUUAUAAUCUUGUAAUUAUCACAUACUUACUAGGUCCCAACGAUUCCAUUAGUUUCCAAAAUCCUAUCCUUCAUUUCAAAAUUAUUUUAAUUAGUUUCCAAGUCUACACCUAAAAGCUAAAACUUUUAGUUUGCUUUGAAUAAUCCUAAAAGUUUUUGCUUUAAUUUUCUCUUACGCUUACAUUGGUACAACUUUCCAAAUAUAGCUUAUUUAAAUAAAGUUUUUAUCAGUAAAUCUUUUAUAAAUAGCGUUUUUAUAUAAAUAAUUUUAGUUAUUUGUUUGUCAAUGCAAACUUUUAUUAAAAAUUAUAAAAUUAUUUAAUAAGCACGUUUUUUAAAAUUAUAUUAUGAAAUGAAUGAAAUAAAAUUAUCGAAUAAAUAAAUAAUUUUUAGAUGUUUUAAUAUUUUAAAAAACGUUUUUAACCUUUACUCCCAAAGGCCCAAAAUUUGAGUUUUUGCUAGUAAAGAAAAAAUAACUUAUUUAAUUUUUAAAGGCUCUACUAAAAAAAAUCCAAACAAUGAAAAUAAAUCUUAAAAGAGUUAAUAUAUUUAAAUAAGUACUUAUAUCCAUUACAUAAAAGUAUGCCUAACAUACAUAAUAUCUUAUUUGUUUGAGAUUUCUUUUCUUCUCCUGUUUGAUAAAGUUAAUAAAAUAAUUAACAAGAAUUUCAAAUAAGGGCCUUUAACUUAUGUCAUUGAGACAAUAUUCAUCUCCAAACUGGCUCCAAGCUAGAUAUAUAUUGUACGGGCAAUAUUCAUAGACGAUCUCUAACAGUUCAUACUAAAUUUUAGUUGUAACAAGAUAUAGGCUAUUUGCACCUUAAAAACUACUCUGAACACUCUUGUUUUAAUAAAAUAAUCUAAUUACAAAAUUAGCCAUCAUAUAAAUUACUAUUAAGGAUAAUUUAUUUGUGAGCCAAUAUAACUUAAUGACUUUAAAACUCAUAUAAUACACUCAUUAUUUAACAUAUAAUCUUUUAUAUCUAACAUCUUAAAAUAUAAUUCAUUGAACAUGCAGCAAAUCAAUAUUUUAAAUAAUUUUGAAGACAAAAUAUUUGUAAGACUUACAUUUUUCAAGAAAUAAAAUAAACAGAAAUUAUUGCAAAGGUGUUCAUAUUUUUUGUCUUUGAUUUAAAAAUAAAUACAUUAAAGCACUCUAAACCUAGUAACCCAAUCAGCAUCUUUUUCUUCUUCUUUUUGUGUCAGAUUACAAUUUGGUUUUCAAUUAUUAUUAGGGUAGUGAAAGUCCAUACUUCUUGAUCUUAAAUAAUUUAUAGGUGCAAAAAUUGAUAUGGAAUACAUUCUUUAAUUAAUAAAAACUGAUAAAUAAAAUUAUUUUAAAAAAUUUGUUUAAAACUUGACUUAAUUCCAUUGUUGCUAGUUAUGCUAUAUUUAUUACAACAAUUUUCUUUGAGUGUGCUGAAUAUUUUUAUUGGUGUUUUCAGUAAAUUAAUUUAAAUGAUUUAAGUAGGGAUACUUUUGGCAUCUUAAAAAGUGUACAAAGUAAAAAUUAAUUUUUCAAAUUUAACGUAUGAGUAUAUAAAGUAAUAGAGUGUUUAGAGUACUUUUUAGAGUGUAAAUAGCCCAACCUUUUUUUUUUUUAAAAAAAAAAAGUUGUAACAAGAUAUUUGUUCAUAGCAUAGAAUGAAAAACAAUGUUAUAAGAAAUGAGCCGAACCAAGUUUUUAAGUGACUUACUUCUAUAGUUUUAUGCGCCGGUCUCCUACUAACUUUUUAUUGUCGUAAUUGUGGGCCUAUAAAAAUGGAAGAUUCCUGUAUUUGAUGUACGCAUUUAACCAAAAGAUCCAAUUUUCUUUGUUUUUUUUCUACCAAGUCCUGGCAACAUUAAUUAGUUUGGACUUUUGUAGUACUUCUAGCCCCCAGUUUAUACGUUGGGGUUGUAACUUCUUGGGAACUUUGGCCAUCUUUUUCCCGUUAUAUGAAUUCAUCGCAAAUCCCAAGUUUCACUACUCCUCUCCGAGUUUCAUUUCACCAAUUAUUAAAACAAUGCGAUCAAUUUUACUCUUAUCAUGGUCUUUCUUAAUACCCUUUUUACCCAAUUAUUUUGGGAUCCAAAUGGUUUUGGCUUCUGGCCAAUGUCGGAGCGAUCAACAAUCUUUGUUACUCCAAAUGAAGAACAGUUUCAGACUAAGCAAUGACAGUGUCUUUCCAUCUACAAAACUGAGUCAGUGGAGUAGCCAUCAAAGCUCCGAUUGUUGUGAUUGGAGCGGUGUAAGGUGCGAUGAGGCUGGUCAUGUUAUUGGUCUCGACUUGAGCAGGGAACCAAUCAUUGACGGACUUGAGAAUGCGACUGGCCUUUUCGAUCUUCAAUAUCUGCAGAGCCUCAAUCUGAGUUUCACUCUCUUCUACGGAUUCCAAAUACCAUCCAGAUUGGGCAACCUGACAAAUUUGACUCACCUGAAUCUUUCCCAGGGUGGCUUCGGGGGGGAGAUUCCCAUUGAGAUUUCAAGCUUGACAAGGUUGGUUACUCUUGAUUUGUCAGGCCUUGAGCACAGGUUGGUUACUCUUGAUUUGUCAGGCCGUGAGCGCUCAAGAGUAUUUUCCUGGAUAAUUGAGAUCCCAAACUUAAGCUUGUUUCUGCAGAACUUAACAGAGCUCAGAGAAUUACAUCUUGAUCGAAUAGAUUUGUCCGCCUCCGGAACUGAAUGGUCCAAAGCUUUAUCAUUUCUACCCAAUCUACAAGUUUUAAGCUUGUCUGGCUGUGAUCUUUCAGGUCCAAUCAAUCAUUACCUGGCAAAGUUACGGUCGCUCUCCGUGAUUCAUUUGUAUGACAAUUACGGUCUAUCCUCAUGUACAGAGUCUUUGGCCAAUCUGCCGAAUUUGAAGACCUUGGAUCUCAGCGAGUGUGGGUUGCAAGGGAAGUUUCCAGAAAAGAUAUUGCAGGUUCCUACCCUUGAGACUCUUGACUUGUCAGAAAACCAAUUGCUUCAGGGUUCUCUGCCAAACUUUCCUAAGAAUUCUUCUCUUCGGAACCUGAUCCUCUCUGGGACGGGAUUCUCAGGCACACUACCAGAUUCCAUUGGGAAUCUUGAAAAUUUGACGUGGGUAGAGGUUAGACGUUGCAAUUUCACAGGGCCAAUUCCCCCUUCAAUGGCUAAUCUUACCCAAUUAUUUCACAUGGACUUCUCAUCUAACCAUUUCUCUGGUCACAUCCCAUCUCUUCACAAGUCAAGAAAUCUUAAGUACUUAGACCUUUCGUUCAAUAAUUUAAGUGGUGGGAUCUCAUCCACCUUCUGGGAACAACUUGUAAAUCUCAAUCUUGUUCUCUUGUCGCACAAUUCACUUAAUGGAAGUAUUCCCAGAUCUCUGUUUCUACUUCCAAAUCUGGAGACGCUUUGGCUCUCCAACAACCAGUUUGAGAACCAACUUCCAGAAAUUUCAAAUGUGUCCUCGUCUGUUUUGUUUGACCUUGAUUUAAGCGGCAACAGAUUAGAAGGGCCUGUCCCCAUUUCAAUAAUUUUUGAACUCAGAAACCUUUAUACCCUCGAUCUUUCUUCCAAUAAGUUUAGCAGAUUGAGACUGGCUUCAAGCAAACCACGGGUCAUUCCUAUUCUAAAAAACCAAUCACAACUUUCUGGUUUGGACAUUUCAAAUAACCAAAUACCUGGAGAAAUACCAAAUUGGAUUUGGGAAGUCGGUAAUGGCAAUCUUAACUUCUUAAAUCUUUCACACAAUCUCCUAGUGAGCUUGCAAGAACCUUACUCUAUUUCUAGUAUCCGCUUGCUUGAUCUGCACUGCAACCAGCUCCGAGGAAAUAUCCCUCACAUGUUAACAAAUACUUCCUACGUCGAUUACUCCAACAAUCAUUUUACUUUCAUCCCAGCUGACAUUGGUAAUUUCAUGUCUGAAACUGAAUACUUUUUCGCUGCAAACAAUAGUCUCGUUGGAGUCAUCCCAGAAUCUGUAUGCAAGGGUAUCUAUUUUCAAGUUCUUGACUUAUCAAACAACAAUUUGAGUGGCACAAUUCCUGCAUGUUUAAUCGCCCAGAGUGAAACCACUCUAGGGGUUUUAAACUUGGGAAGAAACAACCUCAAUGGCACUCUUUCUGACACAAUAUUUCCAAGAAAUUGUGGGUUGCAAAUUCUAGAUCUCGGUGGAAAUCAACUGCAAGGAGUAGUUCCAAAAUCUCUUGCCAAUUGCAAUAUGCUGCAGGUUUUAGACCUCAAGAAUAACCAUAUCAGUGAUAAUUUCCCGUGCUGGUUAGGGAAUGCUUCUAGUUUGCAAGUUCUAGUUUUGCAAUCCAACAACUUCUCCGGACACAUUAGCUGUCCGAGAAAUAAUGUCUCAUGGCCUCUGCUUCAAAUAGUCGACUUAGCAUCCAAUAAAUUCAGCGGAAGACUAUCACAAAAAUGGUUACUUACCAUGGAGGAGAUGAUGGUUGCUGAAACCAAAUCCGGAUCUGAGCUCAAACACCUUCGAUAUGUGAUAUCGAGCAACCAAUUCUAUGAGGUUGGAGUAACAGUUACAGUAAAAGGUGUAGAGACCAUGCUACUGAAGGUCCCAAAUAUAUUCACUUCCAUUGACUUUUCAAGCAACAAUUUCGAAGGGCCAAUACCAGAAGAAAUGGGACGAUUCAAAUCACUCUAUGCUCUGAACAUGUCGCACAAUGCUCUCACAGGCUCGAUACCAUCAUCUUUUGGGAACUUGAAACAGAUUGAGUCCUUGGACCUCUCAAUGAACAACCUCAGUGGGAAAAUUCCUGCCCAGCUUGCAAGCCUAAAUUUCCUAUCGGUGCUAAAUCUCUCAUACAAUAACUUAGUGGGAAAGAUUCCGACAGGUACUCAACUCCAAUCAUUUUCACCGACUUCUUAUGAAGGAAACAAAGGAUUGUACGGUCCUCCUUUGACGAAUGACAGCCAAACACGUCCUCCCGAACUUCAACCUUCACCGCCGCCAGCUUCAAGCGAUGAAAUUGAUUGGUUCUUCAUAGCCAUGUCAGUUGGAUUUGCGGUAGGCUUCGGAGCAGUUGUUUCACCUCUAAUGUUUUCCGUGCGGGUAAAUAAAUGGUAUAACGAUCUUAUCUACAAAUUUAUAUAUCGGCGAUUCCGUGUGUGAAGUGAUUUAUAUCUCUCCUUUUGAAUAAUCAUGUAAGCUAGCUUUUGCUUUUCUCUUAUGUCAUAGAUAUUUGAGAUUUCUUUUAUUCCCUGUUUGAUGAAGUUGACAAUAAUUUGAAAUAAGGGCCUAUCUAUAACUGUUAUUAAAUCUUUAUCUCAAAAUUGGCUCCAAUUUAGAUCUAUAUUGGCUCAUUUCACACGCAAUAAAUCUUCGAGAGUCCGUACUAAAUUAAUAUGUGCAAGAUUGUGUAUGAUUCCUACACCAAGCUAGAUACACAGCGAUUCAUGAUCAUAUUCCAUUUGUUUACUUGGGAAGUUUUAUAGAGUAGAAAGAAGAACUUAGAAGAUAACUUUUCAUGAGUCCGUCCAAGAAAUGAGCCCAAAAAGGCUUCGGGCCCUUGUGGCCUAGCCUAGUAGUUUGUUCAAAAUAUUAGUUUAUGUUAUGUUUAAUUAUUGAAAUGAGAGUAAAUAGUAUGAAUUCUUUCCACUUCAAUGUUUUCUUGUUUAUAUAAUGAGGGGAAUGAGAGUCCCACUCCAUGGAUCCCACUCAUUUUCCGAGUAAAGAGUGGGAUUCUCACUUCUACAGGGGCCACUCCCACCUCUUUCUUUAUUAUCAUUUCUUUAUCAAAUCUAAUAAAUUUUAUAUUUAUUAAAAAUAAAAUAAUGUUACAUUAUUUAAAAAUAAUAGCAUCAUAUUUAUUUAAAUAAUAUUAUUAUGUUUAGUUAAAAAUAAUAAUUUAUGUAAUCUAAGUUAAAAUUACCUAAAAAUAUUAUUAUUAUAUUCAUAGAGAAUUAAUAUUAUUACAAUAUACUAUCUUUAUUUUAAAAAAUAAUAUUUUAUAUUUAUUUAAUAUUAAUAAAUAGUUUAUUUUAAGAAAAUAUUAAUUAUGUACUAUAUUAUUAAUAAUAAUGUUUCAUUUUUUGCUCUUAUAAUAAUUUUUAAUUUACAUAAUUAAAAUUAAUAAAAAAUUAUGAUUUACAUGAUUAAGAAUAUUAAUAAUUAUUAGUAAUUUAUGUAAUUAUAUAAUUUAUUUUAUAAAUAUAUUUUUUAUUUACUUUAUAAUUAAAAACUACAAUAUUUUAAAUAAGGGUAAAAGUGUAAUUUAAAAUAAUUUACUCCUAAUCCAAGUCAAAGUAAAAAUAUAUAAAUACGAUUCUCCUAUUCCACACUCUCCUUUCAAUGUAAGUAAACAACAUAUUUUCACUCACACUCCAUACUCUCAAUCCCUAGAUUCCCAAACCAAACCUUAGUUGAAUGGUCUUCAAAUAAUUUUAUUCAAUUAUAACAUGAGUUCAAAUAUUGAAAAAAAUAGAAUUAAAAAUUUAUAAAAAAUUGAUUUGAACUUUUUCCAUCACUCUUACUUUUAAAUAAAUGAAAAAGAAAAACUCUCAAAUAAACAAAUAAAAGCUUUUAUGUAUGUGCCCCAAUAACAUUUUUAUUAUCAAUUAUUUUGAGUUAUUAAUAUUGUGCAAUUUUUACAUUGAAUAUAGUUGUACAUAAUUUAUCUAACUUUAAUAUUAUUUUUGUUACCGACUUGUGUCUCAGCUAGGGGUGGGCAAAUUGGGUUUCGGUUCGGGUUGUUCGGGUUUCGGUUUGGGUUUCAACCCGUUCGGGUUGGAGAAUUGAACCCAAUCGGGUUGAAAACGCCAACUCGAACCAAACCGAACCGAAUUUAAUUCGGUUCGGUUCGGUUUGAGUUGGCAAUUCGGAUCGGAUUGGGUUGAUAAUUCGGGUUAACAUAUCGGUUCGGGUUAAUUCGGGUUAGUUUGGGUUAGAAUAAUUCGGGUUAGUUCGGGUUAAUCAAUUAAUUAAUUAACAAUCUCUAAUUUAAUUAUUAAUAACAGCAACAAACCCACUCCAAUUUAAUUAAUAACAGUCUCCAAUUGUUCAAUUAUCAGUAAACCCACUCCAAUUUAACUAAUAACAAUCUCCAUUUGUUUAAUUAUCAGUCAACAACAACAAACACACUCCAAAUAAUUGAAUAAUUGCCAAUCAAUUAAUUAAAAAUAUAAAAUUUAAUUAUUAGUCAAUGAAGCUCAAUUAAAACUACGUUACAGCUCAAUUAAUUAUUAGUCAAUGAAGCUCCAUUAAAACUACGUUACAGCAUUGAGUUAGUAAUAGGAAAUUCGAAAUUCGAUUCGGGUUGUUGCCAUCAGCUGCAAGCAAGUCAGCAAGUUACAGGCUUACAGCGUCGGCAAAGCGAGACAAACCUUGAUCUCGGAGCAGCUACAACGUCGGCAGAUCGAGACCGUGUUGGGCUGAGUGGGACGCGAGGUGAACGCACGGCGCAGUUGCGGGUGAGGCGUGCUGGCUGACGGCGAGUGGGCUGCGGUGAACGGCUGGUGUCUGUUGGAGUUGGACGAGGCUGCUGGCUAUUACUGUCGUCGUGGCCCACGAAACUCGGAAGAGGGAGUAAGGAGGGAGGGGGAGGGAGAGACGGUGAGACCGAGAGUUUAGCUAAUUAGCUGCUUAGGGAUUUUUUUCAUUUAAUGUAUGGACUUGACUAGCUUACAGAAUCUGGAAGCUACAGACUGCAGCAUCAGCCAUUGGAUGUGGAGUGAGAAACUAAACAAUAGAAAUCAGAUGGUGGGAUGACGGGUAUGUAUAUAUAUUUUUAAUUUUUAAAAGCUGAAUCUUAAAAAAAAAAAAAAAAGGCUUCAACCCGAACGGGUUGAGAAUUCGGUUCGGGUUGAACCCAAACCAAAUUUUAACCCGAAUGGGUUGAAGCUUUGAAUCCGUUGGGGUUUCACCGGUUAACCCAAACCGAAUGCCCACCCCUAGUCUCAGCCAUUAGCCAAGUGGUAAACUCUAACUCUUCCAAGUCCUCUUAAAUUUUACUCUCCUAAUUAAAAAUUACGUAAAGAUAUGAAUUUUCUCUAUUGAUUUUUGUAGGUAGAACAAAUAACCUUCCAGUAUUUGUAAGAUAGAAUUAUAGGUUAUGCUAUAAUAGAGUUGAUCUAGAUGGUUUAUGAGUAGACUUCUAAUUGUAUAAUACAUAUUAGUAAGGGGAAAAAGACAUCUCCACUUGCAAAAUGUGGAGAAGUAGUCACCAACACUCCUAAGUUUUCAUAAAAGGAUGUUAAGACUCAUUUUGACUAUUAUACUCUUUAUCUCUAUUAUUCCCCAAAAAAAUAGACUUUAAAAUGUUUAAUAAAUACAAAUAUUAUAUAAAUAAUGUAAUCUAUGCAGCAGACUAAUAAUAUUUUAAUAUUUUAAUAAAUUUAAAUAUAUAAAUUAUUAUAUUUAUUUUAAUAAUAUGUUUUUAUUUAUUGUAGAGACUUAAAAUAAUAUGAAUGAAUUGGAAACCAAUCUUCACAAAGAAAGAAAAGUUAGCCUUCACAUGGAAGUAUGGAAGGAAAGACUAACCUUUAUAAAGAAGGAAAAAGCAACCUUCAGAAGGAAAGAAAGACAAAAAGAUGAAAAUGGGGAAAAAAGUUAUUAAUAGUAAAUAACACUAAUUAAUAAUUAGUAAUAGUGACACUUAAUAUAAUAAAAUUACAUUAAAUUAAAAUAAAAUUGAAUAGAAACAAAUACAAUAUCAAUUAUCACAAUGCAAUUAGUAAGUGUCUAUUUGCUAUGACUUGUCUAAUAGUUUUAAGUAUUUAUUUAAUCCCAUAAGCUCUUAAUCAAAUUUUUUGUUAUUGUUUGAUUAUUUGUUUAGUAGAAUUUUUUUAAUAUUAAAUAAGAUAUUUGGUGUCCACUAUCAAAAGCUUAAAUUUAGGACUUUUGAGAGUAAAAGUUGAAAUUUUUUUUGUAAAAUACUAAAAUGUUUAAAAUAUUAUUUACUUAUUUGACAACUUUAUUUCAUUAUUUUUCAUAACCUAACUUUAAAAAACUUACAUAUUAAAAUCAUUUUUAUAACUUUUAAUAAAAUAUUGACAACCAAAAAAUAAAAUUUUUUGCGUAAAAUAUCUAUUUGUAAAAACUCUGCUAAUAUAAACCCAUUUAAAUAAACUGAAUUAAAAAAGCUACAACCAAAAUACAACUAGAAUUGUUUUUUUUAAUAUUUAAUUGUCGGGCUGAAGGAUCGGACUCAGACUUUCUUGAUUAACCCCUAGACCGAGCCCGAUCCGACUCGAAGCCUAAAAGUGGAGCCGAAGCCUGACUGGGCCGGGCGCUCACUUUUCUGCCAUCCCUAGCGGCAACUCAACUCAAGCCUUGGCUGGAUGGUCGUAGUUUUUGCGCGUUUCAGUUGACAGGCGUUGAUACAGGCUACACGGGGUAUGCGCAGAGUCUUAACCUACACCCACAACAUUUCUCCUCUGUCCUCUCUAUAAAUAGCUUUUCUCUUUUACUUCUCGUUUCCCUCUUCUUUCAAAAUCAUCACCGAAUCAACAAAUAAUCUUUCGCUCUGUCACUCACCAACUAAAUAUCACGAAACGAUAAAAAAUUAGCAAGUUAAUAGCAAAUUAACUGAACUGCUUCAAGCAAUAAUGGCUACUUUCGGUGCUGCUGCCGUUGCCACCAAUCAAAACCCUAACAAAUCCAUCGAGGUAUACUUUAUUUAUUCUUUUUUCUUUCCGAUAAUCUUUAAAAAGUAUUUACCGUUAAAUUUCUUGUCGGUUUCUUGUGUAUGAUGAACUUGGCGACUGUUGAAUUAAUGCUUAUGGUGAUGUUAUUAUUAGGAUUAAGUAGAAAGUUAUAUAAAUUAUUUAUUAUAUAUUUUUGUCAGGGUUAAGCUUAAUUGCUUGUGUUAAUGUAAAAAUUAAUUCUACAUUUUCGGAUAAAGAUUUUUUUUUUAAUGCUAAAUAUGUAUGCGAAGCUAUGAUCAUUUGUUUGCUUGCUGUCUUGCUGAACGGAUUGUUGAAAGCGAACCAAUUGCUAAGCUUGUGAAUGUGUUGGAGUUUCAGUGUAAAAGAACAGUAGUUAAUAAGUGAAUCAUCAGGCUUGCUAGUAGUGCUUGGAAGUUUUUAGUGUGAUUUUCAUACAGAAGACAUUGAAGUAAGAAUUUUCACCUCUUCUUUUUAUAUGAAUUUAAAAUUGCAGUCUAUGUGGCAUUUUGGUUCGGGCAGUAAAUUGCUUUUAUUAUUAGAAGUUCAUCUGUUAGAUGUCUUCAUUGUGUAGUUGAGUAUAAUGACCUUCUUGCUAAGUUGGACAAUAUGUGCACGUGGAUAGUUAAGUGGUCAGUUCACAUGACCUCAAACAGAAGAGUGACCAUGUUGUGUUCAGAUGAAUGAAUGGAAAUGUUGGGCGUGUUUAGUUCUGCCAUGCUAACUUGUACUGACAAUUACCGAUGCUCAAAGUGGAUAUGAGCUGGCAGGGGCUAUGGACUCUCAAGUUUUCGGCACUCUUUUCCCAUACUUAUAUAAUUUAGGCGUUGUUUAAAGAGAAACGCCCUUAAUGAGUGCUUUAAUAUCGUAGGUUUUUGUCUUUCUUUCUUCUCUAAGUUGUGUGUCACGCUCUUUUCUUUCUCCUUUUGGGUUUACAGUAUAUCCUUUCAUUUCUAUUUGGUAUCUGAUGUGGUCAACAGUUUACUGUGUCUCCAUGUGGUGCCCUGUGCACUUUGUAUGAUUUUGCGUGUAGUUGAUCAGUCACUUGUACUCUCUUGAUGUUCUUGUAUUUGAGAUCUUUAUCCUCUUGAUGUUUCAAUAUGUAAUUAGGUACUGGGAUACAAGGCAGCCAAAUCCUGUGCGCACUCAACAGCUGCCUGAUCGCUGCUAUGCGCUCCGCUUAUGGUUGUUGGAACUGCAGAUAGAAAUCUAGUUGUCUUCAACUUGCAGAAUCCUCAGGUAUCGUUUUUUAUUCCAUGAGAGCAUUGAUUUAUAUGUGUAAAUUAAAUGGGCAAAUUUGGUGCUGGCAGCUGAAGCAUGUGUUUUGAGUGGCAGCAGUUGCUGUGACACUAGUAGUUGGUUGACUUUGAUUUAAAAUUUAACUUGAACCCAUCUUUUUUAAUGUGGAAUGGAAACAAUAAUUAUUUGUUGACUGUUUUUGGAAUUGAAAGCUAUCCUACCGUAUGGAACCACCUUCCCUUGUAUUCAAAAGGGUUCCUCAAUGUCAUGGAGCAUCCUGUAUAAAAUUAUUGUAUGAUUUCUUUUGUUGCCAGAUAUUUUUCUUCUGAUUGGUGUUGUCUGGAAAAAGGUUAUUUCUCGAUAUCAUUUUGUUUGUGUACAAGGAGGAAUGGAUACUAUAAUAAACUGGUCUACUGAGAAGAGCUUGAUGUUUGUAGAUUUGCCAACAUAUAUACACUACAGUUAUAGUAUGUAUUUCCAUGUCUUCAAUAUUCCUUUUUAAUUGAAAAAAAUAGCAAUUUGGAAUGUGUUUAUUUGCCUUAUAUCUUUCAAUUUUAGUUGAUAAUUUCAGUCAUGCUUUAUCUGUUCUUAUGUGAUGAUGAUAUAAAUAAGAUAUAAUAGCUCCUAGAAAUUUUGAAAUCUGGCUAAUUUAGAAAUUUGAACUAAAGGUUGGGUACAAUACUAUAUCUUCAUACACUAUCAUGAGAGUUUAGAUAACGGUUUCCGCAUUACCUGUAUUACAAUUUACCAUAUAUGGCACAUGCUUAUUGCAACAUAAAAAUGGUCAAGAGGCGAUGAAUUCUUGUUACUAUUUAACUUUUUUGUUGGGUAUUUAUUGAUUUCCUUAUUUUACCUUCAUGUAUUGUUCUUUUUAUAUUUUGUUUCACUUAUUUAUAUCUAAUAUAUGCAUUUUCUUCCGAGUAUGUCUAAUCAUUGUUUAAUGCUACCAGACUGAGUUCAAGAGAAUCAAUUCCCCUUUGAAGUACCAGAUGAGAUGUGUUGCUGCCUUUCCUGACCAGCAAGGUUUCUGGGUAUGCAUUCAUUUAUUUUGAUCUCUCUUUUCUCGUUCCUCAUGGUCUUUAUUCUCGAAAUAUGAGGCAUUGUCAAUUGGGUUGCAUAUUCCCAUGUUUCAAAAUUUGCUUCCCCUGCCAGCAAUGAGGGGCUAAGUUUAGCCUCAAUUACUUAUUCCACUUUCAUCAACAUUGGCUCCAACUUCUUUUCAUUGAGAUCACUGUCUUUUCUUCUAAUCUUUGUGCUUCUCUUAUUUUUUGGUUGUUGAAUAUGGUGUUAUUCCGAUAGGUUGGUUCAAUUGAGGGAAGGGUCGGCGUUCACCAUCUUGAUGAUUCACAGCAAAGUAAGAACUUCACUUUCAAAUGCCACAGAGACGGUAGUGAGACAUGCUCUGUCAUCUCAUUCACUUCCAUCCUGUAAGCUUCCUUUUAGUGCUUUCUGAAUUCAAAUUUUCAGUUACAUAAAACGUUCGAGAUGUAAAACUUAGAAAUAAAAGUAUACAUUGGAGUGAUAUAAUAGCUCAUUUUGAGGUAACUUUAGUGAUGCCACCCAUGUCUUACAUAAUUUUUCCCAGUAUUUGUAAUUUCUCUAAAGAUUAGAGAUCUUUCAAGUAUUAGAUCUUGGUGCCCUUAAGAUGUUGGUAUCAUAGGAAUUUUUAUCCAACAGUGGAAAUGUACUUUCUUUUGUGAGGAUUUCAAUGCUCAGUGCAUAUACUUUUGCUGUUAUUAACAUCAUAUGUUAUCAUUUAAGAUUUGUAGAGCAGGAGAUGCACCUAAGUAUUCUUCAUUUUAUAAGGUGAAGCGCCUACAUCUAUUUGUCAAAUCUCAUGUAAUUGUUCUUUUUGUCCAGAUACAUCACACUUUUGCAACUGCUGGAUCUGAUGGUGCAUUUAAUUUUUGGGACAAGGAUAGUAAACAGCGGCUCAAGGUGUUUUGACUUUCAUUCAGUACUUCAAUAACAAUUAUUGUUGUUGUCGUUAUUGUUCUUCCUAGAUGAAAUACAUAAAACAAUGUGAUUUUUACUGGAUUUUCAGGCCAUGUCAAGGUGCGGGCAACCUAUACCUUGCAGUACAUUCAAUAAUGAUGGCUCGAUAUUUGUGUGCUUGGUAAAUAAAUUCAUCCAUCUUCCUAAAGUCGACUUGGAGUCUCUUAUCAUCCUACUUUUCACACAUGUUGGGAUAUAUGCUUAAGUUCAAGAUAAUGGCAGGAUUCUAGAAAUCCACGCCUCUUUCAUUCUGUCUGUUUGCAUGAUGCUUAGUCUUCUAUGGCUCAUGUUAAUUCAAUGUUACCUGAAUUUGCGUUUCCAUGAAAUUAAACAACUAAAAUUUCUGGUUCUUCCUGCUAUGUUCUGAUCCUGGCAUGGCAUAGUGCAUUGAUUUCUUGGACAUUUAAACUUAAACUAGAAAAGUGUCAUUCUAAAUCUUAUCUUGCAUUUCCUGUAGGUGUGUUAUGACUGGAGUAAUGGGGCAGAAAAUCACAACCCUGCAACAGCAAAGACUUAUAUCUAUCUGCACUUGCCACAGGUUCGUUUACUUUUUUGUUCAUAUACUACCAUUAAUAGCGUAUCUUUGAUCUCUCAAUUCUUGAGGAUCACCAAUAAUCCCAUAUCAUCCAAAAUCUAUUUUGAAAAUAUUUCAAAAAAUCAUUCAAAAUAUGUUGGCUCAAGCUCAACAAAGCAGAAAAUCAAUGGGCCUACAACAACGAUAAAAUGAUUAUGAUAUGUCUUGAUCUUAUUGCAAGUGUGACAAUAAUAAAAAUUCAAGUUGUUUACAGUAUAUGCAAAUUAUCAUUACUCUUCAAUGUCUAUUUGAAUGUGCAUUAUCAAUUAACCGCAAAUUGGGUUCUUAUAAUCAUGAAUCCAAAUUCAAGCCAUUCAAUGGUUUAGCCCAUUUUAGUAGGCUUAUCAAUUUUAAUUAAAAGUUUAUUAGACAAAGUUAAUGCAUAAAAAUAGAGUGCUUUAAAGUAAAGCAUACAUUAAGAUUUUUAUGUGAUUUGAUGUCCAAAUCCCUACUUCUACGAAGCCAUGCUCAAAUAUCAAGUGAUUCAUUAGAUUUAAGAGAUUAGAAACUAUUGGAACCUUAUAUAUUAUAUGAGACUCUCUCUUGGUGAUUGCUGCCAUCUUGUUAUAAUCUCACCAAGUGAAAACUUUAUGUGCACCACACAUUUUUUGCUUCCUCUUCUUAGUAAGACUUUUAAGUCAACAGUAUGUCGCCACUCUAUAGAAUUUAUAUUCUAUGAACACGUGGUCCCUUCUCCCAUCUCCCAAAAAUACUAAAGAUAAUGUCUCUCAAUUAAAGAAUGAUCCGAAGGUUGUAGCCUUUGAUGUAGAAUCAUUCUACUGCUCCAACGAUUUUUACUCCGCAAAAACUGGAUGACAUGGCCAUCGAGAUGAUCAUAAAAGAAGUUGGUAGAAUUAAAGUUUUAUAUUCUGUAUGCUUGUUUGUCUGGCAAGAAAAUGAAGGAAAUUUUGUUGACUUAGAGAGGCAAAUCAGAAACUGAAUUCAUUAUGAUUUGAUACAAUAGACUGAGAUUACAAUACAGUAUAUAUAUAUUAGCAUCUGGAACUUUGUGAAUGUAGCAGAAUCAUAUGCGCACACUGCUAUUCACCACAACAUUUUGGUGGGAAAUAACAGACUUAUAACAAACUUUUAACAACAUGCAUAAUAAUCUUCCAGUAGCUUCCAGUAGCUUCCAGUAGCGUGGCAUCUGAUUCAUUACUUCACUUAACAAUUUGCUGACAUCACAGAGCCUCACAGAGCUGACUCAACUUAUUCUUAACAGGUAGUGGACAAUCAAGAAGACAGCAGACACCAAGGCAACAAGAAUAAUGAAAAUUGCAAAGUGCGCGAUCCGUUGAUAUCCAUGAUCAAAUGAUUAAUUUUUUUCAAAUCAAGGAGUGUUUUUAUUAUCAGAAGUACCAUGUUUACUGAUUAUAAAGAAUUGUUAAAUAUAAAAUUAGCAGUAAAAUAAUUGUUAAGCAAAUAAAAAUCUAUCCAAUCACUGUAAAGGCUUUUCCAAAUCUAACAGCAUAACACAAAAGUAUUAUUUUUUUUUCUUUUUUCAUUUUUUGAGAAAUCCUUUAUUCUUUUUUAAUUUGUUGCAAAUAUAUACAUACGAUUUAAAAUAACUAAAAAUUACAGGACUCUAAAUUAGCAGUAAUCUCGAAAAUCUGUUCUUACUAAUGUUGCUUUGGUGGAAAUCGACCUUAUUUAAAGAGAACGAGCCCCAAGCCAUUGGGCUACAAGCACAAGUGGCCCAUAAAUAGCAGAGUAUCUAAAAUAGUAAAACUAUAUCAUCUCCAUUGUCCAGAACACUUUAUAUAUGCAUUUCCAGUUUUCCGCUAUUUGUGCAUCCCUAGUAUACUUUAAGCGUUGAAGAGGUCUGAUGGAAAGAAAAAAAAAAUUGAUUAGAAUCCUUCGUUUCUAGGGGAUCAUAAAAGGCUUUAUUAUUUUCUUUUUUGAGUGAUGCUUUUUACACAUAAAAAUGCACAAAGCUAGUAAAAGAUGAAUCUAUUCACUUUAUCAAUUCAAUAAUGAUAUAGUACAAAUAAUUUUAUAUAAAUUGGUAUGUGCAAACUAACGUGGCAUAAAAAAAUUUAUUGAAAAGUGACACAUUAUUUUUUUAAUUAUGUGAAUCCUGGUUUUAUAAAACCAACCUUCGAUUUUUUAAGAUUGUUAACAGCAGACGGGUGAUAUUCAAAAUUAUUGAUCGAACAGGUAUAACUUAUUACCUGAUUCUUCUUUAAUUACAAGAAUUCUGAUCAUCUAAGUUUUUUGAACCUUCCCAAAUCAAACUUGGCCUUGGUUGGACUGAUCAUUUCUUUUAGUAUUCUCACAGUAGAUCACUUUCACAGUUAAUUGGAACUCCACUCGUGAGUCACGGCCGCGGUAAGUGUAGAUUUGGGAACUAGCUAAAGUCUUAGUAUUAGGACCUGUUUGUUUUUAUAUAUGAUAAUCAACACAAAUCAGUCUAAUGAUUCAACGUUGAUGGGUCGGCACGCAAGACUUAAUUGGAUAAGACUAUUUUCAGCGUCAAUCAUAUUUCCUUUAAGAUGAACCGUCUCAACUGGGGCCAGUAAUCAGUUGAGCUCAAUGGAGCGUUAUGUAGUCAUCACUGUUGUUAAUUUAGUAAUAGCUUCAUUCGUCGCCUUAAUAUUAACAUUCGUUGCGAGGCCUUCUGUAAUCGUCUUGAUGCUGCUGACCGCAACUGCGUUUGGGAUGAUACUCUUGGGUUUGAUUAUUAUUUGUUAUGUGAAGAGAAAUCCGGAAAGCAAAGGUACGUAAGAUUAGUUAAUUAAUUUAUCACGCAUAGCAUAUAUAACACAUGAUUGUUUGAUCGAGUAUAUAGUACGAAUAUUUUUUAUGUCUUCACCAUUCAGGGGAGGAUUUGAUGCGAUUUGAUUUGGGUAUGAACCGACAAGCUAUUAACAUAGAGCUUACUGAAGCAAAUAAGCAUGGAAACAGUGGGAAAAAGCAAAUUGAAUUGCCCUUUUUCAGUUUUUCCAGUGUUUGUGCAGCAACAAAUAAUUUCUCUGCCACAAAUAAACUCGGGGAAGGUGGUUUUGGUCCUGUAUACAAGGUAAAAUUUUAAUUUUGGCAACAAGCUUAUGGACUAAUUAUUAUUUAACAAGAACUACAAUUUCAGGGAGUAUUAGCAAAAGGAGGUGAAAUAGCUGUCAAAAGGCUUUCAGGAAGAUCUGGACAAGGAUUGCGAGAGAUGAAAAAUGAAGCUUCAGUGAUAGCCAAGGUUCAGCACAAGAAUCUUGUUAGACUUUUGGGCUGCUGCAGGGAUAAAGAUGAGAAGAUUCUGAUCUAUGAGUACAUGCCUAACAAAAGCUUGGACUUCUUUCUUUUCGGUUAGUUAUUGCAUUUAUUCUUACAUGUUCCUUACUUCAAAUUUUAUUCAUACAUUUGUUUGAACUAAUAUUUAAUAAAUAAAAUUACAUAUCAAAAAUUUAUUUCAAAAUUUAUUUAAACUAGAAUUUAGCCUAUAUUACAUUUCCAAAUUUUAUUCAUUAAUUUAUGUAAAAUAGCAUUUAGCAUUUAAUUUAAGAUUAAACAUAUAAUUACAUUCAGUAAUUUAUUCAAACUACUACAUAAUACUAAAUAUCAAAAUUAUUCAAUUAUUAAUUUAUAUUGAAAUUGAAUAUCUAAUAUAAUAUUCAAUAAUUAACAAUAUAAAUUUAAGAAAUAAUCAUACUUUUUAAAUAGCUUUUUUAACUUCCUUAAACUAAAUGUAAUAUCAGUGGCGAAGCUAUCACUAUUUUUUGGGGUGGGCUAGAUUUUUUUUUUAAAUUCAAUUACUUCUCAAAAAAAUUAUUCUAUACAAAUAAAAUGAUUAAAAUACACUAGACAAGCAAGAAAAACUAAUAACAAAACUAUAAAAGUACAAUGUAAAUAAAAAAAUACUAUCAACGAAAUUUUGUCAUGUGAUUCUUCAGAAAAGAAAACUCAUAUAUCGUAUCUGAAUUAUGUUAUCUGCGAUAGUAAUACAUUAGAGAUAUUAUCUGCGAUAAUAAUACAUUAGAGAAUCAUUAAUUAUUUUAUCAAAAAAUUUGACAAAAGUAUAAGCUAAUAACUAAUUCAAAAACAGUAUGAGCAUGUGGGUGCGGCAGAGGCUAGCCGUCACCCAUGAGGUGGCAACUUGAUGACUUGAACAACUGAGUUUUGGGAAAUUUAGACUUUGGAUAAUUGGAUCAAUUAGUUAGGGAUUUAGGUGAGUUUUUCGAUUUAGAGAAAAUAGAUAUUGACUAUAAUUAUUAGUUAUAUUUUACUAUAAGUUUUUUAAAAAGAGUAAAUUUAUAAUUAAUUAAUUUUUUUUCAAGAAACAGCCCGGGUUAGCUCCCUCAUAACUUCGCCCCUAUUUAAUAUGAUCUCGUCCAAUACUAAACCAAACACAAAACGUGACUAUAAAAUAAUUCAGUCUAAUCCAAUCCAAUUAAAUCUUAAUAACUAGUCCAAUCCAAUCCUUUGUUUACCUAACCUAAAAGAAUAUUUAACAUUUACUAUUUCAUUUAGCUAUUUUUAAGUUUAAUGAUUAACAUCAUCCAAUUAUCAGAUUUUUUAUUAAAAAAAUAAAAUUAAGUCACUAGAUCAAUUUACGUUAGAUAAUGUAGUCUACAUUUUUUUUGUUUUCAUGCAUAAUGACGUUUAGUUCUUUUAUUGUAAAUUAGAUCCAACCAAGCGAAUGUUAUCAGAUUGGGUAACACGUCUUCGGAUUAUUGAAGGGAUAGCUCAAGGGCUUCUUUAUCUUCAUCAAUAUUCGAGAAUGCGAAUCAUUCAUCGAGAUUUAAAAGCCAGUAACAUCUUGUUGAAUAAAGACAUGAAUCCCAAAAUAUCAGAUUUUGGAAUGGCAAGAAUUUUUGGAGAAAGUGAGUUACAAGCAAACACUAGUAGGAUCGUCGGGACUUAGUAAGUGAAUGACACAAAUCAAAAUUAAAGUGAUUAAGUUAUGCAUAAAUUACUGAUUAUUAUUUAUCAAUUAUUGAAUUACAGUGGUUAUAUGUCCCCCGAAUACGCAUUCGGAGGAAUAUUUUCAAUUAAAUCUGAUGUGUUUAGCUUUGGAGUAUUGUUGCUUGAGAUUGUAAGUGGCAAGAAGAACACUGGAUUUUAUCGAACCGACUAUCUCAAUCUGCUGGGUUAUGUACGUAACAAAAGUCGUUGCACAUAUUCUUUUAUACUACUUAGGUGAAAUUAUAUAUUAAUUCCCAAGUCAUGCUUAGGUGUGGACACACUUUUACAAUGUGAAAACGUUUGGAUUUUUGCACCUGACUAUUUUUAAACUAUUCUCUAUAUCAAGUGUACAACUAUCUAAUAACAUCGUAUGGUUGUUCAGGCAUGGGAUCUGUGGACAAGCAACAGGACAUUGGAGUUGAUUGAUGAUCCAGUAUUAGAAGAUGAAUAUUCCUCCAAGCAUAUGCUUUUAAGAUAUGUGAACAUAGCACUCCUUUGUGUACAAGAAAGUGCUGAUGAUAGUGUUGGGGAAAAAUUAAGUUUUUAAAUUUUUUAUAAAACCUUUUGAAGAUCGCUCUCAUAUAAUAUAUAAGAAUUCGUAAUCUAGAAAUCGUACCUUGAAAAUCCGAGUUGGCUUUUCCCGCUGAAAUGAUUUAGGCUCCUAGAUCACGAUAUGCCACCACCACUCCUGUUAGAUCACGAUAUGCCACCACCACUCCUGUUAGAUCACGAUAUGCCACCACCACUCCUGUUAGAUCACGAUCCGUCACCACCACGCUUGUUAGAUCACGAACUGUCACCAAUGAUCUUCCAGGUUAUGACUCAGGUUCGAUAUGCACUUGACGUGUGGGCGCCUUUAUCACUACCAAAGCAACUAGCACGAGAAAAUUUUUCUCUCAACAAUAGAGAGAAAAAUCUUAUUCUCCGAUUUGUAUAAAGUGGCUUCACCUUUUUUCUUUUGAGAAAAUAAGCCUUAUAUAUCUCCCUUUAGUGAAAACCCUAGACUCCAAAUAAUGCCCAAAAUAAAACUCACCUUACUUUUCAUUUAAUAGGGGACCCACCAUGUAAAAUAACAUAAGACCCCUUACACAUAAGCUAAUUAAAUGGAGCCUCCCACUAAAUGAUAUAUUUAGGCUUUUGACCCAAAUAACUAGUUAUCUUGCUUAUUAGUCCAGUAGUGGUGCAGUCAAUUAAAUGAGCUAACCCGGGGAUCAUUUGGGAACAUACAAUAGUGGCUAUAACAAUUAGGCCUGUAAUUAAACUAGCAUAAUUAUUUAAUUCCAAAUCUACUCCACUAAAAGAUUGGAAUUGACCUCCAUAAUUGUAUGCUCGAAUAAUAAUUCGUCCCAAGCCACAUUGAUUUCUUUACUGCACAAUCCUUUGUACCACAUCGUUAAUUAAAUCGAUAUCUCAAUUGUCCAAUCAAUUUAAUCACAUCUUGUUCCUUGAUACUUACUGGUUUUCUCUAAUGAUCAUUUUCAACAUACUAAAUAUGUUGACACACUCUGGCCAGAGAAUUCUAUGAUCAAGUGCCGAAAACCCAUCAAGAGAUGUGUUGUACAAAUUCUAUAUUGUUAAUCCAUAACUCCAAUACUCAUAAUUGCUCCCACCAAGAUACCGGGUAAUCUAGACUACAAGUACGUGUCAUGCCCAUUAGUAACUCAAAUGGAAUAACAAUUACAAUCAUGAAAUCAUAAUUAACUCAAGAUUAAGAUUACAGUAAAAUCAAUGCCUAUGAGAUUUAAUAAGUCUGACAGUUAUUACAAAGUUAAUUAAAUCUCACAUGUGAUCAUGUUCAAUGUAGUCGUACUACAUCAAUAAAUUCAUACAUGAUUAAGACAAAUCAUUCAAUGAAUUUAUUACAGUCUAUACCUAAAUAAAGUGCCCAAUUUUAUUUAUCAACUAAAUUUAUUUAAUCAUAAGAUAACUUAUAUUUAUGUCUUCUAUGAAUCCACAUGGUGAUCACAUAAAUACAUAUAAUAUGAUUAAAUUGACUUUAAUCCAAAUAUUAAUGUAAUUAAGAUAUUUGAAUAAAAUACCUCAUUUAUUUUAUUAAUCAGAAAAAAAAUAUUUAUUACAAUUAAAUAAACACAUAUGCUUUUAAAGAGCAUAUUUUCCCAACAAUCUCCCACUAGCUCUCAAAGCAUAUUUAGCAUUUCACGCAUGCCCAUGGAUUCUAAGUGCAAGUUAAAAGGUUUCCCAGGUAUGGCCUUAGUAAAAGGAUCUGCCAAGUUUUGCUGUGACGCAAUCUGAGUAACCUCCACAUCACUUCUCUGCACUAUAUCCCUUAUAAGAUGAUACUUCCUCUCAAUAUGUUUUUGUUUCUUGUGGUUCCUUGGUUCCUUAGAUUGAGCUACCGCACCAUUAUUAUCGCAAAAUAGUUUCAGGGGUGCAAUUACAGCAGGUACCACCUCAAGAUCUUGUAGGAACUUGCGGAGCCAUACAGCUUCUUUUGCAGCUUCGGAUGCAGCCACAUAUUCAGCUUCAGUUGUGGAGUCUGCGAUACAAGAUUGUUUCACACUCCUCCAACUAAUAGCUCCACUUCCCAAUGUAAACACAUAGCCGGAAGUUGAUUUUCUGGAAUCCUUAUCUGACAUAAAGUCAGAAUCAGUAUAACCUACUGGAAUGAGUUCAUCACCAGAAUACACAAGCAUAUAAUUUUUAGUUCUUUUCAAAUACUUCAUUAUAUUCUUGACCGCAGUCCAGUGUUCAGGUCCAGGAUUAGAUUGAUAUCUACUAACCAUCCCUACCGCAAAACAGAUGUCUGGCCUAGUGCAAAGCAUGGCAUACAUAAGACUUCCCACAGCUUCUGCAUAGGGAACUCGUCUCAUUCUCUGUAUCUCUUCAGAUGUUUUAGGUGAUUGAUCCUUAGAGAAUGUAAUUCCAUGUCUGAAUGGUAAUAAACCAGUCUUCGAAUUUUCCAUGCUAAAUCUAGCCAAUAUCUUAUCGAUAUAGACCGCUUGAGACAAUGCUAAAGUUUUAUUCUUCCGGUCUCGUAGUAAUUUAAUACCAAGAAUAUAACUUGCCUCUCCCAAGUCUUUCAUAUCAAAUUGUUUUGCUAACCAACUCUUUAUUGUAGUCAACACUCCUAUAUCGUUUCCAAUUAGGAGAAUAUCGUCUACAUAAAGAAUUAGGAAGGCUACAGAUUUUUCUUGAAUUUUUUUGUACACACAUGGUUCAUCAAUGUUCUGAAUGAAUCCAAACGAUUUUAUCGCUUGAUCAAAUCUGAUGUUCCAUGACCGGGAUGCUUGCUUCAAUUCAUAAAUGGAUCUCUGCAACUUACAUACCAUGUGUUCUUGGCCUUUUUGUAUAAAUCCAUCUGGUUGCUGCAUGUAGAUGUUUUCUUCAAGAUGCCCGUUAAGAAAGGCAGUCUUGACAUCCAUUUGCCAAAUUUCAUAAUCUAGCACUGCAGCAAUGGAGAGCAGAAUCCUGAUGGAUUUAAGCAUAGCAACCGGAGAAAAGGUUUCCUCAUAAUCGAUUCCCUCUUUUUGAGUAAACUCUUUGGCUACUAAUCUUACUUUAAAUGUUUCCACCCUUCCGUCUACUCCUCUUUUUCUCUUGUAAAUCUACUUGCACCCUAUGGGUUUUACCCCAUUUGGUGCCUCUACAAGUUCCCAGACUUUAUUGGAAUACAUAGAUUCCAUUUCUUGAUUCAUGACCAUUUUCCAAAAUUCAACAUCUCUAUCUAUUAGAGCUUCGUUGUAACUAGUGGGAUCUUGUACAUGUUCAUCUGAGAUAGCCGUAUAAGUUUCUCCCAAAAGCAUGUAUCUCGUAGGUAACCUAGUUACCCUCCUACUACGACGAGGUUCUAAAAGUGAUGGUUGUUCAGGGUUAAUCCUGUGUUGAUCAUCUGGUUGUUGUUGUUCUUCCUGUUCUGUAACAGGCGUUGAAAGCUGAGCAUCAACCUGAUCACCUGACAGUUCAAGUAUUACCUUACUCUUAGGUUUGAAGUUAUUCAUAUAGUCUUCCUCAAGGGAAGUGAAAUGUGUGCUCACGAUCACUUUCCUAUCUUGAGGACUAUAAAAUAAACCUCCCCUUGUUCCUUUGGGAUACCCCACAAACAUACAAACCUUAGAACGUGAAUCCAUUUUGUCUGCCUUUGGUUUCAGCACAUCUGCUGGUGAUCCCCAAAUACGGACAUGUCGUAAACUUGGUUUGCGACCUGACCAUAAUUCUAUUGGGGUUUUAGGCACUGACUUAGAUGGAACUAAGUUCAAAAGGUAAACUGCAGUUUCCAGUGCUAGUGCCCAAAAAGAGAUUGGUAAUGACGAAUAACUAAGCAUAGAUCUCACCAUAUCCAAAAGAGUUCUAUUUCUUCUUUCAGCUACCCCAUUUUGUUGUGGUGUUCCCGGGGCAGUCAACUGAGAUACAAUCCCAUUUUCAACCAGAUACUCUUUGAAAUCUCCUGAGAGAAAUUCACCACCUCGAUCAGAUCGAAGUUUCUUUAUGUUCUUAUCUAAUUGCUUUUCUGUCUCAGCCCUAUACUCUUUGAAAUCUCCUGAGAGAAAUUCACCACCUCGAUCAGAUCGAAGUUUCUUUAUGUUCUUAUCUAAUUGCUUUUCUGUCUCAGCCCUAUACUCUUUGAAUUUCUCAAGAACUUCAGACUUAUGACGCAUCAGAUAAACAUAAUCGUAUCUUGAGUAAUCAUCAGUGAAAGUGAUGAAAUACUUAUAACCUCCUUGAGCUUGUACAUUGAUUGGUCCACAUACAUUUGUAUGUACCAAUUCAAGUGGUACUGUUGCACGUACUCCUUUGGCCGAGAAUGGCCUUUUGGUCAUUUUUCCUUCUAAACAGGAUUCACAGAGUGGCAAUGAUUCAUUUUCUAAUGGAUCCAAGAGCCCAUCUUUGAUCAUUCUCUGUAUCCUAUUUUGGUUUAUAUGACCCAAGCGUAAAUGCCAGAGGUAACAUUGGUUGGAAGAAAUAUUUCUUUUCUUAGAUAAAUGUGUAUGCUCAUCAUUAUUUAUCACUGUGUCAUGCAUAGAAUGGAUCAUUGGACUUAAAUGAUAUAAAUUAUCUUCCAAUGUACCAGAACAAAUAAGUCUCUUAUUAUGAAAAAUAGAAACAGAGGAUCCAAAAUUUACAGUGUACCAUUGCUUUGACAAACAAGCUACUGAAAUUAAAUUCCUCUUAAUGUCUGAAACAUAAAGACAAUUAUUCAAAACUAAAGUCUCAUUAUUAAAAGAUAAUAAAACAGAUCCAGUCUUCACUGUUGACACGAACUGUCCUGUCCCUAACUGCAGCUUGACGCUUCCUUAACUUAUUUUCCUGAAACCAAUAAAGUGAAUUACAAAUAUGAUUAGUUGCUCCUGAAUCCAACACCCAAGUGUCAAUAGGAUUCUGAACUAAACAUGCCUCAAUUACAAAAAGAUUUCCCAUACCUGAUUUCACAAUCUUAGGGCAAUCAUUUUUCCAGUGACCUUUCUGUCCACACUUAAAGCAUUUGCCUUUCGGCUUGCCAUCUUGCUUGGUAGACGGUUUCUUUUUCCCAGCUUUCUUCUUACCUUUGCCUUUCGGCUUAGGCCUAGAAGAUGAACUUUUUUCAGUAAUAUUUAUGCUUCCCAGAGAUUUCUCAGCACGAUAGAUCUCUUCAGCAGAAUGGAGUUCGUUCAUCAAUUCAGUUAAGGUCAUGUUUCUUUUGUUCAUGUUAUAAUUGACCUUAAACUCCUUGAAUGUUUCUGGCAGAGAUUCUAGCACCAUGUCAAUCUUUGAGUUAUCAUCGAUUUGUGCUCCCUGAAUCUCAGCCUCGUUCAAAUAGUCCAUCAUUUUGAGGACAUGAUCACGAACUCUUGUGCCCUUCCCCAUUUUACUGUUCAUAAUUCCUUUCAGUGCUGCUUGUCUCGCUGAGCGAGUACUCUGCCCGAACAUCUGUUGGAGACUAUCCAUUAUUUCAGUGGCAGUCUCCAAGUUCUGAUAUUUGGUCUGCAGAAUAUUAAAAAUCGAGGCUAAAAUGUAGCACUUUGCCAUUUCAUUGGCCUUUUGCCAUUUCUCAUAACGUCUCCUCUGAUUUCUAUGAGCAUCAUCCGCUGGAACUGGAGGGCAUGGCUGGGUUAAGACAUAUUUAUAAUUUUCAGCAGUCAGGACAAUGAAUAGAUUUCUUUUCCAAUCUAUAUAGUUCUCUCCAGUGAGUUUGUUUUGACUCAGAAUAAUAGUACGUGGGCUCAGGGAAGACAUUUUCUGAAAAAUAAAACAUCUAUGCAUAAAUAAUUUGAACUAAUAUUCACAAUAAAUGACAAAAAUGCAUAAAACCAUAAACGCAUUUUAAUUUAUUGUAACGAUAAUCUAGUUCCGCUUUGACAAGCUAUCCGGUAGGGAAGUCAUGUCUAUACUUACUAGACCCAAUUACCCAUUGGAUUAUUUACUUUCAUGUAGAGACAUGAUAAAUAAUUAUCGUUAUCCUUUUUGGGCCUAAAUUUGUUAACAGAGCUUCGUUGGGAAGGUUAAUAACAAAUUUUAGUUGAGUGUAUGACCAUUGUUUCAAUCUACGUAUUUUUCAUAUCAAUAGUCACCGUUGGGGUGAACAAUCGAUUGAAAAAUAUUUCAAUUUUAUCUUUGAAGAAGUUUAUCAAAUAAAAUAUCUAAUAUAUAUACCCUCCGAAGGGAGCAUCACCGUAUCAUGAAGUCGAUGUAUAUAUAUAAUUUUAUUAUUGAACUAACAAUGGAGUCCGUGGGAAAAUUAUCUUGAAUUUUCCCUCUCCCACUCAAUAUUUUAAAAUUGGUUUUUCCUUUUUAAAACAUACAUAUUGUUAAUUGCAUGUUUCCUAUAAUAUUAUCUAGAUGAUAUCAAAUAUUAUUAAGCAUAUGCAAAUUUCAAACAAUAUAAUGAAAUUCAUUAUUAAUGAAUGACAUGUAUAAUUAUGCAUAGAGUGGCACUUCCUAUUCUAUAUGACAUGUUAUCAUGGUAUGUUAUCAUCCAAAACAUAACAUAUAGAAAAACAAUUAAAUAAUCUUAAUUCAUGGCUUUCCUAAUAAUGAAAAAAUACAUUAACCCUAAGCCUAAUCUUCAUUGGGCUUCUUGUCAAUGUCCAUCUUCCAUAAGCUUGUCUUUGUUAAUGGACUAGGGGAAAUUGGGCUUUUAAAUUUAUAAUUGGUCCAAUUUUAAUUUUUGAAAGGAAAUAAAUAAAUAAUUAAAAAAAAUUAUUAAAAUAAAACUUUUGGACCAAAAAUAAAUUUAAUGUAUUUAAUUUUGUCUAUGCAUUUUAAUCCAUUAAACCCAAAUUUUAAUUGUGCCUAAAUCUAGGAUUCUUUAAGCUCAAAACUGUUUUUGGACUUAAAUGCAAAAAAUUAAAACUUAUCAGCCCAAAGAAAAAAUCUAUAGAACUAUAGUGAUCGUAAUGAUAAAAACUAUUAAAACCCUAAAUCCAUCUUUUUCUCUUCCCAGCCGCCAUCACCACAAAAGGCAGUCACUGUUCAUAAUUUCCAGCCAUCUCCGACGCCGAGUUUGCUGCCGCCCUCACACCGGAAACAUACCAAUCACCUCCCUCGUGCUGCACGGAAAGCUCCUGCUCGCGCUGCCUGCUGCGUGUGCUGGCUGUUGCACACGAGCGUGCGCUAGCUGCUGCACGCGAGCGUGCGCUAGCUGCUGCACGCACAGCGUGCGUUGCUGGCUGCGCGAGCAGCACGCGUUGGCUGCUGGCUUGCAGCGCGCGCUGCUGGCAGCGUGUGCUGCGAGCCGCGAGCGCUUGCUGGCAGCGUGUGCUGCGAGCCGCGAGCGCUUGCUGGCAGCAUGUGCUGCUGGCCGCGCGCUGCUUGCUGCUGGUUGCCGCUGUCAUAAUUUUUGGCCUCCGUCGCUUUGAUCUUGAAAAUCCGAGAUUAAUUUACAAAUUUCCUAGGCCAAUUUUUGGCUUACAAAAAUUCUAUAACAGUAAAAUAAAUCAAGAGGGAAACAUGAUAAUAAAAAACCACCCCUCUUAUUACAGAUCCAAAAAAAAACUACAACGGAAAAUCUAAUCAUGAAUUAAGACAAACCAAAACAUGCUUUAUUUAUAUAUUAAACAAUUAAUAUAUAUCUGAAUAAAUUGUGCCACUCUAAUACAUAAAUUUCAAGAAUGAUUUCAUACGAAAUUCUUAUAUAUUAAUAUGAGAUGGGCUCUGAUACCAAUUGUUUGGGAAAAAUUAGGUUUUUAAAUUUUUUAUAAAACUUUUUGAAGAUCGCUCUCAUAUAAUAUAUAAGAAUUCGUAAUCUAGAAAUCGUACCUUGAAAAUCCGAGUUGGCUUUUCCCGUUGAAAUGAUUUAGGCUCCUAGAUCACAAUCUGCCACCAUCACUCCUGUUAGAUCACGAUCCGCCACCACCACGCUUGUUAGAUCACGAACUUUCACCAAUGAUCUUCCAGGUUAUGACUCAGGUUCGAUCUGCACUUGAAGUGUGGGCGCCUUUAUCACUACCAAAGCAACUAGCACGAGAAAAUUUUUUUCUCAACAAUAGAGAGAAAAAUCUUAUUCUCCGAUUUGUAUAAAGUGGCUUCACCUUUUUUCUUUUGAGAAAAUAAGCCUUAUAUAUCUCCCUUUAGUGAAAACUCUGGGCUCCAAAUAAUGCCCAAAAUAAAACUCACGUUACUUUUCAUUUAAUAGGGGACCCACCAUGUAAAAUAACAUAAGGCCCCUUACACAUAAGCUAAUUAAAUGGAGCCUCCCACUAAAUGAUAUAUUUAGGCUUUUAACCCAAAUAACUAGUUAUCUUGCUUAUUAGUCCAGUAGUGGUGCAGUCAAUUAAAUGAGCUAACCCGGGGAUCAUUUGGGAACAUACAAUAGUGGCUAUAACAAUUAGGCCUGUAAUUAAACUAGCCUAAUUAUUUAAUUCCAAAUCUACUCCACUAAAAGAUUGGAAUUGACCUCCAUAAUUGUAUGCUCGAAUAAUAAUUCGUCCCAAGCCACAUUGAUUUCUUUACUGCACAAUCCUUUGUACCACAUCGUUAAUUAAAUCGAUAUCUCAACUGUCCAAUCAAUUUAAUCACAUCUUGUUCCUUGAUACUUACUGGUUUUCUCUAAUGAUCAUUUUCAACAUACUAAAUAUGUUGACACACUCUGGCCAGAGAAUUCUAUGAUCAAGUGCCGAAAACCCAUCAAGAGAUGUGUUGUACAAAUUCUAUAUUGUUAAUCCAUAACUCCAAUACUCAUAAUUGCUCCCACCAAGAUACCGGGUAAUCUAGACUACAAGUACGUGUCAUGCCCAUUGGUAACUCAAAUGGAAUAACAAUUACAAUCAUGAAAUCAUAAUUAACUCAAGAUUAAGAUUACAGUAAAAUCAAUGCCUAUGAGAUUUAAUAAGUCUGACAGUUAUUACAAAGUUAAUUAAAUCUCACAUGUGAUCAUGUUCAAUGUAGUCGUACUACAUCAAUAAAUUCAUACAUGAUUAAGACAAAUCAUUCAAUGAAUUUAUUACAGUCUAUACCUAAAUAAAGUGCCCAAUUUUAUUUAUCAACUAAAUUUAUUUAAUCAUAAGAUAACUUAUAUUUAUGUCUUCUGUGAAUCCACAUGGUGAUCACAUAAAUACAUAUAAUAUGAUUAAAUGGACUUUAAUCCAAAUAUUAAUGUAAUUAAGAUAUUUGAAUAAAAUACCUCAUUUAUUUUAUUAAUCAGAAAAAAAAUAUUUAUUACAAUUAAAUAAACACAUAUGCUUUUAAAGAGCAUAUUUUCCCAACAGAUAGACCCACCAUGAAUGAUGUUGUAUCCAUGCUUACAAAUGAAGCUGCAGCAUUACUUCCUCCCAAACAACCGGCUUUUUCAUAUGUAAGAAAUACUGUGACUUCAACAUCGUCCACCAGCAAGGUAGCAGAUUGUUCAGUCAACCAAGUGACGAUUUCAAUUUUAGUAGCGGGCUAAUUUUUAUUUUAAUUCAUACACUUUGGGGUUAGGUUGUUCUAAUUACUCCUCUGAUCCAAUAUUUGAACUGAGUUUCCUAUUUUUGACUCGCUGGUACGUACCGACCAUUUCUCAGAGUUUAAAUUAAAGUUUAAAUUAAUUUUUUAUUUUUUAUUUUCUCCAAGAUUCAAACUUACUUAGGUGAUAAUGUAAAUAAGACUAUUUGAAAACUACUGUGCUAAACUUCUGAGACUAAUUAUUAGAUAUUAUAUGGAGUAAUGACCCUGAUUUUUAUUGGUUCAACGGGAUAUGAUACUAUCACGAGUCUGAUAUAUAAAAGGCCAUGCAUGGAACCAUUAUUUUCGUUCAAUGGGAUCAGAAUCAAGAAACUACGAACUUGGGGGAUAAAAUCAACAAUUUGUAAACCGACAGAGGGAGAGGAUCAAAACAUAUGUAAAGUCCAAGGAGAUUAACUAGAUUUCAAUUAACGCCCUUAUCUUGCUAUGAAUUAUAUAAUUCUAAUUCAAGAGAGACACUUUUAAAUAAAAAUUUAGACGUAAUAUUCUGACCAUUAUAUUAAAGCUAACCAAAAGUUGAUAUUGAAGCUAACAUGCCUUUUUUAAGUUUUAAAAACUAAAAAAUUAAUAUAAUAGAUCUCCAUAUAAUAAUAAAUUAUUAAUUAUUCGUCUCUCUUAAUAUAUUCCCUCUUUUAUCUCUUUUUUUUCAUCCGCUUACCCUUUUAUGUCUUGCCUACAUUAAUUAGUUUGAACUUUUGCAUGGCAUCAGUGCAAAAACUUAACCGACUUAUAGAGCAGAAAUGGACUUAAAUUUUAUUUUCACUCAUUGACUAUUUUCAUGCAAAAUUAUUUUGUCCAUCAAAAUUCGUAGCAGGACAUAUAUAUUCGUUUCUAUGUGUACAUAUUAAAAAUAAAAUAAAAUAAAAUAACAAGGAGAGAAAGGAGAUCACCAAAAUCACUAUCAAAACGAUAAUGUUUUUAUCACUGUUUUGUCACCGUUUUGCAUUUUGUUCAAAUAGCAGUACACAGAUUUUGAUUGUUUAGUGUUUGCUCCUAACUCAUUCCCUUAAAAAAUUAUCCUGAUUUCAAAAUCCAAUAAUUUAGGAUUCAUGUCUUUGUCCAACAACAUGUUACUAUUCUUUUCUUCUUUCAAAUCCAUGUGAGUAAUCAGCGCACGGUGCUUACAAGUCUUCCCUGCUGACCUGAAGUCCUCUUCGGCUGCUUUCUAAUUAAUUAACUUGGGCUACCUUUACUCUGUUAUAUUACAUAUACAUUGCAACUUGCAAGUUCCAUUCCUUCUCUGAGUUUCAUUUCAACUACUAUUAGACCCAAUCAUGAGAUCAAUUUUACUCUUAUCAUGGCUUUUCUCGAUACCCUUUUUAGCCAAUUUUUUGGGAUGCAUAUGGUUUGGGUGUCUGGCCAAUGUCAAGGCGAUAAAAAAUUGCUCCAUAUUUGACGUUGAAAUUAAUAGUUUAUGUUUUAUAUUGAAUUAUAAGUAAAUUACCUCUUGCAAAAAUAUGAAAUACUGAGGCUGACGAUGUGCCUUGAAGAGCGAUAUCAAGAUUAAUAUGGAAAAACACGUGCGAUCGGAUUCAAAAUUGCAAUGACACAAUCAAGAGCCAUCCAUUUUAUAUGACAAACCCAUUAAUUAUGAGGUAGAGAUUAAACAAAGUUAUAAUCAAUAGGAUUAAUUUUAUCUAUCAAAUCAAACUGACCACUUUUUAAAAAAUUGGAGACGAUUAUCAUUUUGUACAUAUGGGUCCAAUCCACAGAGAGCUUCGCCGAAGCUGAAAGCAGUGGAUAAAGUAGCGGAUACUCAUAAUCUGAUUGAUCUUUGAAUUUUCAGUCCAUGUCCUAUUGUGAUACUUACAUUACAUAUGAAAGAUCAACAAUACAUAUAGAGCUAGCUUUAAACACCAGUUGAACAGGGAGAUAUUUUAUUAAAAAGAUAUAAUGGAAUUAACAAAAUAGAUAUUAGAAGGAUUUUUGUUUUUGAAAAUUCUAGUCUAAAAGCUUUAUAAAUAAUUACUAUUGUGAAAAAAUAUGGAAUGUGGUUUUUUCUUAUAUUAAAAGUUGGAAGGUGGUCAAAGGGUAAAUUUCCCAAUAACUUUCCAACGUGUCUAUGAAUCUUGUGUCGGCUCUUCAUAAAACCUGUAAAACCACUAUCAAUUGUUAGCUCUCUCCUUACGGCUUUUACAAGUCUGCGGGUUCCACGAGCAAAUCAGCGUUCAGUUCGACGCGAGAUGAAUUGCAUUCAAUCAAUUUUUUUUUUUAUUAAACGCAAUAAAAUCACUAUCAAAUGUUAGCUGUAUCCUUACGAGACUUUUCGAAGUCUACGGGUCCCGCAAGCAAAUCAAAGUUGAGUUUGACACGAAAACGAAUUGCAUUCAAUCAAUUUUAAGAUUUUUUUUAAUAUAGUAGAUGAAUAGUGAAAGUCUAAAUUAAUUCUUUUUAUUAUACUUAUUUCAAGAUUCAAACUCACCUGAUUAAUUAAGUAAACCUGUUUAAUUAUUGGAUCUUAUAAUGAAUAAAGACCCUGAUUUUUAUUGGUUGAAUAAGGUUUGAUGCUAAUUAAUAUACUGGAAAAGGCAGAAAGAAUCCUAAUUAAUAUAAGCAGCGAUGGAUGGAGCCAUGAUUUUGGUUCAACGGGAUCAGAAUCAAGAAACUACGAACUUGGGGAGGCCAAGAUCAACAAUUUGUAAAACGAUGGAGUGAGAGGAUCAGAACAUAUAUAGAGAUUCCAAAGAAAUGGACUAAAUUUUAAUUAAUACCCUUAUCUUCCUAUGAAUUAUAUAAUUAUAAUAUUGUAAUAAUCACAUAUUUACUAGGUCCCAACGAUUCCAUUGGUGCUUGUUUCUAACUCAUUCCCUUCAAUUGUAAUUAAAAUUAUUUUAAUUAGUUUCCAAGUCUACGCCUAAAAGCUAAAAACCUUUAGUUUGCUUUGAAUAAUCCUAAAAGUUUUUGCUUUAAUUUUCUCUUAUGCUUAGUUUGGUAUAGCUUUCCAAAUAUAGUUUAUUCAAUAGAGUUUUUAUUAGUAAAGCUUUUAUAAACAGUGUUUUUAUAAAAAUAAUUUUAGUUAUUUGUUGUCAAUGGAAGCUUUUAUUAAAAAUUAAAAAAUUGUUUAAUAAGCACGUUUUUUAAAAUUAUAUUAUAAAAUGAAUGAAAUAAAAUUGUCGAAUAAAUAAAUGAUAUUUUAGAUGUUUUAAUAUUUUUAAAAAUAAUUUUUUGAACAUUUACUUCCAAAAACCCAAAUUUUGAGUUUUUACUAGUAGAGAAAAAAUAACUUAUAUAAUUUUCAAAAGCUCUACUAAAAAACAAAUCCAAACAAUAACAAUAAAUCUUAAAAGAGUUUAUAUAAUUAAAUAAGUAUUUAUAUCCAUUAGAUGAAGUAUGCCAAACAUACAGAAUGUCUUAUUUGUUUGAGAUUUCUUUUCUUCUCUCUGUUUGACAAAGUUAAUAAAAUAAUUAACAAGAAUUUCAAAUAAGGGCCUUUACCUUCUGUCAUUGAGACAAUAUUCACCUCCAAACUGGCGCCACCGUAGAUAUAUAUUGUACGGGCAAUAUUCAUAGAUGAUCUCUAAGAGUUCAUGCUAAAUUUUAGUUGCAAUAAGAUAUAGGCUAUUACCACCUUAAAAACUACUCUGAGCACUCUGGUUUUAAUAAAAUAAUUUAAUUACAAAAUUAAUCAUCAUAUAAAUUACUAUUAAGAUUUAUUUAUUAAUGAGCCAAUACAACUUAAUUACUUUAAAACUCAUAUAAUACACUCAUUAUUUAACAUAUAAUCUUUUAUAUCAAACAUAUCUUAAAAUACAAUUCAUUGAACAUGCAGCAAAUCAAUUUUUAAAUAAUUUUGAAGAUAAAAUAUUUGUAAGACUUACAUUUUUCUAGAAAUAAAAUAAACCGAAAUUAUUGCAAAGGUGUUCUUUUUUUGUCUUUAAUUUAAAAAUAAAUUAAUUAAAGCACUCUAAACCUAAUAACCUAGUCAGCAUCUUCUUCUUCUUCUUCUUCUUCUUCUUCUUCUUCUUCUUCUUUUUUGUGUCAGAUUACAAUUUGGUUUACAAUUAUUAUUGGGGUAGUGAAAGUCCAUACUUCUUGAUCUUAAAGAAGUUAUAGGUGCAAAAAUUGAUAUGGAAUACAUUCUUUAAUUAACGAAAACUAAUAAAUAAAAUUAUUUUAAAAAAUUUGCUUAAAACUUGACUUAAUUCCAUUGUUGCUAGUUAUGCUACAUUUAUUAAAACGAUUUUCUUUGAGUGUGCUGAAUAUUUUUAUUAGUGUUUUGAGUAAAUUAAUUUAAAUGAUUUAAGUAGGGAUACUUUUGGCAUCUUAAAGAGUGUACAAAAUAAAAAUUAAUUUUUCAAAUUUAGUAUUUGUGCAUAGAGUACCCUUUUUUUUUCAAAGAAGUUAUUUAUUCCUAAAAAUUAACAAGAUAUUUAUUCAUAGUAUACAAUGAAAGACAAUGCUAAAAGAAAUGAGCCCAACCAAGUUUUAAGCAACUUACUUCUAUAGUUUUAUGCGCGGGUCUCCCACUAACUUUUUAUUGUCGUCAUUUUGGACCUAUGGAAAUGGAAGAUUCCUGUAUUUGAUGCAGGCAUUUAACCAAAAGAUCCAAUUUUCUUUUCUUAUUUUUUUUCUCCCAAGUCUUGGCAACAUUAAUUGGUUUGAACUUUUGUAGUCUUCUAGCUCCCAGUUUAUGCGUUGGGGGUGUACCUUCUAGGGAACUUCGGCCAUCUUUUUCCUAUUAAAUGAAUUCAUCGCAACUCCCAAGUUUCAUCACUCCUCUACGAGUUUCAUUUCAGCAAUUAUUAAAACAAUGCGACCAAUUUUACUCUUAUCAUGGCCUUUCUUGAUACCCUUUUUAGCCAAUUAUUUUGGGAUCCAUAUGGUUUUGGUUUCUGGCCAAUGUCAGAGCGAUCAACAAUCGUUGUUACUCCAAAUGAAGAACAGUUUCAUAUUAAGCAAUCACAGUGUCUAUCCAUCUACAAAACUGAGUCAGUGGACUAGUCAUCAAAGCUCUGAUUGUUGUGAUUGGAACGGUGUAAGGUGCGAUGAGGCUGGUCAUGUUAUUGGUCUCGACUUGAGCAGGGAACCAAUCAUUGGCGGACUUGAGAAUGCGACUGGCCUUUUCAAUCUUCAAUAUCUGCAGAGCCUCAAUUUGGGUUUCACUUUCUUGGACGGAUUCCAAAUACCAUCCAGGUUGGGCAACCUGACAAAUUUGACUUAUCUGAAUCUUUCCCAGGGUGGCUUCGCAGGGAAGAUUCCCAUUGAGAUUUCAAGCUUGACAAGGUUGGUUACUCUUGAUUUGUCAGGCCGUGAGCGCUCAAGAGGAUUUUCCGGGAGAAUUGAGAUCCCAAACUUAAGCUUGUUUCUGCAGAACUUAACAGAGCUCAGAGAACUACAUCUGGAUCAAGUAGAUUUGUCCGCCUCCGGAACUGAAUGGUGCAAAGCUUUAUCAUUUCUGCCCAAUCUACAAGUUUUAAGCUUGUCCGGCUGUGAUCUUUCAGGUCCAAUCAAUCACUACCUGGCAAAGUUACGGUCACUCUCCGUGAUUCGUUUGCAUUACAAUUAUGGUCUAUCCUCAGGUGCAGAAUUUUUGGCCAAUCUGACGAAUUUGAAGGCCUUGGAUCUCAGCGAGUGUGGGUUGCAAGGGAAGUUUCCAGAAAAGAUAUUGCAGGUUCCUACCCUUGAGACUCUUGACUUGUCAAUUAACCAAUUGCUUCAGGGUUCUCUGCCAAACUUUCCUAAGAAUUCUUCUCUUCGGAACCUGAUCCUCUCUGGGACGGGAUUCUCAGGCACACUACCAGAUUCCAUUGGGAAUCUUGAAAAUUUGACAAGGGUAGAGGUUAGAAGGUGCAAUUUCACAGGGCCAAUUCCCCCUUCAAUGGCUAAUCUUACCCAAUUAUUUCACAUGGACUUCUCAUCUAACCAUUUCUCUGGUCGCAUCCCAUCACUUCACAAGUCAAGAAAUCUCAACUACUUAGACAUUUCGUUCAAUAAUUUAAGUGGUGGGAUCUCAUCCACCUUCUGGGAACAACUUGUAAAUCUCAAUCUUGUUCUCUUGUCGCACAAUUUACUUAAUGGAAGUAUUCCCAGAUCUCUGUUUCUACUUCCAAAUCUGGAGAUGCUUCGGCUCUCCAACAACCAGUUUGAGAACCAACUUCCUGAACUGUCAAAUGUGUCCUCGUCUGUAUUGUUUGACCUUGAUUUAAGCGGCAACAGAUUAGAAGGGCCUGUUCCCAUUUCAUUAUUCUUUGAACUCAGAAACCUUGAUACCCUCGAUCUUUCUUCCAAUAAGUUUAGCAGAUUGAGACUGGCUUCAAGCAAACCACGGGUCAUUCCUAUUCUAAAAAACCAAUCACAACUUUCUGUUUUGGACAUUUCAAAUAACCAAAUAUCUGGAGAAAUACCAAAUUGGAUUUGGGAAGUUGGUAGUGGCAAUCUUCGGUACUUAAAUCUUUCACACAAUCUCAUUGUGAGCUUGCAAGAACCUUACUCUAUUUCUGGUAUCCGCUUGCUUGACCUGCACUCCAACCAGCUCCGAGGAAAUAUCCCUCACAUGUCACCAAGUCCUUCCUACGUCGAUUACUCCAACAAUAAUUUUACUUCCAUCCCAGCUGACAUUGGUAAUUUCAUGUCUGAAACCGAAUACUUUUUCGCUGCAAACAAUAGUCUCGUUGGAGUCAUCCCGGAAUCUGUAUGCAAGGCUACCUAUUUUCAAGUUCUUGACUUAUCAAACAACAAUUUGAGUGGCACAAUUCCUACAUGUUUAAUCACCAAGAGUAGCAACACUCUAGGGGUUUUAAAUUUAGGGAGAAACAACCUCAAUGGCACUCUUUCUGACACAAUAUUUCCAGGAAAUUGUAGGUUGCAAAUUCUAGAUCUCAGUAGAAAUCAACUACAAGGAGUGGUACCAAAAUCUCUUGCCAAUUGCAAUAUGCUGCAGGUUUUAGACCUCAGGAAUAACCAUAUCAGUGAUAAUUUCCCUUGCUGGUUAAGGAAUGCUUCUCGUUUGCAAGUUCUAGUUUUGCGAUCAAACAACUUCUCCAGACACAUUAGUUGUCCAAGACAUAAUGUCUCCUGGCCUCUGCUUCAAAUAGUCGACUUAGCAUCCAAUAAAUUCAGCGGAAGACUAUCACAAAAAUGGUUACUUACGAUGGAGAAAAUGAUGGUUACUGAAACCAAAUCCGGAUCUGAGCUCAACCAUCUUGGAUAUGAUAUGUCGAGCAACCGAUUCUAUGAGGUUAGUGUAACAGUUACAGUAAAAAGUGUUGAGAUCAUGCUACUGAAGGUCCCAAAUAUAUUCACUUCCAUUGACUUUUCAAGCAACAAUUUCGAAGGGCCAAUACCAGAAGAAAUGGGACAAUUCAAAUCACUUUAUGCUCUGAACAUGUCGCACAAUGCUCUCACAGGCUCGAUACCAUCAUCUUUUGGGAACUUGAAACAGAUUGAGUCCUUGGACCUCUCAAUGAACAACCUCAGUGGAAAAAUUCCUUCCCAGCUUGCAAGCCUAAAUUUCCUAUCGGUGCUAAAUCUCUCGUACAAUAACUUAGUGGGAAAGAUUCCGACAAGUACUCAACUCCAAUCAUUUUCACCAACUUCUUAUGAAGGAAACAAAGGAUUGUACGGACCUCCUUUGACGAAUGAAAGCCAAACACGUCCUUCUGAGUUACCACCUUCACCGCCACCAGCUUCAAGCGAUGAAAUUGAUUGGUUCUUCAUAGCCAUGUCAAUUGGAUUUGCUGUAGGCUUCGGAGCAGUUGUUUCACCUCUAAUGUUUUCCGUGCAGGUAAACAAAUGGUAUAACGAUCUUAUCUACAAAUUUAUAUAUCGGCGAUUCCGUGUGUGAAGUGAUUUAAAUCUCUCCUUUUGAAUAAUCAUGUAAGCUAGCUUUUGCUUCUCUCUUCUGUCAUAGAUGUUUGAUAUUUCUUUUCUUCUCUGUUUGAUAGAGUUAAUAGCGUUGACAAUAAUUUGAAAUAAGGGCCUAUCUAUAACUGUUGCUGAGACAAUCUUUAUCUCAAAAUUGACUCCAAGUUAGAUCUAUAUUGGCGCAAUUCAUAAACAACAUGUCUUCGUGAGUCCAUACUAAAUUAAUAUGUGCAAGACUGUUUGCAAUUCCAACUCUAGGCUAGAUGCAUAGCGAUUCAUGAUCAUAUUCCAUUUGUUCACUUGAAAGUUUAAGAGUAGAAAGAAGAAUUUAGAAGAUAACUUUUUAAGAAAGGCGUGAGUUAUGAGCCCAUAUAAGAAAUGAGCCCAAAAAGGUUUUGGGCCCUUGUGGCCUGACCGAGUAGUUUCUUUAAAAUAUUAGGUUAUGUUGUGUUUAAUAGUUGAAAUGAGAGUAUAGAGUAGAGAGUAGAGAGUAUGAAUUCUUUCUACUUCAGUAUUUUUUUUUUGCUUAUUUAAAGAGGGGAGUAAAAGUCUCAUUUCAUGAAUCUCACUUAUUUUUAGAGUAAGGAGUGGGAUUCUCACUUCUAUAGGGGACAAUCCCACUUCUUCUUUUUUUACUCUUUCUUUAUCAAACAUAAUAAAAUUUAUAUUUAUUAAAAAUAAAAUAAUGUUACAUUAUUUAAAAAUAAUAACAUUAUUUUUAUUUAAAUAAUAUUAUUAUAUUUAAUUAAAAAUAAUAAUUUAUGUAAUCUAAGCUAAAAUUACUUAAAAGUAAUAUUAUUAUAUUCAUAGAGAAUUAAUAAUAUUACAAUAUACUAUCUUUAUUUGAAAAAUAAAAUUAUUAUAUUUAUUUAAUAUUGAAAAUUAAUAAUAAUGAAUAGUUUAUCCUAAGAAAAUAUUCAUUUUGUACUAUAUUAUUAAUAAUAAUGUUUCAUUUGUUUUGUUCUUAUAUUAAUUUUUAAUUUACAUAAUUAAAAUUAAAAUGAAUAAAAAAAUUAUGAUUUCCAUAAUUACGAAUAUUAAUAAUUAUUAGUAAUUUAUAUAAUUAAAAUUAAUAAUCAAUUAAAUAGUUUAUUUUAUAAAUAUAUUUUUUAUUCACUUGUAAUUAUAAACUACAAUCUUUUAAAUAAGGGUAAAAGUGUAAUUUAAAAUAAUUCACUCCCAAUCCAAAUAAGAGUAAACAUAUAAAUGAGAUUUUGACUCUUCUUCCAACGUAAAUAAACAAUCUAUUUCUACUCUCAAUCUCUGAAUUCCCAAACCACACCUUAGUUGAAUGGUUUUCAAAUAAUUUUUAUUCAAUUGUAACAUGGGGUUCAAAUAUUGAAAAAAUUAGAAUUAAAAAUUUCUAAAAAAAUUGAUUUGAACUUUUUCCACCACUCUACUUUUUAAAUAAAUGAAAAAGAAAAACUCUCAAAUAAACAAAUAAAAGCUUUUAUGUAUGUGCCCCAAUAACGUUUUUACUGUCAAUUAUUUUGAGUUAUUAAUGUUGUGCAAUUUUUGUAUUGACUAUUGUUGUACAUAAUUUAUCUAACUUUAACAGUAUUUUCUUGCCAACUUGCAUCUCAGCAGUUAGCAGAAUGGUGAACUACAACUCUCCCAAGUCCACUUAAACUUUUCUCUCCUAAUUAAAAAUUAUGUAAAGAUAUGAAUUUUCUUUAUUAAUUUUGUAGGUAAAACAAAUAGCCUUCCAAUAUUCGUGAGGUAGAAAUCUAGGUUGUUUUAUAAUAGAGUUGAUAUAGAUAGUCUAUCAGUAGACUCCUAAUUGUAUAAUACAUAUUAGUAAGGGGAAAAAGCACAUCUACACUUCUAAGAUUUGGGAAAUAGUCACCAAUACCCCUAAGUUUUCAUAAAAAAAACACCAAGAUACCUUUUGAUUAUUAUACUCUUUACCUCUAUUAUCCCCAAAAAUAGACUUUAAAUUUUUUAAUAAAUACAAAUAUUAUAUAAAUAAUGUAAUCUAUUAUCUAUACAGUAGACUAACAAUAUUAAAAUAUUUUAAUAUUUUAAUAAAUUUAAAUAUAUAAAUAAAUAUAUUUAUUUUAAUAAUAUGUUUUUAUUUAUUGUAGAAAUUUUAAAUAAUAUGAAUGGAUUGGAAAUCAAUCUUUGCAAUGAAAGAAAAGUUAGCCUUCACAUGGAAGGAAGGAUAACCUUUAUAAAGAAGGAAAAAGCAACCUUCACAUGGAAAGAAAGAUUAAACGAUGAAAGGGGGAGGGGGGAAGUAAUUAAUAGUUAAUAACAGUAAUUAACAAUUAGUAAUAGAAUUAAUAUUGUUGAUGCGAGAUUCUGGUUGUCCUCGUUCUACGACCAGGCUCUCUGCUCGAUCAACUUCACCACGACCAGGAGGUCUCCUCGUAAGGCUUCUUCUCCAGAGGUUCCUGCGCACACAGACAAGUCAGAGUACGCCGGUUGUUUUCCCGGCGCAAACCCUCCGACGCUCAAGUCAGAUAUGAAGGUUCGGGGAACGCUUACCACAGAUCUUAUGGCUUUUUCGUAGUUUUCUCUUCUAAUCUCAAAAUUGCUAACCCUUUUACCUUCGUUGGCUACCUUUUUAUAGGCUUCCUCUGAAUCCAGAUCUUCCGCAGUCCACGCCCGUCAUUCUCCCCACUCUCGGGUGUGGACGCCCCAUUACCGCCAUUGUCGACGAAUGGAGAUGGACCUCGUGCCUUAAUUCUCGGAUAGGAAUGCACGUCCUGCCAACUGUCGUUGACUGGGUCUCCUCGCCUCGAUGCCUAGCAGGAAUGACCUUAUGCCUCUAACAGGAGUUCGGCCUCACGAAUGGCAUAUUCGUGGACGAGCAGAAUACUCCUGCUCGUAUUCCCCUGCUACUUGGCUCUUGCAAGAUACCCCUGCUCGCAGAACCCUGCCACCAACCACCUGCUCAUCAUGUUUGGUCGCCUCGAUGUAUUUCCCUCAAACACCGGUCCCCCAGUUUCUGGUGUUGGGUAAUGUAAUGGACCAGCAGUAGAAACUCAACGGUUCUUGCUCGCGUGGGACUGGAAAAGGCUGCCAAGAGUCGUGUCGCAUUUAAUUGCGGACGAGGUGAUGUGGCAGAAAUCUGCCCCUCUAUUUGAAUUUCAAACCAAUGGUUACGAGGCCCUUGGGGUUUGGUACCGUUAAAUGCUGGCAACCUAAGAGUCCGUCCCCUUUAUGAAACCCACCUCCUUUCGUACAGCAAAUUCAUCAUCCACUCCGUCUCCGUCUCUGUCUCUCCGGCAAAGAAGUUCCGGCAUAAAGGCCUCCAUCUCUGUCUUUCACCGACUGAAACAUUACUUCAGGUACUUCUUCUAUCUCCUUGGUCUCGGAUAGUUGUAGAUAAUUUCUCUUCUCUUUUGUUCGGGUAGUAGUUGGUGGUGGCGUUGUGGUUAGCGCUUAGGGAAUGUCGAAAGGUAAAGAGAAGGUCGUUGAGGUUGACGACGAUGAGUUGGACUUCCUGCCUAGUCUGCUCACCGAUCCUGCUUUUGACCCCGGGAUCCCCUUAGAGCCCAUCAGAUCCAGUGUUGGUACUAGCGCUAGGAGGAUGUCUCCCCAAACAACCUCCUCGAGCGGAAAUAACGAUGAAGAAGGGUCUUCUGGAUCGGAGAACACCCCGAGUGAGGGUCGAGGAGAUGAUUCUGGUGAGGUGUCCCCAUCAGGAGCGUCGCGACCAGAAGAGAGGAGUACAAUAGGAGGUAGAGCCCUAUCGCGGGAUUACGCUAUUGAUUAUAUGACGUGCACGACCACGUUUGAUGAGCUCGAUGACCUCCGGCUUAGGUAUAGUAUUCCUGGUGAAAUACCUCUUAAGGUCCCAGGAAAGAAGGAUGCUCCUAGCUGGCCUCCUAGGGGAUAUGUUACCCUGUAUCUGGAUAGCUUUAAGUAUGGGCUGAGGUGUCCCUUGCAACCUUACUUUGCCGGGAUACUUAACGGGCUGAAUCUAUCUCCUGGUCAGUUGAACCCAAACGGUUGGAGAGUGCUCUCUGGUCUGUUCAUAUUGUGGGACAGAUGUUGCCAAAGCGAGCCCACAAUUGAUGAGGUGAAGCACCUGUACCAGCUAAAGAGCAGCCCCAAAGAUGUCGGCUGGUACUACUUCUAAUCUAGUACCAAGACCAGGAAACCUAUAACCGACCUCCCUACUGGUGGUGGUGGGAAUUGGAAGAGAAAGUUCUUUUUUGCUGGGGGCCUUGGGGUCAGGUUGCACAAAUGGACGGGAAGGAUUAUCGGGUCCCACCCCGUUUCACGGUCCCAGGUUGCCUGCUCGCUUUAGAUGUCCUGUAUCCAUAAUUGUUCUUGCUUUAUUGGCUUGUCUCUAACCAAGUGUCUGUUUGUGUUGUAGUUUCUUGGGGUGUUCAUUUCCCGCACCAACCUGGCCAGCUCAAACAGGUUGAGGCUGUGCUAGUCAAUUCCUGCCCGAGCCGAGAGCUGUUAACUACUUACAACUUGCUCGAGUCUCGCUUGAUACUACCUGGCCAUAAGAUGGAGGACGCUGUGAUUGGGGCUCUGAACAGGAAACGUUCUCGACCUCAAACCACGAAGAGGGACCAGAACAAGGACGCCCCUUCUGCAAAGCGGGCCAACAUCGUGCAGCAAGUCUCUCCCUUGAAGACUUUACCUCCUGCUCCUGCCAAAAUUGGGGAGACUAGUGGAGCAGCCACGGAUCCUGCUUCCUCUUCGCCUCCUGUCGGGCCUCGAUCUCGCUUACCUGACAGCCGAGCAGAACACUUGGUCCCCUACCUUAAUGAGUUCUCUAAACUCGUGAGCAAGAAGGACCUGGAGGACUUUGACGGCUGCACCUUGGGUGAGCUGGUGGGGGCCAUGCAGUAUAGCGCUUUCCACCUCAGCUGCAUGACCACCUAUUAUAAGGCUAAGGUUAGCCGCAACGACCGGAAGAUGAAGGAGGAUAUUCAAUCGGCGACGACCAGAGCUGACGUUGCCGAGAAGAAAGCAGGGGAGCUGAAUCUCGAGAAUCUGAAGCUGAUAGAGCAAGAAUCACUUGCUCAAGCAAAGGCCAUUACCCUCGAGGAGGAGCUUACCAAGGUCAAGGAGGAUCUGCAAAGGCAGAAGGCUAUGUAUGACGCCCAGCUCGAAUCUCUCCGCGACUCCAACCGAGCUCAGGUCGAGAACUUGGAGAGGGAGGCCGAGAACCAGUACGACCAGGGACUUCGGCAUUCCUAUCGUUGCAUCAUGGCUGUCCUCGGGAAGCAACACCCUGAUCUGAAGAUGGAUGACCUUGCAGCUGGUGUUGCUCAACAUAUGGACGAGGAGGCGGCCAAGGAAGAUGCUGAAGGGGUAGAGCCGAUCGUGAUUGAGGAGGAAAACUCUCCUCCUCGUGUAGUCCCUGCUGAUGUUGGCGAGGCAAGCACCCCUCCGGACGCAACUGGUGAUACCCCCCUGCACCUGAGGAGGUCCAGCCAACAGAUGCUGCUCGGCUUACUGAUCCACCAUCUUCUUGAUAUAUUUCUUGUAUUGUAAUGAACAAUUUUUGUGACGAUUAUCUCUUCUGUUAAUUACUAACAAUUAAUAAAGAUGUUUUUGAUUACUUUCUCGUGUUGUAAUCAUCACUUAUUUUCCGUUUGGGAAUCUGCUCGUCUUUGUCUGGUCGAGCAGGUUCUGGCUUGGCAUAUGGUUUUGCCACAUGCCUUAGAAAAUUCUUCGAUGCUUGAGAUUCUGCUCGCCUUCGCGCGGUCGAGCAGACCCUGGCACGCUUGGCUUCUGUCUCGCCAUAAACAGGCUUUGAGACUUGACGAGCCUUUGCAUGCCUUGGAAAAUUUUUCGAUGCUUGGGGAUUCUGCUCGCCUUUGCGUGGUCGAGCAGAUCCUGGCACGCUUGGCUUCUGUCUCUCCAUAAACAGGCUUUGAGACUUGACGAGCCUUUGUAUGCCUUGGAAAAUUUUUCGAUGCUUGGGGAUUCUGCUCGCCUUCGCGUGGUCGAGCAGAUCCUGGCACGCUUGGCUUCUGUCUCGCCAUAAACAGGCUUUGAGACUUGACGAGCCUUUGCAUGCCUUGGAAAAUUUUUCGAUGCUUGGGGAUUCUGCUCGCCUUCGCGUGGUCGAGCAGAUCCUGGCACACUUGGCUUCUGUCUCGCCACAAACAGGCUUUGAGACUUGACGAGCCUUUGCAUGCCUUAGGUAAUCUCUGCAAUGAUUGGGAGUCUGCUCGCCUUCUCGUGGUCGAGCAGAUCCUGGCACGCUUGGCUUCUGGUCUCGCCAUAAACAGGCUUUGAGACUUGACGAGCCUUUGCAUGCCUUAGGUAAUCUCUGCAAUGAUUGGGAGUUUGCUCGCCUUCUCGUGGUCGAGCAGAUCCUGGCACGCUUGGCUUCUGGUCUCGCCAUAAACAGGCUUUGAGACUUGAUGAGCCUUUGCAUGCCUUGGAAAAUUUUUCGAUGCUUGGGGAUUCUGCUCGCCUUCGCGUGGUCGAGCAGAUCCUGGCACGCUUGGCUUCUGUCUCGCCAUAAAUAGGCUUUGAGACUUGACGUGCCUUUGCAUGCCUUAGGUAAUCUCUGCAAUGAUUGGGAGUCUGCUCGCCUUCUCGUGGUCGAGCAGAUCCUGGCACGCUUGGCUUCUGGUCUCGCCAUAAACAGGCUUUGAGACUUGAUGAGCUUUUGCAUGCCUUGGAAAAUUUUUCGAUGCUUGGGGAUUCUGCUCGCCUUCGCGUGGUCGAGCAGAUCCUGGCACGCUUGGCUUCUGUCUCGCCAUAAACAGGCUUUGAGACUUGACGAGCCUUUGCAUGCCUUAGAUAAUCUCUGCAAUGAUUGGGAGUCUGCUCGCCUUCUCGUGGUCGAGCAGAUCCUGGCACGCUUGGCUUUUGGUCUCGCCAUAAAUAGGCUUUGAGACUUGAUGAGCCUUUGCAUGCCUUUGAUAAUUUCUUGAAUGCUUUGGAGUCUGCUCGCCUUCUCGUGGUCGAGCAUAUCCUGGCACGCUUGGCUUCUGUCUCGCCAUAAAGCAGGCUUUGAGACUUGCUGAGCCUUUGCAUGCCUUUGAUUCUUCAAGGAUUGGGAUUCUGCUCGCCUUCUCGUGGUCGAGCAGAUCCUGGCACGCUUGGCUUCUGUCUCGCCAUAAAACAGGCUUUGAGACUUUGAUGAGCCUUUGCAUGCCUUUGAUUCUUCAAGGAUUGGGAUUCUGCUCGCCUUCUCGUGGUCGAGCAGAUCCUGGCACGCUUGGCUUCUGUCUCGCCAUAAAACAGGCUUUGAGACUUUGAUGAGCCUUUGCAUGCCUUUGGUUCUUCAAGGAUUGGGAUUCUGCUCGCCUUCUCGUGGUCGAGCAAAUCCCGGCACGCUUGGCUUCUGUCUCGCCAUAAAACAGGCUUUGAGACUUUGAUGAGCCUUUGCAUGCCUUUGAUUCUUCAAGGAUUGGGAUUCUGCUCGCCUUCUCGUGGUCGAGCAGAUCCUGGCACGCUUGGCUUCUGUCUCGCCAUAAAACAGGCUUUGAGACUUUGAUGAGCCUUUGCAUGCCUUUGGAAAUUUUCCCAGUUUCAAGCGAAUGAAAUUCCUCGACGUUCCAUUAAUGGCAGGAUUCAACUUACAUGAAAUUGUUUAGACAUAAAGCGUAAAAGAUAAACGAUAAUGAACAUGAGCAGAAAUAGCUUUCGAAUGUGAACAAGUCUUACUGGAAGUAUUUUCGGAGGUGUGCUGCGUUCCAUGGGCGUUUCACCUCGUGGCCGUCCGUGCGAACCAGCUUGUAAGCUCCGGGUCCCACUAUCUGCUUGACUCUAUAUGGCCCUUCCCAAUUCGGUCCCAGCACUCCUUGAGUCGAAUCUUUGGUGCUCUGAUUCACUCUUCUCAGUACCCAAUCUCCGACCCUGAAUUGCCGUACAUUCACCUUCUGGUUAUAAUAGCGAGCAACCCUUUGCUGGUAAAUGGCUGAUCGACCAGCUGCUUGCUCCCUCUUCUCCGUUAGCAGAUCAAGAUUCAAACAUAUCUGCUCGUCAUUCUCCUGCUCAUUGAAAUGGUCUGUCCGGUGCGUGGUCGUUCCUAUCUCAGCUGGUACGACCGCUUCAUGUCCGAAAGCCAGGGCGAACGGUGUCUCCCCAGUUGCUGUUUUGUGGGUUGUCCUGUAUGCCCAUAGGACACCUGACAGCUCAUCAACCCAUGUGCCCUUUUUUGCUCCAAGCCUGGUUUUCAAAAGUCUCUUGAUGGUCUUGUUGGCUGCUUCUACUUGUCCAUUCGAUUGAGGGUGAGCAGGCGAGCAAUACUUCAGCUCUAUCCCGAGGUUCUGGCAGAAAUCCCUGAAGCUGUGAUUAUCGAACUGCCUGCCAUUAUCCGUUACCAAGGCAUAAGGGAUCCCGUAUCGACAGACCAGGUUUCUCCACACAAAGUCUGUCGUUUUCUUCUCUGUAAUCCUGCUAAGGGCUUCGACCUCUAUCCACUUCGUGAAGUAAUCUAUAGCAACUAUUGCAUGCGUUGCUGCUCCUCGUCCCUUUGGCAGCGGGCCGAUCAGAUCAAUUCCCCAUUGAGCAAAUGGCCAAGGGGAGGCCAUAGAGGUGAGCUUCUCUGGUGGUUGGUUGGGGAAACUUGCAAAACUCUGGCAGCUUACACAGCUCCUGGUCUUCUCAUGUUCAUCCUGGUGCAUUGUCGGCCAGAAAUAUCCCUGCCUUAGAACCUUGUGGGCCAGGGAUCUCCCACCAGAAUGAUUCCCGCAAAUUCCUUCAUGUACUUCUCUCAGUACGUAAUCCGCGUCGUCCUCAUCCAAACAUCGAAGGAAAGGUAGUGUAUAUCCUCGCCGAUACAAUAUCCCAUCAAUCAUCGUGUAUCUCGAGGCCUGGGCUCUAAUCUUCCGAGCUUGCAGCUUAUCUGGUGGUAAUACCCCGUCUCUAAGGUAUGAAACUAUCGGGUCCAUCCACGAGCAUUUUUGUUCUAUCCGCAGCACCCCCGAAUUCGGCUCGAUGCUCGGGCUGGACUUCACCUCCAGAGGGAUCGACUUUGGCAUUUUUGGGUCUGCUACCGCUGCCAUCCUGGCCAGAAUAUCUGCUCGACUAUUCUGCUCCAUUGGGAUUUGUACUACCUCCACCGCUUUGAAUUUUCCCAUCAUCUGCCUGACUAUCUUCAAGUACUGCUCCAUCUUCUCCUCUCUUGGUUGGAAUCUUUCACUGACAUGAUUCGCAACCAGCUGGAAAUCAGUUCUGAUCUUCACUCUAUCUGCUCUCACGGCCUUAGCCAGUUCUAAUCCUGCUAUCAAGGCUUCAUACUCUGCCUGGUUAUUUGUUGCUGCGAAUUCUAACUUUACAGCAUAAGAGAUCUCCUCCCCCUCCGGGCCUUCCAAUACAAUCCCUACUCCUGAUCCCUGCUCCCCUGAUGACCCAUCUACAGACAUUUGCCAUACUUGAGCUUCGCCACUGUCUGCAAUUACAUCUUGUUGGUCUAAACAUACUUCAGGCUCCGUGAAUUCUGCUACGAAAUCGGCCAUUGCCUGAGCCCUCAUCGCUGCUCGGGGUUUGUAGUCUAUGUCGAACUCGCUCAGCUCUAUAGCCCACUUGACGAGCCGACCAGAAGCAUCGGGCUUGUGCAGAGUUUGACGCAAUGGCUGGUUUGUUAUAACCGAGACUGGAAAUGCCUGAAAAUAUGGCCUCAACUUCCGAGCAGCAACCACAAGGGCAAGUGCCCAUUUCUCCAACGGUGGGUACCUGGUCUCAGCGUCGAGCAGGGCCUUGCUGGUGUAGUAUAUUGGAUACUGAACUCCUUCUUCCUCUCUCACCAGAACAGAACUGGCGGCCCGAUCCGAUACCGCCAGAUACAAAAAUAACUUGUCCCCAUCCCUCGGUGUGGAUAGCAGAGGGGCUUGCUGUAAAUACUGCUUCAAGUUCUGAAAGGCUUCCUCGCAUUCCGGGGUCCACUCUGUUUUCUUUCCCCUCCUUAUCACUUGAAAGAAUGGUUGACACUUAUCUGUAGCCUUGGAUAUGAAUCGGCUCAAUGCCGCCAAUCUCCCCGUAAGGUUUUGUAUUUCCUUCAGGUUACGAGGAGACCUCAUCUGCACAAUCGCCUGGAUCUUCUCGGGAUUUGCUUCGAUCCCCUGAUGACUCACCAUGAAUCCAAGGAACUUCCCCGACUCGACCCCAAAAGCACAUUUCUCUGGGUUGAGUUUCAUCUUAUACUUCCUCAAAAGCUCGAAUGUCUCCUCGAGGUGUCUGACAUGUUCCUUCGGGAUUUUGGACUUGGUGAUCAUGUCAUCCACGUACACCUCCAUGGUUUUCCCAAUCAACGGCUUAAAGACUUUGUUCACCAGCCUCUGAUAGGUGGCCCCAGCAUUUUUGAGACCAAAUGGCAUUACCCUAUAACAGAACAAACCCUGGUUAGUGAUGAAAGCCAUGCUCUCCUCGUCCUGCUCGUACAUGGGGAUCUGGUUGUAUCCCGAGAACGCGUCCAUGAAGCUAAGCAGAGCGUGUCCAGCCGUUGAAUCUACUAGCUGAUCGAUCUUUGGUAAAGGGAAGCUGUCCUUUGGGCUCGCCUUAUUGAGGUCUGUGAAAUCCACACACAUCCUCCACUUGCCAUUCGCUUUCUUUACCAACACCACAUUCGAUAUCCAUUCAGGGUAAUUGACUUCCCGAAUGAACCCUGCUCUCAAGAGCUUCUCCACCUCGCCAUUUAUAGCCUCAUACCUCUCCUGGUUAAAGCACCUCCUCUUCUGCCUUACUGCCCGAGCACCUUUCUUUAUUGCCAGCUUAUGACAUGCUACCUCAGGGUCAAUCCCUGGCAUGUCUUCAUGUGUCCAAGCAAACACAUCUGCAUGAGCCUGUAAGCAUUUCACCAACUCCUGCUUUUACUCUCCCUUAAGUCUCGACCCGAUUCUGAUUGUCUUUCCCGGAUUCUCUGGUCCCAGGCUUACAGUUUCCAGAUCCUCUACAGGUUCUUGUCUGCCAUUCUUGUUUUCCACUCGGGUAUCGAGGGAUGUUAUCUGCAUUGCUUCCCCUGUUUCCAUCGCUUUUCACUUGCUUUACUCCCCUUCUUGCUAUCAACAGAAGCUUUUUGAUCAGUUCCCCACAGACGGCGCCAAAAUGUUGAUGCGAGAUUCUGGUUGUCCUCGUUCUACGACCAGGCUCUCUGCUCGAUCAACUUCACCACGACCAGGAGGUCUCCUCGUAAGGCUUCUUCUCCAGAGGUUCCUGCGCACACAGACAAGUCAGAGUACGCCGGUUGUUUUCCCGGCGCAAACCCUCUGACGCUCAAGUCAGAUAUGAAGGUUCGGGGAACGCUUGCCACAGAUCUUAUGGCUUUUUCGUAGUUUUCUCUUCUAAUCUCAAAAUUGCUAACCUUUUUACCUUCGUUGGCUACCUUUUUAUAGGCUUCCUCUGAAUCCAGAUCUUCCGCAGUCCACGCCCGUCAUUCUCCCCACUCUCGGGUGUGGACGCCCCAUUACCGCCAUUGUCGACGAAUGGAGAUGGACCUCGUGCCUUAAUUCUCGGAUAGGAAUGCACGUCCUGCCAACUGUCGUUGACUGGGUCUCCUCGCCUCGAUGCCUAGCAGGAAUGACCUUAUGCCUCUAACAGGAGUUCGGCCUCACGAAUGGCAUAUUCGUGGACGAGCAGAAUACUCCUGCUCGUAUUCCCCUGCUACUUGGCUCUUGCAGGAUACCCCUGCUCGUAGAACCCUGCCACCAACCACCUACUCAUCAUGUUUGGUCGCCUCGAUGUAUUUCCCUCAAACAAAUAUAAUAAAAUUACAUGAAAUUAAAAUACAAUUGAAUAUAAACAAAUACAAUAUCAAUUAUCACAAUGCAACUAAUAAGUGUUUGUUUGCUAUAACUUAUCUAGUAGUUAUAAGUCUUAUUUAAUCUCAUAAGUUUCUAUCAAAAUUUUUAUUAUUGUUUGAUUUUUUUUAAUAGAACUUUUGAUUAUUAAAUAAGAUAUUUUAUCCCUAUUACUAAAAGCUUAAAUUUUGGGUUUUUGAAAGUAAAGGUUGAAAAGUUUUUUUAAAAUGUUAAAAUGUUUAAAAUAUUAUUUACUUAUUUGACAUUUUUAUUUUAAUAUUUUCAUAACAUAACUUUAAACAACUUACAUAUUAAAAUAAUUUUUAACUUUUAAUUAAACCUUUCACUGACAACUAAACAAUUAAAACUUUUAAAUAAAAACUUCAUUUAUAAAAACUCAACUAAUAAAAAACUUUACUUGAGUGUGCUCAAUUUAAAAAUGGAACCUAAAGACUAGAAUUUUGUUUUUUAAUAUUUAAUUGUCGGGCUGAAGGAUGGGACUCCCUAGCCCGAGCCCGAUCCGGCUGAAGUUCGAACACAUUAGAUCCUAACCCGACCCGAAGCAUAGUAGUCGAGCCAAAGCCCAGCUGGAGGGGGCGCUCACUUUUCUGCCAUUCCUAGCGGCGACUCGACUCAAGCCCUGGCUGGCUGGUCGUAGUUAUUGCGCAGUUCAGUUGACAGGCGUUGAUACAACGCUACGCGGGGUAUGCGCAGAGCCUUAACCUACACCCACUACAUUUCUCCUCUGUCCUCUCUAUAACUAGCUUUUCUCUUUUGCUUUUCGUUUCCCUCUUCUUUCAAAAUCAUCACCGAAUCAACAAAUAAUCUUUCACUCUGUCACUCACUAACAAAAAAUCAGGAAACGAUCAAUAAUUACCAAGUUAAUAGCAAAUUAACUGAACUGCUUCAAGCAAUAAUGGCUACUUUCGGUGCUGCUGCCGUUGCCACCAAUCAAAACCCUAACAAUUCCAUCGAGGUAUACUUUAUUUAUUUAUUUUCUUUUUUCUUUUUUCUUUUUUCUUUCCGAUAAUCUUUAAAAAUUAUUUACCUUUAAAUUUUCUUGUCGGUUUCUUGUGUAUGAUGAACUUGGCGACUGUUGAAUUAAUGCUUAUGAUGAUGUUGUAAGGAUUAAGUAGAAAGAUAUAUAAAUUAUUUAUUAUAUAUUUUUGUCAGGGUUAAGCUUAAUUGCUUGUGUUAAUGUAAAAAUUAAUUCUACAUUUUCGGAUAAAGAUUUUUUUUUAAUGCUAAAUAUGUAUGCGAAGCUAUGAUCAUUUGUUUGCUUGCUUUCUUGCUGAACGGAUUGUUGAAAGCGAACCAAUUGCUAAGCUUGUGAAUGUGUUGGAGUUUCAGUGUAAAAGAACAGUAGUUAGUAAGUGAAUCACACUGUUAAGUUUAUAUUAGGUUAAUGAAGAUAAGUUUUCUACAAUUGGUCAUGUAAAAGUUUGAUGCACCAAAUUUUCAAAUGAGAUAAAUUGUUUCUGGUCAUAGGUUCCAAAUUUAUACGCUAGAUGUUGAUAUCAUGUAGGUGUAUGUGAAGUGUAGUUCUCUCAUUGAAGCUUCGUUUGAUACUUGAGUAAGCUUGGUUGAUCUUUUAAUAUAAAGAUGCUGUUAGAAAAGUAGUAUUUACGUGAAAUUUUUCAAUGGCAGGUGUCUCAACCUCCCAAUGAUUCUGUUUCAAGCCUUUGUUUCAGUCCCAAGGCCAAUAUCUUGGUUGCAACCUCAUGGGAUAAUCAGGUUUGUCCAAUCGGGUUCUGUUCUUUUUUUAUACCUUUAGUUAUGCCUUUCUGUUUGUUGGUUAACAUCCUUGAUAUUCCCAUUCGUCUUGUUUGAAUGCUUUCACAGGUAAGGUGUUGGGAAAUUUCACACAGUGGAACUGCUGUGGCCAGUGUGCCCAAGGCAUCAAUUUCGCAUGACCAUCCGGUAAUCUAAAGCAAGAUUUGUGGUAGUUAGAAUAACAUACUGUUGAAUUUGUGAUUGCUGAUAAUUUAACCUUUUUCUUAUCUUUGAAAUUUGAAGGUCCUAUGCUCAACAUGAAAGGAUGAUGGAACUACUGUCUUCUCUGGAGGAUGUGACAAGCAGGUCAAGAUGUGGCCUUUGCUCUCUGGUGGUCGGUCAGCCAGUGACUGUUGCUAUGCAUGAUGCGCCAAUUAAGGAGGUUACUUGGAUUCCAGAGAUGAAUCUACUUGCUACAGGAAGCUGGGACAAGACAUUGAAGUAAGAUUUUUUCGCUUCUUUUUAUUUAAAAUUGCAGUCUAUGUCGCAUUUUGGUUGGGGCAGUAAAUUGGUUUUAUAAUUAUAAGUUCAUCUGUUAGAAGCCUUCGUUGUGCAGUUGAGUGUAAUGACCUUGCCAAGUGGGACAAUAUGUGCAUGUGGAUAGUUAAGUGGUCAGUUCACAUGACCUCGAACAGAAGAGUGACCAUGUUGUGUUCAGAUGAACGAAUGGAACUGUUGUGCGUGUUUUGCUCUGCCACAGUAACUUGUACUGACAAUUACUGAUGCUCAAAGUGGAUAUGAGCUGGCAGGGGCUAUGGAUUCUCAAAUUGUCAGCACUCUUUGUCCAUACUUAUAUAAUUUAGGUGUUGUUUAAAGAGAAACAUCCAUGAUGAGUGCUUUAAUAUUGUAGGCUUUUCUCUUUCUUUCUUCUCUAAGUCGUGGGUGUCAUGCUCUUUUCUUUCUCCUUUUGGGUUUACAGUAUAUCCUUUCGUUUUAUUUGGUAUCUGAUGUGGUCAACAGUUUACUGUGUCUCCAUGUGGUGCCUUGUGUUAUCUGUAAGCACUUUGUCCGAUUUUUUGUGUAGUUGAUCAGUCACUUAUACUCUCUUGAUGUUCUUGUAUUUUGAGUUCCUUACCCUCUUAAUGUUGCAAUAUGUAAUUAGGUACUAGGAUACAAGGCAGCCAAAUCCUGUUCACACUCAACAGCUGCCUGAUCGCUGCCAUGCAUUUACGGUGAGAUAUCAACUUAUGGUUGUUGGCACUGCAGAUAGAAAUCUAGUUGUCUUCAACUUGCAGAAUCCUCAGGUAUUGUUUUUUAUUCCAUGAGAGCAUUGAUUUAUGUGUAAGUUAAAUGGGCAAAUUUAGUGCAGGCAGCUGAAGCAUGUGUUUUGUGUGGCAGCAGCUGCUGCGACAUUAGUAGUUGGCUGACUAAUUUAUAAAAAACUAUUUGUGAUUCUAUCAUUAUUGAUGAAUUAAUAAAGUGAAUUAGUUUAUCUUUUAGUGGUUUUGUGCAUUUUAAUGUGUAAAUAGUGUUACUCAAAAACAAAUAUGACUAGUAGAAAACUGGAAAUAUAUAUAUAAAGUGUACUAGAGAUGAUAUAAUUUUACUAUUUUCAAAAAAAAAAAAAAAAAAAAAAAAAAAUAGUAUCUAUGGCAGCUUGUGCUUGUAGCCCAGUGGUAUGAGGCUCAUUCUCUUCAAUAUUAGUGAGAGCAGAUAUUUGAGCUUAUUACUUCUCUAGAGUCCUAUAAAUUUUAGUGAUUUCAAAUUGUAUAUAUCUCUAAAAAAUAAAAAUAAAAAUAAAAAAGAUUUCUCAGAAAAAAGAAAAGAAAAAAAAAAAGAAACUCUAGUACAUAAGUUUGCAUUGUGUUGUUAGACUUGGAAAAGUCUCGACAGUGAUUGGAUAGAUUUUUAUUUGUUUAACAAUUAAAGAUGUUACUUCUGAUAAUAAAACACUCAUUGAUUUAGAAAAAUUAAUCAUUCGAUCAUCGAUCUCAAUGGAUCGCUUUGCAAUCUUCAUUAUUCUUGUUUCCUUGCUGCUGUCUUCUUGAUACUAGCACCACCUUCUCAUUUACAUAUCUUAACUAAAGCUUUAAUUUCUUUUAGUUUCUCCAUCAUUCAGGGGAGGAUUUGAUGAUUUGCUAUUGUGUGAGGAGAAGCCAAGAAGCAGAUGUAGAGGGUUGUUAAUUUUGGGGAUAAUUAUUUUUCAGUGGGGACAAUUUUAUAAAAAGAAUUUAAUAAUGAAUCAAUUUUAUAAAUUGUCUUUUGUGGUGGGCACGAACUGACAUUUUACAACUCAAAAUAUUAGCGAAAGUUCGAAACGAUUUUCUUCUCUCUCAAAUCUUGCUCGCCGCUCUCAAUUGAAAAAACAGAGCCCUCUGCUCUCACUUCUCAGCUCUUUUUUGGUACUCCAUUGAAAUUCAUAAAAUAAUGAUAAUGAGACUAUUAUUGAAUAUUUUUAAAAUAUGAAAAAGCACUGGGAACAAGUGUGAGAAUCUUUUUACUAAUAUCUAGGGGUGGGCAAACGGUUCGGUUUUUGCCGAACCGAACCGAAAAAUUCGGUUCGGUUCGGUUCGGUUCUAUGAGCAAAAACCGAAUGGUUUAAAAAAUACUGAACCAAUUGGUUUUAAUUCGGUUCGGUUCAAAACCGAAUUGAACCGAAAAACCGAUCGGUUCGGUUUAAUUCAAUUACAAAUAUUUAAAAUCAAAUUUCAAUUUCAAUCACAAAAUUCAAAUCCCUAAAGCUAAAUCGCGAUUGCAUACUGCCCUUGCCUCUCUCCCUCGCGCCUCUCCCUCGCGUCUCUUUCUCCUCACGGCGGAGCUCCACAACGGCGGCACCACCCCUUAGCAGUAUCUUCCCCCUCUGCGCGUGCAUGGUGCGGUUCGGCGCAGCCCCUCUCGGUCUCUUCCUCGCGUCUCUUCCUCGUCUCACACCACGGUCAGCGCCUAACACAGCCCCUUAGUAGCAGCACAGCCCCUCCCCUCAAGUACAGCGACGCCGUCGUUAACCCUCAGCUUGGUUGCUGCAGCAUCUGGAAGGUACAUAUGCUCCUUGGUCCAAACCUCCUGGCUCCUGCCAUCAGCCCGCGUCUUUAAUCUUCACUGCUGCAGGUUUUUUUUUUUUUUGUUAAUCCAUGUUGUGGACUUGGUUAAUAGUUUGAAGUUUAUGUUGGUGUAUAUUGGUUGUUGGCAGUGUGGAAAUUGGAAUUGUAUAAUUGUAUAUUUGUCGAAUUAUAACAUAGUGUGGAAUUGCUGGCACGGCAGUGUGGAAUUGUAUAAGUUAUGAGAAAACGAUUGUGAAAUGCUUCUAAUUUCAUUGACUAUGAUUAAUUUGGGAAAAAAGCUUUACAAUGAUUCCGUGUCUGUUUCAAUUUCUUUUAGAUUUUCUCUUCUCACAGUUUAAGCGUUGCUCAUGCCACUGGAAUUGGUUACUUCAAUUCCAUUACUAGGCCGAAUAAUUAAAUGAAAUAGAGCUUGUGCCUUUCUUGUGGAGCCUUACAUAUUAAAUUUGAUUCAAUAAUAAAUAUUAAGAAUAUUCAAUUGAAUAUAACUUGCGGAAGGUAUAUUUUGUAAAACUUUAAUUUAAAUUUCUGUAAUGGCUUGGGAAAGUAGAUUGAGAUUAUCCAAAUGUGCUUAAUUCAGUUCAAUACUUCAAAUUAUUAAAUAAAUCAUUUUUCUUAUUUCUUUUUAUUUGAUUUAUUUUAGAUGUCUAAUUAUUCAAGAGUUCAAGACAACCUUGAUUGUGUAGCCGAUGAUUUGGAACAUGAAGUUGAAGUUAAUGAUAAUGAAAAUGAUUCGGCAACAAUUGUCACUGGUGGAAACAAGCGAAAAAAGUCAUCCUCAUCCAAACCACCACUACCAAGGAAAAAAAUGGCUCCAAGAUCACCAGUGUGGCAACAUUUCACUAGAGUUCCAAAUGAUCAUACAAAGUGUAAAUGCAACUACUGUGGUCAAGAAUUUGAAUGUGGGACGGUCGGGUACGGGACUAGCACUUUGAGAACUCAUAAUCGUGAAAGAUGUCAAAAGUUCAAGGACUUGCAAAAAAACCAAACAAUAUUAACUCAAGAUGUUGGUAGUGAUGAAGUUGUAGCAAGGGGAUUUAGUCAAGAAGCUUGUAGACGGGCAACCGUGAAAAUGAUUGUUCUUGAUGAAUUGCCUUUUUCUGUUGUGGAGAAUGCAGGUUUUAGGCAUUUCUGUAGUGUUGCAGCUCCGAGAUAUCUUCUCCCAUCACGAAGAACCAUUAGUAGGGAUACUCUUGAGAUGUAUUUGGAGGAAAAGGUUAAGUUGAAGAGUUUAUUAGCGGGGAAUAAGCAGAGAGUAUCUUUGACCACGGAUAUUUGGACUUCCAUUACAACAGCUAGCUACAUGGUCAUCACCGCUCACUUUAUUGAUAGAGAUUGGAACUUACAUAGGAAGAUUAUCAGUUUUAACACUAUUAAUGAUCAUUCAUCGGAGACCAUUGGUAAGCAACUUAAAAAAUGUUUAAUUGAUUGGGGUAUCGAGCGAGUGUUUACUGUAAGUGUUGACAAUGCAAGUCCAAAUGAGGGUGCUCUUAGGUACUUGAUUGAUAGAGUAAAGACUUGGAGGGAUGAUGGCUUAGUGUUGAAUGGAGAUUAUUUGCAUGUUCGUUGCUGUGCACACAUAUUGAAUUUGAUCGUUACUGAAGGGUUGAAGGAAUUAGAGCAGAGUAUAGUUAGUGUUCGGAAUGCGGUGAAGUAUGUGAGAUCUUCCACUGCUAGGAUGCAAGCAUUUCAAAUUCGUGUGCAACAAGAGAAGAUUAAAUGUCGAGGAAGUGUGAUUUUGGAUUGUCCCACUAGGUGGAAUUCAACAUAUUCCAUGUUGAAUACGGCAUUAAAAUUUAAGCCGGCAUUUGAUCGAAUGGCACUUGAAGAUAAGCUUUAUGAUGCUUAUUUCAAUGAAAAAGAGGGUGGAAAGAAGAAAAGGGAGGGACCGCCAUUGUACAGUGAUUGGGAAAAUACUCGACGCAUAGUUAAGUUUUUAAAGACGUUUCAUGAUGCGACUUUGCAAUUUUCUUCAUCUUUGAAGGUAACAUUAAAUCUUUAUUAAAUUUUUUUAAUUUUUGAUAUAUAAUAAUCCGAUGAAGUUUAUUUUAGCUUUAUUAACAUUGUUUUUAUUUAUAUAAUAGAAUAUAAAAGAUAAUUAAAAAAAUUCUAUAAGCUAUAUUAUUUUUUUUAUGAGCUAUAUUUUUUUAAUUUUUGAUAUAUAAUAAUAUGAUGAAGUUUAUUUUAGCUUUAUUAACAUUAUUUUUUUUUUAGGUGACAUCAAAUAUUUGUUACAAUUUGAUAUGUCAAAUUGAACAAUCUUUGGGAUCAUUGUCCACUAGUAACGAUAGUCUUUUGAGUUUCAUGGCAAUUAAAAUGAAGGAAAAAUUUAAUAAGUAUUGGGAUGGUUGUUUCAAGAUAAAUAAGUUGUUGAUUGUUGCUUCCGUACUUGAUCCAAGAGGAAAAAUGAAAUUCGCAACACAUUGCUUUGAGAAAUUAUAUGGCAAGGAUAGUGCCAAAUGUGUUGAGAUGAAGGAAAUGAUCAAGAAUUUAUUGAUUAAGCUUUAUGAGUCUUAUAAUGCACAAUACAAACCGAGUGGAAGUGGGAGUGCAAGUGGAAGUGCAAGCGGAAGCACAAGCGAGAGCCAAAAUUUAACUAGUGGAAGUGGAAGUGGUUCGCAUUUUUGGGAUUUGGAUGAUGAUGAUGAUGUUAUGAUUGAGGAUCCUUUCUCCGAAUUUAGUAAAGUGGUUGCGGUUAGUGAAGGUAGCCCGGAGUUAUCAAAUGAGUUGGAUCUUUACUUGAUGGAGAAGACUGAAAAAAUUGCAAAAAGUAAUUUGGGCACUAAAUUUGAUAUUUUAUUGUGGUGGAGGGUGAAUAGUGCCAAUUACCCAAUCUUGUCAAGUAUAGCAAGGGAUGUUCUUGCUAUUCCGGUGUCUACUGUUGCCUCUGAGUCUGCCUUUAGUACUGGAGGUCGUAUAUUAGAUCAGUAUAGAAGCUCUUUGACUCCAGACAUGGUGGAAGCAUUGGUAUUGUUACAGAAUUGGUUGCGGACUUCUCUUUUUGUGGAUACAACGACGGACCUAAAUAAAUUAGUUGAAGACAAUAAGUUUAUGGAUCAACUUGCGGAAGGUAUAUUUUGUAAAAUUUUAAUUUUAAUUUACUUUUUAAGUAUUAUCAAUAUUAUAUAAUUUGUUUAAUUUUAAUCUAAGUUUAUUUUUUAAGUAUUACUAACCUUGUUCAAUUUAUCCAAUUUUUGUAUGUAGAACUUCGCAAAUCAACAACAGUCGACCAACUUUGUAGGUCAACAUGAAAAUUGCGGUUGAACAUAAACCAUUUUAGGUAAUUAAAUUGAUAUAUAUUUAUUAAUUAAUUAUUAAAUCGCUUUAUUUUAUUUAGUUUAAUUAUUGAGUGCUUUGGCUUAUUUUGAAAGUUUGAAUUUUGAUGUAGGUGAUGUGGGUGGCGGAUGAAAUUGUUGCUUGUGUAUUGAAGUUGAAGGCUUCUCUUAUUUUGUUUUGUUUAGAGUAUGGGAUUUUCAUGUAGAUGAUGUGGGUGGUGGAUGAAAUUGUUGCUUCUCUUAUUUUGUUAUUUACUUGAAGGCUUUGUAUUAGGACUUUUGUUAUUUUGUUUUUUACUUGAAGGCUUUGUAUUUGAAGUUGUUGAUUGUGUAUUGUAGACUUAUUGUGUUUUAUUUUUCUUGUUGUGAACUUAUAUUCUGUAAAAUGUAGGGGAAAAUUGUAAAAUGCAGUAAAAUUAGGCGAAAAUUGUAAAAUGUAGUAAGAUUUGGUUAAAACUGUAAAAUCUAUAAAUAUGUGCGAACCGAACCAAACCAAACCAAACCGAACCGAAUUUUAGAACCGAACCGAACUGAACCGAAAUAUUUCGGUUCGGUUCUAAAAUUCGGUUCGGUUUGGUUUGAAUUUUUUUGAACCAAUUGGUUCUGGUUCGGUUCGGUUCGGAGCCCGAACCGAACCGAACCGGAAAAUGCCCACCCCUACUAAUAUCAUUGAGUAUUAAACUGUAAAAAAUUAUUUUCACUAAUUCUUUUAUUAUAACAUUGUCCCCAAUGAAUUAAUUUCCCGGAUCAUCUAUGUACAAGAACCCUCUGUUUGAAUUUUUUUUUUUACUAUUUUUUUCCCAUUGUUAAAUUUUCGCAUAUGUAUCUUUCAAGUAUAAAAUCCGUUUUUUUCUCUUUUUUUUCUUAAUCCUGUUUAAUAAGAACUGGAGUUAAUCUCAAAUGUUAAUUGUUUGUUUUGAGAAACAUAGUUCUAUGUGUACGUGACUUUUAAUUUCUGUUAUUUCCUUUUUUCAGAUGUGACUUUGAACAUUAUUAUAAAAUAUUGGUUGUAGAAAUUUUUAUUUUUAACUAAAUGAUAUAUUUUUACACUUGCCCAUUUACUUUUUCUUGAUAAAAUUAUAAUGAUUAUAGACAUUAAGAAAUUAAUUACCACGUGCAUUAAAUAAUGAAUUACUGAAAAAGUUGUUUUAUAAAAAAAAAUUCUACCACAUAUAUUUUCGCUGUUUUUAUAUUGUCAAACAAAUAAAAAACAUAUUUUACUGUUCUUAUUUUUAUAUAUUGUUUAGAAAAUAAAUUACCAAAUACCUUUUCAAUUUGGGAAUAUCACAUCAAAAACCUAUUUUACUUCUUUAAAAUAAAUAUAGAAAACACCAAUCGAAAAAAUGACACCAAAAGCACCAUUAGUGUCUGCAGUCUCAAUUGGAGUUUUUUUUUUUAUGUCGUUAUUCUUAUCGAUCACUGUAGCAGCAUUUAACCAACGCAUGCAUCCAAUCUUUUUUUCUAGCUGAUCCUUCUAAGUCUUGCCUAAAUUAAUUAGUUUGAACUUUUGUAUAGCAUCAGUGCAAAAGCUUAUCCGAUUGAUAGUGAUAAAAUGAUCAUAAAUUUGAUUUUUACUCAUUUAUUACUUUCAUGCGACCUCAUUUUGUAUAUCAAAAUUGGUAUGAGAAUAUAUAUGUUUUUUUAGGUGUAGUCUGAAUCUAAAUUAAAAAUAAAAUAAAAGAAAAUAAUAAGAAGGGGAGAAAGGAGAUUUUGAUAAAAGGGCAAUUGACAAAAUCAGUGUCUAAACGACAAUAUUUUGGUCGUUAGUUACAACCCAAAAAACAGAAAAAAAAAUUAAAAAAUCAUUUUAAUGGUGACCUGAAGUCGGCCUUGGCUUUUUCCUAAAUACAUGAAUUAUACACGUUGCAACAUUUGGAAUAAUCAUUUGAUCGAUCUCAAUGGAUCGCUCUGCAACUCCUAUUAUCUCCUUGUUAUUAUUGUCGAUUGUUCCGGCAGCAGUGGCCAUUCUAGGCUUGAUUUUCUACUGUGUGAGGAGAAAGCCUAGAAGCAGAGGUAAAAGUUUCUCAUUUAAUCGCACGAUUUUGAGAGUUGAAUAUACGUACGUACGUACGUACGUAGACAUAUCUUAAUUAAAGCUUUAAUUUCUUCACCAUCCAGGAGAGGAUUUGAUGAUGUUUGAUUUGGAUUUGAACCUGAAAGCCGAUAAUGUUAUCAUCGAGCUUCCUGCAAACAAUAAGCAGGCAAAAAGAAGCAAAAAGAAGGAAGUUGACCAACUGCCCUUAUUCAGUUUUUCCAGUGUUUCUACUGCAACAAAUAAAUUCUCCGACGCAAAUAAGCUCGGAGAGGGUGGCUUUGGCCCUGUUUAUAAGGUACUACAGAUAUCCUUUUCUUUGGAGCAAUAAUUUCAUUUUUAACAGAACUAUAAAUUCACCAUCUUCAGGGAGUGUUAAAAAAAGGAGAUGAGAUAGCUGUGAAAAGGCUUUCGGGAAGAUCUGGACAAGGAUUGCGAGAGAUGAAAAAUGAAGCUUCGGUGAUAGCCAAGGUUCAGCACAAGAAUCUUGUUAGGCUUUUAGGCUGCUGCAUAGAUAAAGAUGAGAAGAUUCUGAUCUAUGAGUACAUGCCUAACAAAAGCUUGGACUUCUUUCUUUUUGGUUAGUGUUUUGCAAUUUUUUCUUAUUCUCACAUAUUCCUUACUUCAAAUUUUAUUCAUACAUUUGUUUAAACUACUAUUUAAUACGAAAUUUUAUAUCAAAAAUUUAUUUAAACUAGAAUUUAGCUUAUAUUACAUUUCCAAAUUCUAUUCAUUAGUUUAUUUAAAAUAGCAUUUAGCAUUUAAUUUAAGAUUAUAUAUCAAAAUUUCAUUCAAUAAUUUAUUAAAACGUGUACAUAAUAUUAAAUAUCAAAAUUAUUCAAUUAUUAAUUUAUAUUGAAAUUGAAUAUCUCAUAUAAUAUUCAAUAAUUAACAAUAAACUUUAACAAAUAAUCAUACUUUUCAAAUAGUUUUUUUAAUCAUAAUUUUUAAAUAGUUUUUUUUUUAAACUUCCUUAAAUUGGAUUUAAUAGCAUCUGGUCCAAUACUAAACCAAACACAAAACAUUACUAUAAAAUAAUUCAAUCUAAUCCAAUCCACUUCAAUCUUAAUAACUAGUCCAAUUCAAUCCUUUGUUUACCUAACCUAAAAGAAUAUUUAGCAUUUACUAUUUCGUUUAGCUAUUUUUAAGUUUAAUGAUUAACAUCAUCCAAUUAUCAGAUUUAAAAGAAAAAUUAAGUCACUAGAUCAAUUUACGUCAGAUUAUGCGGUCAACAUUUUUUAUUUUCAUACAUAAUGACAUUUAGUCUUUUUGUUGUAAAUUAGAUCCAACCAAGCGAAUGUUAUUAGAUUGGGUAACACGUGUUCAGAUUAUUGAAGGGAUAGCUCAAGGACUUCUUUAUCUUCAUCAAUAUUCUAGGGUACGAAUUAUUCAUCGAGAUUUAAAAGCUAGUAACAUCUUGUUGGAUAAAGACAUGAAUCCCAAAAUAUCAGAUUUUGGAAUGGCAAGAAUUUGUGGAGGAAAUGAGUUACAAGCAAACACUAGUAGGAUCGUUGGGACUUAGUAAGUAAAUGACACAAACCAAAAUUAAAGUGAUUAAGUUAUGCAUAAAUUACUGAUUAUUAUUUAUUAAUUAUUGAAUUACAGUGGUUAUAUGUCCCCGGAAUACGCACUCGAAGGAAUAUUUUCAAUUAAAUCCGAUGUUUUUAGCUUUGGAGUAUUGUUGCUUGAGAUUGUAAGUGGCAAGAAGAACACUGGACUUUAUCGAACCGACUCUCUCAAUCUGCUAGGUUAUGUAAGUAGCAAAAGCGAUUACACAUAUUCUUUUUAUAUUACUUAGGUGAAAAUAUUUAUUAAUUCCCAAGUCAUGCUCAGGUGUGGACAAGCACAAUGUGAAAACGUUUGAAUUUUUGCACCUGACAUAAACUAUUCUCUAUAUCGAGUGUAGGACUAUCUAAUAACACCGUAUGGUUGUUCAGGCAUGGGAUCUGUGGACAAGCAACAGGACAUUGGAGUUGAUUGAUCCAAUAUUAGAAGAUGAAUAUUCCUCCAAGCAUAUGCUUUUAAGAUAUGUGAACAUAGCUCUCCUUUGUGUACAAGAAAGUGCUGAUGAUAGACCCACCAUGAAUGAUGUUGUAUCCAUGCUUACAAAUGAAGCUGCAGCAUUACUUCCUCCCAAACAACCUGCUUUUUCGUUUGUAAGAAAUACAGUCACUUCAACAUCGUCCACCGGCAAGACAGAAGAUUGUUCAGUCAACCAAGUAACGAUUUCAAUUUUAGAAGCGCGCUAACUUUUAUUUUAAUGUGUAUCGAGUCCUUUUUUGGGAAAUGGUUUCAAGGAUUUUUCCAAAAGUUGCAAAGAUUAUGUAAGUUAAUUCAUACACUUUGGGGUUAGGUUGUUAUAAUUACUCCUCUGAUCUAUUAUUUGAACUGAGUUUCCUAUUUUUGACUCGCUAGUGUGAAAUGUUAAAAGUCAAUAUGUAUUGACCAUUUGAAGAAUAAUUAAGUACACCAAAAUCUUGAGUGCUAGCUGUUAGCCUUAUUUUCCCGUUCAUUUUAUAACGUGCAUGCGUCUUUCAAUCAGUCAUUAUAACUAAAUGUAAUAAUGCGAGAACCGAAUUCAAUCAUAAGUUGGCUCUUCUUUGGACCAAUAAAAUCACUAUCAAAUGUUAGCUCUAACCUUACAAGACUUUUCAAAGUCUACAGGUCCCGCAAGCAAAUCAAAGUUGGUUUUGAAGCGAGGACGAAUUGCAUUCAGUCAAUUAUUAGAUUUUUUUUAUUAAAAAAAAAAAGUGGAGGGAUGGUCAAAAAUCAAAUUAAUCUUUUAUUUUCUAUUUUCUCCAAAAUUCAAACUUAAUUAGGCGAUCAUCUAAAUAAGAAUACUUGAAAACUACUGGCUAAACUCCUGAGACUAAUUAUUAGAUAUUAUAUGGAGUAAUGUCCCUGAUUUUUAUUGGUUCAAGGGGUCUGAUACUAUCACGAUUCUGAUAUAUAAAAAGCCAUGCAUGGAACCAUUAUUUUCGUUCAAUGGGAUCAGAAUCAACAAACUACGAACUUUGGGAGGCCAAAAUCAACAAUUUGUAAACAGAGGGAGUGAGAGUAUAAGGACAUAUGUAGAGUCCAAAGAAAUGAACUAAAUUUCAAUUAAUGUCCUUAUCUUGCUAUGAAUUAUAUAAUUAUAAUUACAGAGAGACACUUUUAAAUAAAAUUUGGACACAAUAUUCUGACAAUUAAAUUAAAGCUAAGCAAGAGUUAAUAUUGAAGUUGACAUGCCUUUUUUAAGUUUUAAAAACCAACAAAUUAAUGUAGUAGAUCUCCAUAUAAUAAGAAAUUAUUGAUCAUUUUUCUCUCUCUUGCUUAACAUAUUCCCUCUUUUAUAUAUGCAAAAUUAUUUUGUCCAUCAAAAUUCGUACCAGAACAUAUUUGUUUCUACGUGAAUAUAUAUUAAAAAUAAAAUAAAAUAAUAAGGAGAGAAGGGGAUUUUGGAUAAAAGGAUGAUCACCAAAAUCACUAUCAAAACGAUUAUGUUCUAGUUGUUAGUAAAAAGAAAAAAAAAAAUGACAUGAUUUGAAUGGUGAUUUUUAUCACCACUUUGCACUUUGUUCAAAUAGCAUUACAUGGGUUUUGAUUGUUUAGUGUUUGCUCCUAACUCAUUCCCUUAAAAAAUUAUCCUGAUUUCAAAAUCCAAUAAUUUAGGAUUCAUGUCUUUGUCCAACAACAUGUUAUUAUUCUUUUCUUCUUUCAAAUCCAUGUGAGUAAUCAGCGCACGGUGCUUACAAGUCUUCCCUGCUGACCUGAAGUCCUCUUCGGCUGCUUUCUAAUUAAUUAACUUGGGCUACCUUUACUCUGUUAUAUUACAUAUACAUUGCAACUUGCAAGUUCCAUUCCUUCUCUGAGUUUCAUUUCAACUACUAUUAGACCCAAUCAUGAGAUCAAUUUUACUCUUAUCAUGGCUUUUCUCGAUACCCUUUUUAGCCAAUUAUUUGGGAUGCAUAUGGUUUGGGUGUCUGGCCAAUGUCAAGGCGAUAAAAAAUUGCUCCAUAUUUGACGUUGAAAUUAAUAGUUUAUGUUUUAUAUUGAAUUAUAAGUAAAUUACCUCUUGCAAAAAUAUGAAAUACUGAGGCUAACGAUGUGCCUUGAAGAGCGAUAUCAAGAUUAAUAUGGAAAAACACGUGCGAUCGGAUUCAAAAUUGCAAUGACACAAUCAAGAGCCAUCCAUUUUAUAUGACGAACCCAUUAAUUAUGAGGUAGAGAUUAAACAAAGUUAUAAUCAAUAGGAUUAAUUUUAUCUAUCAAAUCAAACUGACCACUUUUUAAAAAAUUGGAGACGAUUAUCAUUUUGUACAUAUGGGUCCAAUCCACAGAGAGCUUCGCCGAAGCUGAAAGCAGUGGAUAAAGUAGCGGAUACUCAUAAUCUGAUUGAUCUUUGGAUUUUCAGUCCAUGUCCUAUUGUGAUACUUACAUUACAUAUGAAAGAUCAACAAUACAUAUGAGAGAGGAUAGUGGCUAUAAACGCCUAUAUAGCUAGCUUUAAACACCAGUUGAACAGGGACAUCUUUUAUUAAAAAGAUAUAAUGGAAUUAACAAAAUAGAUAUUAGAAGGAUUUUGUUUUUGGAAAUUCUACAUUUUUUGAAAUGUCGAUAACAGAGAGUUUUAAGAGAACCCCAGACUUUUCAAGAGAGUUCUAGCUAGUAUUGGGACUAGCUCAUCCACACAGAAUAAACAUUCACAAGUUUUAUUUGAUGGUCCAUUUUCUUAUAAAUUUUAGAAAGUUUUUAAGUCGAUUAUAGUGCCAUUCAAAGCAACAAAGACUAAUGAAGCUGCACCAAGGUCCAAUAUUAAUCUCAGCACAGUGAGUUCUCAUUCUCAACGCCGUUCCUGCUUUGAUACUAACUAUUACGAAUCUAUUAAUUGGUAUAACUCACCAUUAACAAUCCCACAACUUGUAAUAAAAUAUUGCCCAUAAUUCGUACAUACAAAUUUAGAAUAUUAUUUUCUGUCCAAAUAGAGUUUAGGAUCACAACAAAGUUAAUAAACCAACAAAAAUAAAGUACAAAGACAUGGUUCAUAACCACCAUCUAAUUUGAAAAAUAGAUCAACUGCAGCAGAAGAUUCAGUAAGUUAAUAGAUACCGUUAAGUCAGGUUGUUGUAGUAACUCAUGUGAUCUAAUAAUUUUCACUUGCUUUCUACCAGGGAAAUAUAAGACUCCUACUCUUCAAUUUUUCAAUCUUAACCUAUUCAUGUCUGCCAACAUGUUACGACUCUUCUUUUCUGUCAAAACCGCGUGAAUAAUCAGCGCAUGGUGCUUACAAUUCCAUCAUGCUGACCUGAAGUCCUCCUCGGCUGCUUUCUAAUUAGUAAUUCGUUAACUUGGGCCACCUCUGCUAUAUUAUAUCAGUCUAUAUUACAUAUACAUUGCAACUUGAAAGUUUCAUCCCUUCUAUGAGUUUCAUUUCAACUACUAUUAAACCCAAUCAUGAGAUCAAUUUUACUCUUAUCAUGGCUUUUCUUGACACCCUUUUUAGUCAAUUAUUUUGGGAUGCAUAUGGUUUUGGUGUCUGGCCAGUGUCAGAGCGAUCAAAAAUUGCUGUUAAUCCAGAUGAAGAACAGCUUCAUAUUUGACGUUGAUUCUACUCCACCUGCAAAAAUGAGUCAGUGGAGUGAAAGCACCGAUUGUUGUGAUUGGAACGGAGUAGAUUGCGAUGAGGCUGGUCAUGUUAUUGGUCUCGACUUGAGCGCGGAACCAAUACUCAUCGGCAGUCUUGAGAACGCAUCUGGCCUUUUCAGUCUUCAAUAUCUGCAGAGUCUAAAUUUGGGUUUCACUCUCUUCUACGGAUUCCCUAUGCCAUCCAGGUUGGCCAACCUCACAAAUUUGACUUACCUGAAUCUUUCUCAUUGUGGCUUCACAGGGUAGAUUCCUACUGAGAUUUCAAGCCUGCCAAGGUUGGUUACUCUUGAUUUGUCAAGUCGUGAGCCCAUAAGCGGAUUUUCCUGGAGACUUGAGAUCCCAAAUUUCAACUUUUUUCAGAACUUAACAGAGCUCAGAGAACUGUACCUUGAUAAUGUAGAUUUGUCAGGCCGCAGGACUGAAUGGUGCAAAGCUAUGUCUUUUCUGCCUAAUCUACAAGUUUUAAACUUGUCUAACUGUCUUCUUUCAGAUCCUAUAAAUCAUCACCUGGCAAAUUUACUGUCACUCUCAGUUAUUCGUUUGCGUGACAAUCAUGCUGUGUCAUGUCAAGUGCCAGAGUUUGUGGCCAAUUUGUUAAAUUUGACCACCUUGGAUCUCAGCCAGUGUGAUUUGCACGGGAAGUUUCCAGAAAAGGUAUUGCAGGUACCUACACUUGAGACUCUUGACUUGUCAUAUAACUCAUUGCUUCAGGGUUCUCUACCUCACUUUCCUAAGAAUUCUUCUCUUCGGAACCUGAACCUGAAGAACACGAGCUUCUCGGGCAAACUACCAGAUUCCAUUGGGAACCUUGAAAAUUUGGCAAGUGUAGAUGUUAGCAGUUGCAAUUUCACUAGGCCAAUUCCCACUUCAAUGGCUAAUCUCACCCAAUUAUUUCACUUGGACUUCUCAUCUAACCAUUUCUCAGAUCCCAUCCCAACUCUUCGGCUUUACAUGUCAAGAAAUCUCAACUACCUAAACCUUUCGUCUAAUGAUUUAACUGGGGGGAUCUCAUCAAAUAUUCUUUGAAUUCAGAAACCUUGAGACCCUCGAUCUUUCUUCCAACAAGUUUAGCAGAUUGAGAUUGGCUUCAAGCAAACCGAGGGUCAUUCCUAAUCUGACGAACUUGGACCUUUCAAAUAACCAAAUAUCUGGGGAGGUACCAAAUUGGAUUUGGGAAGUUGGUAGUGGCCAAUUUUACACCCUAAAUCUUUCACACAAUCUUCUAGAGAGCUUGCAAGAACCUUACUCUAUUCCUGGAAUCGGAUUACUUGACCUGCACUCUAACCAACAUGUCACCAAAUACUUCCUACGUGGAUUACUCCAACAAUAAUUUUACUUCAAUCCCAGCCGAAGAUUGUGUGAAACUGCCUUCUUUUCUGCUGCAAACAAUAGUCUCACUGGAAUCAUCCCGGAAUCUGUGUGCAAGGCCAACUAUUUUCAAGUUCUUGACUUAUCAAACAACGACAUGAGUGGCACAAUUCCUACGUGUUUAAUCACCAAUAGUAGCAGGACCCUUGGCGUUUUAAAUUUAGCGAGAAACCACCUCAAUGGCACUCUUUCUGAUACAGUUCCAGGUGGAUUGCAAAUUCUAGAUAUCAAUGGAAAUCAACUAGAAGGAAUGGUUCCAAAAUCUCUUGUCAAUUGCAACAUGUUGCAGGUUUUUAACAUAGGGAAUAACCAGAUCAGUGAUAAAUUUCCAUGCUGGUUAAAGAAUGCCUCUGGUUUACAAGUUCUGGUUUUGCGAUCCAACAAAUUCUCAGGAAAUAUUAGUUGUCCGAGAAAUAAUGUCUCCUGGACCCAGCUUCAAAUAGUCUACUUAGCUUCCAAUAACUUCAGUGGAAGGCUAUCACAAAAAUGGUUACUUACCUUGGAGGAGAUGAUGGAUGCUAAACCCGAAUGCGGAUUUGAGCUCAAACACCUUCGAUAUGCCACCGGAAGCAGCCGAUUCUAUGAGGUUACCUUAUCACUUACAAUCAAAGGUUUGGAGAUCAUGCUUCAGAAGAUCCCAAAUAUAUUCACCUCUAUUGACUUGUCAAGAAACAAUUUCGAAGAGCAAAUACCAGAAGAAAUGGGACGAUUUGUAUCACUCUAUGCUCUGAACCUGUCGCACAAUGCUCUCACAGGCUCAAUCCCAUCAUCAUUUGGGAACUUGAAACAUAUUGAGUCCUUGGACCUCUCAACGAACAACCUCAGUGGGAAAAUUCCUGCACAGCUUGCAAGCCUAAAUUUCCUAUCGGUGCUAAAUCUCUCAUACAAUAACUUAGUGGGAAAGAUUCCGACAAGUACUCAACUCCAAUCAUUUUCACCGACUUCUUAUGAAGGAAACAAAGGAUUGUACGGACCUCCUUUGACGAAUGAAAGCCAAGCACGUCCUCCUGAGUUACCACCUUCACUGCCACCAGCUUCAAGCGGUGUAAUUGAUUGGUUCUUCAUAGCCAUGUCAAUUGGAUUUGCGGUCGGCUUCGGAGCAGUUGUUUCACCUCUAAUGUUUUCCGUGCAGGUAAACAAAUGGUAUAACGAUCUUAUCUACAAAUUUAUAUAUCGGCGAUUCCGUGUGUGAAGUGAUUUAAAUCUCUCAUUUUUGAAUAAUCAUGUAAGCUAGCUUCUGCUUCUCUCUUCUGUCAUAGAUGUUUGAUAUUUCUUUUCUUCUCUGUUUCAUAGAGUUAAUAGCGUUGACAAUAAUUUGAAAUAAGGGCCUAUCUAUAACUGUUGCUGAGACAAUCUUUAUCUCAAAAUUGGCUCCAAGUUAGAUCUAUAUUGGAGCAAUUCAUGCACAACAUUUCUUCGAGAGCCCAUACUCAAUUAAUAUGUGCAAGAUUGUGUAUGAUUCCAACUCCAAGCUAGAUACAUAGCGAUUCGUGAUCAUAUUCCAUUUGUUCACUUGGAAGUCUUGAGUUAUGAGCCCAUCUAAGAAUGAGCCCAAAAAGGCUUCGGGCCCUUGUGGUCUGGCCGUGUAGUUUGUUUAAAAUAUUAGUUUAUAUUGUGUUUAAUUCAGACUUUUGUAAUUUUUCAUAUUUCAAUAUAUGUUUUCUUUCUUAUUUAAGGAUGGGAGUGGAAGUCCCACUUCAUAGAUCCCACUCAUUUUUUUAGUAAGGAUUGGGAUUCUCACUUCUAUAGGGGCCACUCCCACAUCUUCUUUUCUUUAUGAAAUAUAAUAAAUUUUAUAUUUAUUAAAAUUAAAUAAAAUUAUAUUAUUUAAAAUUAAAUCAUUAUAUUUAUUUAUGUAAUAUUAUUAUAUUUAGUUAAAAAUAAUAAUUUAUGUAAUCUAAGUUAAAAUUACUUAAAAGUAAUAUUAUUAUAUUCAUAAAAAAUUAAUAAUAUUACAAUAUACCAACUUUAUUUGAAAAAUAAAAUUAUUAUAUUUAUUUAAUAUUGAUAACUAAUAAUAAUAAAUGGUUUACUCUAAGAAAAUAUUAAUUAUGUACUAUAUUAAUAAUAAUAAUAUUCUGUUUGUUUUGCUCUUAUAAUAAUCUUUAUUUAUGUAAUUAAAAUUAAAAUUAAUAAAAAAUUAUGAUUUACAUAAUUAAGAAUAUUAAUAAUUAUUGGUAAUUUAUAUAAUUAAAAUUAAUGAUAAAUUAAAUAGUUUAUUUUAUAAAUAUAUUUUUAUUCACUUUUAAUUAGAAACUACAAUCUUUUAAACAGGGUAAAAGUGUAAUUUAAAAUAAUUCACUCUCAAUCCAAGUUAGAGUAAACAUAUAAAUGAGAUUCUGACUCCUAUUCUACAUUAUUCUUCCAAUGUAAGUGAAUGACUCAUUUCCACUCCCACUCCAUACUCUCAAUCCUUGAAUUCCUAAACCACACCGUAAUUAAGUGGUUUUCAAACAGUUUUAUUCAAUUGUAACUUGAGUUCAAAUAUUGAUAAAAUUAGAAUUAAAAAUUUCUAAAAAAAUUAUUUGAAUUUUUUCCACCACUUUACUUUUUAAAUAAAUGAAAAAGAAAAAAUCUCAAAUAUACAAAUAAAAGCUUUUAGUAUGUGCGCCAAUGACGUUUUUAUUGUCAAUUAUUUUGAGUCAUUAGUAUUGUGUAAUUUUUAUGUUGAAUAUAGUUGUACAUAAUUUAUCUAACUUUAAUAGUAUUUUCUUGCCAACUUGCGUCUUAGCAGUUAGCCAAGUGGUGAACUGCUACUCUCCCAAGUCCUCUUAAAUUUUUCUCUCCUAAUUAAAAAUUAUGUAAAGAUAUGAAUUUUCUCAGUUGAUUUUGUAGGUAGAACAAAUAGCCUUCCAACAUUCGUGAGGUAGAAAUCUAGGUUGUGCUAUAAUGGAGUUAAUAUAGACAGUCUAUCAGUAGACUCUUAAUUGUAUAAUACAUAUUAGUAAGAGGAAAAGCAUAUCUACACUUCCAAGAUUUGGGAAAUGGUCACCGACACCUCUAAGUCUUCAUAAAAGGACACCAAUACCCCUUUUGAUUAUUAUACCAUUUACCUCUAUUAUCCUAAAAAAAUAGACUUUAAAAUUUUUAAUAAAUACAAAUAUUAUAUAAAUAAUGUAAUCUACAUAGUAGACUAAUAAUAUUAAAAUAUUUUAAUAUUUUAAUAGAUUUAAAUAUAUAAAUUAUUAUAUUUCUUUUAAUAAUAUGCUUUUAUUUAUUGUAGAGAUUUUAAAUAAUACGAAUGAAGUGGAAACCAAUCUUCACAAGGAAAUAAAAUUUAUCCUUCAGCCCUUCACAUGGAAGGAAAGAUUAACCUUUAUAAAGAAGGAAGAAAAAGCAACCUUUACACGGAAAGAAAGACUUAAAAGAUGAAAAAGGGAGAAAAAAGUUAUUAAUAGUAAAUAACACUAAUUAAUAAUUAGUAAUAGUGAUACUUAAUACAAUAAAAUUACAUGAAAUUAAAAUAAAAUUGAAUAGAAACAAACACAAUAUCAAUUAUCACAAUGCAAUUAGUAAGUGUCUGUAUAGUAUGACUUAUCUAAUGGUCAUAAGUAUUUAUGUAAUCCCAUAAGCUCCUAAUCAAAUUUUUUGUUAUGGUUUGAUUAUUUUUUUACUAGAACUUUUCAAUAUUAAAUAAGAUAUUUGGUCUCUACUAUCAAAAGCUCAAACUUUGAGCUUUUAGGAGUAAGGGUUAAAAAGAUUUUUUAAAAUGUUAAAAUAUUUAAAAUAUCAUUUACUUAUUUUACAAUCUUAUUUCAUUAUUUUCAUUACCUAACUUUAAAAAAUUUACAUAUUAAAGUAAUUUUAUAAUUUUUAAUAAAAGUUCACAUUAACAACCAAAAAAUUAAAAUUUUUGCCUAAAAUCUCUAUUUAUAAAAGCCCUACUAAUAAAAACAUAUUUAAAUAAACUCAAUUUUAAAAGCUACAACUUAAAUACAACUGGAAAUUUUUUUUCCAUUUUUAAUAUUUAAUUGUCGGGCUGAAGGAUCGGACUAAGACUUUCUUGAUAAACCCCUAGACCGAGCCCGAUCCGGCUCAAUUUCGAACACCUGAAGUCCUAAUCCGACUCGAAGCCUAAAAGUGGAGCCAAAGCCUGGCUAGGCGGGGCGCUCACCCUAGCGGCAACUCAACUCAAAGCCUUGGCUGGAUGGUCGUAGUUUUUGUGCGGUUCAGUUAACAGGCGUGGAUACAACGCUAGGCCGGGUAUGCGCAGAGUCUUAACCUACACCCACUACAUUUCUCCUCUGUCCUCUCUAUAAAUAGCUUUUCGUUUCCCUCUUCUUUCAAAAUCAUCACCGAAUCAACAAAGAACCUGUCGCUCUGUCACUCACUAACAAAAUAUCACGAAACGAUCAAUAAUUAGCAAGUUAUUAGCAAAUUAACUGAACUGCUUCAAGCAAUAAUGGCUACUUUCGGUGCUGCUGCCGUUGCCACCAAUCAAAACCCUAAUAAGUCCAUCGAG